UAAUUUUCACCUCCAAACAUAGCUAUCCGAAAAACCCUAACCUCUGCCUCCUCUUCCUCUUAUCCCGGAAACCUAAAUUCCGUGACCCUAACCCCUUCUCUUUCCGAAAACCCUCCGGAAUCGGAAAAUUCAUAAUUCUUCAGAAUUAAUUUUCACCUCGAAGCCAAACCCUAACUGCCUCAUCUUCCUCUCAUUCAUAUCCCAAAAGUAGCUUCAACAGUCAGGCCUGUAGCCAUGAAAGCCGUAGUGAUCACUACUUCCGGUGAUCCCCAAGUUCUCCAAGUGCAAGAAGUCGAAAACCCUGAAAUUGGAGAUGAUGAAGUUCUAAGUAGAGUGGACGCCGCUGCCAUUAACCGAACAGAUACGCUUCAGAGGAAGGGCUUGCACCCUUCCUCAAAGGCGGCAGUCCCUACCCGGGUCUCGAAUGUUCUGGAAUCAUCGAAGCUGUUGGAAAAGCCGUCGUUCGAUGGAAGGUUGGCGAUCAGGUAUUUCAAUUGCCUAAUAUUUUGAUUUCGUUUCUGUUCCUCUGUUUUUCUCGGCUAUCAAACACUAGGAACGUGUAAAUAAGGAGGUUAGUUGAUUGCGAAAACGGGAAUUUUUUGUUCGUGUCUGUGUUAAGGAGUCUUUGUUGAGAAUUUUGGGGAAAUUUAUGAUAAGUUUGUGAUUUUAUGAUUAAUUUUGUGUAUCAAUAUAGGUUAAAUUAUUGAGCUUAUUGGUUUUCAAAUUUAUGGUUGUAAGAAAAUUGGUCAGUGUAAGGUUAUGGGAUCAUUACCAAUUUGCUUACUGAAAAUUUUUCCAGAUAUUGUGGACCGGUUUGGUAGCAGAAAUAAGAACUGUGUUUUGUUUUUCAAAACGGAAAUGGAUGCAGAAAACAUGUUUUUCUUUCAGAACUUGUUUCCGAAAAUAUUUCCUGAAAAUGAAUUAUUUCAGAACUUGUUUUAAAAAAAUUCAAACACUUUAUCAAUUUAAAAGGUUCUGAAAUGGACAUGUUCAUGGUCUUCAUUUUUUAAAAUUAAAGCUUUUAUGAAAAAACCAUUUUCCCUUCUACUAAACAAACAGGCUCUAUAUUGUAACAGAUCGAUUGGCCAUUUCCUUUGUCAUGUUUUGUGAAUCAUGGCAACACUGGAAUCCACUCCAUUACCAUCUGUUAGUGAUUAGAAGACAAAGCACCAAUUUUAAUGAUAUCCUUUAUGUGAUUUUGCUUCCUCCUGAGUACAAGUUCAUAGUAUACAUGGUACAUGGUGAAUCUGUAUGACAGUUCAUGGUAUACAGGUGUGUGCUCUUCUUUCUGGUGGAGGGCAUGCUGAAAAAGUGGCUGUUCCAGCUGGGCAAGUUCUCCCUGUCCUAUCUGGUGUUUCUCUGAAGGAUGCUGCUGGAAUUCCUGAGGUUGCAUGUACUGUUUGGUCAACUGUUUUAAUGAUGAGCCGACUGUCUGCAGGAGAAACAUUCCUGGUGAAUUUUUUGUCUUUUUUAUUUUCUGAUGCCUGAUAUAUUUACCAGCACAAAUUUACCCUGUUGCUGUUUAAUGUGUGUGCAUCAAUAUUGGAUUAGGGAGGUAGAAGAGCCAUGGUUCUAAUUAAAUCAUUACAUCAUCAUAUUCUUAUUUAGAUACAUUGUAUCCCACAAUUUCAUUGCAUCCAAGGCUAUGUUGUUUUUUAUUGCACGGUUUGUGUCAUGGUAAUUUCUCAACCCUUCUCUGGAAAAUUAUGUUGGAUGGCUGCUAUUAAUUACCCCAAAAGAAGAAAUUUUAUGUUGAAGUAAGAUGAGUAGCACAAAGAGUUACUUGUGGUUGAUCCUAUCAUCAAAUGGGCGAUUGAUGCACAAUCCAAAUGGUAAAUUUUUUUCCCCCUUUAUCCAGAUGGAAUUUUUAUGCAUGGUUGAAUAGUGAAAUGAGGACUGAUAAUAUUUCAGGUUCAUGGGGGUUCAAUUGGAAUUGGUACCAUCUAUUCAAAUAGUGAAAUACUGAGGAGCAAGGGUAUUUGUUACAGCAGGUUUGCCAUCACUGUUCUACCUCAUCUCACAGAAUGCUUAUCUCAUGGCACCAAUUCCUUUUCUUCACAUGUUUUCAACCAUUUUUUCCACCCAGGAACGAGGAAAAAUUAGCUGUUUGUAAGGAUCAUUGAGCAGAUGUGUGCAUCAAUUACAAGACUGAAAACUUUGUUGCAUGGGUGAAGGAGGAAACAGGAGGGAAAGGUAUAAUCUAUUGUAUCUUAACGAUAAUUUCAAUUGAAGGUGGAAUUGCUUUUUAAUUUUUAGUGCACCAAAUCCACUAGUCUGGAAUGUUUGAAAAGAUAAAUAGUCAUCUUCCACUUGAUACCGAUUGUGAAGAUCUAACCCCAAAAAUGUUGAAUGACAGGUGUUGAUGUUAUACUGGAUAAUAUUGGAGGGGCCUACUUUUGGGGAGACAUCAAUGGUUUAAAUGUUGAUGGAAGGCUUUUUAUUAUUGGUUUUCAGGGUGGAACAGUGGUACAAGUAAAUCUUUCAGGUUUACUUGCAAGGCGCCUUACAGUGCAAGGUACCGCUUUCUCUGUAGUUUUGGAGUUGAAUCAAUUUGAUUAAUCUCAUCCAAGUUCAGAACUGAGGUGGAUUCUGGCAAGCCAAGGAAAAACCAAAUUACCAUAAAUUCUUUUUUUCUUGGAAAUCCUGUUUCUCAAUCUGGUCAGUAUAUGGAAAUUCCAAGGAAAAUAUGUUUUACAUUUUCCAUAAGGCUCAAUGGGUUUUAACUCCACUCAGCUACUUUAUGUCUUGUAUUUAAUAUUGCAAACCAAAAUAAUAAUACGUAGAGAUUGAGCUUGGAGGCCAAUCUAGCAAAUGUGGAGAUUAGAAAUAGUUUACCAUCUAGAUAGUCAAGCAUAGCAAUUUACCAAACCCUUACCAACCAUCCAUACUAACCAAUUGUGGUUAAAUGUUUACAAAAAUGUACAUUAAAUCAAAGAGAAAAAAGAUUAAAAACGAACAAGAGAGAAGAAGUACGUCACCUAAUUUUGGUAAUAAAUGAAAUUAAAAUAAAUUCAUAAAUUUUUUAAAUUAAAAUGAAUUUGAACUCUAGAGAUUUGUGUAGAUAUCUUAUUAAAAAACCAAAAAGUUUGUUGCAUAUAUAAUUUCAACAAUGCAUAAAUAAUUACAACAUACGCAAUACAAUAAUAUUACACAACUAUAUUUUCAAAUAUAGUAUAAGAUCAUUAAAGUGAUAAAUUGUAGUUGUAUAAAAUAUUUAUACAAGUAAAGAAGAAAUUAUGAGAUUGAAAUGCUUGUUGGAUUCUAAGUAAAAAGGAAAUGAGAUAUAGAGAUUGUCCCAUCAGACAUAGAAUUUCAUAUACAUAAUUUUCCCUUCAAGAAAAUUUAGGGUCAAAUUGAAAAAUUUUCAUUCAUAGAUUUUGGUAAAACCUCUAUCUAGUCCUCCAAAUCUUGUAUACAAAAGGAAAUAACAUUGGUAUGAGGGGUUUGAAUGCUUAAUUUUAGAUUGAAAAUGCUUGAGAUAAUUUUUGAUCGACUUCACAUGUGUUUUUGAUAAACUUGGAACAUUCAAACUUGUAUUUGAAGAAUCUUCAAAUCUUCAAUUUGAUCUUAAAUAAUGUUGAAACCUUCGAAAUUUGAAUAGAAGAAUCUUUAAGCAUUUGAAUUUUGGUUUAAAGAAUUUUGAAAUUUGAGAUUGAAGAAUCUUCAAAUUUGGGCCUGAAGAUCAAAGGCUAAGCUUGAAGAGUUCUUGAAGCUUGAGUGGUAUCUCCGAUUUUGUUUUGUAUUUCAUAAAAACUUUUAAGUAUACUAUAUUUAUAGGUUUGAAGAGACAUUGAGAUUUUGUAUACAUGUUUGGAGUUUUAAACCUUGAAAUAUUACUCUUUUAUGAAAUUAACAUUUAUAAAAUUUGGAAGAACAUAAUUAGAUAAUAUUCUAAGUUAUUUUUAAUGAAAAUUGAUAAUUACCUUUUAAUUAUCAAAUUCACUAUUUCUAUUUAUUUUUGUAAUAUAUAUUAAUUACUAAAAUCAUUUAUUUCCUUUAUUUAGUUUGAAAGCAAUUAUAUAUCUUUUGUUUGUGUAGAGCUCAUGUGACACGACAAAUUUUAUUUUGUAACUUGCUCUGGAUGAAUGGCCAUUAUAAACUUCAUUUUAUCCUCAUCUGAUUUUGAGGUGGGAAUAGGAGAGAUGAGGAUUUGACAUUUGGACCUAAGCCUCAGAGGGUUUUAACUCCACUCAACUACUUUAUGCCUUGUAUUUAAUAUUGCAAACCAAAAUAAUAACAGACAUGAUCCUUUUCAAAAUUUUUAUAAUAAUAGAAGUGUAAAUAAUAUAAGUAAAAAUAAUAUAAUAUUUUUUAAAAUGAUAAAAUAAUAGGUUAUAUAAAUUUUAAUAUAUAGGUAAAAUUAAUUAAAUUUUAACAAAUACCUUCACACUUAAACAUUACAUAUCUUUUAUUUAAUAAAAUGUUAAAAUAUUAAUAUAUUUAAAAUUGUAUAAUUAUUUUUUAUUUUAAUACUAUAUAAAUUAUAUAUUUAUGAUAUUACUGGUUCAACUAUAAUUCAAUCACUGAUCCAACCAUUGAACCAUGAAUUAGUAAAUUUUUUUAUUCAAUGAUAGGUUUGAUUCUAAAAAUAUUAUGACUAUGUUUGGUUCCAGAAAUUUUUUUUUGAUGGAUUACAUCAAUCUAGAUAAUGACAAAGAUAUUACCAAUUUGAUAUCACCAAUUGAUAACACAAUUAAAAAAUAAUAUGCAUUUUAACAUAUUUGAAUUCAUUGUACUCAUAUCCAUGACCUAAUUUUACACAUCCUUAAAUCAUGGUUGAUUUAUGAAACAAAUCUAUACCAUCAAUAGAAAAUAAAUAAAUAAAAUAAUACAAAAAAAUAUAUAGAUAGUCAAGCAUAGCAAUUUACCAAACCCUUAGCCACCAUCCAUACUAACCAAUUGUUGUUAAAUGUUUACAAAAAUAUACAUUAAAUCAAAGAGUAAAAAGAUUAAAAACGAACAAGAGAGAAGAAAUACAUCACCUAAUUUUUGUAAUAAAUGAAAUUAUAAUAAAUUCAUAAUUUUUUUAAAUUAAAAUAGAAAUUCAAAUACAUGUAACUAUUGUUUUUGUCUUGUAAAUCAUCCAAUUUUUCAAUGAAUUUAAACUCCACAUAUUUGUGUAGAUAUCUUAUUAAAAAAAACAAAAAGUUUUCACUAAAAUCAUAAAAUUUAGAUUAGAAAUGAUUUACUAUAUUAGUUCAAAAUUCAUCUCCACAAAAAUUGAAAUAAAUUAAUUAUCUUGAUCAAUUCAAAUAAAAUUUCUCCAAUUAAAUUUCCAAAUAUGUGCCUUAAUACCUAUAAUGGAAUUAGUAAUUUUAAUUAAAAAAUAAAUAAAAAUAAGGAUUUGAUCUUUUUCUUACCAUUUGAUGAAAAUUAUAAAAUAUACUAAAAUGACAAGUGAUCAGACAUUUGAAAUUUGCAUCAUUUCUACCAUUGCAAACACCACCAACUCCAUAUUUCCCAUUUUUCUACCUACUGCCAAUUCACUCAUCUCUCUGGGAAGAUUUUUGAGGUUAUCGCCAUGCUUGAGAUAAUCCAGAAAGUUGAGCGGCAUCACUCUCUGAAAGGUGCCUUACAGCAUGGGUAAUGUAUGGGAUACAUCUGAUAGCUUGCCAUAUCCAUAAACCACUAUAUUAAACCAUGGUUCAUAUCCCCAACGCCACACGAGAAUCUGUACUCAUCCCAAGCAGCUUGGAGAUCAUAAAAUUAGGUUUUGAGGGCCUCCCGAGACAUGCACAGCUUCACCUUUGUGCAUUCCUUUGAUUUGGAAAAUUUCUUCUGUAAAAUCCCCCAUUAUCAUGCCCUGAACCAAGACAAUUUCACAAUAUCCAAUAGCAUAUCAUUUACUUCCAUUUUGUCAAUGGGAAUUACCAUUUUGCAUGGGAAGCACCAACGGAGAUAGGGGUUUUCAAAUUGGAUCACUAGCAAAGAAACCCACCGCAACGAUCUGAAUAAUUGAGCACAACAUCCACUUUAGAGAACCCCUCCUGAAGGCGAAAUCGUCAUCUUGGCUAAACGUAGUCAUAGUUGGGUUGUGAGAAAUGGAGAUGAAUCACAGAAGGCUUUCAGUUUGAUAGCAACGAAAAGGUAAAUGUACUCUAGAGAAGUUUUGACCUUGGGAGAAGCGCUUUUGAAUCCAAGUCAAGGUCUGUUCUGGAUCCCUUUUCGACUCUCUCUAUUAAAGGAAGAUAAUCUGCCCAGGAUUUGGAUGCAAGCCUACAAGGCCAUGUUUAGGAGACUUAUGCAAAAUAUUUAUCCAUAGCUCCCCGCCUGAAACAUCUACAUAAAGCGUCUUCCAAGUGUGAACCAUCGUCUUGGGUCCUUGAGAUGAACAAAAACUGAGACAUGUCGUGAGUUAGAUGCAUUGCCUGAAAAUGCCGAGCAGUAGUAUGGCCUUCUUUCUGAUCAACUGUUUUGUCAAAUUCUAGAGCUCUCAUUCCAAAUCCAUCAGUUUUCUCAAAUGAUUGGCCAGUGGAGAUCCAUGGAUAUAACAUAUGAAAUGUGCACAAUAAAAGUAAUCAAACGGUUGGUUGGUUUGGCUGAAUCCCACAAUCGCAAAGACUUAUCAUAUGAAACUGUUACCAACUGAGUUGAAUUUGGCCUAAAAAGGAUAUCCGUUACUACAAACUAGCGUUCUUUCGUGGUGCUCUCUCUUUGCAGGCUAUCCAUGUUCCAAAGAAAAACUCUCUUGUCAUGUCUGGCACUGGGCACUGAUUAGAGUGUGGGACGUUCAUUCUCCAUUAUCACCAAACACAUGCAGGAUAUAUAUAUAUCAAUUCAUUCAAAAUAUGCCUUUAUUUUAUGGAACAUACCCGAAUCCAUUUUGUUUGUGUUGAAGAGGUAUAGAUCUUCUAAGGCUAUGGAGGGCACCACCUUUUCUCAGAAUUCUCUCUGACGAUGGGAAGCCGAAGAGAACGGGUUUUGUUUUUAUUUUGAAAACGUUGUUAUCCUUAAAGAACAAACACUAUUCUUUGGAUUUAUACCCUCCUACCUUAGGGACCAUACCGUUUGGCUACUGGGCCUCACGAGUCUUAGGCCCAUCAUCUAAGGCCCGUGAUGGCACUGGGCUCUACACAUAAGGUGGCCCAUACUCUAGAACGAAUAGAAAUCAUAUGUAUAUAUAUGGAUAGCUAAAUCCUGAAUAAUGGUUAAUAUGAUGUCGGUCCACAUUUAUUCUAUCAAUCUCCCACUUGGACCACAUAUAUUACAAAACAAUGUUCAUGAUAGUACUUUAUUGAGCUCAUCUUUGCUAUCCUAUCUUAAUAUCCUUAAACAAUCUGGUCUACUAGUUAUGCUAACAUAGGAUCAAAGUGGCCUUCAUUAAUCAUAAUUAUAACUAGACCCAUCAAUGAUCACAACAUUAACAAAAUUAGCAACAUAGAUCAAGUAUGGAUGUGUAGCAUGAAAAUUACAUAAAAUGUGAUCUUUAUUAUGUCUAUUUCCAAUUGGUCCUACUUUAUGACUAAAAAAUAGUCAAAUUCCACUUUCAACACUUGAUGCUAAACUGCUUCUGAAAGUCAUCAUUUCAAUUCAGAGAAUUCAAAUACAAUAGUCUUUAAAAUCAAGGUUUGUUGCGUACAUUAUUGGAAUGUUCAGCAAAUAUUUGAGUAACCCAAGUAUGGAUUACUGGAAAAAGGCAAAAUAGGUUAUGCGGUAUUUACAAAGAACUAAAGAUUAUAUGCUCACAUACCGUAGAUCCAGUCAUUUAGAGAUCAUGGGAUAUUCGGACUCCGAUUUCGCGGGAUGUCUUGACAACAAGAGAUCCACUUCAAGCUUCAUCUUCAUGUUGGCUAGAUGAACAGUUUCAUGGAAAAGUGUUAAACAAAUACUUAUUGCUUCUUUCACCAUGGAGGCAGAAUUCAUAGCCUACUACAAAGCAUCAAACCAUGGGAUAUGACUGCGGAAUUUUGUCACUCAGUUGCGAAUCGUUGAUGAGAUUGAGAAAUCAUUAAGAAUAAAUUGUGAUAAUAAAGCCAUAGAAUUGUAAUUCUAAGAACAACCGAAGUUCGUCAAAGUCCAAACACAUUGACAUCAAGUUCUUGGUUGUGAAAGAAAGAGUUUAGAGUCUUCAAGUAUCAAUUGAACAUACAAGCACAAACUCCAUGAUUGCGGAUCCGCUCACUAAGGGUUUGCCACCCAAAGUAUAUCAUGAGCAUGUCACACAUAUGGGUGUUGUACAUAUUGAUGAUGUUCCAGUAUAGUGGGAGUUUGUAUUUAGAUUUUGUGUUUGUUUUCUUGAUAUGAUGUUAUAUUGUGUUAUCGUGUACAAACUUGUGCAUACAUGAGACUUCCUAUUGUUGAGGCAUAGGGAAACCUCUUCAUAUCCUUCUUUUUAAGUUCAUUUUUCGGACAUUGGUGCAAACUAAAUUUAUCGCCUUUUGCUACAGGCAUGUCUCCUGGUGUACAAUUGCUCAUGCCAAAUCUACUCAACACCUUAUCGAUGUAGGCCUUUUGUGAUAACCCAAGUAUACCUCUUAAACGAUCCCUAUAGAUCUGUAUACCUAGCAAAAAAGAUGCAUUACCAAGAUCCUUCAUGUCAAAUUUACUAGACAAAAAUAGCUUAGUUUCAUGCAAAAGUCCCACAUCACUACUUGCAAGUAGAAUAUCAUCAACAUAUAGCACCAAGAUAAUGAAUUUGCUCCCACUAAACUUGAGAUAUAUGCAUUGAUCAAUGGUGUUUUCCUUAAAACCAAAUGAAGUAAUCACCUGAUUAAACUUUUGGUACCAUUGUCAAGAUGCUUGCUUUAAACCAUAUAUGGACCUUUUUAAUCUGCAUACAAGUUGCUUUAAAUCAUUAGACUCAAAGUUCUCCGGUUGCAUCAUGAAUAUUGUUUCAUCAAUGUUACCAUUAAGAAACGCAGUUUUAACGUCCAUUUGAUGCAACUCUAAAUCAUAAUGAGCCACAAGUGCCAUGAUGAUUCUAAAGGAGUCAUUUGACAAAACCGAUGAAAAAAUCUCCUUAUAAUCAAUGUCUUCCUUUUGAGUGAAACCUUUUGCGACUAGACGUGCCUUAUACCUAACAAUGUUGCCUUUUGAAUCCCACUUGGUCUUAAAAAUCCAUUUACAACCAAUCGAUUUUACACUUUCAGGCAACUUUACUAGGUCCCAAACACCAUUAUCUUUCAUUGAUUUCAUCUCAUCUUUUAUGGCUUCUAUCCACUUUUCAGAGUCAGAACUUUGUUUGACUUGACUAACUGAAAUUGGAUCAUCUUCCAAACCCAUGUCAAACUCUUGUUCCUGGAGAUGUACAACAUAAUCAUCUGAAAUUGUACUUCUCAUUUCUCUAGUGGAUCUCCUUAGUGGCACUUGUAUUUGAGGUUCUUGAGGCUGUUGAGUUACCUCUUCAUAAACUUGAACCGGUUCCAUAACUUGAGCAGGAGGAAUCUCAAGUGUGUUUUGAAUCUCUGUUAUUGAUUGUACAAUCUGGAUAGUGUCAUCAAACAUAAUAUGACCAUGUCCAGUCGUAAUAAUAGGAAUACUAACAGAUUCCUCUUCAAAUACCACAUUUCUUAACGGUUCUCUCCCAUUUAACUCAACAUCCUCAAUAAAUUUAGCUUUGCCCGUUUCAAAAAAGGAUCUAGUUGAGGGGUCAUAAAACUUGAAACCUCUCAACCUUUUAGAAUAUCCUACAAAGUAGCAGCUCACUAUUCUAGAGUCCAAUUUCUUUUCAUUUGGUUUUUAAGGCCUAUCUUCAGCUGGACAACCCUAGACAUGCAAGUGCCUAAUACUAGGUUUCUUGCUAGUUCAUAACUCAUAUGAGGUUUUGGCUACUGCUUUGCUUGAGACUCUAUUCAAAAUAUAAAUUGUUGUUUUGAUGGCUUCGCCCUAAAGUGAUUCUGGUAAGGUGGAAUGACUGAUCAUACUUCUUACCAUAUCCUUAAGAGUACGAUUUCGCCUAUCUGCUACACCAUUUUGGAUUGGAGUCCCCAGCAUGGUGUAUUGAGGAACGAUACCACACUCCAUCAAAUAUUUGGCGAACAGCCCUGGACGUUGUUCACUAGAUCCGUCAUAUCUACCAUAAUAUUCACCUCCACGGUCAGAUCUGACGACCUUUAUUUUCUUGCUUAGUUGGUUCUCAACUUUAGCUUUGAAAUUCUUGAACACAUCUAAUGAUUGAGACUUCUCAUGAAUCAAAUAAAGAUAGCCAUAGCGCGAGUAAUCGUCAAUGAAAGUGAUAAAAUAUUAUUGUCCAUUCCAAGAAGGGGUAGGAGAUGGACCACAAAUGUCCGUAUGUAUCAAUUCAAAGACGUCACUGCACUUGUUAACAUCAUUUUUUUUCUCAUAUUUGUUUGUUUACCCUUAAUAUACUCUAUACAGACUCGAAAGUAUAAGAAAUUAAGUGGAUCAAGAAUUCAUUCUGACACAAGCCUUUGAAUACGUUGAUUUGAAAUAUGACCCAAAUGCCUGUGCCAUAACAUCGAUGAAUUCUCAUUUGUUAAUUUCCGUUUAAUGUCAUAAUUACUUGAAUUCAAGGUUUCAUUUUCAUUAGUGGUCUUUAUGUUUAAUUUGUAUAAUUUGUCUGUUAGAUUACCUGUACCAAUAACAUUUGAAUUUAGAUAAAGACUAACCAUUCCAUUUCUAAAUGAACAAUAAUAUCCAAAGUACAUCCAGAGUCUAACUGUAAUCUAAAAAGACCAAUAGUCUUGACUGCAACCUUGUUGCCAUUUCCCGCAUAGAUGUAUCUUUCACCAUCAAUUGGCAUUCGGCUCCUUAGGCAACCCUACAUCGUGACACUUAUGUGAGUAGUUGCACCCGUAUCUAUCCACCAAGUGUCAGUAGGCACUACGACUAAAUUAAUUUAUGAACAAACAAAGUUGAGAAGUGUACCUUUCUUUUCACGCCAAGCAGCGUAUUUGGUACAUGUCUCUUCAUAUGACCAACCUUCUUGCAAAAGAAACAAGUCAUCUCCUUAUCUUGUUUCUUCUACACCUUUUGCAUUGAUGUCCCAAAAAUUGCAGUUUGUUUUUCUUUAUUGUCCCUUUUUCUUUUCUUGUUGGUACCAAAUCCCUGAGAUGUGGAAGCCAAGUGAGCACUUUCUAUCUUUUCUUGUUUCAAUCUCUCAUCCUUUUGUGCACAUUGAGCAAUAAGCUCAUUCAAAGUCCAUUUUUCUUUUUGUGUGUUGUAACUGAUUUGGAAUGGACUGAAUUGUGUAGGCAGAGAGAUCAAGACCAAGUGCACGAGUAUGUCUUCUGAAAACUCUAAUUUUAGUACCUUUAGUCUAGUCACAAGAUUAGACAUUUCCAUAAUAUACUCCCUUAUAUUCUCUUUCCCUUUGUACCGCAUAGAGACAAGCUUACUAAGAAUAGUGCUUGUCUCAACCUUUUCAUUUGUAGUGAAUCGGUUUGCUAUCUGGUCUAAGAAUGCCUUGGCUCGAGUUUUCUCAGGUAUUGCACUUCUUACAGCUUUUGGAAUUGAGUGCUUUGUUAUCAUUAGAGUCAUGCGAUUGGAUCGCUCCCAUUUUUCCAUAGUAGAACUUUGCUCAGCAGUGCUGGCACUAGUAAGAUCUGGAGGGCGAUCCUCUCUUAAUGCAUAGUCUAAAUCCAUGCACCCGAGCACAAUUAUAGCGUGUUUCUUCCAUUUCUUGAAGUUUGUGCCAUUAAGUGCAGGAAUGUUAUUAACAUUUGCAGAUAUAGAAUAUGUUGAAUUCAUAAUAAUAAAGCUCACAAUCAGUCACAUAAAUAUCAUACAUACAUGAAAAAUAACAUCAUACAAGAUACUUAGCACAAACAUUAAUAUUCUGUCUUUGGACAAUAAAUAUUAACUUGUAAUUGGUAUCCUUAUUCAAAAUUAUUCAUAAAUAUUGACAAUAAAACCAAAAACAAUAUGCUUGUCUUUAGACUAACAUAUCGAAUGCAAGAUAAACUUUAUAUGUCACAUAUUUAUGACUACUUUAUUUAUUAUUAUAUUAAAAUAAUCUUCCUUUGGGCCAAUUAUUUUAAAUAAUAAUAAUAACAUGUUUAGAUAUUAUAAAAUAAAUAAAUUAUAUAAUAUAAGUUACUUUGACAACUAACAUACAUAAUUCAUUUAUUUUAAAAUAUUAAACACAAACAUAACAAGAAAUAAUAAAUUCAAUUAAAAUUAUUUAUUUAUUUAUGCAUAAACCCAUGUAUAUAUAUAUAUAUAUAUAUUAAUUGAAGCAUAAAAAACCAUCUACAUGUGUAUAUAUAUCAAUUGAAGCAUAUAUACAAGCUUUAGUCUAAUGGUUUAAGCAAAAAAUAGGCCAUGGUAAAGGGUUUAAGCCAACCCGCCCCUUUAGUUUGGUUUUUGUUUUUUUUUUUUUGUUUUAAUUUCUUUUGGGCUACUGACCAUGCAUUCUCUCAUGGCCCAACGACCACUUAUGGUCACUUACAAGCCAAGCCCCUUCCAUAUAUAUAUAUAUAUAUAUAUGUUUUUAUUUAUUUAUUUAAAUUUUGUCCAUUGCAGCCCAAAGCGACCAUCCCUUGUAAUGGCAUCAUCAACGGUGCCAGAGCUGUCCUCGAACGACACCGAUAGUGAAACGCUGCCACCAUCACCGGAACGGUGAUUUCCCAUCGCCAAACGACGGUGUCACUACCGGAAUGAUGCUGUAACAGCAUCGCUGGGAAGCAACCUAACUUGUGGCGUGACACCAUGACAAGCAAUGCCACUAGCAGUGAAACGCUGUCGCCAUCACCGAAACGGUGAUUUUCCAUUGCCAAACAAUGGCGCCACCACCGGAACAACGUUGAAACAACAUCACUGGGAAGCAGCCCUACCCGUGGCACCAAAAUGGCGCUUGGAUGGCAUUUGGAACACUUGCAACAACGUUCAAAUCAGCGCUUCUCACUGGCAAAUGACGCUUGAACGACAUCUGGAAAUAAUGCCUACAACGCCUAAAAAUUGUGCUAUUUUGAACUCUUAAAACAACGUUGAAAUGACGUCUACCAAAGUCUGGAAUUGCACCGCUGUCUAGAACGAUGCCAUGAUGGUGUCUCACUCGCCUUAAAUGGCACCAACCACCAUGACUUGCAACCUAAAAAAUGGCACUUGAACAGCGCCUGAAGCGUGCCUGGAACGACGCUACAAACGAUGCCUGAAAUGGUGCCUUUUGUAUGCCUGAAAACGACAUAGGAAUGACGCUUAAACUACGUCCAUUUUGAACGCCUGAACGGUGUCCUAACGGCGCCUGAAACGAUGCCUGAAUGACGCCUGGAAUUGGCCCAGAUUUAUUUUAUGUUGUUUCCUUCCUCUUGGAUCUUUUGUUUGUGUUUUAAAAAAAAAAAUGUUUUGGUGAAAAUGGGAAAUGCAACCAGGCUCUGAUACCAUUUUGUGGGACGUUCAUUCUCCAUUAUCAUCGAACACAUGCAAGAUAUAUUUAUAUAUAUCUAUCAAUUCAUUCAAAAUAUGCCUUCAUUUUAUGGAACAUACCCGAAUCCAUUUUGUUUGUGUUGAAGAGGUACAGAUCUUCUAAGGCUAUGGGGGGUACCACCUUUUCUUAGAAUUCUCUAUGACGAUGGGAAGCCAGAGAGAACAAGUUCUAUUUUUAUUUUGAAAACGUUGUUAUCCUUAAAGAACAAACACUAUUAUUUGGAUUUAUACUCUCCUACCUUAGGGACCAUACCCUUUGGCUAUUGGGCCUCACGAGUCUUAGGCCCAUCAUCUAAGGCUCGUUAUAGCACUAGGCUCUACACAUAAGGUGGCCCAUACUCUGGAAAGAAUAGAAAUCAUAUGUAUAUAUAUGGAUAGCUAAAUCAUGAACAAUGGUUAAUAUGAUGUCGGUUCACAUUUAUUAUAUCAUAGAGACUUCCCAUAUGAAGAAAAUCGACAGCAGGUAGCUUUGCCAUUCUUAGUCUGUAUACAACCAACCUUAGCAAGGAUUGAACCCUUUUAUGCUUAGUUGUGCCAUAAAGAUCCUUACCACUGCCUAUAACAUGUAAUCAAAAUGAUUCGAUAAUAUCAUCUAGUGAACCAAUACCUCCAAAUGAGAGACCAUUGCCUUGGUAACUAGGGCUCAUGACUGAGAAUUGCUUGAACCCCUUUGCUUGGGUUGGAGCUUGACUGAUGCACAAAAUAUUCAUAGGCCUCUUCCCAUAACUGGCACCUUGUGUUUGCAACAUAAUUGAACAUGUAUUGAAGUGAGUUUUUUUGCAUCUUUUUGUAAGAAAAUUCUAAACAACAGAGAUUGCUUAGUGUGCCCGGCUCCUCGGGGAAUCAAGGUUCAUUCCUGUAGGGCCAAUUUUUUCACAGUCGAACUAGAUAACAUGGAGAGUAUGUUGCAAUGCUUCAACGGGGUAUUUCUUAGGAAAAUCCACCUGAAGCUAGUACAAUUCGUUGGCGUACUGAGUUCCUGGAGCUCUAUUGACUUCAAUCACCCAUCUUUGUAGAUUAUCGGUGACUUAUGCUCGGAUCCUGUAGGAGGAUUGACCUGACAUUCCACUAGCUCUUUCUGGAAGGCGAUCUUGUUUAACACCUUGUGAGAAGAGGCAAGGGAACUGGUCAUUGUUUCUUCGAGAAGAUCAGUGGCCGAGGAUGGGUUUGGAUCAGAAUUGCUAUAUGGGUUUUCUUUGGGUGAACCAAUUAGUGAAGUGGGUGGCUAUAUAGCAACUGAAGGGUAGUCAUACUAACGAGGAACUAUUAUUUCAUGCAUGUGGAGAGGAAAUGAGUAGAUUCUUCAGGGAUAUAUGAUUAUUCAUCUCUAGCUUACGUUGAAUAUCUCCUAACAAAUUUAUGCUUUGAAGCUCCCUUAGUUUCAUUACAGCUAACUUGGCCAACUUGGUUUCAUCAUGUUUCCUACAACCUCUAAGCAAAGCACGCCAGAUCACCAAAUCAGGUUCUAUUCGCAUUUUGUCCAUAAACUCCUUUGCCUAUUGACAAUAGACUGCCCCUCAAAAUUUGAUGAGAUAACAUCAACGCUGACAGGUUGGCCAUCCCCAUAAGCAUCUUUAUAGAGAUUGAUUCUAUGUUUAGAUAUUUCUCUCUCCUCAAGUGAGUUCAAUUUUUUUGUAACAUCCUUCUCCUUCUCUACUAAUAGUCUUAGCUGAACAUCCAACCUAUGUUCCUAAAGUGCCAGCAUCUCAUAUCUGAUGACAAGCCAACAACCUUGCCCUUGCUGAGACCAAUGUUUUUAAGGCGUUUGUGGGGCGCGCCUUGAGGCGAGGCGCAGCGAAAACGUGUUGAGGCGUUAAAAAUAAAAUGAAACACCUGAAAGGCGUACGCUUUUCCGAUGAGGCGUGAUUGAGGCGUGCUUUGAUCGCGCCUUUCACACUCCAAGAAGAAGGUGUAUGCUUCCUCGGAUCUGAUGUGGCAAUGAACAGAGAUUUAAAAAAAAACCCUAAGUAAUCCCUAAAACCCUAGUCCCGACUGAAAACAAACCCAAAACGAAACCCUACCUCCAACGACUCAAGUGGCGACGGAGUGCUCACCCUCGGCUGCGACCAAUCGCAAUGCAUCUUCUCCGGCGACGAUCCCUCUCAUUCAUCUCCAGGUAUGUUGCGAACUCCUUCUUCCAUGGUUUCUCCCUCUUCGUUUCUCUUUCUGCAAUCCACACGGGCUUCGUCGACUCUUCAUCCAAAUUUUUUUUUUAUCAAAUCAGUUAUGUAUAUCUAUUUAAAUUUUAAACCCUUUUUUCUCUCUCUUACAGUAUAUCUAUUUAAAUUCUUUCUCGGCAAUCCACAGCCCACACUUCCAGUCCACACUUUUCUCUCUCUCCCAAUAGGCUUUUCAUUUUCCUUUUUUUUUUUUUUUUUUUUUUAAAUUAUCAAAUCAAAUGUGCCUUUUGUUAAUAAGAUUUUUUUUGAAGUUUUUUAUAUGUUUGCUUAUAGUAUCAACAAAAAAAUAUAAUUAAAAUUAUAUAAAAGACAAUUAUUUGUGAAUUUUGAAUUUUUUAUUUCUGGUUUAAUUUUAAUUUUCACCUCAAUUUUCUUUAUUUCAUUAUUAAAUUCCAAUUAAAAUUUAUGUGUAUAAUUUUUAAACUCUUUUAAAAAAAAUUGGUUUUUUUUUAAUUUAAACCAAUUAAAUUUUGUAUUUCAUUUUUAAAUUUCUUUCAAUUGUGCUUUGUUAUUAUUUUUUUAGUCAAUUAUAUUGUUAUAUGGAAAUUUGAAUAUUAUUAUUGGUGAUUUUUUUUAGAAUGAGUUCCUCUGAUUCAAAAAAUUCAAGAAAGGAUUUUGUGUGGAAGUAUGUGAUGGAAGUUUCUAGAGAGCAAUAUUUAAUAUGUAAAUUUUGCAAUCAAAGAUGUACGGGAAGGGUGAAUAGACUAAAACAUCACUUAGCCGGAACUCAUCAUGGUAUGAAACCAUGCAACAAAGUUAGUGAAGAUGCUAGAUUGGAAUGUAAAGAGGUAUUGGCUAAUUUUAAGGAUCAAAAAACGAAGAGAAAUGAAUUGCUCCAAGAAAUUGGUAUGGGUCCAACUUCAAUGCAUGAAAGUGCCUUGUCUAAAAUAAUAGGGACAUUAGGGAGUGGGAGUGGGAGUGUAAGUGGGAGUGGGGAACCUAUUCCUAGGGGACCCAUGGAUAAAUUUACCACUUCACAACCUAGACAAAGUACUUUGAAUUCAUAGUGGAAGCAAGAAGAAAGGAAGGAAGUGUGUAGAAAAAUUGGUAGGUUUAUGUAUUCAAAAGGUCUCCCAUUCAACACUGUGAAUGAUCCUUAUUGGUUUCCUAUGAUAGAUGUUGUUGCAAACUUUGGGCCCGGGUUUAAGCCUCCAUCUAUGCAUGAAUUGAGGACAUGGAUUCUUAAAGAAGAGGUGAAUGACCUAAGUAUCAUUAUGGAAGAUCACAAAAAAGCUUGGAAACAAUAUGGAUGUUUAAUUAUGUCAGAUGGUUGGACAGAUGGAAAAAGUAGGUGUCUUAUCAAUUUUUUGGUGAAUAGUCCUGCUGGAACUUGGUUUAUGAAAUCAAUUGAUGCUUCUGAUACAAUAAAAAAUGGGGAAUUGAUGUUCAAAUAUCUUGAUGAGGUGGUUGAAGAAAUUGGAGAGGAGAAUGUUGUGCAAGUCAUCACUGAUAAUGCCUCUAAUUAUGUGAAUGCUGGAAUGAGGCUUAUGGAAAAAAAGAGUAGAUUGUGGUGGACUCCUUGUGCUGCUCAUUGCAUUGAUUUGAUGUUAGAGGAUAUUGGAAAGCUAAAUGUUCAUGCUACUACACUUUCUCGAGCUAGGCAAGUUGUGAAGUUUAUAUAUGGGCAUACUUGGGUUCUUAGCUUGAUGAGAACAUUUACAAAAAAUCAUGAACUUAUUCGUCCAGCAAUUACACGGUUUGCUACUGCAUUUCUUACUCUCCAAAGUCUUUAUAAGCAAAAGCAAGCUCUUAUAGCAAUGUUCUCCUCAGAAAAAUGGUGUUCAAGCACAUGGGCUAAAAAGGUAGAAGGUGUGAAAACUCGAAGUACAGUGUUGUUUGAUCCAAAUUUUUGGCUUCAUGUUGCUUUUUGCAUAAAGACCACUGUUCCAUUAGUUAGUGUCUUGAGAGAGGUUGAUUCAGAGGAAAGACCAGCCAUGUGUUAUAUUUAUGAGUUGAUGGAUUUAGUUAAGAAGAAGAUUGCAUUUAAUUGUCGGGGCAUGGAGAGAAAAUAUGACCCAAUUUGGAGAAAAAUUGAUGCAAGAUGGACUCCGCAACUUCAUCGACCUUUACAUGCAGCAGACUAUUAUCUUAAUCCUCAAUUGCGGUAUGGAGAUAAGUUCUCUAAUGUUGAUGAGGUGAGGAAGGGAUUAUUUGAAUGCAUGGAUAGAAUGUUGGAUUAUCAAGAACGUUUAAAAGCUGACAUUCAGUUGGACUCAUAUGACCAAGCAAUGGGUGAAUUUGGGAGUCGUAUUGCAAUUGAUUCUCGAACAUUAAGAAGUCCUACAAGUUGGUGGAUGCGUUUUGGGGGUUCAACACCGGAGUUGCAAAAGUUUGCUAUUCGAGUCCUUAGCCUUACUUGUAGUGCUUCGGGAUGUGAAAGAAAUUGGAGCACAUUUGAAUCGGUAAUACUUCUAUUUUUGUAAAUUUUUAUACAUAUAUUUCUAUUUCAAUGUUAGAGAACUUUAUUUCAUUUUAACACAUAAAAUUGUUUCUUUUAUUAUUUGUAGAUCCAUACAAAAAAAAGAAAUAGACUUGAACAUCAAAAGUUGAAUGCUCUAGUGUAUGUAAGGUACAACACUAGAUUGAGAGAGUGAAGUCUACAAAGGAAACAAAAUGUUGAUCCAACCUUGGUAGAGGAGAUUGAUUCUGAUGAUGAAUGGAUUGCGGAGAAAGAAGAUCUCCUCCUCCCCCUUGAUCUUUGUUGGCUUCAAGAUAAUGAAUUAUUCAAUGUUGAUGCCAUUAGAGUUGUGUCAUCCAACUCCCAAGAGACGCAAGCAUCAUCGGAUCAUAUGGUUUCUUCACAUUCCUACAAAAGGAAACAUAAUGAAGUACCAAGUAAGUACUCAAAAAUUGAAAUCAUAAAUUUGAUUAAAUUUAAUAAAAAAAACUUUUAAUAUUUAAACAUAAUUAAUACUUUAUGCUAGGUACAAGUGGAGGCAAAGGCAAAGAGAAGGAAUUGAAUUUGACACCAAUUGAUGAAGAUGAAGAUUUAGAUGAAAUGGGGAUACAUGAUAGUGGACAUUUUCCUACUAUUGAUACAUUGGAUGAGGAUGAUGAUGACCUUGGAGAGGAGGAUUUAAGUUGAAACAAUUUACUCUAGUUGUUAUUUCAUGACUUAGUUAUGGAUUUUUUGUAAAAGUUUAGAACUAUUAUUAUGGUUGACUCUAUUUUCUAUUUCAUGACUUAGUUAUGGCUUUUUGUUAAAGUUUGAAACUAUUAGUAUAGUUGAAUCUAUAAUCUAUUUUAUGAAUUUGUUAUGGUUUUUUGUGAAAGUAAGGAACUAGUAUGUUUUUUUUUAUGAUUCUAAUGAAUUGUUUUCAUGUUUUUAUUUAUGCUAUUUUAUUUUAUAUAUUUUAAAAUAUUAAUUAAUUAUAUAAUGUGAGGCUCAAAAAGCUUACGCCUCAAUGCCUCGAGGCUUACGCCUCGCCUCACGAACACAAAAACGCCUCGCCUUACGCUUUCGCCUUUAAAAACUUUGGCUGAGACCCAAAUAAGUAUCCAGAACCAUCAUCAUCAACCCUUUCACAAGCCUUUGUAUUUGAAGGUCAGAUUGGGAUUGCUUUGAAUGCACUGACACUGACACUGCAAUACACAAUUGUUUCUUCUCCAAUAAAAACACCACAAAGAGGUGAGGGGACUGGUAUUAGCAAAGAAGUGUUGUUAUCUAUAUUGUUCUGAGCCCGAGUACCAAAAACAAAAUCCUCAUCCUCAUCUAUACUCUUCCAUUACAUCCCUAGGCUUUUCAAUGUGAUCCACAUGGCUUACAGGAAUCCAGAAAUAUCGGUCUGUAUAAAAGUUGCUCUUAUGUGGCUCUCCUAGAAAACAUCCCAAUCAAGAUGAUCAACCUAGCUUAGAUGCUCAACACCCCAAACUUACGAGAAAUAGAGGAAUAAAAAGCAAGGAUAGGAGCCAAAGUAAAAACUGAGGGAAGAGCAAAUAGGAAAUCAAGCAAAACAUGAAUGUACAGAGCCUCAUUUCAGGUGACAUCUUUGGGCUAAUAAUAGGUGGAAUUAACAAAGUAGAUAAGCAUGAUUGUUAUAAAUAUCAAGUUCAAGGAUGAAGUCGUGCAUCAGCUACUUAUAGGGGGAGUCAAGGAAACCAAGAUAAGAUCAAAGAGAGCAUGUAUGCAAAUAAACAGAUUUGACAAAAUAGACCAAACAGCUUGUGAAUAUCCUCCUACAAAAAACUACUACACGUGGCAAAAAGUGAUGAAGCAAAAAGAGUCGGGUCCGCAUAUACAUAUCCUAUGCUAUCCUAUUCCUUCAAAUCCAAAGCAACCUGUAUUUUCAAUGGGAUUUGUUGUGAUGAAUUUUACUGGAUUGUAACAUGUAAAUAUGUUAAAAAAGGCUUGGGACAUUCCUAUAUAGUAACGCAUAAAGGUACUUCCAUUGUGAAGUUGUCAAAAUUGCAAAUUUAAAUUACAAAAUUUGAAAACAUAGAGAUGAAAGAUGAUGAAACCUUCUUUGAAAUUUUAUAUUGAACUCAUUAAUAUUAUUAAUUUUCAUUUCAGUCUAAGGGAAAGAAUUCUUUACUCUAAAGUGGUCACAAAAAUAUUAAAAUUCCUUGUCGAGAGAUUUAGAUCUAAAGUGAUCAAUAUAGAAGAAAGUAAAAAUAUUCUAAGUGUAGGUAAACUUGUAGACUCAAAUGACUCUACCUUCUCAUAAAAAAUCCUCAAUUUUAUAAAUUAUAUAGAUUUCUUCAUUUGAUACAAAAUUUGAAUAAAGAUUUUUCAAAUGACAACACAAGGAAAGGGAAAAAAAAAAUCUAUCCAGAUCAUAUUAUUUAAUCACUUAAAUUAUUUAAAAAUAAAAAUGUUUACUGCUAACAUUAUUUAGGUUCAUCUUUCUUUUGAUGGAGGUUAAAAUUCAUAAUUUUGAGGAAAAAGAUGAGGAUUCUCAUUUUUUUUUUCCAUGUAUGAAUGGGAUUCUCAUUGUGUAUAUGUGGGUUACUAAAUGGCAAAUUUGGGGGCCAAUAUGAGGGAAAAAAUGAAGUUGAGUUUGUCACCAAGAAUAGACAUGGUUCCUACAAAGGUGGCAUCUUUAAUUUCAUGUUUGGAUUGGACUUGUCAUGUAACAACUUAACAAGUGAAAUCCCUCAUGAACUUGGAAUGUUAAGUUUGAUUCAUGCAUUGAACUUGUCUCGUAAUCAACUAAAAGGCUCCAUUUCAAAGAGUUUUUGCAAUCUUUCUCAAAUAGAGAGCUUAGACCUUUUUAAUAAUAAACUAAGUGGAAAAAUUCCUCCAAAAUUGGUUAGACUAAACUUUUUAGCAGUGUUCAAUGUUAGCAUAUUCGGAAGAGUUUUAGAUAUGAAUGCAUAAUUUGCAAAAUUUGAUGAAAGUAACUAUGAAGCUAAUCCUUUCCUUUGUGGACCACCAUUAAACAGAAAAUGUAGCAUAAAUGUUGUUGAACCACCUUACCAACCAUUAGAGUCUUCAGAAGAAAGUGAUGCAAAAUGGUAUAAUAUCAAUCUUGUUAUUUUCUUUGCAAAUUUUACUACAUCAUAUAUCAUGAUAUUAUUAGGAAUUUCAACCAUUCUUUACAUUAACCCUUAUUGGUGUCAAAUAUGGUUCAAUUUUAUCGAGAAAUAUAUAUACUUUUGCUAUUAUUUUGUUUCCUAUACUCUUUCCAAGUUAUUAACAUAUUUUGAAUAAUUAGAGAUUUUUGUUUUCAAUAAUAUUUACAUAAUUAACUACUAUUGGUUUCCAUGACAUGGAAAGAAAUGCGGUGAAGGCAACAACCACUUUUUUUUCUCCUCUACUAGUGCAUGAUUGAUAUGAGUUAAAACUUGCACCCUUAUCUUUACUUAAAUUUUCUCAGCUUUUGUUUCAAUUCUUAAUUAUCAUUUCUUUUAUGUAUUGUUUAAUACAAUAUCCUAAACACAUUGCUUUGAAGGUUACUUAUUUAUUAAGCAUGAUAUUUAUUUUCAUAAAGACAAAUUCAAGUUUUUUAGGAAUUUUUAGAAUUAUUAUAAUUUGGAGUUCACAUUAGAGGAAAAAAAGGAAAGAAAAGAAUAGAUAAUUAAAAAAACAAUUUUAGUAAGUAUAAUUUGUCAUCUUCGGUAUAACAAAUGGGAAUUCCAAAAUAAUAUUUCAAUUUGUUAGUCUAUUCCUUAUAAUAUUAAUUGAAAUAUCAAAUAAGGAGUCACGUUUUGAUUUUUUUAUUAGCUUGAAUUGCAUGUCACAUAUAUUUUAAAAUCAAGCAUACCUCAGCAGGGAAGUUCUUGUAACAUGCAUGAACAUGAUAUGAUGAAUUAAAUAAUUUUCUUAAUUGUGUGAGACACAAACCCUCUUUGUUUAAUAAUAAUAAUAAUAAUAAUAAUAUACUACACAUUAUUAAAUCAUAUAUGUAUAUUUAUAGUCGUAUAAUAUAUUUAUAUAAGUAACAAUAAAUUAUAUUGUAUAAGGUAUCGGUAGGAGUUUUCAAUUCCCUCAUAUAAUAAUAUCUAUCAAUAAUUGGAUUGGACACCUUGCUGGCCAUGAGAAUGGACUUGACAUUAACACAUAGCCUUGAGUGGUGUUGAUAUUAUUACUUUGAACCAGAACUGCAGUCAUCUCAAAAACUAUAUUAUAUAGAAAAGCAAAAUAAAAACAUUAGUUAAAAAAAAUGUCAAGAUCCUUGAAAUCACGUUUCAAUAUGUUAAAUUACCAUUUUUUUAAAUAAAUUUUUGAUAGGUUGUGUGAAUAAAUAUAAUUGCUAUGAAGGGUUUCAAUUUAAUUUUACUAGCAAAUCCAUAAUAGGUGAAAAGACAAAACUACCAUUUUUGUUUUUUUUCUUUAUUUACCUUUUUUCUCUCGUAACCUUACUCCUUUCUCCUUUUUGUUUUUUCCUUUUUUAUUAUUAAUUUGUCUUUUUCCUUUUUCUCAACUAACUAUUUUUUUUCUUGUAAUUGUUAUUAUCAUUCUUAUUAUAAAUAUUAUAACCUUAUAUUAUAAAUUUUUAGUUUAGAUUAUAUUUAAACUAACUAAUGUUGUGGUUUUAAUUGACAUGGAAAAGAAUGUGGUUAUACAUGUGAUUGUCGCCUUUUUUUUUUUCAAUUAGUUAACUAUUGAUACAAGUUAAAAGUAAAAAUUGCAAUAUUAUCUUUACGUCAAUUUCACCGAUCUUUUGUUUUUAUUUUCAUGUAUCAUUCCUUUUUUGGUUAUUUAAUUAAAAGGAUUAAAAAAAAAUCACAUAUUCACAAUAAUAACCUUCAUAUUUUAAAAACAUAAAAUAAACAUUUUUUUUUUUUUAUAAAAAUACCCUCCAACUAUAUUUUUUAUAUCCCUAUUUCAAAUCCAAACACUUCUUUUAAAAAUAAUAAUAAUAAAUAAGGGCAAAAAUGUCAAACUGGGAUUAUAUUUAUAAUUUUCAAUAAUUAGAGGUUGUUUUUCCAAUGUAAAAAUUAUUUUGUUCCUUUGGCACAAAUAUUUCUUUCUUUUAUGUAUUUUUUUUAUUCAAAAUAUUAAACACAUUACCCUCAAGGUUACUAUUUAUUAUGAAUGGUGUUUACUUUACAUAACGAGAUAUUCAAAUUUUUUAGAAUUUUUUAAUGUUAAAAUAAUUUGGAGCUUAAUAGGGAAAAAAAAGAAGAAAGAAUAGAUAAUUAGAAAAGCAAUUCAAAAAAAUAAAAUUUAUCCUCUUAAAUUGGUUUUGUGUAAUACUAUAGAAGCCAUUUCUUGAGUUUGAUAUGGUAGAAUUUGGAUUCAUAUUUAUUUUAAAAUCAAGAAAUUCAAGUGUUGGUAGCAUCAAUAGAAUCUUAACAAAUUUGAAAAAAAAUAUUUAGGUAGAUCACAUUUAAAUAUAGCUAAUAGAAUAAAAAAUUAGUAUUAUUAGAAAGACAUGAUCAAUUAAAUCUUUUUUCUUAUCUAUGACACCGACUUUAUUUUUUUACAUAGUCAAUACAAUUUAUUACAACUUAUAUGUCAUUAAAUUAUAUACGUUUAUAUUAAAUAUAAUAUAAGACCAUUAAUGGAAUAAUUAUGCAAGUAAUAUAAAUUGUAUAUAAUAUAAAAAAUUUAAACUCCAUCAAACUAAUGGAAUCUAUUAUAAUAAGUAGACUAGACACCAUGUUGGCCCGAGUUGCAGGCCUGGGCCAGAUUUUAAAGGCUGGGCUUUGAGUUGCCCGUGGGCCUGAGCCAAGGCCUUCUCUUGGUAUCAUCAUUUUGAAGAAAUAAAUUGCUGAUACAGAGAAAAAAACUAUACUAAAUAGAAAAAUAAAUAAAAGCAUUGACUAAAAUGAAGGUCAAGGUCCUUGAAAAAUAAUCUUUAAAUUGUUGCAUAUAUAAUUUCAAUAAUGCAUAAAUAAUUGCAAUAUAUAUGAUAUGAUAAAGAAUUUGGAAUUAAAAGAAGAUUGAUCUAUUUUAAAUGUGGUUGGAAUAUUUCUAAAUUUGUGAUGGGAAGUUAGACAGCCAAUUAGGGAUCCAUAUUAUUUAUUUUCAAUGAUAUGAAUUUAUUUACUUUUAUUAAUAUUCUUAAUGCAACAAUAUAAAAUAUGUCAAUUUUCUAAAAUUUAAAAAGUAAUUGUAAAAGAAUUUUUUUUAAUUAUUUUUCUGAAAUUGAGUUUAUUAUAACAUUUUUCUUUACAUAAAUUUCUUUUUUAUUUUUAUUUUUUUUAAAAUGAGAUAUGAAAAAAAGAGAUCAAUAUUAGUACAAGUAAAACCCAAUAUAUAUAUAAAAAAAAUGAAUAAAUGUUUAUGAAAUAUUUUUUCUCUUUUAAUUCCUAUUCAAUUCAUUACACAAAAUAUUUUUGGUUUUUAUGCUAAAAUUUAUUGUUUAUUCAAAAAUUCUAGUAUACCUAGCUAUCAUAGAAGAGCCCCAAAAUUUUAUUGUUUAAGAGAAUAUGUGUUGCCACUUUAAAAGAUUUAUAUGCAAAAGGGAUUGAUAUUUUUUUCCUUUGGAUAUAUUUAGUUCCCGGAAAAUUUGAGGGAAAAUGUGAGGGAAGAAAAAUAGAGAAGAAAAGUAUAACGAAAUAAAAAGUGAAGGAAAAUGAAAAAUAGAUUUAAAGUUAAUAAAUUAUUUUCAUUGGUUUUUUCAAACUUAUUUUACUUAUUUUAUUCUAUUAAAUAAAGAUUAGCUAAUUUUAAUUAUAUUUGGUUUGAUUUUUAUUAUUUUUCAAAGCAAAACCAAAUAUGAAAAAAAAAACAUUUUUUUUGUUCAUUUUUUCUUUCCUUAUUACUUUUCAAAACUCAAACAUAGCUUUUAGAUUUGGAGCAUGGAAAGAUAAGAGUAUUGAAUAAAGGUUCUAUAUAUGCCCAUGCCCAUGAUACCAUUGAAAAAAAUGGAGAAAGGGUGAAACUUUUUCUCUUCAAUGGAAAUCAAAUAUAAUUAUUUUUAUCUUGUAGUAAUUGAAUGUUAUACUCCAUAAACUCAAAAUUAAAAUAAAUAAAAAAUUUAAAAACUAGGACAAUCCCAUUUUUUUUUUCAAUUUCUUAAAAAGAAAUUAAAUUACAUUUAUUUAUAUCUAUUUUCAUCCCUACCCAAAAAAAUAAAAAAAAAAUUAACAAGGUGGGACAUGUAUGAGAAAUUCUCACACUAACUCUCUCUAGUUUAUUUUUUAUUUUUUAAAAAAAAUCAAUUUCUUUUAAAAAAAUUAAACUAUAUAAAAAAUAAAUAUAAUUUAAAAUAAAAUAAUUUAACAAUUUUUUUUUUAAGAAAAGUAAAUUUCUUAUUUUAUAUAUGUUAAAAAUAAAUAUAAUCUUUUAUUUUUUUAUAUAUAUAAUCGGGUAAGGUAGAGUGGGACAAAGAAAUAAUCCCCUUCGAUUCCAAUAUGAAUUUUUAAAAUAUAAAAUAAAAAUCUUAAACUCAUCCCUAAUCCAUUUAUUUUUAAUCCUAAACUCGUCUUAUUAAGAAUAAGGCAAAGUGAGUACAUGAAAACACUUCUUUUAUCAUCAUCUCUACAAGUUCUAAUGUUUAGACUGCAAUCCAUAUCAAAGAUUUAUAAAGAAAGGACAACGAUGAAUUUCAUAAACAUUUGAAAGCAUAUACGUACAAAGUUUUAAAUAAUAUUGCUUGAGGUGCAAAUAUUAUUUGGCGCACAUAUUGAGGGACUUCAACUUGUUUUUUACAUUAGUAAGUAAUCUUGAAUAUCUAGAGUAACUUGACCAAAAUCUCUUUAAUUUUAUUUUCUUUGAUGGUUGUAUGAUGAAUUAGAAUGCUUAUAUAACAUGAUUAAAAAUUUUAAGAAAAAAAAAACUAAGAAGAAAGAAAGAAGCACCGAUCUUCCAAAUAUUGCUUCCACUUUAAUAUCUAGAAGGCUCUAAGAAAAGAACUUUUUUCAUGAAUCAUAACCCAAGUCGAAAAUAAAUUGAACCCAUUUUCUAAGUUAAAUUUUGAAUUUUUUACUAGUGAAUGCAAAUUGGGAAAAUGUAUAUAAAUAUAAUUAAACUAGAAUAGUAGGUUAGGUUUGUAGGUGGAGUUUGUUUGAAUUGUUGGAACUUCCAAGUCGUUGUGGGUCUAGUGGUCCCAUAGCUCUCUAUUAAUUUCCACCAUCAAUUUUCUGCAAUAAAGUCAAGUCAUUCCUAACCCCUAUAUUAAGUUGGCCUUAAAAGUCAAGUCAUUGAUCAUAGUUACAUUCAUGAAUCACAACCUAAGUCGAAAAUAAAUUGAACCCAUUUUUCAAGUUCAACUUUGAAUUUUUUACUAGUGAAUGCAAAUUGGGAAAACAUAUAUAAAUAUAAUUAAACUAAAAUAGUAGAUUAGGUUUGUAGGUGGAGUCUGCUUAAAUUGUUGAAACUUCCAAGUCAUCGUGGGCCCAGUGGUCCCAUAGCUCUCUAUUAAUUUCCACCAUCAAUUUUUUGCAAUAAAGUCAAGUCAUUCCUAACCCCUAUAUUAAUUUGGCCUUAAAAGUUCAGUCAUUGAUAGCUAAAUCCCAACCCAAGUCAAAAAUAAAUUGAACCCAUUUUCUACGUUCAACUUUGAAUUUUUUUUAAUUGGAAAAAUGUAUAUAAAUACAAUUAAACUAGAAUAGUAGAUUAGGUUUGUAGGUGGAGUCUGCUUGAAUUUGUGAAACUUCCAAGUCAUCGUGGGUCUAGUGGUCCUAUAGCUCUCUAUUAAUUUCCACCAUCAAUUUUCUACAAUAAAGUCAAGUCAUUCCUAACCCCUAUAUUAAUUUGGCCUUAAAAGUCUAGUCAUUGAUAGCUACGUUCAUGAAUCCCAACCCAAGUCAAAAAUAAAUUGAACCCAUUUUCUAAGUUCAACUUUGAAUUCUUUUAAUUGGGAAAAUGUAUAUAAAUACAAUUAAACUAGAAUAGUAUAUUAGGUUUGUAGGUGGAGUCUGCUUGAAUUUGUGAAACUUUCAAGUCGUCAUGGGUCUAGUGGUCCCAUAGCUCUUUAUUAAUUUUCACCAUCAAUUUUUUGCAAUAAAGUCAAGCCAUUCCUAAACCAUAUAUUAAUUUGGCCUUAAAAGUCAAGUCAUUGAUAGUUACGUUCAUGAAUCACAACCCAAGUCUAAAAUAAAUUGAACCCAUUUUCCAAGUUCAACUUUGAUUUUUUUACUAGUGAAUGCAAAUUGGGAAAACGUAUAUAAAUAUAAUUAAACUAGAAUAGUAUAUUAGGUUUGUAGGUGGAGUAAGCUUGAAUUGUUGAAACUUCCAAGUCAUCACGGGUCUAAGGGUUCCAUAGCUCUCUAUUAAUUUUCAUGGUCAAUUUUUAUGAAUUAAGAUUUAAAAGUGAGAAGGGAAUAAAUUUUUUCUUUUUCAAUUCAUUACAAAAAAUAUUUUUGGUUUUUAUGCUAAAAUUUAUUGUUUAUUCAAAAAAUUAAAGUAUAAAUAUAUAUAUAUAUAUCUUGCUAUUAUAGAAGAGCUCCAAAAUUUUUGUGUUUAAGAGAAUAUGUGUUGCCACUUUAGAAGAUUUAUAUACAAAAAGGAUUGAUGUUUCUCCUUUGACUAUGUUUGGUUCCCAAAAUUUGAGGGAAAUAAAAAAAAAAUAGUAAAAAAGAAAAAAUGAAAGAAAAUAAAAAAUAGUUUUAAAGUUAAUAAUUAUUUUUAUAUGUUUUUUCAAACUUAUUUUACUUUUUUUUUCAUUAUAUAAAGAUUAAAUAAUUUUAAAAUGCAUAAAUUUCUAACUAAUUUUAAUUAUAUUUAAUUUUUCUUUUAUAUUUUUUAGAUAGGAUCCGACACAUGAAAAAUCCUUUUUUUUAGCAUUUUUUUUUCUUUUCUUAUUACUUUCCAAUAACCAAAUAUAACCUUUAGAUUUAGCCUUUAAACUUGGAGUAUGGAACGAUACUGAGUAUUGAAAGAAGGUUUUGUAUAUGGCCAUGAUACCAUAGAAAAAAUGGGCGAGAGAGAAAAAACCUUUAUUAAAUGAUAAAUUAUUUUUUUCAAUGGAAAUCAAAUAUAAUUAUUUUUAUAAUAAUUACUUUAUUUUUUUUAAAAAUAAUAAUUUGUUGUUGCAUUAAGUAUUCUUGCAUUUGGAGAAGCAUGUUACUACUUACUACAUAAAUAGAUAUUCAUGGAGUGCAUUCUCUAAAAAGCUCCAGUCUCAUGAAAAUGGAAAGAUGGACCGGCCGGUGAACCGGUUCGAGUUUGGAUUUAUUGGCUGCCUCAGCCUUACACGCAUGAUAGGCUGUUGCAGGUGAAGAACUAAUUAAUUUAAAGCCUUCUUCUAUCCUCUCCUAUUCCUCUAUCACUCCAAAUGUUCCACAUGAUAAUGACAAUUCUUUUGUUAAAUGGUAAAAAAAAAAUUUAAAUAUUAUUUAAAAUUUUUUUUAAUUCUAAAUCCAAUGGAAAUUCGACUCUAAGGUGUGUAGAAGGCCCUAGUGCCCAUGUUGCUAAUUUGAUGAUAGUUAAAUUGUCAUUUUGGGAGAUUCCACACACUAGUAUUCUCAUUUAUAAAAUCAUGAACUUUGGCAUCCUAAUUAAUGCAAUUUAAACUUUUUUUGUUUACAAAUGAAAUAAGAGGCAACAUAUAAACCCAAAAGUUAAUUUUCCUACCAUCUCUAUGCACCAUUUUAGCUUUACUCCAAUAUAUUUUCUAUGAUUAAUUAUUUUCAUUCAAACAAUAAUAUCAAAAUAUUUUAAAAUUAGACAUAUCAUAAUCAAAUACCAUUAUAUUAUUACCGAAUAAUAUUUAAUGUAAUUUAAUUAUCAACGUAUACUUAUAAAAUUUAUAUUUUUUAUUAAUGCAUAUAAUAUUAUUAUCAAAUAUGAUAAAUUAUAUAUAUAUAUAUAUAUAUAUAUAUAUAUUUCUUCAACAAAACAACUUUAAAAUAUCUAUUAUAUUUCUAAUUUCAUUUCUAAGAAGUUUUUUUUUUUUUUUUACAUUUUUAUAAGUUUUGAUCAAUUGUAGGCUAACUGAUAUUUUUUAUAUCAAAAUAUCCACCAAUAUAUCUCUGAUAUAUUAGAUAUAUCCGUAAAAUCGAAAUACCAAUAUAUCCGUGAUUAUCGAUAUUUUUAUCCUUGAGGGAUAAUAACUAAUCUAGUUUUUGCACUUAUUGAUAUUUCUCAACAUUUAGAUUGAUUUGACCAAAAUCUUUUUAAUUUUAUUUUCUUUGAUGGUUAUAUGAUGAAUUAGAAUAGUCAUAUAAACAAAUUUAAGAAAAAACGAUAAAAAAGCUCACAUUUUUCAAAUAUUGGUUUCAACUUUGAAUAUUUUUAUUGGUAAAUGAAAAUUGUGAAAAACCUACUAAUGCUAAUACUUUUCACCACAUAAUUAAAUAUAAUAAACUAGAAUAGUGAUUCAUUGAUGUCUUAUAAAGCUACAUGCCUACUUUGACUUGUUAGUUGAUUUUUGUAGGCAGAGUCCAUUUCCAUAUGAAUUGUUGAAACUUCCAAGUCCUUGUGGGUCUAGUGGUCUCUCUAAUAAUUCCCACCAUUAAUUUUUUGUGAUGAAGUGACGUCAUUGAUAGCUACUAUAUCAAUUUGCUAUUAAAAGUCAAGUCAUUGAUAAUUACUAUUCAAUCUUUUUCAAUAUGGAAAUUGGAAUCUCUACUCUUCUCAUUGUUCAUUUUUAGGUAAUGUGAGAAUGUGAGAAUGUGUGAACAUAAAUGUCUUCUAAUCAACCAAUUUUUUUUGAAAAAAACAUGUACAAAAUUGCAAACUUGCAAAAUCAAACUUUCUUGUUGAAUAACCAUAGCUUGAUGGUUUUGAAGAAUCAAAGGAUGAAUCAUAAAAGGGUAUUUGAUAAAAAAUAAAAAUUAAAAAAAUUAAAAGACAACUACUCCCUUAGGUGUAAUAAGUGUAUUUGGUAGCACAAAUUUCCUACCACUUAUUAUUUUUUCCUUUCUUAAAAAAUUAUUUACUCUAUUAAAUAAACUAACCUUGGCUUAUCACUUAUAGCAAAAUAGGUUAAGUACUUUUUAAAAUUUUAUAAUAUUAGAUUUACAUUUUUAUCCUUCAAAAUUUCAUUAAUGUUAGAUUCUUCUAUAUGCUUAACUAAUAAAUAAUUUUUAGCAUUUUUCUUUUCUUAUAAACAUAAAAAAAUAAAAAUAUUAUUAACUUAUUGGUAUAUUUUAAAAUUUUAAUUAGAUUUAAGCUUUUAUUUAUUUGGAUUACCAAUUAUACAUAUAAAUCCUUUAUUAUUAUUGUUAUUAUUGAAAGAAAGGGGUUGAAUAGGUAGUCCCUCAAUCCCCAAAUUAAAUUCUUUAUUGCCUACUUUUGGUUUAUUCCUUUACAUGAAUUCCUUGGUGAGAGUAAACAUUUCAUUAAUAGAUAAAUAAAAUUGAUUCCAUAUCAUAGGGUAUAAUGUGGAAAAAUCACCAGUCUCAUGUGUUCCUUAGUGGAUCCUUUGGAGCCCUUAUCAAAGUUUCAUGAUGAAACCAUUGACUUUUGUUUAACCCAAAUGUGCUUUCAAGACAAAUCUUGAAAUAUUUGAGAGAUGGAGGUUCAAGUCUUUUAUGAACGACCAUGUUCUCUUAGGGUUCAUGAAAAUUCACACCUUUUGAUAAAUAAAACUUAUCUAUUUAUACGUCUAAAACCCAGUAUUUAUUUAUUUAAUUAUAGAAAGUUUCUUAGUUUUAAAAACAUUUCAAAAAUCAUUUUUAGAAUCAAAUAAUAAUUUUAGAGAUAAACACAAUAUUAAAAUUUAACAAAAACAAAAUUUCGAAUUAAAAACACAAUAUAAACUAAAUUACAAAAUAUAAAGGAAUUUUUAUCCUAAUUUCUUGUUUCAAAACCAAAUGGAACACCUAGAAGGGGAGUGAAUGGGUGAUUUUAAAAUUUUUCAAUAAUGAUUUAUAAGUUAUACCCAAUUCUUUUACCCUGCGAGUUGUUAGGGACUAUCAAUUCUUUCCUUUUGGCAAUUCAAACAAUAUAUCAAAUAAUAAAAAGAUAUAAAUAAUGAGACAUAAAGAUUUUUACAUGGAAAACCCCCCACACUAACCAUGGAGAUAAAAAGCCAUGGAGUCUAAGACCUAUUAAUCUAAAUUCACUGUACGAAAUCAAGUUACACAAAUUUAUUUGAUAGCUUUAACUUAAAGACUUACUCUCCGGUACUGACAACUUGAUUCACAUCCACAACGUAGCAACCCUCAAUUACUCCAAUGGAUCACUUCAAGCUUACUAAAAGGAUGAAGGCCUUCAAACCAAGAUUCAAAAAUCAAUUCCUUGAAUGAAAGAUCAGGGAUGGUGUGCCACUUUAGGCUUUCUCUCUAAGAACUCUAAAAUGAUCUCCUCAAUGAAAACCUCUUAAACAAAAUGAGAUAUUUCCCCACAAUCUCUAAUCCUCAAGGGGUUAUAAUGAGAUAUUUAUAAGCAACUAAGUUGAAGAGUUUCAGUUUUGGAACAUGACCGCUCGAGCCAACACACUUCCUACUUGAGCGUUUCGGGCACUUGAGCGGUAAGGCUCGCUUGAGUUGUCCUAAGCGCUUGAGCAUUCCAAGCUACUUGAGCAAUCUUGCUCUAUUUCAAAAGUUAAUUUUAAAUCAUUUUAAGUUCAAAACAAAAUUGAUUCCCUUUAUACCUCAAAGUAGCCUAACUUACAAACCAAACUUUUUUAGAUAUACUUGUGACUUCCUGGUUGGACGAACAACUCUUAAUCUUCAAUGGAAAGCAAGUCAUUAUCUAAAAAGAUUUAUAUGGUCAAACAUAAAAAAACAAAAACAAAAAAAUUGCCAACAUAACAACAAGACUCAAUGUCCUAACAAUCUCCCCCUUUGGCAAUUUUAUGACAAAAACAACAUUACAUAUACCCACUUGAACUCUCAUAAUGGAGUUUAAUAAUACACAUUAAUGUUCAAUUAAAAAUAAACUAAGGGAAUACUUUGUAUCACUUUGUAGUAUUUGUCUUCCAACUUUGUAACCUACACACAUAUAGAAAACUAUACCAAAGGUAAAGCAAUGUGUAGGAUAAGAUAUGAUCAAGAAAGCAAAAUAGGAUAAUUGAAAAUUUUGCUUGAUGCCUUGUGAAAGCAUGAAAAGGGAACAAAUUCAUAUAGUAAUACCAAGGGACAAAGCAAAACUAGAGAAGAAUAUAUAUGUAUGCAAAUCAACCAAACAUAAUAAAAGCUACAUAAGAUGCAAUAGAUCAAUAAUAAUGCCUAGGGGUCUAUCUCCAACCAGAAAAUAGGGAGUGAAAAUCAUAGGAAGAACCUUCUGUGACUUAGAAAGGUUCUAGAGAGAUAGUCAAUUCAAACAUAAAUAUCUUGCUAGAAACAUCUAUGUUAUGUAUCUCUCUAAACCUUCUAAGUUAUGCUUUCAUUAGUUGAUUUGGUUUUUCUCCAAUGUCUCAGGUUUAAUUUCCUCUAAUAUUUCAAUUAGAGAGAAAUUGGUAGUCGAUUGACUUAGUGGGUGUUUGGUAAAACUUAAUACUUAUUAUUUAAUGAUUAACUUUAAGUUAAAUUGUUCUUAAGUUAUUAAUUUAAAAUUUAUUACUUAUUUUGUAUUUAAGUACUAGGGUUAUUUGAAAAAAUCGACUUAAAAUUUAUUCUAAAUCAUCAAAAUGACACAUUUACCCUUAUUAAUUUUAACUUAUAUUUAUUUUCAUUAAUUUUAAACAAUAAAUUUAUUCAUAAAACAUCUAUAUUUUUGUAGAUACAUAACCAUAAAAUAUUUACUAUAAAAAAUGAGUCAUGGAUGUAGAAUUAUAAUUCUAAAAUAUACACUUAUGAGUGUGGGUAAAUAAGGCAAAAAUGAUUUGAGAUUAAGAGUAAAGUUAAUUAUUUUGACUUAAGACUUCAAGUUAAAAAUAACUUUAAGUUGCAAUAUUAAGUUAUUUUAUCAAACAUGCUUAAUUUACUUAACAACUUAAAUUAAGUUAUUAAGUUGAAUUAUCAAACACCCCACUAGUAGUAUGUUGAAAAUUCACACCUUUUGAUAAAUAAAACUUAUCUAUUUAUACGUCUAAAACCCAGUAUUUAUUUAUUUAAUUAGAGAAAGUUUCUUAGUUUUAAAAACAUUUCAAAAAUCAUUUUUAGAAUCAAAUAACAAUUUUAGAGAUAAACACAAUAUUAAAAUUUAACAAAAACAAAAUUUCGAAUUAAAAACACAAUAUAAACUAAAUUACAAAAUAUAAAGUAAUUUUUAUCCUAAUUUCUUGUUUCAAAACCAAAUGGAACACUUAGAAGGGGAGUGAAUGGGUGAUUUUAAAUUUUUUCAAUAAUGAUUUAUAAGUUAUACCCAAUUCUUUUACCCUACGAGUUGUUAGGGACUAUCAAUUCUUUCCUUUUGGCAAUUCAAACAAUAUAUCAAAUAAUAAAAAGAUAUAAAUAAUGAGACAUAAAUAUUUUUACGUGGAAAACCCCCCACACUAACCAUGGAGAUAAAAAGCUAUGGAGUGUAAGACCUAUUAAUCUAAAUUCACUGUACGAAAUCAAGUUACACAAAUUUAUUUGACAGCUUUACCUUAAAGACUUACUCUCCGGUACUGACAACUUGAUUCACAUCCACGACGUAGCAACCCUUGAUUACUCCAAUGGAUCACUUCAAGCUUACUAAAAGGAUGAAGGCCUUCACACCAAGAUUCAAAAAUCAAUUCCUUGAAUGAAAUAUCAGGGAUGGUGUGCCACUUUAGGCUUUCUCUCUAAGAACUCUAAAAUGAUCUCCUCAAUGAAAACCUCUUAAACAAAAUGAGAUAUUUUCCCACAAUCUCUAAUCCUCAAGGGGUUAUAAUGAGAUAUUUAUAAGCAACUAAGUUGAAGAGUUUCGGUUUUGGAAGGUUUCUUAAUUGAAUUUGUGUGAAAAACUCAACAGAAUCAACAUGACCGCUCGAGCCAGCACACUUCCCACUUGAGCAUUUCGGGCACUUGAGCGGUAAGGCUCGCUUGAGUUGUCCUAAGCGCUUGAGCAUUCCAGGCUACUUGAGCAAUCUUGCUCUAUUUCAAAAGUUAAUUUUAAAUCAUUUUAAGUUCAAAACAAAAUUGAUUCCUUUUAUACCUCAAAGGAACCUAACUUGCCACAAACCAAACCUUUUUAGAUAUACUUGUGACUUCUUGGUUGGACGAACAACAACUCUUAAUCUUCAAUGGAGAGCAAGUCACUAUCUAAAAAGAUUUAUAUGAUCAAACAUAAAAAAACAAAAAAAUUGCCAACAUCACAACAAGACUCAAUGUCCAUGCAUGGUCACCUGAAAGUUGACUCCAACCACAAUAUAAUGCAUGUUCUCAUAGAACAUGUGAACAAGAUGGAGAUAGAAAGUCCCUUAGAGAGAAAACAGAGUCUUCUAACCCUACUCUUGAAUGAUGAUAGGGAAGACAGUGUCCUGAAAAGCUUAGAGGUUAAUGGCAUGUUGAGGCUCGACACACCGAUAUGUGAAAGAAGCGUAAUAAUGGUCCCAUGCCACCUGGCAGUGAAAGCGCUCAAUCGAAAGUGCAUCUAGGUUAAAAAGACCCUAGAGUGGGAUGCCCUAGACGGUUUUCAGUGACCUAGGAAAGGUCACCUCCCUCUGAAAUCUAUGACUAGCCAUAUCUAAGGUAUAUAAUAUGAAAAAAAAAAAGCUAAAGAAAAACUAAAGAAAAUCCAAAGAAAAGCUAAACCACUAAAAAUGUUAAACUCAAUGCGUCGAACAAUACUAUACAAAUGGAAAUGAAAAAUAUGAAGCGAACUGACCUCAGAAGACAAAAGGACAGUUACCCAGAGGGCUCGAAGAGGAAUAGGAAAGUUUGAAAUGAAUAUUGUGUGAUGGAUGACCUUUAUAUAGCUUAUAGGAGUGCUUGAUGCAGAUUAGCACUUGAGCGUCAUGACUAACUUAAAUCAAAUUAUUUAUUAAUAUGGAAAUAUUUUAUAAGUUUCAAAGGAAGUAUUCAAUUUAGAACCUUUUUAGAAUUUUUUUGAAAGAAACAAAAAUAAAGCGUGAAAUAUUAUGUGUUAAAGGUGUUAGAAGACAAUAUUGUCUAAUCAAAAGCCUUACACAUUCCCAAAAAAAAAAAAAAAAAAGGAAAAAAAAAGAUACUAUAUAAGAUUUUGAUCACAUCUAAUAGAAACUAAUAUUUAGCAACAUAUCACCAAGCACUAUCUUAUCAGAAAGCUCUAACAUGUUGGAAAUUUAUGUAAGGUUCCAUAACAACUAACAACUUUUUAUGACGACUCGGUAAUGGACCAUUUGCACUUCAACUACAUUAUUAAAUUUAAAUCAUAUUAGAAUAUAAUUGACUUCUCUUUUGUGAGGUUACAUAUCUUGUAGGAUGGGAUAGGUGAUUCAUUUCAUAUAUGAAAUUUUCUUAAUUUAGUAAUGCUUCCAAGUUCAUUAUGAAUCUAAUGGUAUCACAACUCCUUGAAUAUUUGUAAUCUGUAAUCUUUGCUUCAACUUCUCAAGUCUAGUCAUUUUAUCGGCAUAACUAGUUUGCUUCAAUUAUCUCUCAACUUUAUUAUAAAACUAAGGGAAAGGAUUGUCACUCAUUUUAUAUUAACUUAACCAAACAUCUUUAUAUAUAUAUAUAUAUAUAUAUAUUGUAAAUUUAGGAAAAAUUCAUCCAUUAGCCAUAGUAAGUAAGAAUCAAAUAAGGGAUAUGUAAGCCAAUGGUGAUAUUGAUGGCGUUAAAUCAAUGACAUAGUAGAAAAGUGGAUUGUCUAUUUUCAAACCUUUAUAUUUUCAUGCAAUAGUAAAAAGGUUAAGGCAUCACUUGAAAAGUAGUUCGUUUUUUACCUUGGACUAUGAUUUAUGAAUAAAGUUCUUCUGUUGUAUACCUUUUGUGAUGCCCCAACCUAAUUUAGGGGUAAAAAAAUAAUUUAGAAAAAAAUAAAUAAAAAGUUAAAUAAAUUUAAUUAAGGUAAAAAUGUAUUUUUGUAUUUAAAAUUCCUAGGUAUCAAUUAUAUAUUUCUUGUCUUCUCUAUUCAAAAAACCAUAUUACACAAAAAUCAAAUAUCAGAGAACAUAGGACAACGCAGGGUUGAAGAUUUGGAGGUUUAGGGUUGAAGAUUAGUUUUCCAGGUAAGAUUCUAACCCUUAAAUUAGUAUUUUAGAUUCGUUAAUUAGUUUGAACACUUUAGAUAUUCUUUGAAAAAUCUGAAUAUACAUUAGGGUUUGUUAAUUUAAUUUUUAAAUAAAAAAGAUUGAAAAUUUAUGAACAUAAGUAGAGUUAUUAUUAAAGAUUGAAAAUUUUUGAAUAUUUGAAUUAAAAAUCUAGAAAAAAAAGAAGAAAAUAAAUUAUAGCUUUGGACGUGGAAAAAAAUUAAUAUUAAUUAAUAAAUAAAACCUAUGAGUAUGGAAGUAGAAAAAUAUGAGAGUUGAAAGCAAAGAAAAAAAAAGAGAAUAAGGUUUUGUGGUUGUACAUGCCUCCUUAGUGGAAAAAAAAAAUACAAGGUUGCUUGCAAUAGGAUAUGACAAAGAGAGAGAGAUAAAUGCUUAGAUGUUGAUUUUUGUGGGGAAAAAAAGAUUGGGUAAUGUAGGAGAGAAAUAGGUAGCACUUUUAGAGUCGGUGGAGUUGUUGUAAAAGCUCGUAGGGGUAAUUGUUAGGUAGUAGUAGGGUAUGAGAUUAAUUGUUAGGAAACAUUAGGACUUGAAAUAAUAAUAAUUGCUUCUAGUAAAAGUUUUAAUUUAGUUUAAGUAUAUAAAAGAAAUAGAUGAUUAGAAUAAGAUUUGGAAGGAAUAUGAAUUCAUAAAAAUUUCAAAAUUUACUAAUUUAGAUUAUUAUUGUUUUGGAAGUUGAAUAUAAUAUAGGUGAUAAUAUUAUUAAUAUAGGAAAUGAUUAAGAUUCUCAAACCUACAAUUUUAGAUAAAUAGUUAAUAGUAAUAGUUGAUUUUUUAUUUUUUUUUUAUUUUUUAUUUUUUAUGUUAUGUUAAGUGAAUAAUGGAUUCUUUGAUUAAUUCUCUAAGGUUUCUAAGUGCUUCUUUAAGGUAAGGGAUAUUAAUACUGAUUUUGUAAAUGAAAAUAUUUCUUUUUAUAAGUUAUUUUAAAUUAUGAAAAUUUUUAUUUUUAUUUAUGCAUGGAUCAAAUAUAUAUUUUUUCAUGAGAAACAUGUUUGGGCAAUUUCUUUGUUUAUAAAUAAAUAAAUGAAAACUUUGGAAAUAUAAUGUUUUGUUUUGUAAGUUUAAAAUAAUGAAAUAAAGUUUUUGACUCUGGUUUAUAUGACCUUAGUUAAUAGGUUAUAAUUGUUGACAUUUUCAGCUCCAGUCAACGAUUAUAAUUGUUGACAUUUUCGGCUCUCCAAUCAAUGAUUAUAAUUGUUGAGAUUUUCAACCCUAGCCAACGGGUUAUAAUAGUUGACCUUAUAGCCCUAGUCAACAGAUAUAAUUGUUAACCUUUGGCUUUUCCCAUCUUAAAAAGAACAAAUUUAAGGCUAGCCAUUUAUUUGUAAAGUCCCACCUAACUAAGUACCAUUUGUUAUUUAAUAACCAGAGUAAAGAUAUUUUGAAUGUAUUUGAUGUGAAAUUGUUGUGAUAUUAAUAUGAAAAUGUUUGGUUGAAAAGUUCAAAUGUUUAAUGCAUGUUGAAUUCAAAAGUUUUUAUGAAAAUGAUUAUAUGUUAUAUCUCUUAUUUGUAAGUUUGAUCCAUGAAACUGUAUUAAUAUUCCUUAUUGGACUUUGAGCUCAUUCCCCUUUAUUGAGAAUUUUUUUUCGUAUUCUCAGUUUGGGCAAGGAGUGAUGACUGGGUUGGGGAAUUUUCUUUACUAUGGUUUUGCUUCAAUCUUAUUUUGGACAUUGUUUAGAUGUUAAAAUUUAAUUCCCAUUUAAAUUAUUUGGGUUUGGAGUUAUUUGGACGAUAAAACUUUGAUUGAUGUGUUAGUUUUAAAGUUGAGAAUUGAAAAUUAUAGAAUUUAUUUAUCUUACUACUUUGAACAGAAAUUUAGUAAUUGGAGAUCAUCCAGUUACAAGAUGAAUAUUUGAGUCGUUUCAAGUCGUUUCCACUUUGAGUGUUCAGGCUUAGGGUGUGAAAUGAUCGUUAUGCCCUUGGAGUGGGUAUAUUGUUUAUUUGAAUUUAAUGGUCCCCGAACUCCUUAAUUACUCAUAACUUUAUAUCAGCUUCUCAAAGUUAAGUUGUUUUACAACUACUAUCUAGCUACUUUUCUCUACUAUGACAACUUUAUUACAUAGUGAUUAAUUGAAAGAAUCUACAUGUCUUAUUUCAUAGGAUAGUUGAUUUUUUUACUCAAUGAAUUUUGCUUUUAUUAUUGAAAAUUUCAAAUCAUUGUAGUCCAACAAUUUCCUAUCCAUUGGUAAUUUCAUAUUACAUUUCCAAAGUCUAAUCAUUUAAAAACACUUGUAGUUAAUAUAUUGGCAAUUGCAUUGUGGGAAGUUGUUCACUUGAUUUUAAUGUUGAAACUUUCAAAUUUUUGUAGUCCAACAAUUCCCUAUCCAUUGGUAAUUUCAUAUCACAUUUUCAAAGUAUAAUACUUGUAUAUAGUAUAUUUGGUGAUUGUAGAGUGGAAAGUUGAUCAUUUUCAUGAAGACCUCUAAAAUAGAAUUUUUUUUCAUUCCAUUUAUUAAAGAAUUUCAUUAAUUGAACAUAUAUGUUUUUUUAACCGAAAAGUAGAGGCCACAUUAUACGAGGCCUUAGGUGACAAUACUAGGUGAGGGCUUUUUUUUUUAAUUUAUUUAUUACGAAAUAUAAAUAAUAUUAUUUAUUGUAUAAUAAAGAUUAUUAUAAUAUAUUUUUUAUAGAUGAAAAAAAAUAUUAAUUGAGUUUUAUUUUUUUAAAUAAUUGUUUUCAAUAAAUAACGUAUUUGUAAAAAGAAAACUAUAAAAUAUAUGCAUUUGAAAAAUAUUUAAUUUUUAUUUGAUUUAGUAUCAAUUAAUAUUUGUAAUAUUUUUUAAUAUUAUAGAAGUUAACAUACUCAAUUAAGAUAUUCAAGAUCAAGAGAAUAUUUGAGAUUGAAUUAAUUUCUUUAUUGUUUAUGUUUUAGUAAAUUUUUAUAUCCAUUAAAAUUUUUUUAUUGUUUAUUUUUCAUUCAAUGUUUGCAUUUUGUAAUAGAUAUUAAAACAAAUUUUUUUCUUGUAUGUUAAAAAAAUAUUUCAAUGUCUUUAAAAAUAAAAUAUUGUAGUAAAAUCAAAAUUACAUUGUGAAACUUUAAGCGAAUGUUUUAUACUAAAGAAGUGCCAAUUAAAGUAAGCAUGCAUCUACAAUUGUAAUUUAGAUGUCAUAUUGAAACAAUAGUUCUCUUUGACUAUAUCAUAAAAUUUGGUUCGAAUUACUUUAAGUCAUCUUGUAGAUUUUCAAGUUCCAAUGAUAUGCAUCAAGUAUGUGCAACAUACUUGAUAUGACUAAUAUUUUCUUAAGUAAUUGGACACUUUUUUCUAUAAAUUUACUUGAUUAUCAAUGAAUACUUUUAUGUAAGGUAUUGAUAUAAUUCGAUAAAUAUUUUAAAAUAGUAUUAGAAUAGCUUUGCUCUUUCCUAAUUAACAAAUUUACUAAAUUAACUUAUAUAUAUUUGUUUAUUUUAAUUUACUGGUAUUUGACUCAAUUUGUUAUUAUUUUUAAAAUUAUAGGAAAACCAUUAUUUAUAGAGUUUAAUUAUAUUUGGUAAAUUAUCUUUUUAAGUUUGACUAGGAUUAGGAAACUAUUAAUUUAAGAUUAAUCCAUAAGGCUCUAUAAAUUUGCAGUUUUAUAUAACAUUUAAAAAAAGAAAGAAAAAGUAAGAAAAAGUGAAGAGAGAUAGGCAAAGAGUGCAUUGGGUUUUAGAUAGAGAAAGGUCGAGAGAGUUUUGAUUACUACUCAAAAAGAACAUAUUUUAGAUAGUAAUUCUCAUGGGUUUCACAUCUUUUGAGUAUUAAUUAUGCCUAAAAAUGCUCAAUUAACAUGUUGUUGCCCUUGCAAGAGUUACUAAUAAGUUUUAUAAAGUUUUGGAGUCAUUUCAAGUUAUGAUUUUAAUAAAUUGGUGAUGAAAGAGAUGAAUUGAUUUGAAGAAGGAAAAUAAUAUUGAUGAUGAUCCAAAUGCAUAAUGAAAGAAGCAAUAUAAUUAGUUUGAUCGGGAUUUGCUGCUAAUUUGGAGGUAGUUAAGGUGGAGUCAAAAGAAGAAAAUGGAAGAAAUGACAAAGAGGAACUUAAAAACCAAAUGUUGCAGAUUUGUAUGAUCAUUCAAAAAUUACAUGACUAUGCCAAAUGGAUUAGAGAAGGAAAAUUGACUAUAGUAUAAGGAGGAUGCUUAAGUUGAUUUAGCAUGAACAUGAGAAAAUUUCGCAUGAACAUGCGAAAAUUUUGCACAAUCAUGCGAAAUGGUCCAGAAAGCUCUCUAAUGUUGUUGUUGCUCCACUAAUUUCGCACCACCAUGCGAAAUCGAUCUUUUCAUGCAAAAUGGCUGAAGCUCAUGUGAAAUCAUGAUUUUGAUGCUAAACUCCAGAUUUGUGAAUUUGGAAGGUUUUAGAAGACCAAUGAGAGGUUGCCAAGUGUCCACUUGACCUUGGUCUAUAAAUAGAAACUUGAAUUUCCCAUGUAAAGAGCUUUGUGAUACUUUUGAUUUUAGAUUUUUCUAGAAACUCUUUCUCUAAAUAGAAUUCUAUAUUUUCUUUAAUUUUCCCUCAUUUUCUCAUUAGCCAAACAUGCCUAGUGAGACCAAAUUUCCAAGUAUGAGUGACUAAAUCUCGUUUUUCUCAGAGGAAUGAGGAUCUAGAGGCAAGAUCUAUGGUGAAUUAUAGAAAUGAGUUUUAAUUGCAAAUGUAAUUUGAUUCAAUUGAUUGAUUAAUUGAAAUUCGAGGAUUUUUCUCUUCAAAUUGUCCUGAAUGACAAUUACAUUGCAAACUAGGCAGAUUAAUUAAAUUCUUAAAGUUAGAUUUAAUGAGACUGAAUAGUUGCAUUGUAUGAAUCAUUGGAAGAUGAUUUAAGAUGAAUUGAAUAUAUAAUUUAAAUUCAUAUCUUGGAUUAAAUAACCUAAUUUGAAGAGAAAUUAGGUUUAGACUUAAAGGGAAAUCUAAAAUCGGUUUAGAUAAGAAUUUAGGUUUUCAAUCUAACUUGAUGAAAAAUAAAUCUCAACAUUUAUUCACCAUGGAAAUUGUUUUCUAAAAAAUAUUAACUCUGAGAAUUCCUUUUCCUUAUCAGUUUUCUUAUAUUCUACAUUAUAUUAUUCUUUUCGAUUAGAAAUCAUUGUUAUUUUGAUUUUUCGUGAAUUGUCAAAUCAAUUUCACUUGACCAUAAUCAUUUCUUUUCCUCUCAUUUAAACCUUAAUUAUCGAGAAUAAUCCAUCCCAAUAGAAGACACCUAAGACCACUAUACUACUGUAGCUUUUGCUAAAAAACCUUUUUGAUCGGGCAAGAGUUACCUUAGCAUAGUUGAAUUAGGUUAUAAAUUUUUUAUCCAAUAAACAACAAAAAAAUCAAUUGAUCAAGUUUACAUUGUGUAUUCUUGAAUUUUAUUAAUAAAUUUGAUCCCCUUUUUUGAAGCGAUUACACCAAACCAAGUAAAUAUUUUAUCUACUUCAUUUGCUUUAUUUUUUCUAUUAAGUUUAGGUGUUGCAAUUUUUAAGAGUCAUGGUGAGAAGAUUGUGGGAAAAAUUAUUUUAAGGAUGGAGUCGAACAUAAAAUAUGAAAUUGAGUCCUUUGAUGGAAAUAAUAAUUUUAAUAUUUGAUAGAGUAUUAUUAAAGAUGUUUUGAUACAACAAAGACUUCUCAAAGCAUUACAAGGCAAAAAAAACUAGAGAGCAUGACAAAUAAAGAAAUGAAAGAAUUACAAGCAAGAGUUGUAAGUACUAUUUGUUUAAGUCUUAAAAAUGAAAUACAUUGUUUUGAAUGAAAAAAAUAUUCUUUUAGGGGUGUCAAUUGCUCUUUUAGAGACCAAAAAUAUUAAGCAAUCAAGUAGUUCAUCUCAUAUUGGACAAACUGUUAUGAUGAAUUCUAAACCAUAUCAUCAUAGGAGUAAAUCGAAAGAAAAGUAUCUGAUAGGAGGAUGAUCAUUCCAUUCACACUUAUAGAGGAAUAUGAAGUAUUAUUNNNNNNNNNNNNNNNNNNNNNNNNNNNNNNNNNNNNNNNNNNNNNNNNNNNNNNNNNNNNNNNNNNUAGUGAUUGUUUUAUGUUGAAGAAAGGCUAAUUAAAGUAAACAUGCAUCUAAAAUUAUAAUUUAGAUGUUGUACUCAAAUAGUUGCUCUCCUCGAUUAUAUCAUAAAAUUUGGUUUGAAGUCUAAGUCAUCUAAUAAUUUUCUAGUUCCAAUUACAUGCAUCAAACAUGUGUGUUAGGAAGUGUUGCAAAUUACUAAUUAGUAUAUAUUCUUUUUUUUUUAAGAAUAUUGUAUUAAAUAUUUCUAGGUUGAUAUAUUAUUGUAAUAUUAGACUUCUUUAUAGAAUAAGGAAGGUUGUUGAAAAUAUCCCUAUAAAUAUUCUAGUUCAUAAGGGGAAAAAGUUUUGAGAUGAAGAUGGACCCAUAAAGACUAUACAAGGUGGAUAGAGAUGUGAGGAAGAACGAGAGGUACCCGAUGGAGCGAGAGGGCUCGUGGUAGGGUAUAGGUACGAAGAGUGAGGAAACAUGGGAUGUUUUGGGAACUCAAUAUUUGUAUCUAGUUAUGUCCUCUAUAAGUUCUAGUUCUGUCAUCUGCAUUGUUCUCUAUUUUAUAGUGGAAUGAUUCUCUCUUAUCUGUGGACGUAGGCAUGGUUUUCGAACCACGUUAAAACCUUGUGUACCGUUUGUGUUGAUUUUUUUUAUCUUUAUUUUCUUGAUUAAUGAAGUUUGCAUCAAAGCUUCUGUCAACGUAACAAACUUGUAUCAAAGUUUGGGAUAAAGAUUUCUAGAAGAGUAAAAGAUCAUAGAGCACACAAGAUGAAAACAAAAGGAAUUUUUAGUGAAAAAGGAGUCAAUUGCUCUCUCGUGGUGAUAUGAUAUAAAAAGUUUAUGUCAUGGAAAGUUUGAAGAUUUACUUCAUGGAAUCUGGUCCAAAAUGGAGAUUGUUAAUAAGUGUCCCAAAUUCCUAAUUAGUAUAGAUUUUUUUUUUUGUAAAGAAUAUUGUAUAGAAUAUUUCUAGGUUGAUAUAUUAUUGUAAUAUUAGACUUCCUUAUAGAAUAAGGAAGGUUGUUGAAAAUAUCUUUAUAAAUAUUCUAGGUCAUGAGGGAAAAAAGUAUGAGAUGAAGAUGGGCCCUAUAAAAACUAUAUGAGGUGGAUAAAGAUGUGAGGAAGAAUGAGAGGUACUCAAUGGAAUGAGAGGGCUCGUGGUAGGGUAUGGAUACAAAGAGUGGGGAAAUAUGGGAUGUUUUGGGAACCUAUUAGUUGUAUCUAGUUCUGUCAUCUAUAAUGUUCUAGUUACGUCCUCUAUAAUGUUCUCUAUUGUAUAGUGGAAUGAUUCUCUUUCAUCCGUGGAUGUAGGCAUGGUUGUCGAACCACAUUAAAACCUCGUGUACUAUUUGUUUUAUUUUUAAAUUUUUUUUAAUCUUUGUUUCUUGAUUAAUGAUGUGUGCAUCAAAGCUUCCAUCUACGUAACAAACUGGUAUCAGAGCUUGGGUUGAAGAUUUUUGGAAUAGUAAAAGAUCACAAAGCACACAAGAUGAAAACAAAAGGAAUUUUUAGUGAAUGUGGAGUCAAUUGUUCUCUCGUGGUGAUAUGAUACAAAAAGUUUGUGUCAUGGAGGGUUUAAUGAUUGACUCCGUGGAAUUUGGUCCAAGGUAGAGAUUGUUAGGAAGUGUCCCAAAUUCCUAAUUAGUAUAGAUUUUUUUUUUUUAAAGAAUAUUGUAUAGAAUAUUUCUAGGUUGACAUAUUAUUGUAAUAUUAGACUUCCUUAUAGAAUAAGGAAUGUUGUUGGAAAUAUUUUUAUAAAUAUUUUAAGUCAUGAGGGGAAAAAUUUAUGAGAUGAAGAUGGGCCUAUAAAGACCAUAUGAGAUGGAUAGAGAUGUGAGGAAGAAUCGGAGGUACCCAGUGGAGCGAGAGAGUUCGUGGUAGGGUGUGAAUAUGAAGAGUGGGGAAACAUGGGAUGUUUUGGGAACCCAAUAGUUGUAUCUAGUUCUGACAUCUAUAAUGUUCUGGUUCUGUCAUCUAUAAUGUUCUGGUUUUGUCCUCUGUAAUGUUCUUUAUUGUAUAGUGGAAUUAUUCUCUCUCAUCUAUAUAGGCAAGUUGCUAAACCACGUUAAAACCUCGAAUACCUUUUGUGUUGAUUUUUUUUAUCUUUGUGUUCUUGAUUAACGAUGCUUGCAUCAAAGCUUCUACCAACGUAACAAUGUGCAACAUAUUUGAUAUAACUUAUAUUUUCUUAAGUAAUUGAACACUUUUUUCUAUAAAUUUACUUGAUGAUCAAUGAGUACCUACAUAUACGGUAUUGACAUAGUUUGAUAAACAUUUUAAAAUAGUAUUAGAAUGGCUUUUCUUUUUCCCAAUUAACAAAUUUAUCAAAUACACACACACACACACACACACAAAAUACUCAUUAGUAUGUCUUUUAUGAAAAAACUAUGUUUGUUUAUUUGAAUUUAGUAGCCAUUCAAUUCCUUAGUUACUCAUAAACUUUUUAUCACCUUCUUAAAGUCAAGUCAUUUACAAUUAUUUUCAAGUCAUUUACAAUUAUUUUAGCCUUCUCCAUUAUGACAACUUUAUAAGAUAGUGAUUGAUUGGAAGAAUCUACAUGCCUUUGUUGAUAGUAUAAUUGUUUUUCUUUUUUUUCGUAUUCAAAGAAUCUUGCUUCUGUUAUUGAAACUUUCAAAUCCUUUAUGUCUAGUGGUCUUAUAAUUCCCUAUUCAUUGGUCUUUCAUAUUACCAAUCAUUUUGCAAAUGAGUUAAUUUCAUUCACAUCCUCUGAGAUUUGAUGUAAAUUCGCUUAGUUACCAAUGAUUUCAAAUUUCAUUAAUUAGUACCCCUACAGAUAUAAUUCGUGUACAAAAUUUAUUUUUUAAAAGAGUUUAGGUAAAAAUAUUUUAGGUAUAUGUCUUUAACAAUUCUCUAAAAUAAAUUUUACUUGCUAAAAAAUAACUUAUAUAGAUAGAAUACAUCUACAGGAGUUCUAACUAACGAAAUUUAAAACUAAUGGUGGUUUAGUGUAUUUAAACUAAACAUUAGGAAGGGUGACUGAAAUUAACCCUCUAGGUAUAUAUGUUUAACAAAAUUUUUAUUGUUUAUUUUUCAUUUAAUGUUUGCAUUUUUCAAUAAACAUUGAAAAGGAAUUGUUUUUCCAUAUGUUAACAAAAAGAAAUUUGAAUACCUAUAAAAAUGAAAUCUUGUAGUAAAAUUGGAGUUACAUUAUCAGACUUUUAACGAGUGUUUAUGUUUAGAAAGGCCAAUUAAAGCAAGCAUGCAUCUAGAAAUUGUAACUUAGAUGCAUCAAACAUGAGCAACAUAUUUGAUAUAACUAAUAGUUUCUUAAGUAACUAAACACUUCUUUUUCUAUAAAUUUACUUGAUUGUCGAUGAAUACUUACAUACAUUUACAUAGUUUGAUAAAUAUUUUAAAAUAAUAUUAGAAUAACUUUGUUUUUUCUCAAUUAUAUUAGAAAAUAAUAUAAAGUUACUUAUAAACUUUAUAUCAUUUUCUCAAAGUCAAGUCAUUUACAAUUAUUUCUAUCUAGUCUUCUCCAUUAUGACAACUUUUAUAUGAUAGUCGUUGAUUGGAAGAAUCUACAUGUCUUUUUUGAUAAGAUAGUUGUUUUUAUUAUUUUUAUUUUUUUUAUUCCAAAAAUUUGCUUCUAUCAUUGAAACUUUCAAAUCUUUUAUGUAUAUUACCAAUCAUUUUACAAGUGAGUUAAUUUCACUUAGGGUAGAUAUACUUAGCCACACCCCUAUAGAUGUAAUUUGUGUUUAAAUUUUAUUUUUUAUUUAGGUAAAAAUAUCUUAGGUAUAUGUGUUCUACAAUUCUCUAAAAAAUAAAUUUUCUUAUCUAAAAGUUUAUAUAGACAAAAUACAUCUAUAGAAGUCCUAACUAAUGAAAUUUAAAAUCAAUGGUUGUUUAGUGUAUUUACAUUAAACCUUAUGGGGUAUGAUUGAAAUUAAGUCUUUUACAAGCACUUGUAGCUAAUAUGUUUGUAGUUGUAGUCUUGGAAAUUGAUCAUUUUCUUGAAGGCCUCUAGGAUAUUGAAAAUAUUGCCAUAGUUUUAGACUUUUUUUUUAUUACACCUAAUAAAAAAUAUUAUUAAUUUAACAUAUAUAUUCUUGACUUAAAAGUAAAGUCUCUCCAUAUUGUAUAAGCCCUUAGGUGGCAAUAUUAGGUGAAGUUUUUCUUUCGUUUAUUACAAAAUAUAAAUAAUUUAUUAUUGUAUGAUAAAAUUUUAUGUAAUAUAUUUUUAUAGAUGUAAAAUUAUUAAUUGGGUUUUGUUUUUUUUUACUAAAUUGUCAUUUCAAUAUAUAAAACUUAUUUGUAAAAAGACAAUUAUAAACUAUAUGAAAUUGAAAAACAUUUAGUUUUUUUAUUUAAUUUAGAAUUUUAUUUGGAUUAAUAAUUGAUAUUUGUAAGAUUUUUGAAUAUUAAAAAAAGUUAGCAUACUUAAGAAAGAUAUUCAAGAUCGGGAGUGUUUGAUAUCGGAUUAAUUUCCUUAUUUUCUCUAUUUUAAUAAAUUUUCACGUCCAUUACAAAAUUUUUGUUGUUUAUUUUUUACUUCAAUAUUUUUAUUUUGUAAUAGAAAUUUGAAAAGAUUUUUUCCUACAUGUUAAAAAAAAAAAAGAUUUGAACACUCCUAAAAAAGAAAUAUUGCAAUAAAAUUAAAGUUUACACUGUAGGACUAUUAGCAAAUGCUGCAUACUUAAAAUAGACCAAUUAAAGUAGAAAUACUUCUAAAAUUGUAAUUUAGGUAACAAUAAUAUAAAAAGACAAUAUUUUUGAAACAAUAGUUCUCUUGGAGUUUUGGGUACAAUGGACUAGACUUUAUGUAACAAUAGAUAUACAAACUUUCCAUUAACAUCUUGAGAGACAUGAUGAGGAGCAAAGUCAUCCAAGAAGGUACCAUAGAGGUACCUUAGCUCAAUUCAUCUAGACUACAUAAUGUUUAAAGAUCAAAUUCAAUGACUAGAUUUCAAAAAUCAAUAUAAGCUUUCUCAUAUUCUACUCUAUAUAAGACAAUGGUAUGAUACCUCUCUUGUGUCGUAGAAUGCACCAUGAAAACCUUAUCAUUUUAACAUCAGUUUGAAACUUAAAAGUCACUUAGCACAUUCUAGUUAUUAAUUUAAGAGCAUUAAAAGAAAUAUAUAAAAAAAAAGUUACUUUAUCCUUGUGAUUUUGAUCUAGGACUUUUAAUGAUAUUAAAAAAAAAAACAGAAAAAUAAAUGGAAAUAAAAUCAAUAAAUUAAACAAUUGAAUUAAGUUAGUUUAAUUUUUGAAUCGUUAAAUGGGUAAAUAAAGAUCUUAGAUUUGAUAUUAAUAUGAACAUCAUGACUUCAGUGAAUCUUACAAGAAAAUUUUAGUUUGAAAGACUUCAUUCAUUAAACGUGUGGCACAUAUUAAAGUAAAACUAAGUCUUCUCUAUAAUUUGUACCUAUCAUAGUUUCUUUCCUCAUAAAUAGCCUUUUUUGAAUAUAAUAUAGACUUCAACAUGCAUGGUGGGGCCAAUCAAACUACUAGUCAAGACAACUCAUGGGCAACAACGAUGUACCAACUACAUUUAAAUACUCUUCAUAUAUUUGCAUAUCAAGAGUAAUUUAGUAGUGUCUUUCUUAUGUACCUCAUAUCUAGACUUUCAAUGGAGAGUUCUUCAUCUAAAAAUUUGACUUGGGUUUUCAUACUAGUUUUGGUUUAGACAUGUGGAUGCAAAGGUUGCAUCAAAGAAGAGAAGUAGGCUAAAUCAUCUUACAAAUUUUCAAGUUCAAAUUAGAUGCACCAAACAUAUGCAACAUAUUUGAUAUAACUAAUAUUUUCUUAAGUAAUUGAAUACAAUUUUUUUUUAUAAAUUCACUUGAUUAUUAAUGGAUAACUAACUACAUGUAUGGUAUUGACACAACUUGAUAAAUUUUUUAAAAUAGUAUUAGAAUAACUUUGCUAAAAAAAAGUAAAAAUAAAAAUAAAAAUACAUCUAUAUAUAUAUAUAAUUAAAUAAAAUUAAAAAUUAAUAUAUAUAUAUAUAUAUAUAUAUUCUGUGUGUGUAUGUGUGCAUGGUCUCACAAGUCAUUAGCUACUCAUAAGCUUUAUAUCACUUUCUCAAAGUCAAGUCAUUUUGUAAUUAUUUCUAUCUAGCCUUCUCCAUUACGACAACUGUAUAGGAUAUUGAUUGAUUGUAAAAAUCUUCAUGUCUUUUUUUAUAAGAUAGUUUUUUAUUAUUAUUAUUAUUCAAAGAAUUUUCUUUUAUUAUUGAAACUUUCAAAUCCUUUAUGUCUAGUGGUCCUACAAUUCCCUAUUCAUUGGUAUUUCAUAUUACCAAUCAUUUUACAAAUAAGUUUAUUUCACCCGGUAAAUAUACUUAACUACCAAUGGUUUCAAAUUUAAUUGAUUAACACACUUAUAGAUGUAAUUUGUUUUUAAAUUUUAUUUCUUUUAGAAGAAUUGUAGGUAAAAAUGUUCUAGGAAUAUGUGUUCAAUAAUUCUCUAAAAACAAUUUAUAUAGAUGGAAUACAUUCAUGGAAGUUCCAACUAAUGAAAUUUAAAACCAAUGACGAUUUAAUGUAUUUGCACUAAAUCUUAGGGGAGGUGUACUAAAACUAGCCCUUUUACAAAUAUUUGUAGCUAGUAUAUUUGUAGUUAUGGUGUUGGAAGUUGAUCAUUUUCUUAAAGGCCUCUAAGAUAUUGGAAAUAUCGCCAAAGUUUUGAACUUUUUGUUUCACCUAAAUAAAAUAUCAUUAAUUUAAUAUAUAUACUCUUCGCUUGAAAGUAUAGUUUCUUCAUAUUGUAUGAAGUUGUAACUAGGUGACAAUAUUAGGUGAAAUUUUUUUUUGUUUACUACAAAAUAUAAAUAAUAUAUUUAUUAUAUGAUAAAAUUUUGUAAAAUAUAUUAUUAUAGAUGCAAAAUUAUUAAUGGAGUUUUAUUUUUUACUAAAUUAUCAUUUCAAUAAAUAAGAACUUAUUUGUUAAAAGAAAAUUAUAAAAUAUAUGCAAUUGAAAAAAAUUUAAUUUUUUUAUUUAAUUUGGUAUUUUAUUUGAAUUAAUAAUUGAUAUUUGUAAAAUCUUUUAAUAUUAAAAGAAGUUAACAUACUUAAAAAAGACAUUCAAAAUCAAGAGAGUAUUUGAUAUGAAAUUAAUUAAUUAUUUUUUUUCUAUUUAAAUAAAUUUUUACAUCCAUUAAAAAAAUUUUCUUGUUUAUUUUUCACUUCAAUAUUUUUAUUUUGUAAAAUAAAUAGAAAUAAAAUCAACAAAUUAAACAAUUGAAUUAAGUUAGUUUAAUUUUGCCACCGUUAAAUUGGUAAAUGAAGACUCUUAUAUUUGAUAUUAACAUGAACAUCAUGACUUCAUUGAAUAUUCUCACAAGAAAAUUUUAGUUUGAAAGAUUUUAUCCUUUAAACAUGUGGCACAUAUUAAAGUGAGACCAAGUCUUCCCUAUAAUUUGUAUCUAUCACAAUUUCUUUCCUAAUGAAUAACCUUUUUGAAUAGAAUAUAGACUUUAGCAUAUUACCAACCAUUUUACAAAUAAGUUAAUUUCACUCAGUAAAUAUACUUAACCACCAAUGGUUUCCAAUUUGUAGCACUCUUAUAGAUGUAGUUUUUUUUUUAAAUUUUAUUUUUUAGAAGAAUUGUAGGUAAAAAUAUUUUAGAUAUAUAUGUUCAACAAUUCUCUAAAAACAAUUUAUAUAGAUGGAAUACGUUCAUGGAAGUUCCAACUAAUGAAAUUUAAAACCAAUGAUGAUUUAAUGUAUUUGUACUAAAUCUUAGGGAGUGUGGACUAAAAUUAGCCCUUUUACAAAUAUUUAUAACUAGUAUAUUUGUAGUUGUGGUAUUGAAAGUUGAUCAUUUUCUUAAAAGGUUUACCAUUGAAGUUAGUUGAAUAUAAAGUUAGGUGAACUUUACCAUUGUUUAAUUGGUAAAUGAAGACUCUUAGAUUUGAUACUAACAUGUACAUCAUGACUUCAUUGAAUCUCUCACAAGGAAAUUUUAGUUUGAAAGACUUCAUCUUUUAAACAUGUGGCACAUAUUAAAGUGGACCAAGUCUUCCCUAUAAUUUGUAUCUAUCACAAUUUCUUUCCUCAUAAAUAGCCUUUUUUAAUAGAAUUAAUAUAGACUUUAGCAUGCAUGGUGGGCCCUGUCAAACUAUUAGUCAAGAUAAUUUGUAGGUAAGAACGAUGGACCAACUAUAUUAAAUAUUCUUCAUCUAUUUGCAUAUCAAGAGCAACUUAAUAUUGUCUUUCUUUUGUACUUCAUGUUUGAACUUUCAAUGGAGAGUGUGUCAUCUAAAUAUUUGAUGUGGGUUUUUAUACUAUUCUUGGUUCAAAUAUGUGGAUGCAAAGGUUGCAUCGAAGAAGAGAAGAUGGGUUUGCUUGAAUUCAAGGCUUUUCUUAAAUUGAAUAAUGAGCAUGCAGAUUUUCUUCUCCCUUCAUGGAUAGAUAACAACACUAGUGAAUGUUGUAAUUGGGAGCGGGUUAUUUGCAAUCCCACCACAGGUCGAGUUAAGAAGCUUUUCCUCAAUGAUAUUACGCAACAACAAAGUUUCUUGGAAGACAAUUGGUACCAAUAUGAAAAUGUCAAAUUCUGGUUACUAAAUGUCUCCCUAUUCCUUCCUUUUGAAGAACUUCACCAUCUAAACUUGUCUGCAAACUCAUUUGAUGGGUUUAUUGAGAAUGAAGGUAUGUUACCUCUCACCUUUAAAAUUUCAUUUCACUUAUACUCCAAACAUUCUAAAGGAACUACUAGCAUAUGUUCUUAAAAGUGUUCAGGUGGAGACCAAAUGGUCACUAGUAACUAUUGAAUUUAAUAUAAGAACAAUUACUAAUUAUUAAAAUUUAUAAUGUAAAUUAACAUUUAAACAGAACAAUAAAAAAAUUAUUAUUUUAGAAAACUAUAGAUUACAUUAGCCUUAUAUAUAUAAGCAUACUUGUUAUUUAUGCCAUCAUUUCACACUCAACCCAAUAAGUGGGAUUCAACUAAGAGUGAGCAAUUUCACAAUUAUUAAUUAACAGGAACACUUAGUCUCCCAUAUCCUUAUCCUUUUUGUUGAAUUGUCUUUCCUUAUCUUCCAUUCCUAAAAAGCUUGAUUUCUAUAUUCUAAAUUGAUAAAGAUUGGUUAAAGAAAGGUGAUCACAAAAUUUGACUAUUGCUGUCAAAUAAGGAAUCACCAUCUUCAAAGUUUCACAUUUACAAAAAAAAAAAAAAAAAAAAAAAAAAAAAAAAAAAACCCUAGCCUUGGGUAAGGUCCAAGCCUUAUUGUUUUAAGCUGAUGUCGGGUUGGUUUAAUAAUAAACAAAAAAAAUCCUAACCCAUGACCAUCUACGCAUUUCCAAAUUCCACCCAUCCACAACCCAUUAAUAUGACAUUUUCAAGGACAAAAUUUAAUCAAUUAAACCUAUUAGAUGGAUUCUCCAUACAAUGUUAAAAUGAAUAUAAAAACUUUAAUUCAAAAAAUAAUUUCCUUUAUUUAGUUAGGAUUCAAAUUAUAGGGGCACAAAACAUGAAAAUUUUCAUGUUUAAAAUUCACAAAGAUCACAAAAGCUCUUUGAAGCUCUAUGGACUUUUUUAUUUCUAACAUUUAAACACAAAAAUCACCAUAUUUAAUUAGAGAUUUGGAUACAUAUUCUUAUAUUAAAGACAUGUAAGCUUACAUAUUUAAAUAUGAAGAUCUCAACUUGUAAUUACAUGCUUCUAAUUAAAGUUAUAUUACUCUAUUUUAUAGGAUUUAAAGGGUUAUCAAGUUUAAAGAAAUUGGAGAUCUUAGACAUAAGUGGUAAUGAGUUUGAAAAAAGUGUCUUAAAAUCUUUGGACACAAUAACAUCACUCAAGACAUUGGCUAUUUGCAGCAUGGGACUGAAUGAAUCUUUUUCCAUUCGAGGCAUGUUAUAUGUCCACAUUGUUUCUUUGAAAUUAAGUAAAAUAUAUUUCUAACUUUUAAUGUUCCUUAGUUAAUCUCUCUUUUGAUUCAUGUUUGUUGCAGAAUUAGCUAGUUUGAGAAAUUUGGAAGUGUUGGAUCUAAGCUAUAAUGAUUUGGAAAGCUUUCAACUAUUGCAAGGUACUUCAUUAACUUGCUAAAAAAACUUAUGAUAUUUUGUUAUUAAAUUAAAGGUAAGAUUAACAAACAAUUUCUUCUCAUUAGUUACUUUUCUUUGUAAUAUCAUUAAAUUUGAUAUAAAGUAGUCUAAAUCAUCCUUUCAAUUUAUAAGUUUUAAUUAAAACGCAUCAAGCAUGCACAAGAUGUUUAAUAUAACUAAUAUUUUCAUAAGUAAUUGAAUUUUUUUAUAUGAAUUAAUUAACUUGAUUAUCAAUAAAUACUUACAUGUAUAAGAUUAAUAUAGUUUCAUAAGUAUUUUAAAAUUGUCUUACAACACACACACACACACACACAAGGAAAAUGAAAGGUAUGUGAUAUCUUUAUGCUAUGUUUGGUUCCCAAAAAAAUUGAGGGAAAAUGAAAGGAGAAAAAAGUAGAGACGAAAAGUAAAAGAAAAGAAAAAAAGUAAAGAAAAAUAUAAAAUUGAUUAAAGUAAAUACAUUAUUUUUAUAUGUUACUUUAACUUGUUUCACUUAUUUUAAUUCUUCAAUGUAAAGAUGAAAGAUUUGAAAAUGCAUAAGUUUCUAAUUAUUUUUUAUUUUAUUUUAUAGUUUUUACAAUACAACCAAACAUAAUAAAAUCAUUUUCUUUAAUUUUUUUUCUUUUCUUAAUACUUUUCACGAACCCUUUAAGUUAUGUUUGUUUGCAGAAAAUAUGAGGAAUAGAAAAUAGAAAAGAAAAUUAGAAGGAAAGAAAAAGUGAAGUAAAAUAAAAAUAAAUUUAAAUUUAAUAAAUUAUUUGUAUAUGCUACUUUAAACUUAUUUCACUUAUUUUAAAUUAUUUAAACUCAUUUCUAAUAAAUAAUAAUGGAAAUUGUAGAGAAGUUUGUGUUAUUCAAGCUUUGCAAUGACUUUACAAGGUGAAGGAAAAUAUUCUUGCUGAAAUUGAAAAAAGAAAUACCUUCUUAAAUAGCCUAUUGACCGAAAACACAUUACCCUAACAUAUACACACACCUUUAUUAUUUAUACAAUCAUUUAAUACUUAAUCCAGUUAGUGGGAUUCUAGUGGUUGUUUUUAUCUUGGUUUCCAAUAUUUCUGAUUGAUAGUGUUCGAUUAAUGAAAUAUCAUAAAUUUUGACCCUAAUAAGGACCAAUCCCUAUUAAAUGUAAUUGGGUUGACCUAAGACUAAAUGUUAGAUCCAACUAAUAAAAACCCAUCUAUUUGUUGGAGUGUAAAUAACCCGGCCUUAGGUAGGGCCCAUGCCUUAUUAUUUUAAGAUGUAGUCCAACUGGUUUGACACUAGAUUGAGUAAAGCCCAACUUAUGAGCAUCUAUGCAUUUCCAUCCAUCCACAACCUACUGGCAUGGACAAACUUUGGUCAAUUAAACCUAUUAUAACUGCAUACAAAAUUUUAAGUUCAAAAGAUAAUUUUCCUUAUUUAGUUAGGAUUCAUAUUAAAAAGGCACAAAGCACGAAUUUUCAUGUUUAAAUUCACAAAUAUCACAAAAGCUCCUUCAAGCUCUAUGGACCAUUUUAUUUGUAACAUUAUAUUACUCUUAAUUAUCAAAUUAACCAACAAAUUCUUCUCAUUAGUUAUUUUUCUUUAGUAAUGUCAUAAAAUUUGAUAUAAAGUAGUAUUGGUCAUCAUUUCAAAUUUUAGGUUCCAAUUAGAUGUAUCAAGCAUGUGUACCAUAUUUGAUAUAACUAAUAUUUUUAUAAGUAAUUGAAUUUUUUUUUCUAUAAAUCAAUUAAUUUGAUUAUCAAUGAAUACUUUCAUACAUGAUAUUGAUGUAGUUUCAUAAAUAUUUUAAAAUAGUCAUAGAAGUCUUUUAUCUGAUUCACUAGAAAGAAAAAUAAACUAUUCUAAUGAAAAGACUUGAUGAUUUGAAGUGAUUGCUUUUGAUUUUAUUUGAUUGCUACCAUUAUUAAUUGUUAGAAAUUGGCAACAAAUACCCAUUUUGCAUCACUUCUAUAUGCAUCGGGGGAAUGAAUUAUAUUUCAUAGAGCUAAUAGGGCAAAACUCAAACUUUUGGAAUUAUGGAAAAGGUUGCUAGAAAGCUAAUUAACCAUUUAUAUUAUGAUUAAGACUAGUUGGGUUAGAAAUAAUUCAUAUGGAGAUUAAAAAAAACUAUGUAAUUUAGUUUAGUAGCUUGGGUGCUAUUGUAAUGAUUAAUGAUCUGCAACUUGAACACAUCUACUAGUGCUUUCUACUUGUAUAGCUAAAUUUAUGUUACCACUUUGAACUACAGUACUUACAUGAGAAGAAAGUUUUUCCUUAGUGAUAAUGCAAAAGAAAUUAAGUAUCAAUUUUUGUUAAACUAACAAGUGAUAGUUUAGAUAUGGUUUGAAUACACUUCCUUUCUUCUAUAUUUUUAUUUUGAAAAAAAAAAACUCUUUAAUGAAAUAUAAGAAAUCUUAUAUGUAUAAAAAUUAAAGACUUAAACAAAAAAAUUCUUCAAAUUUGAAAAUUUUCGAGAAGUAUUUUUAAGAAUUUGUAUUUUCAAUAUAAUAAUUCAUAUAUUUUGUAUAAAAGUUUUUGUUUAAAAAAAUAGAAGUGUGUCCAAAUUACAAAUUAAUUGUUAAAUUAAGAAUGUUUCUCAGAUCAAGAGAUGAUGAAAGUUGUAGAGAGUUUGCAUUACUCAACCUUUGCAAUUACUUUUUGAAGGUAAAAGAAAAUACCUUCCUACAUAACAUACAAUGGCAGGUUCUGGUUUGUAAGAAACUAAUAAAUGAUUAAGAAUAUGAAUAAGACUUCCUUUAUAAUGGAUAUGUAGAGAAGAAUAGUGGAUGAUAGGAGGUGAAAAUCUUGUAAUAAAAUAUCAAUAUCAGUUAUAAGAUAAUCAACAUUUUCUCUAUUUCUUGUACCUAUGUGAUUAAGAAUCUUGUAGCUCCCUUAUUGAAAUAUAAUAUAAAAAUAUAAAUAAACUAUUUAGAAGUGCAUGUAGUUUUCAACAUGAGGAAGUUCAAAAGCAAGUUAAUUAUGAUAAUUUUCUAUAGUCUAUAUUGAACACAAAUUAUUUUUACUAAAGGUUCAAUCGUUCUAUGAAGGUUAAAAGUUUGAAUUGUUUACAUAUGCAAAUGGACAACCAAACAAGAAAAUGAUUUUGAAAUCCUUUUUGGACCUUUUUUUAUCAUUCAUUUUUUCCCCUACUCUAUUUCCUUUCCCUCAAACUCUCUAGGUAGUAAACAUUACCUAAGAUAAAUAGGGAAGAAAAUAUUUUAUCAUUUAUUUAUUUAGUAUUUUUCUUACAUUUUUUGUAUGUUAUCCAAAUAUAAGAAAACUAUUUUUCUUUAUUUUUUCUUUUCCUUGUUGCUUUUCAAGAAUCAAGCAUACUUUAAACUCUAAUUAAGAGUUACAUAGAUUUACGAAGAAACAAUGCAACUGGUAACAAAAAAUUAAGGAAAUUUAAUUUUUGAGAGUAGGUAUAAUGAGAUUGGUUUGUUUGAUACAAAAUUUGAAUAAAAAUUCUUUCAAUGAAAAUUCAAGGAAAGGAAAAAAAAAACAACUUUCUCUCUAGACUAUAAUACUAAAUCACUUAAAAAAUAUCCUAACAUCGUUUAUGUUCAUCUUUCUUUUUAUGGAUUUGAAAAACCCAAUAAUUUGGAGAAAACUGAUUCAAGGAAGAAUAAUUUUUAGAAUAAAAUAUUAUUAUUUAAGAAGAUCAUAAAUAUUAUAGUCAUUGUUGAAUAUGAUAAAUGAUUUAAAAAAAAUGGUAGUUGGAAAUUUAGAUACUUUUAUAAGACAAAUGAAUUUUUCUAGUAUGGUAUGAAAAAAGGUAAAAUGAUAGGCUUUGAUCAUUUUUUAAGGUAGUUUGUUUAAAUCAUUUUAAUUUAUUUUCAUUUAAGAACAAUAACUUUUAUUACACUAGUUAUUUUGAUUUUCUUUUGAUAGAUUUUGCAAGCUUAAGCAAUUUGGAGCUAUUGGAUUUGAGUAAUAAUUCAUUUAGUGGGAGCGUUCCAUCAUCUAUAAGAUUGAUGUCUUCUCUCAAGUCUUUAUCCCUGGCUGGAAAUUACCUCAAUGGUUCCUUACCAAAUCAAGGUAUAUAUAUAUUGUGAUUACAGGUUUUUCUGUUUUCUUUUUUAAUAUCUUGUUUGUUCUUUAUGCCAAUGAAGUCAUGCAUGUCUAUUAAUUUUUGGUAUUUAAUAAAAAACUUUAUUCUUAAUUCAUAAAGACCUCAUCAACGGUAAGUAACAGCUAGUUGUAAGUUUGGGGGCAUUGACAAGACGAGGAGAUGAUUGGUUACAUGUCUUAUUCUCUUUUGUAGGCUUUUGCCAAUUGAAUAAGCUUCAAGAAUUAGAUCUUUCUUACAACUUGUUCCAAGGAAUCCUUCCUCCAUGUUUGAAUAAUUUGACAUCUUUGAGGUUAUUGGAUCUCUCUUCCAACCUAUUCUCCGGAAAUCUUUCUUCCCCUCUGUUACCUAAUCUCACAUCCCUGGAGUACAUCGAUCUCAGUUACAAUCAUUUUGAGGGUUCAUUCUCUUUCAGCUCUUUUGCUAAUCACUCCAACCUUCAAGUGGUCAAACUUGGAAGGAAUAACAACAAAUUUGAGGUAGAAACUGAAUAUCCAGUUGGUUGGGUUCCCCUGUUUCAGUUGAAAGCUCUUGUGCUAUCCAACUGUAAGCUCAUCGGUGACCUUCCUAGUUUCCUUCGACACCAAUUAAGAUUAACCGUGGUUGAUCUCUCCCAUAAUAACUUGACUGGAAGUUUCUCCAUUUGGCUGCUUGAAAACAAUACAAGACUAGGAUCUCUAGUUCUGAGGAAUAACUCUUUAAUGGGUCAACUACUUCCCCUGAGACCUAAUAGUCGUAUCACUUUAUUGGAUAUCUCAGACAACCGACUUGAUGGGGAACUUCAACAAAAUGUGGCCAAUAUGAUUCCAAAUAUUGAGUUUCUAAAUUUAUCCAACAAUGGUUUUGAAGAUAUUCUCCUAUCCUCAAUAGCCGAAAUGAGUUCCUUACAGUCAUUGGAUUUGUCUGCUAAUAGUUUCUCAGGGGAAGUACCAAAACAAUUGCUUGUGGCAAAAUAUUUGUGGCUUCUGAAAUUAUCAAAUAAUAAAUUUCAUGGUGAAAUAUUUUCAAGGGAGUUUAACUUGACUCAGUUAGGGUUUUUACAUUUGGACAAUAAUCAGUUCAAGGGAACACUGUCAAAUGUAAUCUCCAGAAUCUCUAGGUUAUGGGUGUUGGAUAGGUAACAUGACCGAUUUGACUACCCUAGUGUUGGGCAACAAUAGUUUUAAAGGCAAAUUACCACCUGAGAUUUCUCAAUUGUUGGGGAUGAUAUUUCUUGACCUUUCUUAAAACGCUCUUUCAGGAUCUUUUCUUUCUUUGAAGAGCCUGGAGUAUUUAGAGCAUCUACAUUUGCAAGGGAACAUGUUUAUAGGAUUGAUACCUAGAGAUUUUCUCAAUUCCUCAUAUCUAUUGACUUUGGAUAUCAGAGACAACAGGUUAUUUGGAAGUAUUCCCAAUUCAAUCUCUAGACUUUUAGAGCUAAGAGGAAACCUUUUAAGUGGUUUCAUUCCAUAUCAGCUCUGUCAUUUGACUAAAAUAAGCUUCAUGGAUCUUUCAAACAACAAUUUUUCUAGGUCAAUUCCUGGAUGCUUUGGUCAUAUCAGAUUUGGAGAUUUCAAAACUGAGCACAAUGUGUAUAUACCGAUGUUGGAUUCGUAUUCAGAAAGCAAUCCUUCUAUAUAUGCGGGUUACUUAAUAAAAUUUUAUUUUUCUCUAGUGAACUCCCUAAUGAAGUAGAUGAAGUUGAGUUUGUUACCAAGAAUAGGUAUAGCUCCCACAGAGUAGAUAAAUAUAUUUGUUGGGAAUUUAGAUAUUUUUAUAGAAAAGUAGACAAGUAUUCUAAUUUAUAAAAAUAAUGCAUUUCUUUAGUUUGGUAUAAAAAAAAUGAAAUGAUAUGUAUUGGUAAUUUUUUUUAAAGUAACAAACGUUUUAUUUUAUUUGUAUUUAAGAACAAUUUUUUUUCUUAUACUAGUUAUUUUAAUUUUCUUUUGACAGAUUUUGCAAGCUUAAGCAAUUUGGAGAUGCUAGAUUUGAGUUAUAAUUCCUUAAGUGGGAUUAUUCCAUUAUCUAUAAGAUUGAUGCCUCAUCUCAAGUCUUUAUCCUUGGCCAGAAAUCACUUCAAUGGUUCUUUACAAAAUCAAGGUACAUAUGUUAUGAUUUGUUUGUUUCAUAUAGAUUAGAGAAGAUGAAUAUUGUUAAAAAAAAAAAGUUGUUGUUAAUGUAAGCUAGAAAUAAGUAUUUUGCCUUAUAAAUUAUAUAAGCAUGUGUUUGUUCUGAAUGAAUCUUUACAACAUUUAGAGUUACCAAUGUUUAUAAUUCAUAAAGACCUCAUUAACAGUGAGUAACAACUAAUUGUAAGUAAUUGUGGAAAAAGUAAGGAAAACAAAAUGAGGGAAAAGCAAGGAAUUAGGAAAUUAUUUUGUUCCCAUAAAAAAAUGCUAAGGAAGAAAAAGGUAAAAGAAAGUUUAAAAAAAGUGUAUUUUUCAAAAAUUUAUUUCUCUUUCCUUUAAUUUUGCUAUGGACAACCAAACAAGAAAAUAAUUUUAUAAUUCCUUUUUUUUUUCAUUCUCUCUCUCUCUCUCUCUUUUUCCCUACUCUAUUUCUUUUCCCUCAAACUUUCUUGAUAGUAAACACAACCUAAGGUAAAUGAGGAAGAAAAUUUUUAGUUUUUUUUAUUUUUUAUUUUUUUAGAAUGUUUUCUUACUUUUUAGUAUUUUAUGCAAAUAUAGGAAAAUUUUCAUCUUUCUUUUUAUGGAUUUGAAAAACCCAAUAAUUUGGAGAAAACUGAUUCAAGGAAGAAUAAUUUUUAGAAUAAAAUAUUAUUAUUUAAGAAGAUCAUAAAUAUUAUAGUCAUUGUUGAAUAUGAUAAAUGAUUUAAAAAAAUGGUAGUUGGAAAUUUAGAUACUUUUAUAAGACAAAUGAAUUUUUCUAGUAUGGUAUGAAAAAAGGUAAAAUGAUAGGCUUUGAUCAUUUUUUAAGGUAGUUUGUUUAAAUCAUUUUAAUUUAUUUUCAUUUAAGAACAAUAACUUUUAUUACACUAGUUAUUUUGAUUUUCUUUUGAUAGAUUUUGCAAGCUUAAGCAAUUUGGAGCUAUUGGAUUUGAGUAAUAAUUCAUUUAGUGGGAGCGUUCCAUCAUCUAUAAGAUUGAUGUCUUCUCUCAAGUCUUUAUCCCUGGCUGGAAAUUACCUCAAUGGUUCCUUACCAAAUCAAGGUAUAUAUAUAUUGUGAUUACAAGUUUUUAUGUUUUCUUUUUUAAUAUCUUGUUUGUUCUUUAUGCCAAUGAAGUCAUGCAUGUCUAUUAAUUUUUGGUAUUUAAUAAAAAACUUUAUUCUUAAUUCAUAAAGACCUCAUCAACUGUAAGUAACAGCUAGUUGUAAGUUUGGGGGCAUUGACAAGACGAGGAGAUGAUUGGUUACAUGUCUUAUUCUCUUUUGUAGGCUUUUGCCAAUUGAAUAAGCUUCAAGAAUUAGAUCUUUCUUACAACUUAUUCCAAGGAAUCCUUCCUCCAUGUUUGAAUAAUUUGACAUCUUUGAGGUUAUUGGAUCUCUCUUCCAACCUAUUCUCCGGAAAUCUUUCUUCCCCUCUGUUACCUAAUCUCACAUCCCUGGAGUACAUCGAUCUCAGUUACAAUCAUUUUGAGGGUUCAUUCUCUUUCAGCUCUUUUGCUAAUCACUCCAACCUUCAAGUGGUCAAACUUGGAAGGAAUAACAACAAAUUUGAGGUAGAAACUGAAUAUCCAGCUGGUUGGGUUCCCCUGUUUCAGUUGAAAGCUCUUGUGCUAUCCAACUGUAAGCUCAUCGGUGACCUUCCUGGUUUCCUUCGACACCAAUUAAGAUUAACUGUGGUUGAUCUCUCCCAUAAUAACUUGACUGGAAGUUUCCCCAUUUGGCUGCUUGAAAACAAUACAAGACUAGGAUCUCUAGUCGUAUCACUUUAUUGGAUAUCUCAAACAACCGACUUGUUGGGGAACUUCAACAAAAUGUGGCCAAUAUGAUUCCAAAUAUUGAGUUUUUAAAUUUAUCCAACAAUGGUUUUGAAGGUAUUCUCCCAUCCUCAAUAGCUUAAAUGAGUUCCUUACAGUCGUUAGAUUUGUCUGCUAAUAGUUUCUUAGGGGAAGUACCAAAACAAUUGCUUGCGGCAAAAUAUUUGUGGCUUCUGAAAUUAUCAAAUAAUAAAUUUCAUGGUGAAAUAUUUUCAAGGGACUUUAACUUGACUCAGUUAGGGUUUUUACAUUUGGACAAUAAUCAGUUUAGGGGAUAUUUCUCCAGAAUCUCUAGGUUAUGGGUGUUGGAUGGGAGAUAGUUUUAAAGGCAAAUUACCACCUGAGAUUUCUCAAUUGUCGGGGAUGAUAUUUCUUGACAUUUUUCAAAACGCUCUUUCAGGAUCUCUUCCUUCUUUGAAGAGCCUGGAGUAUUUAGAGCAUCUACAUUUGCAAGGGAACAUGUUUAUAGGAUUGAUACCCAGAGAUUUUCUCAAUUCCUCAUAUCUAUUGACUUUGGAUAUCAGAGACAACAGGUUAUUUGGAAGUAUUCCCAAUUCAAUCUCUAGACUUUUAGAGCUAAGAGGAAACCUUUUAAGUGGUUUCAUUCCAUAUCGGCUUUGUCAUUUGACUAAAACAAGCUUCAUGGAUCUUUCAAACAACAAUUUUUCUGGGUUAAUUCCCGGAUGCUUUGGUCAUAUCGGAUUUGGAGAUUUCAAAACUAAGCACAAUGUGUAUAUACCGAUGUUAGAUUCGUAUUCAGAAAGCAAUCCUUCUAUAUAUACGGGUUACUUAAUAAAAUAUUUAUUUUUCUCUACUGAACUCCUUGAUGAAGUAGAUGAAGUUGAGUUUGUUACCAAGAAUAGGUAUAGCUCCCACAGAGUAGAUAAAAAUAUUUGUUGGGAAUUUAGAUAUUUUAUAGGACAAUAUACAAGUAUUCUAAUUUAUAAAAACAAUGCAUUUCUUUAGUUUGGUAUAAAAAAAAUAAAAUGAUAGGUAUUGGUAAUUUUUUUUCAAAGUAACAAACGUUUUAUUGUAUUUGUAUUUAAGAACAAUGUCUUUUCUUAUACUAGUUAUUUUAAUUUUCUUUUGACAGAUUUUGCAAGCUUAAGCAAUUUGGAGAUACUAGAUUUGAGUUAUAAUUCCUUAAGUGGGAUUAUUCCAUCAUCUAUAAGAUUGAUGUCUUGUCUCAAGUCUUUAUCGUUGGCCGGAAAUCACCUCAAUGGUUCUUUACAAAAUCAAGGUACAUAUGUUAUGAUUUGUUUGUUUCAUAUAGAUUAGAGAAGAUAAAUAUUGUAAAAAAAAAAAAAGUUGUAGUUAAUGUAAGCUAGAAAUAAGUAUCUUGCCUUAUAAAUUAUAUAAGCAUGUGUUUGUUCUUAAUGAAUCUUUACAACAUUUAGAGUUACCAAUGUUUAUAAUUCAUAAAGACCUCAUUAACGGUGAAUAACAACUAAUUGUAAGUAAUUGUGGAAAAAGUAAGGAAAACAAAAUGAGGGAAAAGCAAGGAAUUAGGAAAUUAUUUUUUUCCCAUAAAAAAAUGCUAAGGAAGAAAAAGGUAAAAGAAAGUUUAAAAAAAGUGUAUUUUUAAAAAAAUUAUUUCUCUUUCCUUUAAUUUUGCUAUGGACAACCAAACAAGAAAAUCAUUUUAUAAUUCCUUUUUAUUUUUUUCAUUCUCUCUCUCUUUUUUUCCCUACUCUAUUUCUUUUCCCUCAAACUUCCUUGGUAGUAAACACAACCUAAGAUAAAUGGGGAAGAAAAUUUUCAGUUUUUAUUUUUAUUUUUUUAGAAUGUUUUCUUACUUUUUAGUAUUUUAUGCAAAUAUAGGAAAAUUAUUUUUUUUUCUUGCUCCUUUUCAGACAUGAAUCACACUUUAAAAGAAAAUUAAUUUUUAAUUAGGAGUUAAGAUAAAUUUAAGGAGAAACAAUGAAUCACGAAUAACAAAAAAUUAAGGAAAUUGAAUUUUUGAAAGUAAGUAUAAUCAAAUUGCUUCAUUUGAUACAAAAUUUGAAUAAAAAUUCUUUCAAUGAAAAAUCAAGGAAAGGAAAAAACAUUUUUGUCUCUAGAUUAUAAUACUUAAUCAUGUAAAAAAUCUCUUAACAUCAUUUAUAUUCAUAUUUCUUUUUGUAGAUUUGAAAAAUUCAACAAUUUGGAAUAAACUUAUUCAAUGAAGAAUAAUUUUUAGAUUUAAAGAUUAUUAUUUAAGAUCAUAAAUAUUACCAUCAUUGUUGAUGUCCAAGAAGAUCAUAUUCAACAAUUUUUUUAAUAUGUUGUUUUUUAUGGUAAUUAAUUGAUGUCUUGUAAUUUUUAAUAUUUAAUGAAAAACAUUAAUUUAAUUCAUCUAAAGCUCUUAAUUCAUGAAGACCUCGUUAAUGUAAUGGUGAGUAAUAGUUGGCUGUAAGUUUGGAGUCAAAGACAUGUUAAGGAGAUGAUUAGUUACAUGUCUUAUUCUCUUUUGUAGGUUUCUGCCAAUUGAAUAAGCUUCAAGAGUUAGAUCUUUCUUACAACUUAUUCCAAGGGAUCCUUCCUCCAUGUUUGAAUAAUUUCACAUCUCUGAGGUUAUUGGAUCUCUCUUCCAACCUCUUUUCCGGAAAUUUUUCUUCCCCUCUGUUACGUAAUCUCACAUCCCUAGAGUACAUAGAUCUCAGUUCCAAUCAGUUUGAGGGUUCAUUCUCUUUCAGCUCUUUUGCUAAUCAUUCCAAGCUUCAAGUGGUCAUACUUGGAAGGGAUAACAACAAAUUUGAGGUAGAAACUGAAUAUCCAGUUGGUUGGGUUCCCCUGUUUCAGUUGAAGAUUCUCUCUCUAUCCAGCUGUAAGCUCACCGGUGACCUUCCUGGUUUUCUUCAAUACCAAUUCAGGUUAGUGGGGGUUGAUAUCUCACAUAAUAACUUGACAGGAAGUUUCCCCUAUUGGUUGCUUGAAAACAAUACGAGACUAGAAUCUCUAGUCUUGAGGAAUAACUCUUUAAUGGGUCAACUACUUCCCUUGGGACCUAAUACUCGUAUCAAUUCAUUGGAUAUCUCACACAAUCAGUUGGAUGGACAACUUCAAGAAAAUGUGGCCCAUAUGAUUCCAAAUAUUAUGUUUCUAAAUUUAUCCAACAAUGGUUUUGAAGGUAUUCUCCCAUCCUCAAUAGCUGAACUAAGAGCCUUAUGGAUUUUGGAUUUGUCUACCAAUAAUUUCUCUGGAGAAGUACCAAAGCAAUUGCUUGCAACAAAAGAUUUGGGGAUUCUGAAAUUAUCAAAUAAUAAAUUUCAUGGUGAAAUAUUUUCAAGGGACUUUAACUUGACUGGGUUAUUGUGUUUGUAUUUGGGCAAUAAUCAGUUCACAGGAACUCUGUCAAAUGUAAUCUCCAGAAGCUCUUGGUUGGAGGUGUUGGAUGUGAGCAACAACUACAUGUCAGGUGAAAUUCCAAGCCAGAUAGGUAACAUGACCGAUUUGACUACACUGGUGUUGGGCAACAAUAAUUUUAAAGGCAAAUUACCACUUGAGAUUUCUCAAUUGCAACGGAUGGAGUUUCUUGACGUUUCUCAAAAUGCUUUUUCAGGAUCUCUUCCUUCUUUGAAGAGCAUGGAGUAUUUAGAGCAUCUACAUUUGCAAGGGAACAUGUUUACAGGAUUAAUACCCAGAGAUUUUCUCAAUUCCUCAAAUCUAUUGACUUUGGAUAUUAGAGAAAACAGGUUAUUUGGAAGUAUUCCCAACUCAAUCUCUGCACUUUUGAAGCUAAGGAUUCUUUUGCUAGGAGGAAACCUUUUAAGUGGUUUUAUUCCAAAUCAUCUUUGUCAUUUGACUGAAAUAAGCUUGAUGGAUCUUUCAAACAACUCUUUUUCAGGGCCAAUUCCCAAAUGCUUUGGCCAUAUCCGAUUUGGGGAAAUGAAAAAGGAGGACAACGUGUUUGGACAGUUCAUUGAAUUUGGGUUUGGAAUGGUUUCUCAUCUUGUAUAUGCAGGUUACUUGGUGAAAUAUUACGGUUCCCCAACUUUAGUAUAUAAUGAAAAAGAUGAAGUUGAGUUUGUCACCAAGAACAGGAGUGACUUCUACAAAGGUGGCAUCCUUGAAUUCAUGUCUGGAUUGGACUUAUCAUGUAACAACUUGACAGGCGAAAUACCUCAUGAACUUGGAAUGCUAAGUUGGAUUCGUGCAUUGAACUUGUCUCACAAUCAAUUGAAUGGCUCCAUUCCAAAGAGUUUCUCUAAUCUUUCUCAAAUAGAGAGCUUAGACCUUUCUUAUAAUAAACUGGGUGGAGAAAUUCCUCUAGAGCUAGUUGAACUCAAUUUUUUAGAGGUGUUUAGUGUGGCUUACAACAACUUCUCUGGUAGAGUUCCAGAUACCAAAGCACAAUUUGGGACAUUUGAUGAAAGGAGCUAUGAAGGUAAUCCUUUCCUUUGUGGGGAACUAUUAAAGAGGAAAUGCAACACAAGUAUUGAGUCACCAUGCACACCAUCACAGUCUUUUGAAAGUGAGGCAAAAUGGUAUGAUGUCAAUCAUGUUGUUUUCUUUGCAAGUUUUACUACUUCAUAUAUCAUGAUCUUGUUAGGAUUUGCUAUCAUCCUUUACAUCAAUCCUUAUUGGCGUCAUAGAUGGUUCAAUUUUAUCGAGGAAUGUAUAUAUUCCUGCUAUUAUUUUGUUUUUGAUAGUCUUUCCAAGUUAUCAGCAUAUUUGUAUAAUUAGAUACUUUUAAUUGGAUGAUAUUUGCAUAAUUAACUACUAUUUGUUUCCCUGGGAUAGAAAGAAAUGGGAUGUAUAAUGCUAUGAGCUGAAACUUACAUACUUUGCUCAAAUUCUAACAUCUUUUGAUUUUAUUUUCAAGUUCCGUUAUUUAUUAUGUAUUGCUUAAUUCAAGAUUUAACCAUAUUACGUUACUCUUAUAAAAGCAAAUUCAAAUUUUUAGGAACUUUUAGCAUUAAAAUAAUUUCAUAGUCAGAUUUUAAAAAAUAAAGAAGAAAGAAAAUAAUAAAUAAUUGGAAAAACAAUUCAAGGAAGUAUUAAAUUAUUAUCUUAGAAUUAUUUGGCGUAGUAUGGGAAUUCAAAAAUAAUCUUUCAAUUUGUUAGAAAUGUUUAUUUAUUUAUUAUAGCAAUGAUUGAAAUAUCAAUCACAAAGUAAUGUUUUCUUUUCUUUUGUAGGGCACUAACACUUUUUCUUUGAUAGUAAUAAUUGAUAAAUAUAUUACACAAUUAUUUGUUUUAAAAAAGGGAGGGAUGACAAACAUAAUAACAUGUGAAAUAUUUCUAAAACUGUAAUGGGAAAUAAGCCAUCUAAUUAGGGUGCAAUAUUAUUCAUUUUAAUUUACAUGAAUUUACUUAUUUUUAUUUGCAUCAUAUUUUGAACUAUUUUAUGAAAUUAAGGGAGAUUAAAACAUCACGAGUUUCUUAUUUUAGUUUAUAUUCUUAAUAAUAAAGCAUGAAAUAUUAUAAAAAAAAAAAUCAUGAAUUUCUUUAAUUCCUUAGGAAACCAAUAUAUAAAAAAUUGAACAUAUUAUUAUUUUAUAUCCUAAAUCUCUAAAUUUGUUCAUUACCUAUUUAUUUUUAUAUUAAAUUUAUUAUUAAUUAUUUAUUUAUAUUAUUAUUUUAUGUUUAAAAUGUUCAUAAAUAAUUAAAAUUAAUAAAUAUAAAAAUAAAAUAUUAAAAAAUUAAAUUAUAAAGAUUUCAUCAAACUGACAUAUUUAAAAAAAAAAAAAAGCUAAAAAAGAUGAGGAUAUUAUAGAGGAGGGGAAAAGGAUAAAAGAAAAUUCAUGUGGUAUGAUAAUAUCACGUGUCAAAGUUAUUUUCUUUAAAAAAUAAUAAUAGUAAUGAUGAACUCAUUUGUCUUAUCAAAGUAAGUUAAAAAAAAAAAAAAAAAAAAAAAAGAAAAGAAAAAGAUGGUAGUUGGCUUAUUUGUUCUUUGAAAAUAAAAAAUCAAAGUUUUAGAAAAAUACAAUUUUCUUUUAAAUGAUGAAUGGUUACAUCAUUUCCCCUUAGCUUAUCUGUUCCUUUAAACUUUAGUUUGAAUAAAAUUAGUUUUAAUUAUUUUCUUUUUGGAAUUAUAUUUAAUCGUAUUAUUAAAAAUAUAAAAAACAUCGUAAUAAUAUUGUCAAUAAGUUUUUUUAUAUAUAUUGAAAAAUAUUUAUAUUUAAAAAUAUUUAAAUUUUGUCAUGGGCUGCCCAUUUCAAAAUGAUAAGAAUAUAAUAACCUAAUUUUUCCAAAUUCCAGGUAAAUAUGCUAAUCUAAAAAAAAAAAAUUAUUAGGUUUUUAUGUGCUGAUUGGGUUUUUUUUAUACCCAGUAUGCUCUCCAAUCUACCACUUAAGCAUCCGACAUGGCUAAAAAUAAAUUUUUAAAAAAAAGAAUAAAAAAGGAAAAAAACGAAAGUGUGUGAUCUCUUUCUUGAGUCUUCACAAUCUGAGACACUGAACCCAAAUCAAAAUUAAUCCUCCAAAUUAAUUUUCACCUCCAACCCAAACCCUAACGACUGCCUCACUUUCUUCUCAAACAUAGCUAUACGAAAAACCCUAGCCUCUGCCUCGUCUUCCUCUUAUCCCGGAAACCCAAAUCCCGUGACCCUAACCCCUUCUCUUUCCGAAAACCCUCCAGAAUCGGAAGAUUCAAGUGAUCGAAUUAAUUCUUCAGAAUUAAUUUUCACCUCGAAGCCGAACCCUAACUGCCUCAUCUUCCUCUCAUUCAUAUCCCAAAAGUAGCUUCAACAGUCAGGCCUGCGGCCAUGAAAGCCGUAGUGAUCGCCACUUCCGGCGAUCCCCAAGUUCUCCAAGUGCAAGAAGUCGAAAACCCUGAAAUUGGAGAUGAUGAAGUUCUAAUUAGAGUGGACGCCGCUGCCAUUAAUCGAGCGGAUACGCUUCAGAGGAAGGGCUUGCACCCUCCCUCAAAGGCGGCAGUCCCUACCCCGCUGGAAUCAUCGAAGCUGUUGGAAAGGUCGUCGUUCGAUGGAAGGUUGGCGAUCAGGUAUUUCAAUUGCCUAAUAUUUUGAUUCCGUUUCUGUUCCUGUAUUUUUCUCGGCUAUCCUUUAUGUGAUUUUGCUUCCUCCUGAGUACAAGUUCAUAAUAUACAUGGUACAUGGUGAAUCUGUAUGACAUUUCAUGGUAUACAGGUGUGUGCUCUUCUUUCUGGUGGAGGGCAUGCUGAAAAAGUGGCUGUUCCAGCUGGGCAAGUUCUCCCUGUCCUAUCUGGUGUUUCUCUGAAGGAUGCUGCUGAGGUUGCAUGUACUGUUUGGUCAACUGUUUUAAUGAUGAGCCGACUGUCUGCAGGAGAAACAUUCCUGGUGAAUUUUUUGUCUUUUUUAUUUUCUGAUGCCUGAUAUAUUUACCAGCACAAAUUUUCCCUGUUGCUGUUUAAUGUGUGUGCAUCAAUAUUGGAUUAGGGAGGUAGAAGAGCCAUGGUUCUAUUACAUCAUCAUAUUCUUAUUUAGAUACAUUGUAUCCCACAAUUUCAUUGCAUCCAAGGCUAUGUUGUUUUUUAUUGCACGGUUUGUCAUGGUAAUUUCUCAACCCUUCUCUGGAAAAUUAUGUUGGAUGGCUGCUAUUAAUUACCCCAAAAGAAGAAAUUUUAUGUUGAAGUAAGAUGAGUAGCACAAAGAGUUACUUGUGGUUGAUCCUAUCAUCAAAUGGGCGAUUGAUGCACAAUCCAAAUGGUAAAUUUUUUUCCCCCUUUAUCCAGAUGGAAUUUUUAUGCAUGGUUGAAUAGUGAAAUGAGGACUGAUAAUAUUUCAGGUUCAUGGGGGUUCAAUUGGAAUUGGUACCAUCUAUUCAAAUAGUGAAAUAUUGAGGAGCAAGGGUAUUUGUUACAGCAGGUUUGCCAUCACUGUUCUACCUCAUCCCACAGAAUGCUUAUCUCAUGGCACCAAUUCCUUUUCUUCACAUGUUUUCAACCAUUUUUUCCACCCAGGAACGAGGAAAAAUUAGCUGUUUGUAAGGAUCAUUGAGCAGAUGUGUGCAUCAAUUACAAGACUGAAAACUUUGUUGCAUGGGUGAAGGAGGAAACAGGAGGGAAAGGUACAUUCUAUUGUAUCUUAACGAUAAUUUCAAUUGAAGGUGGAAUUGCUUUUUAUUUUUUAGUGCACCAAAUCCACUAGUCUGGAAUGUUUGAAAAGAUAAAUAGUCAUCUUCCACUUGAUUCCGAUUGUGAAGAUCUAACCCCAAAAAUGUUGAAUGACAGGUGUUGAUGUUAUACUGGAUAAUAUUGGAGGGGCCUACUUUUGGGGAGACAUCAAUGGUUUAAAUGUUGAUGGAAGGCUUUUUAUUAUUGGUUUUCAGGGUGGAACAGUGGUACAAGUAAAUCUUUCAGGUUUACUUGCAAGGCGCCUUACAGUGCAAGGUACCACUUUCUCUGUAGAAGAUUUUUCUGUAGUUUUGGAGUUGAAUCAAUUUGAUUAAUCUCAUCCAAGUUCAGAACUGAGGUGGAUUCUGGCAAGCCAAGGAAAAACCAAAUUACCAUAAAUUCUUUUUUUUUUUCUGGAUCGUUUUACUUCUUGGAAAUCCUGUUUCUCGAUCUGGUCAGGUAUAUGGAAAUUCCAAGGAAAAUAUGUUUUACAUUUUCCAUAAUUGGAAACACUCAGGAAUUUAAUAUUUUCCUCUGAAAUAGCAAUGGUUUUCUAAUUACGACAUUUGUUUUUCUUGUAUCAUCCCAAAAUAUUUUUUAGGUGUUUGUUCUCUCUUGACACAGCUUUUAAUUGGGUCUGUCUUGCUUUUUGAUAGAUCUCUUGACAAGUUGCUUGUAUAUCAUACUUUCUUUAUUGUUUUCGGAUCAUGAACCUUGCUUCUGUCAGCCCUGUUAUCACUACCCAAACUAGUAAAUUUAUGCACAAAACUCCAUGUGUCAGUAACAGUGGUUAUUUGAUUGUAUUAAAUAAUUUGUAAAUACAGUGGAUAAGUUUGUGCAUAGAUUGAAGGCGAAUGAAAAACGUGCAUAGAUUGAAGGUGUGCUGCUUGAGUUGAUUGUAGUUUGAGCAUGAAAAUUUGAAGAUCCAGAACAGCAAAUGAGGAAUGCCUAUCAAUUUGAAACCAGCAUGGGUGGAUGAAUGGAGAGGUUCUUCACUGAAUUUGUCCAUGAAGCUUUUUAGCACUCUAGGGCAAGGGUCUCCAAGCCUAGCUGUUGAUUGCACAUCCCUCCUGCGCAAUACUAAGAACAGAGUGAAAUGCAAAUGCAGGAAAGGGUGUUUCUUAGCUGUUCAACAACUGACAAUACAUUGGCAUGACAAUUCCCUGGAUCGAAUGCCACAAUGCCCUCUUGGAGUUCCAAAGCUUGUUCACAGGUCAAACGAACUUGAGGGUUUUGGGACAUGAACUCCAAGUUUGGUUGCCAAGAAUCUCCAGGUGGAGGAUCAGCUUCUGACACGUGCACACACCUCUUGGCCAGUUUGUGUUAUUGCAAUUUUUAUUAAAUUGCUAAAAAAUUUAUCGCGAACAAUUUUUUCUUUUUUCUUUUUUCUUUUUUUCUUUUUAAACAAACUGCAAAAAUCCCUUUUUUUUUUAUAUAAAAAAAAAAAAAAUUCUCCAACAAAGUGAUUUUUUUUUGUGGCAUGACUCGGUUUGACCACUAACUCGGUGAACUGGUCUAUCGGCUCAAGUUUGGAUCCCUUAAUUUUGUGGCAAAUUGGGCAUCAAGCCCAACAACCUAACUUCCAUGCGGGCUAUCUACUGGAUCUCACCCAUUGUAACUUGCUCUGGGUGAAUGGCCAUUAUAAACUUCAUUUUAUCCUCAUGUGAUUUUGAUGUGGGAAUGGGAGAGAUGAGGAUUUGACAUUUGGACCUAAGGCUCAAUGGGUUUUAACUCCACUCAGCUACUUUAUGUCUUGUAUUUAAUAUUGCAAACCAAAAUAAUAAUAGACAUGAUUCUUUUCAAAAAAUUUAUAAUGUAAUAUUUUUUAAAAUUAUAAAAUAAUAGGUUAUAUAAAUUUUAAUAUAUAGGUAAAAUUAAUUAAAUUUUAACAAAUAUCUUCACAUUUAGACAUUACAUAUUUUUUAUUUAAUAAAAUUUUAAAAUAUUAAUAUAUCUAAAUAUAAUAUUAAAAAUGAAAAAUAAAAUAGUAAUAAUUUUUAUUUUCUUUAUAUAUUUAAAAUUAUAUAAUUAUUUUUUAUUUUAAUAACAUAUAAAUUGUAUAUUUAUAAUAUUAUUGGUUCAACUGUGAUUCAACCAUCACUCCGAUUAUUCAAUUAUGAAUUAAUAAAUUUUUUAAUUCAAUGAUAGGUUUGAUUAUAAAAAUAUUAUGUUUUUUUUUAUGAAAAGUACUCAAGAAAUAUCAUUAAUCACUAAGAUCACGUGGUUGGAUUAGGUGUAUCCGAAACAUAGGUAUUACUCUCUUCCUUAGUUAGGGCUUAGCUUUUGAAAAUGUAGAUAGGUAAAGUGGAUGGAAAGUCUAUAACUACGUAGAGAUUGAGCUUGGAGGCCAAUCUAGCAAAUGUGGAGAUUAGAAAUAGUUUACCAUCUAGAUAGUCAAGCAUAGCAAUUUACCAAACCCUUACCAACCAUCCAUACUAACCAAUUGUGGUUAAAUGUUUACAAAAAUGUACAUUAAAUCAAAGAGAAAAAAGAUUAAAAACGAACAAGAGAGAAGAAGCACAUCACCUAAUUUUGGUAAUAAAUGAAAUUAAAAUAAAUUCAUAAAUUUUUUAAAUUAAAAUGAAUUUGAACUCUAGAGAUUUGUGUAGAUAUCUUAUUAAAAAACCAAAAAGUUUGUUGCAUAUAUAAUUUCAACAAUGCAUAAAUAAUUACAACAUACGCAAUACAAUAAUAUUACACAACUAUAUUUUCAAAUAUAAUAUAAGAUCAUUAAAGUGAUAAAUUGUAGUUGUAUAAAGUAUUUAUACAAGUAAAGAAGAAAUUAUGAGAUUAAAAUGCUUGUUGGAUUCUAAGUAAAAAAGAAAUGAGAUAUAGAGAUUGUCCCAUCAGACAUAUAGAAUUUCAUAUACAUAAUUUUCCCUUCAAGAAAAUUUAGGGUCAAAUUGAAAAAAUUUCAUUCAUAGAUUUUGGUAAAACCUCUAUCUAGUCCCCGAAGUCUUGUAUACAAAAGGAAAUAACAUUGGUAUGAGGGGUUUGAAUGCUUAAUUUUAGAUUGAAAAUGCUUGAGAUAAUUUUUGAUCGACUUCACAUGUGUUUUUAAUAAACUUGGAACAUUCAAACUUGUAUUUGAAGAAUCUUCAAUUUGAUCUUAAAUAAUGUUGAAACCUUCAAAAUUUGAAUAGAAGAAUCUUUAAGCAUUUGAAUUUUGGUUUAAAGAAUUUUGAAAUUUGAGACUGAAGAAUCUUCAAAUUUGGGCCUGAAGAUCAAAGGCUAAGCUUGAAGAGUUCUUGAAGCUUGAGUGGUAUGUCCGAUUUUGUUUUGUAUUUUAUAAAAACUUUUAGGCUAUGUUUGGUUCCCAGAAAAUUUGAGGGAAAAUGCGAGGGAAAGAAAAUACAAAGGAAAAGUAGAAGGAAAGAAAAAGUGAAGGAAAAUAAAAAAAUAGAUUAAAAGUUGAUAAAUUAUUUUUUUUGUUACUUCAAACUCAUUUUAUUUAUUUUAACUCAUCAAUAUAAAGAUUAAAUAAUUUAAAAAUAUAAAAGUUUUUAAUUAGUUUUAAUUAUAUUUAAUUUUCUUUGAUAUUUUUUAUAAGACAACCAAACAUGAGAAAAUCAUUUUCCUUAGCAUUUUUUUUCUUUCCUUUGUACUUUCCGGGAACCAAACAUAGCCUUAAGUAUACUAUAUUUAUAGGUUUGAAGAGACAUUGAGAUUUUGUAUACAUGUUUGGAGUUUUAAACCUUGAAAUAUUACUCUUUUAUGAAAUUAACAUUUAUAAAAUUUGGAAGAACAUAAUUAGAUAAUAUUCUAAGUUAUUUUUAAUGAAAAUUGAUAAUUACCUUUUAAUUAUCAAAUUCACUAUUUCUAUUUAUUUUUGUAAUAUAUAUUAAUUACUAAAAUCAUUUAUUUCCUUUAUUUAGUUUGAAAGCAAUUAUAUAUCUUUUGUUUGUGUAGAGCUCAUGUGACACGACAAAUUUUAUUUUGUAACUUGCUCUGGAUGAAUGGCCAUUAUAAACUUCAUUUUAUCCUCAUCUGAUUUUGACGUGGGAAUAGGAGAGAUGAGGAUUUGACAUUUGGACCUAAGCCUCAGAGGGUUUUAACUCCACUCAACUACUUUAUGCCUUGUAUUUAAUAUUGCAAACCAAAAUAAUAACAGACAUGAUCCUUUUCAAAAUUUUUAUAUUAAUAGAAGUGUAAAUAAUAUAAGUAAAAAUAAUGUAAUAUUUUUUAAAAUGAUAAAAUAAUAGGUUACAUAAAUUUUAAUAUAUAGGUAAAAUUAAUUAAAUUUUAACAAAUACCUUCACACUUAAACAUUACAUAUCUUUUAUUUAAUAAAAUGUUAAAAUAUUAAUAUAUUUAAAAUUGUAUAAUUAUUUUUAUUUUAAUACUAUAUAAAUUAUAUAUUUAUGAUAUUACUGGUUCAACUAUAAUUCAAUCACUGGUCCAACCAUUGAACCAUGAAUUAGUAAAUUUUUUUAUUCAAUGAUAGGUUUGAUUCUAAAAACAUUAUGGCUAUGUUUGGUCCCAGAAAUUUUUUUUUGAUGGAUAAUGACAAAGAUAUUACCAAUUUGAUAUCACCAAUUGAUAACACAAUUAAAAAAUAAUAUGAAUUUUAACAUAUUUGAAUUCAUUGUAAUCAUAUCCAUGACCUAAUUUUACACAUCCUUAAAUCAUGGUUGAUUUAUGAAACAAAUCUAUACCAUCAAUAGAAAAUAAAUAAAUAAAAUAAUACAAAAAAAAUAUAUAGAUAGUCAAGCAUAGCAAUUUACCAAACCCUUAGCCACCAUCCAUACUAACCUGUUGUUGUUAAAUGUUUACAAAAAUAUACAUUAAAUCAAAGAGUAAAAAGAUUAAAAACGAACAAGAGAGAAGAAAUACAUCACCUAAUUUUUGUAAUAAAUGAAAUUAUAAUAAAUUCAUAAUUUUUUUAAAUUAAAAUAGGAAUUCAAAUACAUGUAACUAUUGUUUUUGUCUUGUAAAUCAUCCAAUUUUUCAAUGAAUUUAAACUCCACAGAUUUGUGUAGAUAUCUUAUUAAAAAAAGCAAAAAGUUUUCACUAAAAUCAUAAAAUUUAGAUUAGAAAUGAUUUACUAUAUUAGUUCAAAAUUCACCUCCACAAAAAUUGAAAUAAAUUAAUUAUCUUCAAUUCAAAUAAAAUUUCUCCAAUUAAAUUUCCAAAUAUGUGCCUUAAUACCUAUAAUGGAAUUAGUAAUUUUAAUUAAAAUAAAAAUAAAAAUAAGGAUUUGAUCUUUUUCUUACCAUUUGAUGAAAAUUAUAAAAUAUAUUAAAAUGACAAGUGAUCAGACAUUUGAAAUUUGCAUCAUUUCUACCAUUGCAAACACCACCAACCCCAUAUUUCCCAUUUUUCUACCUACUGCCAAUUCACUCAUCUCUCUGGGAAGAUUUUUGAGGUUAUCGUCAUGCUUGAGAUAAUCCAGAAAGUUGAGCGGCAUCACUCUCUGAAAGGUGCCUUACAGCAUGGGUAAUGUAUGGGAUACAUCUGAUAACUUGCCAUAUCCAUAAACCACUAUAUUAAACCAUGGUUCAUAUCCCCAACGUUACACGAGAAUCUGUACUCAUCCCAAGCAGCUUGGAGAUCAUAAAAUUAGGUUUUGAGGGCCUCCCGAGACAUGCACAGCUUCACCCUUUGUGCAUUCCUUUGAUUUGGAAAAUUUCUUCUUUAGAAUUCCCCAUUAUCAUGCCCUGAACCAAGACAUAUCAUGAUUGGAUGGGCCCCUUCACCAAUUUCACAAUAUCCAAUAGCAUAUCAUUUACUUCCCUUUUGUCAAUGGGAAUUACCAUUUUGCAUGGGAAGCACCAACGGAGAUGGAGGUUUUCAAAUUGGAUCACUAGCAAAGAAACCCACCGCAACUAUCUGAAUAAUUGAGCACAACAUCGGCUUUAGAGAACUCCUCCUGAAGGCGAAAUCGUCAUCUUGGCUAAACGUAGUCAUAGUUGGGUUGUGAGAAAUGGAGAUGAAUCAUAGAAGGCUUUCAGUUUCAUAGCAACGAAAAGGUAAAUGUACUCUAGAGAAGUUUUGACCUUGGGAGAAGCGCUUUUGAAUCCAAGUCAAGGUCUGUUCUGGAUCCCUUUUCGACUCUCUCUAUUAAAGGAAGAUAAUCUGCCUAGGAUUUGGAUGCAAGCUUGCAAGGCCAUGUUUAGGAGACUUAUGCAAAAUAUUUAUCCAUAGCUCCCCGCCUGAAACAUCUACAUAAAGCGUCUUCCAAGUGUGAACCAUUGUCUUGGGUCCUUGAGAUGAACAAAAACUGAGACAUAUCGUGAGUUAGAUGCAUUGCCUGAAAAUGCCGAGCAGUAGUAUGGCCUUCUUUCUGAUCAACUGUUUUGUCAAAUUCUAGAGCUCUCAUUCCAAAUCCAUCAGUUUUCUCAAAUGAUUGGCUAGUGGAGAUCCAUGGAUAUAACAUAUGAAAUGUGCACAAUAAAAGUAAUCAAACGGUUGGUUGGUUUGGCUGAAUCCCACAAUCGCAAAGACUAAUCAUAUGAAACUGUUACCAGCUGAGUUGAAUUUGGCCUAAAAAGGAUAUCCGUUACUACAAACUAGCGUUCUUUCAUGGUGCUCUCUCUUUGCAGGCUAUCCAUGUUCCAAAGAAAAACUCUCUUGUCAUGUCUGGCACUAGGCACUGAUUAGAGUGUGGGACGUUCAUUCUCCAUUAUCACCAAACACAUGCAGGAUAUAUAUAUAUCAAUUCAUUCAAAAUAUGCCUUUAUUUUAUGGAACAUAACCGAAUCCAUUUUGUUUGUGUUGAAGAGGUAUAGAUCUUCUAAGGCUGUGGAGGGCACCACCUUUUCUCAGAAUUCUCUCUGACGAUGGGAAGCCGAAGAGAACGGGUUUUGUUUUUAUUUUGAAAACGUUGUUAUCAUUAAAGAACAAACACUAUUCUUUGGAUUUAUACCCUCUUGCCUUAGGGACCAUACUGUUUGGCUAUUGGGCCUCACGAGUCUUAGGCCCAUCAUCUAAGGCCCAUGAUGGCACUGGGCUCUACACAUAAGGUGACCCAUACUCUGGAACGAAUAGAAAUCAUAUGUAUAUAUAUGGAUAGCUAAAUCCUGAACAAUGGUUAAUAUGAUGUCGGUCCACAUUUAUUCUAUCAAUCUCCCACUUGGACCACAUAUAUUACAAAACAAUGUUCAUGAUAGUACUUUAUUGAGCUCAUCUUUGCUAUCCUAUCUUAAUAUCCUUAAACAAUCCGGUCUACUAGUUAUGCUAACAUAGGAUCAAAGUGGCCUUCAUUAAUCAUAAUUAUAACUAGACCCAUCAAUGAUCACAACAUUAACAAAAUUAGCAACAUAGAUCAAGUAUGGAUGUGUAGCAUGGAAAUUACAUAAAAUGUGAUCUUUAUUAUGUCUAUUUCCAAUUGGUCCUACUUUAUGACUAAAAAAUAGUCAAAUUCCACUUUCAACACUUGAUGCUAAACUGCUUUUAAAAGUCAUCAUUUCAAUUCAGAGAAUUCAAAUACAAUAGUCUUUAAAAUCAAGGUUUGUACAGAUAACACAAUAUAACAUCAUAUCAAGAAAACAAACACAAAAUCUAAAUACAAACUCCCACUAUACUGGAACAUCAUCAAUAUGUACAACACCCAUAUGUGUGACAUGAUCAUGAUAUACUUUGGGUGGCAAACCCUUAGUGAGCGGAUCCGCAAUCAUGAAGUUUGUGCUUGUAUGUUCAAUCGAUACUUGAAGACUCUAAACUCUUUCUUUCACAACCAAGAACUUGAUGUUAAUGUGUUUGGACUUUGACGAACUUCGGUUGUUCUUAGAAUUACAAUUCUGUGGCUUUAUUAUCACAAUUUAUUCUUAAUGGUUUCUCAAUCUCAUCAACGAUUCGCAACUGAGUGACAAAAUUCCGUAGCCAUAUCCCAUGGUUUGAUGCUUUGUAGUAGGCUAUGAAUUCUGCCUCCAUGGUGAAAGAAGCAAUAAGUAUUUGUUUAACACUUUUCCAUGAAACUGUUCAUCCAACCAACAUGAAGAUGUAGCUUGAAGUGGAUCUCUUGCUGUCAAGACAUCCCACGAAAUCGGAGUCCGAAUAUCCCAUGAUCUCUAAAUGACUGGAUCUACGGUAUGUGAGCAUAUAAUCUUUAGUUCUUUGUAAAUACUGCAUAACCUAUUUUGCCUUUUUCCAGUGAUCCAUACCUGGGUUACUCAAAUAUUUGCCUAACAUUCCAAUAAUGUACGUAAUAUCUGGAUGCGUACAAACUUGUGCAUACAUGAGACUUCCUAUUGUUGAGGCAUAGGGAAACCUCUUCAUAUCCUUCUUUUUAAGUUCAUUUUUCGGACAUUGGUGCAAACUAAAUUUAUCGCCUUUUGCUACAGGCAUGUCUCCUGGUGUACAAUUGCUCAUGCCAAAUCUACUUAACACCUUAUCGAUGUAGGCCUUUUGUGAUAACCCAAGUAUACCUCUUGAACGAUCCUUAUAGAUCUGUAUACCCAGCAAAAAAGAUGCAUUACCUAGAUCCUUCAUGUCAAAUUUACUAGACAAAAAUCGCUUUGUUUCAUGCAAAAGUCCCACAUCACUACUUGCAAGUAGAAUAUCAUCAACAUAUAGCACCAAGAUAAUGAAUUUGCUCUCACUAAACUUGAGAUAUAUGCAUUGAUCAAUGGUGUUUUCCUUAAAACCAAAUGAAGUAAUCACCUGAUCAAACUUUUGGUACCAUUGUCAAGAUGCUUGCUUUAAACCAUAUAUGGACCUUUUUAAUCUGCAUACAAGUUGCUUUGAAUCAUUAGACUCAAAGUUCUCCGGUUGCAUCAUGAAUAUUGUUUCAUCAAUGUUACUAUUAAGAAACGUAGUUUUAACGUCCAUUUGAUGCAGCUCUAAAUCAUAAUGAGCCACAAGUGCCAUGAUGAUUCUAAAGGAGUCAUUUGACGAAACCGGUGAAAAGGUCUCCUUAUAAUCAAUGCCUUCCUUUUGAGUGAAACCUUUUGCGACUAGACGUGCCUUAUACCUAACAAUGUUGCCUUUUGAAUCCCACUUGGUCUUAAAAAUCCAUUUACAACCAAUCGGUUUUACACUUUCAGGCAACUUUACUAGGUCCCAAACACCAUUGUCUUUCAUUGAUUUCAUCUCAUCCUUUAUGACUUCUAUCCACUUUUCAGAGUCAGAACUUUGUUUGAAUUGACUAACUGAAAUUGGAUCGUCUUCCAAACCCAUGUCAAACUCUUGUUCCUGGAGAUGUACAACAUAAUCAUCUGAAAUUGUACUUCUCAUUUCUCUAGUGGAUCUCCUUAGUGGCACUUGUAUUUGAGGUUCUUGAGGCUGUUGAGUUACCUCUUCAUAAACUUGAAUCGGUUCCAUAACUUGAGCAGGAGGAAUCUCAGGUGUGUUUUGAAUCUCUGUUAUUGACUGCACAUUCUGGAUAGUGUCAUCAAACAUAAUAUGACCAUGUCCAGUUGUAAUAAUAGGAACACUAACAGAUUACUCUUCAAAUACCACAUUUCUUAACGGUUCUCUCCCAUUUAACUCAACAUCCUCAAUAAAUUUAGCUUUGCCCGUUUCAAAAAAGGAUCUAGUUGAGGGGUCAUAAAACUUGAAACCUCUCAACCUUUUAGAAUAUCCUACAAAGUAGCAGCUCACUGUUCUGGAGUCCAAUUUCUUUUCAUUUGGUUUUUAAGGCCUAGCUUUAGUUGGACAACCCCAGACAUGCAAGUGCCUAAUACUAGGUUUCUUGCUAGUUCAUAACUCAUAUGAGGUUUUGGCUACUGCUUUGCUUGAGACUCUAUUCAAAAUAUAAAUUGUUGUUUUGAUGGCUUCGCCCCAAAGUGAUUCUGGUAAGGUGGAAUGACUGAUCAUACUUCUUACCAUAUCCUUAAGAGUACGGUUUCGCCUAUCUGCUACACCAUUUUGGCUUGGAGUCCCCAGCAUAGUGUAUUGAGGAACGAUACCACACUCCAUCAAAUAUUUGGCGAACGACCCUAGACGUUGUUCAUUGGAUCCGUCAUAUCUGCCAUAAUAUUCACCUCCACGGUCAGAUCUGACGACCUUUAUUUUCUUGCUUAGUUGGUUCUCAACUUUAGCUUUGAAAUUCUUGAACACAUCUAAUGAUUGAGACUUCUCAUGAAUCAAAUAAAGAUAGCCAUAGCGCGAGUAAUCGUCAAUGAAAGUGAUAAAAUAUUGUUGUCCAUUCCAAGAAGGGGUAGGAAAUGGACCACAAAUGUCCGUAUGUAUCAAUUCAAAGACGUCACUGCACUUGUUAGCAUCAUUUUUUUCUCAUAUUUGUUUGUUUACCCUUAAUACACUCUAUACAGACUCGAAAGUCUAUGAAAUUAAGUGGAUCAAGAAUUCAUUCUGACACAAGCCUUUGAAUACGUUGAUUUGAAAUAUGACCCAAACGCCUGUGCCAUAACAUCGAUGAAUUCUCAUUUGUUAAUUUCCGUUUAAUGUCAUAAUUACUUGAAUUCAAGGUUUCAUUUCCAUUAGUGGUCUUUAUAUUUAAUUUGUAUAAUUUGUCUAUUAGACUACCUGUACCAAUAACAUUUGAAUUUAGAUAAAGACUAACCAUUCCAUUUCUAAAUGAACAAUAAUAUCCAAAUUUGUCUAGACAUAAAACAGAAAUUAAAUUCCGUCUAAACGACGAUACUACAAAAGUCUCUUCCAAAUCCAAAGUACAUCCAGAGUCUAACUGUAAUCUAAAAAGACCAAUAGUCUUGACUGCAACCUUGUUGCCAUUUCCCACAUAGAUGUAUUUUUCACCAUCAGUUGGCAUUCGACUCCUUAGGCAACCCUACAUCGUGACACUUAUGUGAGUAGUUGCACCCGUAUCUAUCCACCAAGUGUCAGUAGGCACUACGACUAAAUUAAUUUAUGAACAAACAAAGUUGAGAAGUGUACCUUUCUUUUCACGCCAAGCGGCGUAUUUGGUACAUGUCUUCUUCAUAUGACCAACCUUCUUGCAAAAGAAACAAGUCAUCUCCUUAUCUUGUUUCUUCUGCACCUUUUGCAUUGAUGUCCUAAAAAUUGCAUUUUGUUUUUCUUUAUUGUCCUUCUUUCUUUUCUUUUUGGUACCAAAUCCCUGAGAUGUGGAAGCCAAGUGAGAACUUUCUAUCUUUUCUUGUUUCAAUCUCUCAUCCUCUUGUGCACAUUGAGCAAUAAGCUCAUUCAAAGUCCAUUUUUCCUUUUGUGUUGUAACUAAUUUUGAAUGGACUGAAUUGUGUAGGCAGAGAGAUUAAGACCAAGUGCACAAGUAUGUCUUCCGAAAACUCUAACUUUAGUGCCUUUAGUCUAGUCACAAGAUUAGACAUUUCCAUAAUAUACUCCCUUAUAUUCUCUUUCCCUUUGUAUCGCAUAGAGACAAGCUUACUAAGAAUAGUGCUUGUCUCAACCUUUUCAUUUGAAGCGAAUCGGUUUGCUAUCUGGUCUAAGAAUGCCUUGGCUUGAGUUUUCUCAGGUAUUGGACUCCUUAUAGCUUUUGGAAUUGAGUACUUCGUUAUCAUUAGACUCAUGCGAUUGGAUCGCUCCCAUUUUUCCAUAGUAGACCUUUGCUCAGUAGUGCUGGCACUAGUAAGAUCUGGAGGGCGAUCCUCUCUUAAUGCAUAGUCUAAAUCCAUGCACCCGAGCACAAUUAUAACGUGCUCCUUCCAUUUCUUGAAGUUUGUGUCAUUAAGCGCAGGAAUGUUAUUAACAUUUGUAGAUAUAGAAUAUGUUAAAUUCAUAAUAAUAAAGCUCACAAUCAAUCACAUAAACAUCAUACAUACAUGAAAAAUAACAUCAUACAAGAUACUUAGCACAAAUAUUAAUAUUUUGUCUUUGGACAAUAAAUAUUAACUUGUAAUUGGUAUCCUUAUACAAAAUUAAUUCAUAAAUAUUGACAAUAAAACCAAAAACAAUAUGUUUGUCUUUAGACUAAUAUGUCGAAUGCAAGAUAAACUUUAUAUGUCACAUAUUUAUGACUACUUUAUUUAUUAUUAUAUUAAAAUAAUCUUCCUUUGGGCCGAUUAUUUUAAAUAAUAAUAAUAACAUGUUUAGAUAUUAUAAAAUAAAUAAAUUAUAUAAUAUAAGUUACUUUGGCAACUAACAUACAUAAUUCAUUUAUUUUAAAAUAUUAAACACAAACAUAACAAGAAAUAAUAAAUUCAAUUAAAAUUAUUUAUUUAUUUAUGCAUAAUAUAUAUAUAUAUAUAUAUAUAUAUAUAUAUAUAUAUUAAUUGAAGCAUAAAAAACCAUCUACAUGUGUAUAUAUAUCAAUUGAAGCAUAUAUACAAGCAUUAGUCUAAUGGUUUAAGCAAAAAAUAGGCCAUGGUAAAGGGUUUAAGCCAACCCGCCCCUUUAGUUUGGUUUUUGUUUUUUUUUUUUUUUUUUUUAAUUUCUUUUGGGCUACUGACCAUGCAUUCUCUCAUGGCCCAACGAAUAUAUAUAUAUAUUUGUUUUAAAAAAAUUUUGUCCAUUGCAGCCCAAAGCGACCAUCCCUUGUAAUGGCAUCAUCAACGGUGCCAGAGCUGUCCUCGAACGACACCGACAGUGAAACGCCGCCACCAUCACCGGAACGGUGAUUUCCCAUCGCCAAACGACGGUGUCACUACCAGAAUGACGUUGUAACGGCAUCGCUGGGAAGCAGCCUAACCUGUGGCGUGACACCAUGACAAGCAAUGCCGCUAGCAGUGAAACGUUGUCGCCAUCACCAGAAUGGUGAUUUUCCAUCGCCAAACGAUGGCGCCACCAUCGAAACAACGCUGAAACGACGUCACUGGGAAGCAACCCUACCCGCGGCACCAAAAUGGCACUUGGAUGACAUUUGGAACUCUUGCAACAACGCUCAAAUCAGCGAUUCUCACUGGCAAAUGACGCUUGAACGACGUCUGGAAAUAAUGCCUACAACGCCUAAAAAUUGUGCUCUUUUGAACGCCUGAAACAACGUUGAAAUGACGUCUACCGGCGUCUGGAAUUGCACCGCUGUCUAGAACGAUGCCAUGAUGGUGUCUCACUCACCUUAAAUGGCACCAACCACCGUGACUUGCAUCCCCAAAAAUGGCACUUGAACAGCGCCUGAAGCGUGCCUGGAACGACGCUGCAAACGAUGCUUGAAAUGGUGCAUUUUGUAUGCUUGAAAAUGGCACAGGAAUGACGCCUACACUACGUCCAUUUUGAAUGCCUGAACGGUGUCCUAACGGCGCCUGAAUGACGCCUGGAAUUGGCCCAGAUUUAUUUUAUGUUGUUUCCUUCCUCUUGGAUCUUUUGUUUGUGUUUUAAAAAAAAAGUGUUUUGGUGAAAAUGGGAAAUGCAACCAGGCUCUGAUACCAUUUUGUGGGACGUUCAUUCUCCAUUAUCAUCGAACACAUGCAGGAUAUAUUUAUAUAUAUAUAUAUAUAUCAAUUCAUUCAAAAUAUGCCUUCAUUUUAUGGAACAUACCCGAAUCCAUUUUGUUUGUGUUGAAGAGGUAUAAAUCUUCUAAGGCUAUGGGGGGUACCACAUUUUCUUAGAAUUCUCUAUGACGAUGGGAAGCCAGAGAGAACAAGUUCUAUUUUUAUUUUGAAAACGUUGUUAUCCUUAAAUAACAAACACUAUUAUUUGGAUUUAUACUCUCCUACCUUAGGGACCAUACCCUUUGGCUAUUGGGCCUUACGAGUCUUAGGCCCAUCAUCUAAGGCUCGUGAUGGCACUAGGCUCUACACAUAAGGUGGCCCAUACUCUGGAACGAAUAGAAAUCAUAUGUGUAUAUAUGGAUAGCUAAAUCUUGAACAAUGGUUAAUAUGAUGUCAGUUCACAUUUAUUAUAUCAUAGAGACUUCCCAUAUGAAGAAAAUUGACAGUAGGUAGCUUUGCCAUUCUUGUCCGUAUACAACCAACCUUAGCAAGGGUUGAACCCUUUUAUGCUUAGUUGUGCCAUACAAAUCCUUACCACCGCCUACAACAUGUAAUCGAAAUGAUUCGAUAAUAUCAUCUAGUGAACCAAUACCUCCAAAUGAGAGACCAUUGCCUUGGUAACUAGGGCUCAUGACUGAGAAUUGCGUGAACCCCUUUGCUUGGGUUGGAGCUUAACUGAUGCACAAAAUAUUCAUAGGCCUCUUCCCAUAACUGGCACCUUGUGUUUGCAACAUAAUUGAACAUGUAUUGAAGUGAGUUUUUUUGCAUCUUUUUGUAAGAAAAUUCUAAACAACAGAGACUGCUUAGUGUGCCCGGCUCCUCGGGAAAUCAAGGUUCAUUCCUGUAGGGCCAGUUUUUUCACAGUCGAACUAGAUAACAUGGAGAGUAUGUUGCAAUGCUUCAACAGGGUAUUUCUUAGGAAAAUCCACCUGAAGUUGGUACAAUUCGUUGGCGUACUGAGUUCCUGGAGCUCUAUUGACUUCAAUCACCCAUCUCUGUAGAUUAUCGAUGACUUAUGCUCGGAUCCUGUAGGAGGAUUGACCUGACAUUCCACUAGCUCUUUCUGGAAGACGAUCUUGUUUAACACCUUGUGAGAAGAGGCAAGGGAACUGGUCAUUGUUUCUUCGAGAAGAUCAGUGGCCGAGGAUGGGUUUGGACCAUAAUUGCUAUAUGGGUUUUCUUUGGGUGAACCAAUUAGUGGAGUGGGUGGCUAUAUAGCAACUGAAGGGUGGUCAUACUAAUGAGGAGCUAUUAUUUCAUGCAUGUGGAGAGGAAAUGAGUAGCUUCUUCAAGGAUAUAUGAUUAUUCAUCUCUAGCUUACGUUGAAUAUCUCCUAACAAAUUUCUGCUUUGAAGCUCCCUUAGUUUCACUACAGCUAACUUGGCCAACUUGGUUUCAUCAUGUUUCCUACAACCUCUAAGCAAAGCACGCCAGAUCACUGAAUCAGGUUCUAUUUGCAUUUUGUCCAUAAACUCCUUUGCCUAUUGACAAUAAACUGCCCCUCAAAAUUUGAUGAGAUAACAUCAAUGCUGACAUGUUGGUCAUCCCCAUAAGCAUCUUUAUAGAGAUUGAUUCUAUGUUUAGAUAUUUCUCUCUCCUCAAGUGAGUUCAACUUUUUUGUAACAUCCUUCUCCUUCUCUACUAAUAGUCUUAGUUGAACAUCCAACCUAUGUUCCCAAAGUGCCAGCAUCUCAUAUCUGAUGACAAGCCAACAACCUUGCCCUUGCUGAGACCCAAAUAAGUAUCCAGAACCAUCAGCAUCAACCCUUUCAUAGGCCUUUGUAUUUGAAGGUCGGAUUGGGAUUGCUUUGAAUGCACUGGCACUACAAUACACAAUUGUAUCUUCUCCAAUAAAAACACCACACAGAGGUGAGGGGACUGGUAUUAGCAAAGAAGUGUUGUUAUCUAUAUUGUUCUGAGCCCGAGUACCCUCAACAAAAUCCUCAUCCUCAUCUGUACUCUUCCAUUACAUCCCUAGGCUUUUCAAUGUGAUCCACAUGGCUUACAGGAAUCCAGAAAUACCAGUCUGUAUAAAUGUUGCUCUUAUGGGGCUCUCCUAGAAAACAUCCCUAUCAAGAUGAUCAACCUAGCUUAGAUGCUCAGCACCCCAAACUUACUAGAAAUAGAGGAAUUAAAAGCAAGGAUAGGAGCCAAAGUAAAAAUUUAGGGAAGAGCAAAUAGGAAAUCAAGCAAAACAUGAAUGUACAGAGCCUCAUUUCAGGUGACAUCUUUGGGCUAAUAAUAGGUGGAAUUAACAAAGUAGACAAGCAUGAUUGUUAUAAAUAUCAAGUUCAAGGAUGAAGCCGUGCAUCAGCUACUUAUAGGGGGAGUCAAGGAAACCAAGAUAAGAUCAAAGAGAGCAUGUAUGCAAAUAAACAGAUUCGAAAAAAUAGACCAAACAACUCGUGAAUAUCCUCCUACAAAAAACUACUACACGUGGCAAAAAGUGAUGAAACAAAAAGAGUCGGGUCCGCAUAUACAUAUCCUAUUCUAUCCUAUUCCUUCAAAUCCAAAGCAACCUGUAUUUUCAAUGGGAUUUGUUGUGAUGAAUUUUACUGGAUUGUAACAUGUAAAUAUGUUAAAAGAGGCUUGGGACAUUCCUAUAUAGUAACGCAUAAAGGUACUUCCAUUGUGAAGUUGUCAAAAUUGCAAAUUUAAAUUACAAAAUUUGAAAACAUAGAGAUGAAAGAUGAUGAAACCUUCUUUGAAAUUUUAUAUUGAACUCAUUAAUAUUAUUAAUUUUCAUUUCAGUGUAGGGGAAAGAAUUCUUUACUCUAAAGUGGUCACAAAAAUAUUAAAAUUCCUUGUUGAGAGAUUUAGACCUAAAGUGAUCAAUAUAGAAGAAAGUAAAAAUAUUCUAAGUGUAGGUAAACUUGUAGACUCAAAUGACUCUACCUUCUCAUAAAAAAUCCUCAAUUUUAUAAAUUAUAUAGAUUUCUUCAUUUGAUACAAAAUUUGAAUAAAGAUUUUUCAAAUGACAACACAAGGAAAGGGAAAAAAAAAAUUCUCUCCAGUUCAUUUCAUUUAAUCACUUAAAUUAUUUAAAAAUAAAAAUGUUUACUGCUAACAUUAUUUAGAUUCAUCUUUCUUUUGAUGGAGGUUAAAAUUCAUAAUUUUGAGGAAAAAGAUGAGGAUUCUCAUUUUUUUUUCCAUGUAUGAAUGGGAUUCUCAUUGUGUAUAUGUGGGUUACUAAAUGGCAAAUUUAGGGGCCAAUAUGAGGAAAAAUAUGAAGUUGAGUUUGUCACCAAGAACAAACAUGACUCCUAUAAAGGUGGCAUCCUUAAUUUCAUGUCUGGAUUAGACUUCUCAUGUAACAACUUAACAGGUGAAAUCUCUCAUGAACUUGGAAUGUUAAGUUUGAUUCAUGCAUUGAACUUGUCUCGCAAUCAACUAAAGGGCUCCAUUUCAAACAGUUUUUGCAAUCUUUCUCAAACAGAGAGCUUAGAUCUUCUUAAUAAUAAACUAAGUGGAGAAAUUCCUCCAAAAUUGGUUAGACUAACUUUUUUAGUGGUGUUCAAUGUGACUCAUAGUAGCAUCUUUGGAAGAGUUUCAGAUAUGAAUGCAUAAUUUGCAAUAUUUGAUGAAAGUAACUAUGAAGAUAAUCCUUUCCUUUGUGGACCACCAUUAAAGAGAAAAUGUAGCAUAAAUGUUAAGCCACCUUACCCACCAUUAGAGUCUUCGGAAAAAAGUGAUGCAAAAUGGUAUAAUAUCGAUCUUGUGGUUUUCUUUGCAAGUUUUACUAUAUCAUAUAUCAUGAUAUCAUUAGGAAUUUCAACCAUUCUUUACAUUAACCCUUAUUGGUGUCAAAGAUGGUUCAAUUUUAUCGAGAAAUAUAUAUACUUUUGCUAUUAUUUUGUUUCCUAUACUCUUUCCAAGUUAUUAACAUAUUUUGAAUAAUUAGAGAUUUUUGUUUUCAAUAAUAUUUACAUAAUUAACUACUAUUGGCUUCCAUGACAUGGAAAGAAAUGCGGUGAAGGCAACAACCACUUUUUUUUCUCCUCUACUAGUGCAUGAUUGAUAUGAGUUAAAACUUGCACCCUUAUCUUUGCUUAAAUUUUCUCAGCUUUUGUUUCAAUUCUUAAUUAUCAUUUCUUUUAUGUGUUGUUUAAUACAAUAUCCUAAACACAUUGCUUUGAAGGUUACUUAUUUAUUAAGCAUGAUAUUUAUUUUUCAUAAAGACAAAUUCAAGUUUUUUAGGAAUUUUUAGAAUUAUUAUAAUUUGGAGUUCACAUUAGAGGAAAAAAGGAAAGAAAAGAAUAGAUGAUUAAAAAAACAAUUUUAGUAAGUAUAAUUUGUCAUCUUCGGUAUAACAAAUGGGAAUUCCAAAAUAAUAUUUCAAUUUGUUAGUCUAUUCCUUAUAGUAUUAAUUGAUAUAUCAAAUAGGAAGUCACGUUUUGAUUUUUUAUUAGCUUCAAUUGCAUGUCACAUAUAUUUUAAAAUCAAGCAUACCUCAGCCGGGAAGUUCUUGUAACAUGCAUGAACAUGAUAUGAUGAAUUGAAUAAUUUUCUUAAUUGUGUGAGACACAAACCCUCUUUGUUUAAUAAUAAUAAUAAUAUACUACACAUUAUUAAAUCAUAUAUGUAUAUUUAUAGUCGUAUAAUAUAUUCAAAAUAUUAAACACAUUACCCUCUUAAAUUUUUAUGAAUGGUGUUUACUUUACAUAACGACAGAUUCAAAUUUUUUUAGAAUUUUUUAAUGUUAAAAUAAUUUGGAGCUUAAUAGGGAAAAAAAAGAAUAAAUAAUUAGAAAAGCAAUUCAAAAAAAAUAAAAUUUAUCCUCUUAAAUUGGUUUUGUGUAAUACUAUAGAAGCCAUUUCUUGAGUUUGAUAUGGUAGAAUUCGGAUUCAUAUUUAUUUUAAAAUAAAGAAUUUCAAGGGUUGGUAGCAUCAAUAGAAUCUUAACAAAUUUGCAAAAAAGUAUUUGGGUAGAUCACAUUUAAAUAUAGCUAACAGAAUAAAAAAUUAAUAUUAUUAGGAAGACAUGAUCAAUUAAAUCUUUUUUCUUAUCUAUGACACCGAUUUUAUAUUUUUACAUAGUCAAUAUAAUUUAUUACAACUUAUAUGUCAUUAAAUUAUACAUGCUUAUAUUAAAUAUAAUAUAAGAUCAUUAAUGGAAUAAUUAUGCAAGUAAUAUAAAUUGUAUAUAAUAUAAAAAAUUUAAACUCCGUCAAACUAAUGGAAUCUAUUAUAAUAAGUAGACUAGACACCAUAUUGGCCCGAGUUGGAGGCCUGGGCCAGAUUUUAAAGGCUGGGCUUUGAGUUGCCCGUGGGCCUGAGCCAAGGCCUUCUCUUGGUAUCAUCAUUUUGAAGAAAUAAAUUGCUGAUACAGAGAAAAAAACUAUACUAAAUAGAAAAAUAAAUAAAAGCAUUGACUAAAAUGAAGGUCAAGGUCCUUGAAAAAUAAUCUUUAAAUUGUUGCAUAUAUAAUUUCAAUAAUGCAUAAAUAAUUGCAAUAUAUAUGAUAUGAUAAAGAAUUUGGAAUUAAAAGAAGAUUGAUCUAUUUUAAAUGUGGUUGGAAUAUUUUUAAAUUUGUGAUGGGAAGUUAGACAGCCAAUUAGGGAUCCAUAUUAUUUAUUUUCAAUUAUAUGAAUUUAUUUACUUUUAUUAAUAUUCUGAAUGCAACAAUAUAAAAUAUGUCAAUUUUCUAAAAUUAAAAAAGUAAUUGCAAAAGAAAAUUUUUAAUUAUUUUUCUGAAAUUGAGUUUAUCAUAACAUUUUUCUUUACAUAAAUUUCUUUUUUAUGUUUAUUUUUUUAAAAAUGAGAUAUGAAAAAAAAAGAUCAAUAUUAGUAAAAGUAAAACCCAAUAUAUAUAAAAAAAAUGAAUAAAUGUUUAUGAAAUAAGAUUUAAAAGUGAGAAGGUAAUAAAUUUUUUCUCUUUUAAUUCCUAUUCAAUACAUUACAAAAAAUAUUUUUGGUUUUUAUGCUAAAAUUUAUUGUUUAUUAAAAAAUUCUAGUAUAUCUAGCUAUCAUAGAAGAGCUCCAAAAUUUUAUUGUUUAAGAGAAUGUGUUGCCACUUUAAAAGAUUUAUAUGCAUACCUUUGGAUAUGUUUAGUUCCCGGUAAAUUUGAAGGAAAAUGUGAAGGAAGAAAAAUAGAGAAGAAAAGUAUAACAAAAUAAAAAGUGAAGGAAAAUGAAAAAUAGAUUUAAAAUUAAUAAAUUAUUUUCAUUGGUUUUUUCAAAUUUAUUUUACUUAUUUUAUUCUAUUAAAUAAAGAUUAACUAAUUUUAAUUAUAUUUGGUUUGAUUUUUAUUAUUUUUCAAAGCAAAACCAAAUAUGAAAAAAAAAACAUUUUUUUUGGUUAUUUUUUUCUUUCCUUAUUACUCUUCGGGACUCAAACAUAGCUUUUAGAUUUGGGGCAUGGAAAAAUAAGAGUAUUGAAUAAGGGUUCUAUAUAUGCCCAUGCCCAUGCCCAUGAUACCAUUGAAAAAAAUGGAGAGAGGGUGAAACCUUUACUAGAUGAUAAAUUAUUCUCUUCAAUGGAAAUCAAAUAUAAUUAUUUUUAUCUUGUAUUAAUUGAAUGUUAUACUCCAUAAACUCAAAAUUAAAAUAAAUAAAAAAUUUAAAAACUAGGACAAUCCCAUUUUUUUUCAAUUUCUUAAAAAGAAAUUAAAUUAUAUUUAUUUAUAUCUAUUUUCAUCCCUACCCAACAAAAUAAAAAAAAUUAACAUUGUGGAACAUGUAUGAGAAAUUCUCACAAUUUUUUUUAAGAAAAAUAAAUUUCUUAUUUUAUAUAUGUUAAAAAUAAAUAUAAUCUUUUAUUUUUUAUAUAUAUAAUCGGGUAAGGUAGAGUGGGACAAAGAAAUAAUCCCCUUCGAUUCCAAUCCGAAAUUUUAAAAUAUAAAAUAAAAAUCUUAAACUCAUCCCUAAUCCAUUUAUUUUUAAUCCUAAACUUGUCUUAUAAGGAAUAAGGCAAAGUAAGUACAUGAAAACACUUUUUUUUAUCAUCAUCUCUACAAGUUCUAAUGUUUAGAUUGCAAUCCAUAUCAAAGAUUUAUAAAGAAAGAACAACGAUGAAUUUCAUAAACAUUUGAAAGCAUAUACAAAGUUUUAAAUAAUAUUGCUUGAGGUGCAAAUAUUAUUUGGCGCACACGUUGAGGGACUUCAACUGGUGUUGUCUAGGUUUUUUACACUAGUAAGUAAUCUUGAAUAUCUAGAGUAACUUGAUCAAAAUCUCUUUAAUUUUAUUUUCUUUGAUGAAUUAGAAUGCUUAUAUAACAUGAUUAAAAAUUUUAAGAAAAAAAAACUAAGAAGAAAGAAAGAAGUACCGAUCUUCCAAAUAUUGCUUCCACUUUAAUAUUUAGAAGGCUCUAAGAAAAGAAUUUUAUUCAUGAAUCACAACCCAAGUCGAAAAUAAAUUGAACCCAUUUUCUAAGUUAAAUUUUGAAUUUUUUACUAGUGAAUGCAAAUUGGGAAAAUGUAUAUAAAUAUAAUUAAACUAGAAUAGUAGGUUAGGUUUGUGUGGUCCCACGAUGACUUGGAAGUUUCAACAAUUCAAGCAGACUCCACCUAUAAACCUAAUAUACUAUUUUAGUUUAAUUAUAUUUAUAUAUGUUUUCCCAAUUUGCAUUCACUAGUAAAAAAUUCAAAGUUGAACUUGAAAAAUGGGUUCAAUUUAUUUUCGAUUUGGGUUGUGAUUCAUGAAUGAAACAAUGAUCAAUGACUUGACUUUUAAGGCCAACUUAGUUAAGUCAUUCCUAACCCCUAUAUUAAUUUGGCCUUAAAAGUCCAGUAAUUGAUAGCUAAAUCCCAACCCAAGUCAAAAAUAAAUUGAACCCAUUUUCUAAGUUCAACUUUGAAAUUUUUUUUAAUUGGAAAAAUGUAUAUAAAUACAAUUAAACUAGAAUAGUAGAUUAGGUUUGUAGGUGGAGUCUGCUUGAAUUUGUGAAACUUCCAAGUCGUCGUGGGUCUAGUGGUCCCAUAGCUCUCUAUUAAUUUCCACCAUCAAUUUUCUGCAAUAAAGUCAAGUCAUUCCUAACCCCUAUAUUAAUUUGGCCUUCAAAGUCCAGUCAUUGAUAGCUACGUUCAUGAAUCCCAACCCAAGUCAAAAAUAAAUUGAAUCCAUUUUCUAAGUUCAACUUUGAAUUUUUUUUAAUUGGAAAAAUGUAUAUAAAUACAAUUAAACUAGAAUAGUAGAUUAGGUUUGUAGGUGGAGUCUGGUUGAAUUUGUGAAACUUCCAAGUCGUCGUGGGUCUGGUGGUCUUAUAGCUCUCUAUUAAUUUCCACCAUCAAUUUUCUGCAAUAAAGUCAAGUCAUUCCUAACCCCUAUAUUAAUUUGGCCUUAAAAGUCCAGUCAUUGAUAGCUACGUUCAUGAAUCCCAACCUAAGUCAAAAAUAAAUUGAACCCAUUUUCCAAGUUCAACUUUGAAUUUUUUUUAAUUGGAAAAAUGUAUAUAAAUACAAUUAAACUAGAAUAGUAGAUUAGGUUUAUAGGUGGAGUCUGCUUGAAUUUGUGAAACUUCCAAGUCGUCGUGGGUCUAGUGGUCCCAUAGCUCUCUAUUAAUUUUCACCAUCAAUUUUCUGCAAUAAAGUCAAGCCAUUCCUAAACCAUAUAUUAAUUUGGCCUUAAAAGUCAAGUCAUUGAUAGUUACGUUCAUGAAUCACAACCCAAGUCUAAAAUAAAUUGAACCCAUUUUCCAAGUUCAACUUUGAUUUUUUUUACUAGUGAAUGCAAAUUGGGAAAACGUAUAUAAAUAUAAUUAUACUAGAAUAGUAUAUUAGGUUUGUAGGUGGAGUAAGCUUGAAUUGUUGAAACUUCCAAGUCAUCAUGGGUCUAAGGGUCCCAUAGCUCUCUAUUAAUUUCCAUCAUCAAUUUUUAUGAAUUCAGAUUUAAAAGUGAGAAGGGAAUAAAUUUUUUCUUUUUCAAUUCAUUACAAAAAAUAUUUUUGGUUUUUAUGCUAAAAUUUAUUGUUUAUUCAAAAAAUUAAAGUAUAAAAAUAUAAAAUAUAUAUCUUGCUAUUAUAGAAGAGCUCCAAAAUUUUCGUGUUUAAGAGAAUAUGUGUUGCCACUUUAGAAGAUUUAUAUACAAAAAGGAUUGAUGUUUCUCCUUUGACUAUGUUUGGUUCCCAAAAAUUUGAGGGAAAGAAAAUAAAAAAAAGGUAGUAAAAAAGAAAAAAUGAAGGAAAAUAAAAAAUAGUUUUAAAGUUAAUAAAUUAUUUUUAUAUGCUAUUUCAAACUUAUUUUACUUAUUUUUUUUCAUUAUAUAAAGAUUAAAUAAUUUUAAAAUGCAUAACUAAUUUUAAUUAUAUUUAAUUUUUCUUUUAUAUUUUUUAGACGGGAUCCAACACAUGUAAAAAUCCUUUUUUUUAGCAUCUUUUUUUCUUUUCUUAUUACUUUCCAAUAACCAAAUAUAACCUUUAGAUUUAGCCUUUAGACUUGGAGUAUGGAAGGAUACUGAGUAUUGAAAGAAGGUUUUGUAUAUGGCCAUGAUACCAUAGAAAAAAUGGGCGACAGAGAAAAAACCUUUAUUAAAUGAUAAAUUAUUUUUUUCAAUGGAAAUCAAAUAUAAUUAUUUUUAAAAAUAAAAAUAAAAAAUAAUAAUUUGUUGUUGCAUUAAGUAUUCUUGCAUUUGGAGAAGCAUGUACUACUUACUACAUAAAUGGAUAUUCAUGGAGUGCAUUCUCUAGAAAGCUCCAGUCUCAUGAAAAUGGAAAGAUGGACCGGCCGGUGAACCGGUUCGAGUUUGGAUUUAUGGGCUGCCUCAGCCUAACACGCAUGAUAGGUUGUUGUAGGUGAAGAACUAACUAAUUAAUUUAAAGCCUUCUUCUAUCCUCUCCUAUUCCUCUAUCACUCCAAAUGUUCCACAUGAUAAUGACAAUUCUUUUGUUAAAUGGUAAAAAAAAAAUUUAACAAUUAAUUUAAAAAAUUUUUAAAAUCUAAAUCCAAUGGAAAUUUGACUGUAAGGUGCGUAGAAGGCCCUAGUGCCCAUGUUGCUAAUUUGAUGAUAGUUAAAUUACCAUUUCGAGAGAUUCCACUCACUAGUAUUCUCAUUUAUAAAAUCAUGAACUUUGGCAUCCUAAUUAAUGUAAUUUAACUUUUUUUUGUUUACAAAUGAAAUAAGAGGCAACAUAUAAACCCAAAAGUUAAUUUUCCUACCAUCUCUAUGCACCAUUUUAGCUUUACUCCAAUAUAUUUUCUAUGAUUAAUUAUUUUCAUUCAAACAAUAAUAUCAAAAUAUUUUAAAAUUAGACAUAUCCACUAAUAUAUCUUCGAUAUAUUAUAUAUAUCUGUAAAAUCGAAACACCAAUAUAUCCGUGAUUAUCGAUAUUUUUAUCGUUGAGGGAUAACAACUAAUCUAGUUUUUGUACCUAUUGAUAUUCCUCAACAUUUAGAUUGAUUUGACCAUUUUUUUUUUAAUUUUAUUUUCUUUGAUGGUUAUAUGAUGAAUUAGAAUAGUCAUAUAACAUUAACAGAUUUAAGCAAAAAUGAUAAAAAAGCUCGCAUUUUUCAAAUAUUGGUUUCAACUUUGAAUAUUUUUAUUGGUAAAUGAAAAUUGUGAAAAACCUACUAAUGCUAAUACUUUUCACCACAUAAUUAAAUAUAAUAAACUAGAAUAGUGAUUCAUUGAUGUCUUAUAAAGCUACAUGCCUUCUUUGACUUGUUAGUUGAUUUUUGUAGGUGGAGUCUGUAGGGACCCCUCCCCCUGAUGACACGUGGCACGCAUUUCUAUCCGGAUUAGCUCCAUCCGGAUUUCCUCCAAGGAGACACGUGGCGCGCUUCCCCUAUCCGGACUCCCUCAGGGAGAAGCACACGACACUCGCAAACAUCACAUCCGGACGACCGCCAUAUCGCAUCCGGACGAUCGACAUAUCCUAUCCGGAUAUGUUUGUCCGGAUCGUUGACUAAAGUAAGCAAGUCUUACUACGUCAUUCCGACAGCCUGCCAUGGCCCACGUUCCACCACCUGCAAAGUGAAAAGACAGGAAUGAUGGCAAGUCACUUCCUACGAUCUCUGACAGCUGUGGCGCCUCUCACGAUCUCUGUCAGCCGCCCGUAGGGUGAUGAUGGCCCUGUCACCACCUAGAGUCAUCAUGACAAGCCAAAAUAUCUCUCUAUCAUUAAAGAGGGAGACAGAGCUUCUGGUACUAUAUAUAUGGACCUUCACACAAAGAGGAAGGUAAGCUUGCUAUACCUAGUAAAAGGCCAACUGAUUUAUCUCUUUAACCAUGGCUGACAAAACCAUCGGAGGGUGUGUCCGGACACCCUGUCCGGACGCCUUUUGCAGGAACGAUUGAACCAGGAAUCUAUAUUGGUUGAGAUCGUGCGUCCAUCCAUUUGGCAACUACGUGGAUCACCAGGGACGCGAGGCCUCAACAUUGGCGCCGUCUGUGGGAAAAUCACUGAUUCAGUCACCGACAAAGAUAGCCACACCUUCCCAAAGCCGCUCGUCCGCUAGGGAAAAGGAAGAUAAUUCUGAAUGGCGCCGAGCCAUUGAAAGAAGACAGUUGGCAAGCUCGUGACAACUGCAAGCUCUCCUCCAGGAGACAGAAUGACUAAGAGAAGAAAACGCGGUACUACGCAUCCAAGCUUCAUCGACGGGGCCUCCCCGUCGUCAGCAUUCAAAAGGCCAGGUAGCAAACUCAAGGCCUGACCCAGAGUCAAUAUACCCUGGGGCAGCAGGAGCAAUACUUGAAACAUGCAACGUUAGGCCACAUGAGCCACACACGCCCAUGCACCGAGCUCCCCAUGAGGAAAGCUCAGACUCUACUCAUUUUUCAGCAAAAAGACAACGCGACAAAAAAUCCCAAUUGUCAAACUCAAUGCGUGCGAGACUAGGCCCACAGGAGCCUGGGAGGCCAAAGCCGCCAGUAGCCAUAACCUGGGCAGUGCACCUUGACCCUAUGGUCACCCCCAUGGUGCAGAGCGUUCUCCCGCACCGUGACCCUAUGGUCACCCCUAUGGUGCAGAACGUUCACCCGCACCUAGCGGUACGACAAGCUGGGAGAAACCUCCCAAAUGAGCCACCCAUUGGCUCCAUUAGCAAAAGGCUGGACGACAUGCUCUCCACGCCUUUUUGCUCUCAUAUCAUUCAUUACGAGCCCCCAAGGGGAUUCCUCGUGCCCAAAUUCUCCACAUACGAUGGGUCCAGCGACCCCUUCGACCAUAUCAUGCAUUAUCGACAGCUCAUGACUCUCGAUAUAGGCAAUGACGCGCAGCUAUGCAAAGUAUUCCCCGCCAACCUACAAGGGCAGGCCCUCUCAUGGUUUCACCGCCUACCUCCCAACUAUGUUGAUAAUUUCAGAGACCUAUCAGAGGCCUUCGUGGGACAAUACUUAUGCUCUGCUCGACAUAAGCAGAACAUCAGCACUCUGCAAAACAUAAAAAUGCAGGAUAACGAAUCCUUAAGGGAGUUCGUGAAGUGGUUUGGUCAUGCCGUACUACAGGUAAAGGCUUACAGCAUGGAUGCUGUCCUGCAGAUCUUCAAGCGAAGUAUUUGUCCAGGCACCCCAUUUUUUGAAUCACUCGCUAAAAAGCCUCCUACGACGAUGGACGACUUGUUCCAGCGUGCGAGCAAAUACUCAAUGCUCGAAGAUGACGUGCGAGCAGCCACCCAGCAAGUCUUGGUUGCCGGACAGGCAUCUAGAAGUGGCACGGAAAGAAGUGCCAAACUUCCGGACAGGCCAAGACAGUCCCAUCAAAGGCAGGAAGGGCCAAGUCGCCCGGAAAGGCCGCCCCUCACACCCCUUUCCAUAUCCUAUGAGAAGCUUCUCCCUAUGAUCUAAGACAUGUCCGACUUCAGGUGGCCUAGACCCAUCGGAACGGACCCAUCCAAAAGGGAUCAUAGUAAAAAAUGUGCCUUCCAUAAAGAGCAUGGUCACACAACGGAGACAUGCAGGUGCCUUCAUUAUUUGGUCGAAAGGCUCAUAAGGGCGGGACAUUUAAAGCAAUACCUCCACUCAGAUACCGGAGGUAGAGAUGCUUCCCGAAAUCACAACUCUGGAGCCCCUAGGGCCCUAGCCGUCCCCAAAGCCGUUAUAAACUAUAUUAACAGAGGCCCAUCUGACGAGGAGUACGACUCCAAACGAAAGAAACAAAAGUUGUUGCGGGCAGCAUCGGUGCGCGAACGUGUCAACUCCAUCCGGCCUGGGAUAACUGGGGGGGCCCUCGCCCCAUAGAUGGGAUAAUCAUUUUCCCACCAGUAGACCCCACCCGGAUAUUGAAGCCGCACCGCGACGCCCUCAUCCUGUCCUUAAAGAUAGGAGACUUCGACGUGAGACGCAUCCUGGUUGACCCAGGUAGCUCGGCCGAUCUUGUGCAAGCAUCGGUCAUUAGCCACAUGGGGCACAAUCUCACAGGCCUCGAAAACCCUGGGCGAAUCUUGUCCGGAUUCAACGGGGCGUCAACUACUUCAUUGGGAGACAUUGUACUGUCGGUCCAAGCUGGCCCAGUCACUCUCAACGUACAAUUUUCGGUGGUACAAGAUUUAUCACCCUUCAAUGUCAUCUUGGGGCGCACAUGGCUGCACUACAUGAAAGUCAUCCCCUCUACAUAUCAUCAAAUGGUAAGCUUCCUUACCAAGGAUGGGCAAAUUGACCUAUACGGCAGCCAGUUAGCCGCUCGCCAAUGCUACCAGAUAGCACGAGAAGCAGGGACCAACCAGGAGGAUGCAUCCCUCCCUGAGUCCAGCCAUGCACGUGACCAAUAGCAAUUAUUGAGUCCGGGGGACAAAGAUCCCCCGGCAGCGGAUCCCUUGCAAGCAAUCCAAAUUUCGGAAGAAGGUACUCACCUUACGAAUAUCAGUUAGAAGAGACCCGGAACAUGCAGAACGCCCUCAGACAAAACCAUGACGUCUUCGCAUGGACACAUUCUGAUAUGAAGGGAAUUCAUCCCUCCAUUACCUCUCAUAGGCUUAACGUCUUGCCAACAGCCAGACCCAUCCGGCAGAGGGUUAGACGUUUUCACCCGGACAGACAAAAAAUUAUCCGGAAUGAGAUUGACAAGUUGCUAGAAGUCGGAUUCAUCAGAGAAGUGCAUUACCCGGACUGGUUGGCAAAUGUAGUGGUGGUACCCAAAAAAGAAGGCAAAUGGCGGGUGUGAGUCGACUAUACCAACCUCAAUAAUGCAUGCCCAAAAGACAGUUUCCCUUUGCCACGGAUGGAUCAAAUUGUGGACUCCACUGCUGGGUAAGGGAUGCUCUCCUUCUUGGACGCCUUCUCUGGAUACCACCAAAUCCCCAUGUCCCCGGCUGAUGAAGAAAAGACAGCCUUCAUAACACCACAUGGUCUCUAUUGCUACAAAGUCAUGCCAUUCAGACUCAAAAACGCUGGUGCCACUUACUAGAGACUGAUGACGAAGAUCUUCAAACCUCUGGUCGGCCGCACAAUAGAGGUAUAUAUUGACGAUAUCGUGGUUAAAAGUAAAACCCGAGAGGAACAUGUCCUCCACUUGCAAGAAGUCUUCCACCUCUUGAGGAAGUAUGGCAUGAAGUUGAAUCCCUCUAAAUGUGCCUUUGGCAUAAGUGGUGACAAAUUCUUGGGAUUUAUGGUUAGCCAAAUGGGGAUAGAGGUCAGCCCGGACCAAGUCAAGGCAGUCAUGGAAACACCACCCCCUAGGAGCAAAAAGGAAUUACAACGCCUCACAGGCAAGCUCGUCGCGCUAGGGCGUUUUAUAGCCCGCUUCACUAAUGAACUGCGACCCUUCUUCUUGGCAAUACGAAAAGAAGGAGCAAACGGAUGGACGAACAACUGUCAAAGCGCUUUUGAAAAAAUUAAACAUUGCCUCAUGCAAUCGCCCAUCCUGAGCAGUCCCCUCCUUGAAGAAAAACUGUAUAUGUAUCUGGCUGUAUCGGAGUGGGCAAUUAGUGAUGUUCUAUUCCGCUGCCCCUUACCCAAGGAGCAGAAACCUAUCUACUACGUCAGCAGAGCAUUGGCAGACGUAGAAACCAGGUAUUCAAAGAUGGAGCUAAUGGCCUUAGCUCUUCGAAGUGCUGCCCAGAAGCUCUGCCCCUACUUCCAAGCCCACCCGGUGGUCAUGCUAACUGACCAGCCCCUUCGCAACAUUCUGCACAAGCCAGACUUAACCGGAAGAAUGCUUCAAUGGGCCAUAGAGUUAAGCGAAUAUGGAAUCGAGUUCCAACCCAGGCUGUCCAUGAAAGGCCAAGUUAUGGCUGACUUCGUGUUGGAAUACUCCCGAAGGCCUAUCCAGCGCAAGGAACCAAGUGAAAAAGAGUGGUGGACUUUGCGGGUCGAUGGAGCCUCACGAUCAUCAGGAUCCGGAGUAGGGCUCCUGCUGCAAUCACCAACAGGAGAACAUCUGGAGCAAGCCAUCUGGAUGGGGUUCCCCGCCUCUAACAAUGAAGCGGAAUAUGAGGCCAUCCUAUCCGGAUUGGACCUCGCCCUGGCUCAUCCGUCUCCAAGCUCCGGGUCUAUAGUGACUCCCAACUCAUGGUAAGACACGUUAAGAAGGAAUACGAAGCUAAGGAUGCGCGCAUGACGUGAUAUCUGACUAAAGUAAGGGACACCUUACAACGGUUCACCGAAUGGACGAUCGAAAAAAUCAAACGAUCUAAAAAUGGACGUGCCGACGCCUUAGCAGGCAUAGUUGCCUCCCUCCCCAUCAAAGAAGCCAUAUUGUUGCCUAUACAUGUGUAAGUCAACCAUUCCGUCGCGGAAACCUCCACUUGCAAUACCAUUGAGGCAAAUCAAGCAGACGACCAAGAGUGGACGGAAGACAUUAUAAGGUACCUCUAGACAGGCACUCUGCCUGAAGAGCCCAAGCAGGUACACAAGCUCCGGGUGCAAGCCGCCCGUUUCACCCUAAUUGGGGGGUACUUGUACAAGCGAUCCUUCACAGGUUCCUAUCUUCGGUGCCUAAACCACUCAGAGGCCCUGUAUGUAUUAGCUGAAUUGCACGAGGGAGUAUGUGGAAUUAUUCUGGAGGUCGAUUUCUGGCACACAGGGCCCAUUCGCAAGGAUAUUACUGGCCCACGAUGAAGAAGGAUGCGGCAGCCUAUGUCAAAAAAUGUGACAAAUGCCAAAGGCAUGCCCCCAUACCACAUGUGCCGUCGGAGACAUUGAAGCCAAUAUCAGGCCCCUGGCCCUUCACGCAGUGGGGCAUGGACAUAGUAGGACCCCUACCACCCCCACCCGCUCAAAAGAAAUUCCUGCUCGUCGCCACGAAUUACUUCAGUAAAUGGGUGGAAGCUGAGGCAUACGCUAGCAUCAAAGACAAAGAUGUCACCAAGUUCAUGUGGAAGAACAUCAUCUGCCGCUUCGGAAUCCCCCAAACCAUUAUAGCCGACAACGGUCCAUAGUUUGAUAGCAUCGCUUUCCAGAAUUUCUGUUCGAAACUAAACAUCCGGAAUUCAUACUCCACACCGCGUUAUCCUCAAAGUAAUGGGCAAGCAGAGGCCACAAACAAGACUCUAAUCACUACCUUAAAGAAAAGGCUCGAGCAAGCCAAAGGAAAGUGGGUGGAAGAGCUACCCGGCGUCUUGUGGGCUUAUCGAACCAUACCCAGAUGUCCGACAGGAAACACUCCCUUCGCCCUCGCAUACGGUAUGGACGCAAUCAUUUCUAUUGAAAUAGGGCUACCCACUAUCCCGGACCGAGGCAGGAAAGCAGGAUGAUGCAAAUGUGGAGUUAAGAAGAAACUUGGACUGGGCAAACGAAGUAAGGGAAACUGCAUCCAUUCGGAUGGCAGAUUAUCAACAAAGGGCAUCCGCUCACUACAAUCGCAAAGCAAGGCCCAGAAGCUUUAAAAAUGAUACGCUGGUCCUUAGAAAGGUUUUCGAAAAUACUGCUGAGAUAGGAGCGGGAAAAUUUCAAGCCAAUUGGGAAAACCCCUAUAUAGUAUCUAAGACAAGUGAAAGUGGAGCCUAUCAUCUGCAGAAGCUAGAUGGAACCCCAUUGCUCCGACCAUGGAAUGUAUCUAAUCUAAAGUAGUAUUACCAAUGAAAGAAAAAUAGAGGUACAAAUAUGAAUAAGUAUGUUUUAUUAAUACUUGUGAAAAAUUGUAUACAAAAGUUCUCCGGACUACAAAAUACAGAGAGAAGAUAGCAGUAAAAAUUACAAAAAGAAAAGCUCUCAUUGGGAAGGCUUGCCACGCAGCUUCUCCUCCUCACCCGGGGGAAUCGAAGGGACGUCCCGUUUGAUACCAAGUUUCUUCAUACAGCAACGGUAGCCGAAGAAGUACAUUUCGUCUACCUACUUCUGGUAGUCUGCUUCAAGUUCCUCCCUUUCCGCAGCAAACUCAGCCUCCAACUCUUCUUUUUGCGCUAAUAAACGCAACUGCAAAUCCUCUCUCUGCUUUUUCUCAAUUGACACCUCUGUUUGGAGUUGCCUCACUUCUCCCGCAGUUGGGCCAUUUCGUCCUCCGCCUCAUGUAGACGGGCGUCUGUAGAUUCCUCCCGACUCUUUGCCUCAGCUAGCUCUACCCGGAGAGCCUCGUUGUCAUCUCGAGCAGCGGAUAAACUGGCUUCGGCCUGCUCUAAUCUCAAGCGCAGUUCCUCUUCACUGUUUAUGCGUUGAGAGACGAAGGCCUUCAUAUAAUCAGCAGUUCGUAGUAGGUCAGAAAAAAGAUCACGUUGUUGAGCCAUGCCGCGGAUACCGCUCACCAGCUGCAGAAAAACCCACAAACAAGAAGUGCAAAAAUUACAACCCAUGUGACAAACACAUCAGAAUGGCAAGAAAAAUCAAGAAGUAAACUAUACCAUUUCCGCUGCUUCAAACAUUUUUGCUGAAGGCACAGCAACAUCUGAGCUGGAUGGAAUCCGUUUCAGCAUCUCUCCCAACUGCGCAUAGCUGAAAGGACUAGCGGAGAUGCAAGCUGCAUCAUCAACGGGACUUCCUCCUGACGAGGCAUUAGGGAGUGACUCCUUUCCCGAGUCCGGGGCCUCAUCAUUCUCGACCGGCUGGGUCUCUCCGAGUGAACCCCCAUCUGGGACCAGCACCGGGGCGGUUGGAUUCUCUUCUGCCAUCUCUGUCUCACUCCCCUCCGGAUGAUCCUCCUGGACGGACGAGCAGCUGACUUCGAUGGUUUCCAAAAAACGAUCUUGAAGCCGCCUGAUGAGGCUAGACUUUAAGUCACGGGCCGGACGAGACCUCCUUGCAGUUGGCCCCUUCACCGGUAUAAAGGCAAGGGAGCUUGGCUCGCAAGGAGGCACACCCUGACUUUCUGCCCUCGUUUCUUCCGUUGGGGGUGCCGUAGGAGGCAAUGCUUCAGUACAAGAGGCCUCGGCUGCAUCCGCGUCCGAAUGGGGAGAGCCGAGCUGAUUUACUGAAGUCGCUUCCUCAGCCAGAAGAGCCAGCCGUCCAGCCGCUGGCACUGAAGGCCCCGAAUGGUUUAGACCCGCGAGACGUCCGGAGCCUCUUGAAACAGAAGGCAAGACGGGGGAAGGGGGGAGAGGGGGGGGGGGGGGGGUGGUCUGGCUCUCUUAUUAUUAUUUCCUUUACGAAAGUUGGAGGUGGUAUUACCACUUCCUUUGGUGGAGUUGGAAGUUUUAUUUAUUUCCCCUUAUUGAGAGCCUUCUUCUUCUUUUUCUUCGCCGGGGCGCCAGCAGGAAGAGAGGGCGCGAAGCGUUUUAUAUCGGGGGCCCUCCGCAAAGUUCCCUCUUGCCUCAUUCCCUCCCGUUCGUCGAGACGUGCUCGGCGUGCCUGGGCAUCUGCCUUGCGCACCUCCUUGUAGAAAGGAAGGUCUUUUAGAACAAAAUGCUCCCCAGGCAUUACCUUCUUUGGCAACUUCCUGGGGAGAAUAUUGAUGACAUACGCCUGGGGCUCUUGGACAACGGCUAGCAAGUUUCGCGUAGUAAGCAGCGUCUCAUGAUGCCUCUCAGCGGCAGUAAUCUCAAAUAACUUGUUCAGUCGAACGAAAGACGUUUUUUCUACCCACUCGACUACGCGACCCCUCUUGUCCGGACCUGCAUUAUCAGCAACCAAAGAUAUUAAGCCAUCUGAUAACCCCAAAGCAAGAAAAGCAACAAGACGAAUGCCGAACAAACCCCGCAAGCUGUCUUACCCGGAAGCACCAACGAAAGGUUUGGGGAGAAUGGCCUCUCCGGAUGCUCCAGUAGCCCAGCCCAGAUACCCCGGACCAACACAUGUCCCUUGGCUCCUCCCUUCGUCGAAUCCGAAAGCUUAGUCACUAGUUGGAGAGAAGGCAGGUGGGAAACCAUGCUAAAAAUGUCAUUUUUCUCCUUCUUAAGGGAGUAGAUGAAAAGAACCUCCAGCAGCGAGAGGUCCAGGUUGAACAACAUGCUCAGAAUGCUGCAUCCCAUCAGCACCCGGACCAUGUUGGGAUGGAUGUAGGCCGGGGGGAUCUGGGUGAAGUGGAGAAAUUCUUUGAAAAGUGAUGGGAGAGGGAACCGGAGCCCAACAUUGAGUUGCUUCUUGGUAAAGCAGAUAGUGUUCUCCUCAGUUUUCUCAGUCGACAUGGCCUCUCCGUCCAUAAGUUCAACGGACACGCCAUUUGGGAUGCAGAAGCGUUCGCGAAACUCCCUCACAUUCAACUUAUCCACGGAUUUCUCAGCAUGAGCAUCUCCGGGUGAGCUGGAUGAAGUAGCUUCCUUGUUCGCAGACAUUUUGUAGGCUGGGGCUGAAAUGGAAUCUGCAUGGAGGAAUGCCAACAGUCAAACACAGCAAUCCGACCCCACAACCUUAACUCUACCCCAAAGAAGAAUCGGUGACCCACAAAAGGCACAAGGGUGCAACAGAAACCCUAAACACACCCAAAACACGAUCAAAACCCCCCGAAAAAAGCCCUAGAAACCAAUACCGAUUCCUAGUCGCAAAGCAACUUGCCCAGCAAGCCAGAAACAACCAACAAAACAAACACAACAAGGAGAAAAAAAAAAUAGAAAACGUACCGAGUGUAAAACUGGAAAAAUGGGAUGAAAUCCGCAGUGCAGUCACCGUCACGAUACGAGUAUUACCGGCAGAAAACCCUAGAGCUUCACUAGAAAGUGAAAAUACGCGGAAGGUAGAAGAGAAAGCACUACCAGAAAAAGCGCAGAAGGAAAAAUGCAAGAGAAAGGCACAGUUUGCUAUUUAUAGAGAGACAGCUCCUCGGUAUCCCAAAUGCUUAGCCGCACCAUCAUUGAAAGGACACGCUGCCUGGGAAAUCCCAGAAUCGGCGGCUCAUCAUAAAUGAUCUUCUUCCUUUUUCGCCCCCGCUCGCCACGUGGCCCAAUAAAGCGAAAAAAGUCAACCUCAGUUUCAAAAAACAAUCAUUUUUUAACCCACCCAUUUUGCCCUGGCAAAAUGGGCAGGUUAAAAGGGGGGCAUUGUAGGGACCUCUCCCCCUGAUGACAUGUGACACACAUUUCUAUCCGAAUUAGCUCCAUCCGGAUUUCCCCCAAGGAGACACGUGGCGCGCUUCCCCUAUCCGGACUCCCUCAGGGAGAAGCACACGACACUUGCAAACCUCACAUCCGGACGACCGCCAUAUCGCAUCCGGACGACCGACAUAUCCUAUCCGAAUAUGUUUGUCCAGAUCGUUGACUAAAGUAAGCAAGUCUUACUACGUCAUUCCGACAGCCUGCCACGGCUCACGUUCCGCCACCUGCAGAGUGAAAAGACAGGAAUGAUGGCAAGUCACUUCCUACGAUCUCUGACAGUUGCGACGCCUCCCACGAUCUCUGUCAGCCGCUCGUAUGGUGAUGAUGGCCCUGUCACCACCUAGAGUCAUCAUGACAAGCCAAAAUAUCUCCCUAUCAUUAAAGAGGGAGAUAGAGCUUCUGGUACUAUAUAUAUGGACCUUCACACAAAGAGGAAGGUAAGCUUGCUAUACCUAGUAAAAGGCCAACUGAUUUAUCUCUCUAACCAUGGUUGACAAAACCAUCGGAGGGUGUGUCCGGACGCCUUUUGCAGGAAUGACUAAACUAGGAAUCUAUAUUGGUUGAGAUUGUGCGUCCAUCUAUUUGGCAACUACGUGGAUCACCAGGGACGCGAGGCCUCAACAUAGUCCAUUUCCAUUUGAAUUGUUGAAACUUCCUAGUCCUUGUGGGUCUAGUGGUCUCUCUAAUAAUUCCCACCAUUAAUUUUUUGUGAUGAAGUGCAGUCAUUGAUAGCUACUAUAUCAAUUUGCUAUUAAAAGUCAAGUCAUUGAUAACUACUAUUCAAUCUUUUUCAAUAUGGAAAUUGGAAUCUCUAGCGCUACUCUUCUCAUCGUUCAUUUUUAGGUAAUGUGAGAAUGUGUGAACAUAAAUGUCUUCUAAUCAACCAAUUUUUUUUUGAAAAAAACAUGUACAAAAUUGCAAAACUUGCAAAAUCAAACUGACUGUAAUCAACCAUCAUAAUUUUGAUGGUUUUGAAGAAUCAAAGGAUGAAUCCUAAAAGGGUAUUUGAUAAAAAAUAAAAAUUAAAAAAAUUAAAAGACAACUACUCCCUUAAGUAUAAUAAGUGUAUUUGGUAGCACAAAUUUCCUACCACUUAUUAUUUUUUUUCUUAAAAAAUCAUUUACUCUAUUAAAUAAACUAACCUUGGCUUAUCACUUAUAGCAAAAUAGGUUAAGUAGUUUUUAAAAUUUUAUAAUAUUAGAUUUACAUUUUUAUCCUUCAAAAUUUCAUUAAUGCUAGAUUCUUCUAUAUGCUUAACUAAUAAAUAAUUUUUAGCAUUUUUCUUUUCUUAUAAACAUAAAAAAAUAAAAAUAUUAUUAACUUAUUGGUAUAUUUUAAAAUUUUAAUUAGAUUUAAGCUUUUAUUUUUUUGGAUUACCAAUUAUACAUAUAAAUCCUUUAUUAUUAUUGUUAUUAUUGAAAGAAAGGGGUUGAAUAGGUAGUCCCUCAAUCCCCAAAUUAAAUUCUUUAUUGCGUACUUUUGGUUUAUUCCUUUACAUGAAUUCCUUGGUGAGAGUAAACAUUUCAUUAAUGGAUAAAUAAAAUUGAUUCCAUAUCACAGGGUAUAAUGUGGAAAAAUCAUCGGUCUCAUGUGUUCCUUAGUGGAUCCUUUGGAGCCCUUAUCAAAGUUUCAUGAUGAAACCAUUGACUUUUGUUUAACCCAAAUGUGCUUUCAAGACAAAUCUUGAAAGAUUUGAGAGAUGGAGGUUCAAGUCUUUUAUGAACGACCAUGUUCUCUUAGGGUUCAUGAAAUUUCACACCUUUUGAUAAAUAAAACUUAUUUAUUUAUACGUCUAAAACCUAGUAUUUAUUUAUUUAAUUAUAGAAAGUUUCUUAGUUUUAAAAACAUUUCAAAAAUCAUUUUUAGAAUCAAAUAACAAUUUUAGAGAUAAACACAAUAUUAAAAUUUAACAAAAACAAAUUUUUGAAUUAAAAACACAAUAUAAACUAAAUUACAAAAUAUAAAGUAAUUUUUAUCCUAAUUUCUUCUUGCAAAACCAAAUAGAACACCUAGAAGGGGAGUGAAUAGGUGAUUUUAAAUUUUUUCAAUAAUGAUUUAUAAGUUAUACCCAAUUCUUUUACCCUGCGAGUUGUUAGGGACUAUCAAUUCUUUCCUUUUGGCAAUUCAAACAAUAUAUCAAAUAAUAAAAAGAUAUAAAUAAUGAGACAUAAAGAUUUUUACAUGGAAAACCCCCCACACUAACCAUGGAGAUAAAAAGCCAUGGAGUCUAAGACCUAUUAAUCUAAAUUCACUAUACGAAAUCAAGUUACACAAAUUUAUUUGGUAGCUUUACCUUAAAGACUUACUCUCCGGUACUGACAACUUGAUUCACGUCCAUGACGUAGCAACCCUCGAUUACUCCAAUGUAUCACUUCAAGCUUACUAAAAGGAUGAAGGCCUUCAAACCAAGAUUCAAAAAUCAAUUCCUUGAAUGAGAGAUUAGGAAUGGUGUGCCACUUUAGGCUUUCUCUCUAAGAUCUCUAAAAUGAUCUCCUCAAUGAAAACCUCUUAAACAAAAUGAGAUAUUUCUCCACAAUCUCUAACCCUUAAGGGGUUAUAAUGAGAUAUUUAUAGGCAACUAAGUUGAAAGUUUCAGUUUUGGAAGGUUUCUCAAUUGAAUUUGUGUGAAAAACUCGGCAGAAUCGACAUGAUCGCUCGAGCCAACACACUUCCCACUUGAGCGUUUUGGGCACUUGAGCGGUAAGGCUCGCUUGAGUUGUCUUAAGCACUUGAGCAUUCUAGGCUACUUGAGCAAUCUUGCUCUAUUUCAAAAGUUAAUUUUAAAUCAUUUUAAGUUCAAAACAAAAUUGAUUCCCUUUAUACCUCAAAGAAGCCUAACUUGCCACAAACCAAACCUUUUUAGAUAUACUUGUGACUUCCUGGUUGGACGAACAACAACUCUUAAUCUUCAAUGGAGAGCAAGUCACUAUCUAAAAAGAUUUAUAUGGUCAAACAUAAAAAAACAAAAAAAUUGCCAACAUAACAACAAGACUCAAUGUCCUAACAAUCUUCCCCUUUGGCAAUUUUGUGACAAAAACAACGUUACAUAAACCCACCUGAACUCUCAUAAUGGAGUUUAAUAAUACACAUUAACGUUCAAUUAAAAAUAAACUAAGGGAAUACUUUAUCUCACUUUGUAGUAUUUGUCUUCCAACCUUGUAACCUACACACAUAUAGAAAACUAUACCAAAGGUAAAACAAUGUGCAGGAUAAGAUAUGAUCAAGAAAGCAAAAUAGGAUAAUUGGAAAUUUUGCUUGAUGCCUUGUGAAAGCAUGAAAAAAGAACAAAUUCAUAUAGUAAUAUCAAGGGACAAAGCAAAACUCGAGAAGAAUAUAUAUGUAUGCAAAUCAACCAAACAUAAUAAAAGCUAAAUAAGAUGCAAUAGAUAAAAAAUAAUGCCUAGGGGUCUAUCUCCAACCAGAAAAUAGGGAGUGAAGAUCAUAGAAAGAACCUUCUGUGACUUAGAAAGAUUCUAGAGAGAUAGUAAAUUCAAACAUAAAUAUCUUGCUGGAAACAUCUAUGUUAUGUAUCUCUCUAAACCUUUUAAGUUAUGCUUUCAUCAGUUGAUUUGGUUUUUCUCCAAUGUCUCAGGUUUAAUUUCCUCUAUUAUUUCAAUUAGAGAAAUUAGUAGUCGAUUGACUUAGUGGGUGUUUGGUAAAACUUAAUACUUAUUAUUUAAUGAUUAACUUUAAGUUAAAUUGUUCUUAAGUUAUUAAUUUAAAAUUUAUUACUUAUUUUGUAUUUAAGUAUUAAGGUUAUUUGUAAAAAUCAACUUAAAAUUUAUUCUAAAUCAUCAAAUUAACACAUUUACCCUUAUUAAUUUUAACUUAUAUUUAUUUUCAUUAAUUUUAAACAAUAAAUUUAUUCAUAAAACAUCUAUAUUUUUGUAGAUACAUAAUAACCAUAAAAUAUUUACUAUAAAAAAUGAGUCAUGGAUGUAGAAUUAUAAUUCUAAAAUAUACACCUAUAAGUGUGGGUAAAUAAGACAAAAAUGAUUUGAGAUUAAGAGUAAAGUUAAUUAUUUUGACUUAAGACUUCAAGUUAAAAAUAACUUUAAGUUGCAAUAUUAAGUUAUUUUAUCAAACAUGCUUAAUUUACUUAACAACUUAAAUUAACUUAUUAAGUUGAUUUAUCAAACACCCCACUAGUAAUAUGUUGAAAAUGAAGAGCAUCCAUAGCAGAUAAUGUAUAUGUAUUUGUGUUUAGAGUAGAAGGGCACUACAACAAUGGACUUGCAUGUGAUUUGGUCGCGAUAUGAUUUUGAUGAGAAUAUUUUAUUGUCUUUAAAAUAUUGUUAUAUGAAAUGCCACACUAUGUUAGUAAAUGAUAGUUAUGUUAGUAGAAAUGAAAGUUUGUUUUAUAAUGCAUUGACCAUCCUAACACAUGCACUUAAUUAUCAUUAGUAGUUAGACAUGUAUUCCCUUUUUUCAAUUUUUUUUCUUCUUUUUAAAUACAUUCUAGUGGUACUUUGCCUUAUGACUUAAUUUUUGUUACACUUACUACUUUUGGUUUUAGUCAUAUUUCAUUUUAUUAGUAUUUUCAUUUUGUGUUACAAUUUUAUUUAGUUUCUCUAUAUUCUCUUUUGGAUGGUGAUUUCACUUCAAAUUUUAAUUCAAAUUAGGCUUAUUGUCCUCUUAGUAAGCCUUUUCUAGGCGAGUUGUUAUAGAAAAUUAAACAAACCUCUCCUAAGGUUGGCCUUGUUACAUAGACUUCUUUUCUAUUUUGAAAUAUUAUAUUGACCUCCCUUGUUAGAUAUUGGUUUUUACGAUUACUAAGAAUAAUGCUUCUUAAUCAUUAUUAACGAUAAUGCAAAAUGAUAUAACUACUCUUAGUUAAAUCAAAUCAUAAUGACAAUAUUUUCAUCUUCUUUUUCCAAUUUUCUUCUUCUUCCUCCAUACAUGCUAAUUUGCAAAAAUUUAUACCCAUUAUUUAAAUGAAAUCUUUUGAAAUAAAUUAAAAUCUUCCUUAUUUGAUAUUAUAGAAACCUAAUUUAAAUAAAAUAUUUUGAAAUAAAUUAGAUAAAAAAAAAACUUGUCAUCAUUCUAACCCAAAUCAAAUUUAAAAGAAUAACUAAAUAUUUCAAGUCUCAUUUUGUCUCAAUAUCACCUUUGCUAAUCAACCUAUCCAAUCUUAGAUCAAACUCAAAUUGCAAUCAAAUUUUGACAAGAAAAAAUCUACUUAAGACUGAAUAAGAAAACUUGUGGAAAGAGUCUUAUCAAGAAGGUGCAUGAAACCCUCAGUUCAAAAACUUCUUCUAAAAUAAAAUUAAAAAAAGAAAAGAAAAGAAAGAUAUUCAAUGUUAAAGGACUUUUAAGAUAAAUCAAAAUUUGAAAAUGAAUGUUAAUACUUGCGAUAGAUUCCACAUUCAUGAACAAAUUACCAUUGCACCACUUAUUUUCAAUUCACACUUUAAUUUACUAUCCAUAGAAACUUUCAUUAAAUUUUCCAUAAAACAAACAAAGAGCCUUAACCCCCAAAUAUUUUAAUUCUUAAAAAUACAUCAUUUCAUCAAUUUUUGAAACCCUCAUUUUAACACAAAUUAUUUUUUUUUACAAAUUAUUAAAAGAAUAAAAAGAAAAUUAAGAAGAGGUUGUCAUUAUUAUUCUUGCAAAGUCACCACAAAAUAAAUUAUAACAAAUAUAGAAAAUAAAAUAAUGUGACGAUGAAGAUGAUGCUUAGAAAGUUAGAAUGAAGAAGAUAGUAUCAUUUAGAUGAUUUAGGUUAAGAUGAGGACUAGAUAAGGAAAGUGACAUCAAUUGCCUAAUUAUUUGGGGUUUUAGACAUACAAAAUGAGGGAGAUGACUAAAAUUAUGGUUUAAUUAUUUUUGGUUAAGGAUUAUUAAGUUAUUUUAAGGAAUUAAUUAAUUAAUUUAUAAUAAAUUUAGAAUUAAUUAAAAGUUAAUUAAAAUAAUUAUUGAUUCAUAGUUUAAUUUAAAACUAAUUUGAAUAAAAGAUGAAAAACUGAAAGUCCAUUAGGGUUUCACCUAGAGAGGGGAGAGGAGGUGGAUGAUUUAAAAAAUUUCAAUAAAGAUCUAUAUGUUAUAUCCAAUUUUAUUUUACCCUGUGAGAUGUUAGGGAUAACCUUUUCUAUCAACCUUAGGCAAUUCAAACAAAAUAUCAAAUAUAAAAGAUAAGAACAAUAAGGCAUGCGAUUUUUAUAUGGAAAAUCCUCACACUAACUGUGACGAUAAAAACCACGAGAUCUAAGACCUAUUAAUCUAAAUGCACUAGAUGAAAUCAAGUUACACAGAUUUACUUGACUGCUUUACCUUAAAGAUUUACUCUCUGGUAAGUACAACUUGAUUCAUGUCCACAACAUAGCAACCCUUGAUUGCUCCAGUGGAUCACUUCAGCUUCCUGGAAGGGAUGAAGGUCUCCAAAAUAAUAUUUAAAGAACAAAUCCUUGAAUGAGAAAUUGAGAAUGGUGUGGCAAUCUAGGUUUUGUCUAUAGGAGACCCUUUUUAGAGAAUAAAGUCUCUCAACAAUCUAUCUCCAAUCUCUUCAAUAUCUCUAACCCUCAAGGGGUUAUAAGGGAGGUAUUUAUAGGCAAAAGUUUGAAAAGUUUUGAUUUUGGAAGGUUUCUCAAUUGAAAUUUUGUGAAAAACUUGGUAGAAUCAACAUGAUUGCUCGAGCCAACUCACCCAUCGCUUGAGCGCCUCAAGCACUUGAGUGGUAUGGCUCACUUGAGCGGUCUUAAGCGCUUGAGUAGUCUUUAGUGCUUGAGCGCUCUAGGCCACUUGAGCAGUCUUGCUCUCUUUCAAAAAUCAAUUUUAAAAUCUUUUUAAGUUCAAAACAAAAUUGAUGCUCUUUAAUACCUCAACAUAGCCUAAUUAACAUAAGUCAAGCCUCUUUAAACAUGUGACUUCUCAAUUGGACAAACAACAACCCUUGAUCUUCAAUGAAGAGUAAGUCACUAACUAGAAAGACUUCUAUGACCAAACAUUACAAAGAACAAAAUUGCCAACAUAUAGGAAGGACUUACUGUCUUAACAAUCUCUCCCUUUGACAAUUUUGUGACAAAAAAUUGUUACAUAAACCCACUUGAACUCUGAUAACGGAGUUUACAUAACACACUUUAAUGCUCAAUUAAAACUAAAUUAAGGGAAAGCUUUGUAUUAAUUUAUAGUACUUAUAUUUCAACCCCGUAACCUACACACAUACAAAAAACUAUACUAAAGGUAAAGUAGUGUGAGGAAUAAAGUAAUGUUGAGAAAACAAAACAGGAUAGUUGGAGGUUUUGCUUGAUGACUUAUGAAAACAUGAAAAUGGAACAGAUUUUUGUAGAGACACUGAGGCACAAAGCAAAGCUUGAGAGGAAUAUAGAUACACACAAAUCAGGAAAACACAAUAGAAGCUUGAUAAGACACAAUAGAUCAAUAAUAAUGCUUAGAAGUCUAUCUCCAACCAGAAAAUGGGUAGUGAAAACCAUGGAAAGAAACUGCUAUGACUUAGAAUAGUUCUAGAGUGAUAAUUAGUUUAAACAUAAAUAUCUUAUAAGAAACAUUUGUGUCAAGUAUCUCUUUAAACCAUCUAAGUUAUGUUUUCAUCGGUUGAUAUGGUUUUCUCCAAUUUCUCAAGUUUAAUUUCCUUUAAUAUUUCAAUAAUUUCCCUUAAUGGAUGAAUGAAUGAAUGAAUUGAAUUAAAGAAUUCAAAAUUUUUAACUCAUAGUAACUUCCCUUAAAUUACAAUCAAUACAAUAAUUCAAAUCAAGUAUACAAAAACAUAAAUAAUAGAACAUUUAUGCAUUAGGUGGCGGUAGAGGGAUAGAGCUUGAAGCAUCGUGAGAAUGGGUACAAGAAAAGAUGUAGUUAAGUUAUCCCUAAAUCUCUCGGAGUUGGAGAUCCUAAGAGUCCAUCUUCUGAUGAAGUCGGGCCAUGGAAUUUAGAGCCUCAUGGGCGUUGGGUCUACAAAAGUAAAAGCCUUGUGUGUAGCUCGGGAAGAACUAACACAACCUCAACUUUAGAGUGAGUCCUCGGAGCAGACUCUAAAUAGUCUGCCUCUAGAAUUCCACCAUGCUCCAUAGCUCGAAGCUCAUCCUCCUAGACAACUACCUUUGCAUGCUGGCCUACAUCAUGUGGUUCAUAAGUUGGAAGAGCCAUCAAACUAUAUACAUGAAUGUAGUGCUUGGGCUAGGAACUCCCAUCUAAAAAGGCAUGGGUAGCCUAGACCCCUAGUGUAGGAUCAAUCUUAAAUCCCACAUCCUCGAGUAUCCGCGUCAUGAGGAGGGUAAAAGGGAAAGUGCCUCCUCUAAAGGAUAAACCACGAAGGGGAAUGAUUGUAUCCAGGAUGACUUAGCCAAUGUCAAAUUGUUGGCUUGAGAGAAUGACGUGAAUAAAGUGAGCAGAUGGUCAAUGGAUUUGGGUGCAGUGUGUAAAUGGGUAGAAGGAGUAAGUGAAGAAUGUGGCAAACAACCAUGUUAGCUUGAAGAAGCCAACAAUCAAGAUAUAAGAAGGAAAGGGGCAAAGACCCCCAUAAAGAGAAGUCAGAAUGGUGUCAAGUUUCUCUCGGGUGAGAGCCUGAACCUCUAGGGAAAAUGAAGAAAUGAGAGCCUCAAUUUGCGACAUGCUAAGGACACAUUGAAUGUAAUGGGAGAAAAUAAGGAAAAAUUGACCAUGCAUGGUCAAUUGAAAGGUGACUCCGACCACAAUAUAAUGCAUGUUCUCAUAGAACAUGUGAACAAGAUGGGGAUAGGAAGUCCCCUAGAGAGAAAACAAAGUCUCCUAACUUUACUCUUGAAUGAUGAUAGGGAAGACAGUGUCCUGAAAAGCUUAGAGGUUAAUGGCAUGCUCAGGCUCGACACAUUGAUAUGUGAAAGAAGCGUAAUAAUGGUCUCGUGCCACCUGGCAGUGAAAACGCUCAACCGAAAGUGCAUCUAGGUUAAAAAGACCCUGGAGUGGGAUGCCCUAGACGGUUUCAGUGACCUAGGAAAGGUCACCUCCCUCUGACAUCUAUGACUAGCCAUAUCUAAGGUAUAUAAUAUGAAAAAACAAAAGCUAAAGAAGAACUAAAGAAAAUCCAAAGAAAAGCUAAACCACUAAAAAUGUUAAACUCAAUGCGUCGAACAAUACUAUACAAAUGGAAAUGAAAAAUAUGAAGUGAACUGACCUCAGAAGACAAAAGGACAGUAACCUAGAGGGCUCGAAGAUGAAUAGGAAAGUUUGAAAUGAAUAUGGCGUGCUGGAUGACCUUUAUAUAGCCUAUAGGAGUGCUUGAUGCAGAUUAGCACUCGAGCGUCAUGACUAACUUAAAUCAAAGUAUUUAUUACUAUCAAAAUAUUUUAAAAGUUUCAAAGGAAGUAUUCAAUUUAGAACCUUUUUAGAAAUUUUUUUGAAAGAAACAAAAAUAAAACGUGAAAUAUUAUGUGUUAAAGGUGUUAGAAGACAAUAUUGUCUAAUCCAAAGCCUUACACAUUCCACAAAAAAAAAAAAGGAAAAAGAGAGAUAUUAUAUAAGAUUUUGAUCACAUCUAAUAGAAACUAAUAUUUAGCAACAUAUCACCAAGCACUAUCUUAUCAGAAAGCUCUAACAUGUUGGAAAUUUAUGUAAGGUUCCAUAACAACUAACAACUUUUUCUGACGACUUGGCAAUGGACCAUUUGCACUUUAACUACAUUAUUGAAUUUAAAUCAUAUUAGAAUAGUAAUUGACUUCUCUUUUGUGAGGCUACAUAUCUUGUAGGAUGGGAUAGGUGAUUCAUUUCAUAUAUGAAAUUUACUUAAUUUAGUAAUGCAUCCAAGUUCAUUAUGAAUAUAAUGGUACCACAACUUUUUGAAUAUUUGUAAUCUGUAAUCUUUGUUUCAACUUCUCAAGUCUAGUCAUUUUAUCGGCAUAACUAGUUUGCUUCAAUUAUCUCUCAACUUUAUUAUAAAACUAAGGGAAAUGAUUAUCACGCAUUUUAUAUUAACUUAACCAAACAUCUUUAUAUAUCUUACAUAUAUAUAUAUAUUGUAAAUUUAGGAAAAUUUCAUCCAUUAGCCAUAGUAAGUAAGAAUCAAAUAUGGGAUAUGUAAGCCAAUGGUGAUAUUGAUGGCGUCAAAUCAAUGACAUAGUAGAAACGUGGAUUGUCUAUUUUCAAACCUUUAUAUUUUCAUCCAAUAGUAAAAAGGUUUAGGCAUCACUUGAAAAGUAGUUUGUUUUUUACCUUGGACUAUGAUUUAUGAAUAAAGUUCUUCUGUUGUAUACCUUUUGUGAUGCCCCAAACCUAAUUUAGGGGUAAAAAUAAUAAUUUAGAAACAAAUAAAUAAAAAUUUAAAUAAAUUUAAUUAAGGUAAAAAUGUAUUUUCGUAUUUAAAAUUCCUAGGGAUCAAUUAUAUAUUUCUUGUCUUCUCUAUUCAAAAAACCCUAUUACACAAAAAUCAAAGAUCAGAGAACAUAGGACAACGUAGGGUUGAAGAUUUGGAGGUUUAGGGUUGAAGAUUAGUUUUCCAGGUAAGAUUCUAACCCUUAAAUUAGUAUUUUAGAUUCGUUAAUUAGUUUGAACACUUUAGAUAUUCUUUGAAAAAUCUGAAUCCACGUUAGGGUUUGUUAAUUUAAUUUUUAAAUAAAAAAGAUUGAAAAUUUAUGAACAUAAGUAGAGUUAUUAUUAAAGAUUGAAAAUUUUUGAAUAUUUGAAUUAAAAAUCUAGAAAAAAAAAAAGAAAAUAAAUUAUAGAUUUGGAUGUGGAAAAAAAUUAAUAUUAAUAAAUAAAUAAAACCUAUGAGUAUGGAGGUAGAAAAAUAUGAAAGUUGAAAGCAAAGAAAAAAAAAAGGAAUAAGGUUUUGUGGUUGUAUAUGCCUCCUUAGUGGAAAAAAAAUACAAGGUUGCUUGCAAUAGGAUAUGAUAAAGAGAGAGAGAUAAAUGCUUCGAUAUUGAUUUUUGUGGGGAAAAAAAGAUUGGGUAAUGCAGGAGAGAAAUAGGUAGCAUUUGUAGAGUUGGUGGAGUUGUUGUAAAAGCUCGUAGGGGUAAUUGUUAGGAAACAUUAGGACUUGAAAUAAUAAUAAUUGCUUCUAGUAAAAGUUUUAAUUUAGUUUAAGUAUAUAAAAGAAAUAGAUGAUUAGAAAAAGAUUUGGAAGGAAUAUGAAUUCAUAAAAUUUCGAAAUUUACUAAUUUAGAUUAUUAUUGUUUUGGAAGUUGAAUAUAAUAUAGGUGAUAAUAUUAUUAAUAUAGGAAAUGAUUAAGAUUCUCAAACCUACAAUUUUAGAUAAAUAGUUAAUAGUAAUAGAUGAUUUUUUAUUUUUUUUAUUUUUUAUUUUUUAUGUUAUGUUAAGUGAAUAAUGGAUUCUUUGAUUAAUUCUCUAAGGUUUCUAAGUGCUUCUUUAAGGUAAGGGAUAUUAAUACUGAUUUUGUAAAUGAAAAUAUUUCUUUUUAUAAGUUAUUUUAAAUUAUGAAAAAUUUUAUUAUUAUUUAUGCAUGGAUCAAAUAUAUAUUUUUUCAUGAGAAACAUGUUUAGGCAAUUUCUUUGUUUAUAAAUAAAUAAAUAAAAAAUGAGAACCUUGGAAAUAUAAUGUUUUGUUUUGUAAGUUUAAAAUAAUGAAAUAAAGUUUUUGACUCUGGUUUAUAUGACCUUAGUUAAUGGGUUAUAAUUGUUGACAUUUUUAGCUCCAAUCAACAAUUAUAAUUGUUGACAUUUUCAGCUCCAAUCAACGAUUAUAAUUGUUGAGAUUUUCAACCCUAGCCAAUGGGUUAUAAUAGUUGACCUUAUAGCCCUAGUCAACAGAUAUAAUUGUCAACCUUUGGUUUUGCCCAUCUUAAAAAGAACAAAUUUAAGGCUAGCCAUUUAUUUGUAAAGUCCCACCUAACUAAGUACCAUUUGUUAUUUAAUAACCAGAGUAAAGAUAUUUUGAAUGUAUUUGAUAUGAAAUUGUUUUGAUAUAAAUAUGAAAAUGUUUGGUUGAAAGUUCAAAUGUUUAAUGCAUGUUGAACUCAAAAGUUUUAUUAAAAUGAUUAUAUGUUAUAUAUCCUAUUUGUAAGCUUGAUCCAUGAAACUGUAUUAAUAUUCCUUAUUGGACUUUGAGCUCAUUCCCCUUUGUUGAGAAUUUUUUUGGUAUUCUCAGUUUGGGCAAGGAGUGAUGACUGGGUUGGGGAAUUUUCUUUGCUAUGAUUUUGGUUCAAUCUUUAUUUUGGACAUUGUUUAGAUGUUAAAAUUUAAUUCCCAUUUAAAUUAUUUGAGUUUGGAGUUAUUUGGACGAUAACACUUUGAUUGAUGUGUUAGUUUUAAAGUUGAGAAUUGAAAAUUAUAGAAUUUAUUUAUCUUACUACUUUGAACAGAAAUUUAGUAAUUGGAGAUCAUCCAGUUACAAGAUGAAUAUUUGUGUCAUUUCCACUUUGAGAGUUCAGACUUGGGGUGUGAAAUGACCGUUAUGCCCUUGGAGUGGGUAUAUUGUUUAUUUGAAUUUAAUGGUCCCCGAACUCCUUAAUUACUCAUAACUUUAUAUCACCUUCUCAAAGUUAAGUUGUUUUACAACUAUUAUCUAGCUACUUUUCUCUACUAUGACAACUUUAUUACAUAGUGAUUAAUUGAAAGAAUCUACAUGUUUUAUUUCAUAGGAUAGUUGAUUUUUUUACUCAAUGAAUCUUGCUUUUAUUAUUGAAAUUUCAAAUCAUUGUAGUCCAACAAUUUCCUAUCCAUUGGUAAUUUCAUAUUACAUUUCCAAAGUCUAAUCAUUUAAAAACACUUGUAGUUAAUAUAUUGGCAAUUGCAUUGUGGGAAGUUGUUCACUUGAUUUUAAUGUUGAAACUUUCAAAUUAUUGUAGUCCAACAAUUCCCUAUCCAUUGGUAAUUUCAUAUCACAUUUUCAAAUUAUAAUCAUUUACAAAUACUUGUAUAUAGUAUAUUUGGUGAUUGUAGAGUGGAAAGUUGAUCGUUUUCAUGAAGACCUCUAAAAUAUAAAUUUUUUUCAUUCCAUUUAAUAAAGAAUUUCAUUAAUUGAACAUAUAUGUUUUUUUUAGCUGGAAAGUAGAGGCCACAUUAUACGAGGCCUUAGGUGACAAUACUAGGUGAGGGUUUUUUUUUUAAUUUAUUUAUUAUGAAAUAUAAAUAAUAUUAUUUAUUGUAUAAUAAAGAUUAUUAUAAUAUAUUUUUUAUAGAUGAAAAAAAUAUUAAUUGAGUUUUAUUUAUUUUUUAAUAAUUGUUUUCAAUAAAUAACUUAUUUGUAAAAAGAAAACUAUAAAAUAUAUGCAUUUGAAAAAUAUUUAAUUUUUAUUUGAUUUAGUAUCAAUUAAUAUUUGUAAUAUUUUUUAAUAUUAUAGAAGUUAACAUACUCAAUCAAGAUAUUCAAGAUCAAGAGAACAUUUGAGAUUGAAUUAAUUUCUUUAUUGUUUAUGUUUUAGAAAAUUUUUAUAUCCAUUACAAAUUUUCUAUUGUUUAUUUUUCAUUCAAUUUUUGCAUUUUGUAAUAGAUAUUAAAACGAAUUUUUUUUCCUAUAUGUUAAAAAAAUAUUUCAAUGUCUUUAAAAAUAAAAUAUUGCAGUAAAAUCAAAAUUACAUUGUGAAACUUUAAGCGAAUGUUUUAUACUUAAGAAGUGCCAAUUAAAGUAAGCAUGCAUCUACAAUUGUAAUUUAGAUGUCAUACUGAAACAAUAGUUCUCUUCGACUAUAUCAUAAAAUUUGGUUCGAAUUACUUUAAGUCAUCUUGUAGAUUUUCAAGUUCUAAUGAUAUGCAUCAAGUAUGUGCAACAUACUUGAUAUAACUAAUAUUUUCUUAAGUAAUUGGACACUUUUUUUCUAUAAAUUUACUUGAUUAUCAAUGAAUACUUUUAUGUAGGGUAUUGAUAUAAUUCGAUAAAUAUUUUAAAAUAGUAUUAGAAUAGCUUUGCUCUUUCCCAAUUAACAAAUUUACCAAAUUAACUUAUAUAUAUUUGUUUAUUUGAAUUUACUGGUAUUUGACUCAAAUUGUUAUUAUUUUUAAAAUUAUAGGAAAACCAUUAUUUAUAGAGUUUAAUUAUAUUUUGGUAAAUUAUCUUUUUAAGUUUGACUAGGAUUAGGAAACUAUUAAUUUAAGAUUAAUCCAUAAGGCUCUAUAAAUUUGCAGUUUUAUAUAGGAUUUAAAAAAAGAAAGAAAAAGUAAGAAAAAGUGAAGAGAGAUAGGCAAAGAGUGCAUUGGGUUUUAGAUAGAGAAAGAUUGAGAGAGUUUUGAUUACUACUAAAAAAGAACAUAUUUUAGAUAGUAAUUCUCAUGAGUUUCGCAUCUUUUGAGCAUUAAUUAUGCCUAAAAAUGCUCAAUUAACAUGUUGUUGCCCUUGCAAAAGUUACUAACAAGUUUUAUAAAGUUUUGGAGUCAUUUCAAGUUAUGAUUUUAAUAAAUUGGUGACGAAAGAAAUGAAUUGAUUUGAAGAAGGCAAAUAAUAUUGAUGAUGAUCAAAUGCAUAAUGAAAUAAGAAAUAUAAUUAGUUUGAUCGGGAUUUGCUGCUAAUUUGGAGGUAGUUAAGGUGGAGUCAAAAGAAGAAAAUGGAAGAAAUGACAAAAAGGAGCUUAAAAACCAAAUGUUGCAGAUUUGUAUGAUCAUGCAAAAAUUUUACAUGACUAUGCGAAAUGGAUUAGAGAAGGAAAAUUGACUAUAGUAUAAGGAGGAUGCUUAAGUUGAUUUCGCAUGAACAUGAGAAAAUUUCGCAUGAACAUGCGAAAAUUUUGAACAAUCAUGCGAAAUGGUCCAGAAAGCUCUCUAAUGUUGUUGUUGCUCCACUAAUUUCGCACCACCAUGCGAAAUCGAUAUUUUCAUGCAAAAUGGCUGAAGCUCAUGUGAAAUCAUGAUUUUGAGGCUAAACUCCAGAUUUGUGAAUUUGGAAGGCUUUAUAAGACCAAUGAGAGGUUGCCAAGUGUUCACUUGACCUUGGCCUAUAAAUAGAAACUUGAAUUUCCCAUGUAAAGAGCUUUGUGAUACUUUUAAUUUUAGAUUUUUCUAGAAACUCUUUUUCUAAAUAGAAUUCUAUAUUUUCUUUAAUUUUCCCUCAUUUUCUCAUUAGCCAAACAUGCCUAGUGAGACCAAAUCUCCAAGUAUGAGUGGCUAAAUUUCGUUUUUCUCAAAGGAAGGAGGAUCUAGAGGCAAGAUCUAUGGUGAAUUAUAGAAAUGAGUUUUAAUUGCAAAUGUAAUUUGAUCCAAUUGAUUGAUUAAUUGAAAUUUGAGGAUUUCUCUCUUCAAAUUGUCUUGAAUGACUAUUACAUUGCAAACUAGGUAGAUUCAUUAAAUUCUUAAAGCUAGAUUUAAUGAGACUGAAUAGUUGCAUUGUAUGAAUCAUUGGAAGAUGAUUUAAGAUGAAUUGAAUAUAUAAUUUAAAUUGAUCUCUUGGAUUAAAUAACCUAAUUUGAAGAGAAAUUAGGUUUAGACUUAAAGGUAAAUCCAAAAUCGGUUUAGAUAAGAAUUUAGGUUUUCAAUAUAACUUGAUGAAAAAUAAAUCUCAACAUCUAUUCACUAUGGAAAUUGUUUUCUAAAAAAUAUUAACUCCGAGAAUUCCUUUUCCUUAUCAAUUUUCUUAUAUUCUACAUUAUAUUGUUCUUUUCAAUUAGAAAUCAUUGUUAUUUUGAUUUUUCAUGAAUUGUCAAAUCAAUUUCACUUGACCACAAUCAUUUCUUUUCCUUCCAUUUAAACCUUAAUUAUCGAGAAUAAUCCAUCCCAAUGGAAGACACCUAAGACCACUAUACUACCGUAGCUUUUGCUAAAAAACCUUUUUGAUCGGGCAAGAGUUACCUUAGCAUAGUUGAAUUAUGUUAUAAUUUUUUUUAUCCAAUAAACAACAAAAAAAUCAAUCGAUCAAGUUUGCAUUGUGUAUUCUUGAAUUUUAUUAAUAAAUUUAAUCCCCCUUUUUGAAGCGAUUACACCAAACCAAGUAAAUAUUUUAUAUACUUCAUUUGCUUUAUUUUUUCUAUUAAGUUUAGGUGUUGCAAUUUUCAAGAGUCAUGGUGAGAAGAUUGUGGGAAAAAUUAUUUUAAGGAUGGAGUCGAACAUAAAAUAUGAAAUUGAGUCCUUUGAUGGAAAUAAUAAUUUUAAUAUUUGAUAAAGUAUUAUUAAAGAUGUUUUGAUACAACAAAGACUUCUCAAAGCAUUACAAGGCAAAAAAACUAGAGAGCAUGACAAAUAAAGAAAUGAAAGAAUUAGAAGCAAGAGUUGUAAGUACUAUUUGUUUAAGUCUUAAAAAUGAAAUACAUUGUUUUGAAUGAAAAAUAUUCUUUCAGGGGUGUCAAUUGCUCUUUUAGAGACCAAAAAUAUUAAGCAAUCAAGUAGUUCAUCUCAUAUUGGACAAACUGUUAUGAUGAAUUCUAAACCACAUCAUCAUAGGAGUAAAUCGAAAGAAAAGUAUCUGAUAGGAGGAUGAUCAUUCCAUUCACAUUUAUGGAGGAAUAUGAAGUAUUAUUACUAUGAAAAAAAAAACAUAUCAGGAGAUAUUGUAAAGAAUUGAUGAAGUACCUAGAAGAAAUGAAAAUUUUUAAAUCCCAAGAGACUUCAAAUUCUACUAAUAUUGUUGAUGAAAAUUUUGAAAUAUUGUAGUAAAUUAAAAGUUACAUUAUGGGACUUUUAGUGAGUGUUUUGUGUUGAAGAAAGGCUAAUUAAAGUAAACAUGCAUCUAAAAUUAUAAUUUAGAUGUUGUACUCAAAUAGUUGCUCUCCUCGAUUAUAUCAUAAAAUUUGGUUUGAAGUAGUCUAAGUCAUCUAAUAAUUUUCUAGUUCCAAUUACAUGCAUCAAACAUGUGUGUUAGGAAGUGUUGCAAAUUACUAAUUAGUAUAGAUCCCUUUUUUUUUUUAAAGAAUAUUGUAUUGAAUAUUUCUAGGUUGAUAUAUUAUUGUAAUAUUAGACUUCCUUAUAGAAUAAGGAAUGUUGUUGAAAAUAUCCCUAUAAAUAUUCUAGUUCAUAAGGGGAAAAAGUUAUGAGAUGAAGAUGGACCCAUAAAGACUAUACAAGGUGGAUAGAGAUGUGAGGAAGAACAGGAGGUACCCGGUGGAGCGAGAGGGCUCGUGGUAAGGUAUAGGUACGAAGAGUGAGGAAACAUGGGAUGUUUUGGGAACCCAAUAGUUAUAUCUAGUUAUAUCAUCUAUAAGUUCUAGUUCUGUCCUUUGCAUUGUUCUCUAUUUUAUAGUGGAAUGAUUCUCUCUUAUCUGUGGAUGUAGGCAUGGUUUUCGAACCACGUUAAAACCUUAUGUACCGUUUGUGUCGAAUUUUUUUAUCUUUAUUUUCUUGAUUAAUGAAGUUUGCAUCAAAGCUUCCGUCAACGGAACAAACUUGUAUCAAAGCUUGGGUUAAAGAUUUCUGGAAGAGUAAAAGAUCACAAAGCACACAAGAUGAAACCAAAAGGAUUUUUUAGUGAAAAUGGAGUCGAUUGCUCUCUUGUGGUGAUAUGAUAUAAAAAGUUUGUCUCAUGGAAAGUUUGAAGAUUGACUUCAUGGAAUUUGGUCCAAAAUGGAGAUUGUUAAUAAGUGUCCCAAAUUCCUAAUUAGUAUAGAUUUUUUUUUUUUUUGUAAAGAAUAUUGUAUAGAAUAUUUCUAGGUUGAUAUAUUAUUGUAAUAUUAGACUUUCUUAUAGAAUAAGGAAGGUUGUUGAAAAUAUCUUUAUAAAUAUUCUAGGUCAUGAGGAAAAAAAGUUAUGAGAUGAAGAUGGGCCUGUAAAAACUAUAUGAGGUGGAUAGAGAUGUGAGGAAGAACGGGAGGUACUCAAUGGAAUGAGAGGGCUCGUGGUAGGGUAUGGAUACAAAGAGUGGGGAAAUAUGGGAUGUUUUGGGAACCUAAUAGUUGUAUCUGGUUCUGUCAUCUAUAAUGUUCUAGUUACGUCCUCUAUAAUGCUCUCUAUUGUAUAGUGGAAUGAUUCUCUUUCAUCCAUGGACGUAAGCAUGGUUGUCGAACCACGUUAAAACCUCAUGUACUGUUUGUGUUAUUAUUCUUUAAAUUUUUUAAUAUUUGUUUCUUGAUUAAUGAUGUGUGCAUCAAAGCUUCCACCUACAUAACAAACUGGUAUCAGAGCUUGGGUUGAAGAUUUUUGGAAUAGUAAAAGAUCACAAAGCACACAAGAUGAAAACAAAAGGAAUUUUUAGUGAAUGUGGAGUCAAUUGUUUUCUCGUGGUGAUAUGAUACAAAAAGUUUGUGUCAUGGAGGGUUUAAUGAUUGACUCCGUGAAAUUUGGUCCAAGGUAGAGAUUGUUAGGAAGUGUCCCAAAUUCCUAAUUAAUAUAAAUUCCUCUUUGUAAAGAAUAUUGUAUAGAAUAUUUCUAGGUUGAUAUAUUAUUGUAAUAUUAGACUUCCUUAUAGAAUAAAGAAGGUUGUUGGAAAUAUUUUCAUAAAUAUUUUAAGUCAUGAGGGAAAAAAGUUAUGAGAUGAAGAUGGGCCUAUAAAGACCAUACGAGAUGGAUAGAGAUGUGAGGAAGAAUCGAAGGUACCCAGUGGAGCGAGAGGGCUCAUGGUAGGACAUGAAUAUGAAGAGUGGGGAAACAUGGGAUGUUUUGGGAACCCAAUAGUUGUAUCUAGUUCUGUCAUCUAUAAUGUUCUAAUUCUGUCAUCUAUAAUGUUCUGGUUUUGUCCUCUGUAAUGUUCUUUAUUGUAUAGUGGAAUUAUUCUCCCUCAUCUGUGUAGGCAAGUUGUUAAACCACGUUAAAACCUCGAAUACCAUUUGUGUUGAUUUUUUUUUAGUUUUGUGUUCUUGAUUAACAAUGCUUGCAUCAAAGCUUCUACCAACGUAACAAUGUGCAACAUAUUUGAUAUAACUUAUAUUUUCUUAAGUAAUUGAACACUUUUUUUCUAUAAAUUUACUUGAUUAUCAAUGAAUACCUACAUAUGCGGUAUUGACAUAGUUUGAUAAAUAUUUUAAAAUAGUAUUAGAAUGGCUUUUCUUUUUCCCAAUUAAAAAAUUUAUCAAAUAUAUACAUACACACACACACACACAAUACUCAUUAGUAUGUCUUUUAUGAAAAAACUAUAUUUGUUUAUUUGAAUUUAGUAGCCAUUUAACUCCUUAGUUACUCAUAAACUUUAUAUCACCUUCUUAAAGUCAAGUCAUUUACAAUUAUUUCUAUCUAGCCUUCUCCAUUAUGACAACUUUAUAAGAUAGUGAUUGACUGGAAAAAUCUACAUGCCUUUGUUGAUAGGAUAAUUGUUUUUCUUUUUUUCGUAUUCAAAGAAUCUUGCUUUUGUUAUUGAGACUUUCAAAUCCUUUAUGUCUAGUGGUCUUAUAAUUCCCUAUUCAUUGGUCUUUCAUAUUACCAAUCAUUUUGCAAAUGAGUUAAUUUCAUUCACAUCCUCUGAGAUUUGAUGUAAAUUCGCUUAGUUACCAAUGAUUUCAAAUUUCAUUAAUUAGUACCCCUAUAGAUGUAAUUUGUGUACAAAAUUUAUUUUUUAAAAGAAUUUAGGUAAAAAUAUUUUAGGUUUAUGUCUUUAACAAUUCUCUAAAAUAAAUUUUACUUGCUAAAAAAUAACUUAUAUAGAUAGAAUACAUCUACAGGAGUUCUAACUGACGAAAUUUAAAACUAAUGGUGGUUUAGUGUAUUUAAACUAAACAUUAAGAAGGGUGACUGAAAUUAACCCUCUAGGUAUAUAUGUUUAACAAAAUUUUUAUUGUUUAUUUUUCAUUUAAUGUUUGCAUUUUUCAAUAAACAUUGAAAAGGAAUUGUUUUUCCAUAUGUUAACAAAAAGAAAUUUGAGCACCUAUAAAAAUGAAAUCUUGUAGUAAAAUUGAAGUUACAUUAUCAAACUUUUAACGAGUGUUUAUGUUUAGAAAGGCCAAUUAAAGCAAGCAUGCAUCUAGAAAUUAUAACUUAGAUGCAUCAAACAUGAGCAACAUAUUUGAUAUAACUAAUAGUUUCUUAAGUAACUAAACACUUCUUUUUCUAUAAAUUUACUUGAUUAUCGAUGAAUACUUACAUAUAUUUACAUAGUUUGAUAAAUAUUUUAAAAUAAUAUUAGAAUAACUUUUUUUUUCUCAAUUAUAUUAGAAAAUAAUAUAAAGUUACUUAUAAACUUUAUAUCAUUUUCUCAAAGUCAAGUCAUUUACAAUUAUUUCUAUUUAGCCUUCUCCAUUAGGACAACUUUUAUAUGAUAGUCGUUGAUUGGAAGAAUCUACAUGUCUUUUUUGAUAGGAUAGUUGUUUUUAUUUUUUUUAUUUUUUUUAUUCCAAAAAUUUGCUUCUAUCAUUGAAACUUUCAAAUCUUUUAUGUAUAUUACCAAUCAUUUUACAAGUGAGUUAAUUUCACUUAGGGUAGAUAUACUUAGCCACACCCCUAUAGAUGUAAUUUGUGUUUAAAUUUUAUUUUUUAUUCAGGUAAAAAUAUCUUAGGUAUAUGUGUUCAACAAUUCUCUAAAAAAUAAAUUUUCUUAUCUAAAAGUUUAUAUAGACAAAAUACAUCUGUAGAAGUCCUAACUAAUGAAAUUUAAAAUCAAUGGUUGUUUAGUGUAUUUACAUUAAACCUUAUGGGGUAUGAUUGAAAUUAACUCUCUUACAAGCACUUGUAGCUAAUAUGUUUGUAGUUGUAGUGUUGGAAAUUGAUCAUUUUCUUGAAGGCCUCUAAGAUAUUGGAAAUAUUGCCAUAGUUUUAGACUUUUUUUUAUUACACCUAAUAAAAAAUAUUAUUAAUUUAACAUAUAUAUUCUUGACUUAAAAGUAAAGUCUCUCCAUAUUGUAUAAGCCCUUAGGUGACAAUAUUAGGUGAAGUUUUUCUUUCGUUUAUUAAAAAAUAUAAAUAAUUUAUUAUUGUAUGAUAAAAUUUUAUGUAAUAUAUUUUUAUAGAUGUAAAAUUAUUAAUUGGGUUUUAUUUUAUUUUUUUACUAAAUUGUCAUUUCAAUAUAUAAAACUUAUUUGUAAAAAGACAAUUAUAAACUAUAUGAAAUUGAAAAACAUUUAGUUUUUUUAUUUAAUUUAUAAUUUUGUUUGGAUUAAUAAUUGAUAUUUGUAAGAUUUUUUAAUAUUAAAAAAAGUUAGCAUACUUAAGAAAGAUAUUCAAGAUCGGGAGUGUUUGAUAUUGGAUUAAUUUCCUUAUUUUCUCUAUUUUAAUAAAUUUUCAUGUCCAUUACAAAAUUUUUGUUGUUUAUAUUUUACUUCAAUAUUUUUAUUUUGUAAUAGACAUUUGAAAAGAUUUUUUCCUACAUGUUAAAAAAAAAAAAUGAACACUCCUAAAAAAGAAAUAUUGCAAUAAAAUUAAAGUUUACACUGUAGGACUAUUAGCAAGUGCUAUAUACUUAAAAUAGACCAAUUAAAGUAGAAAUACUUCUAAAAUUUUAAUUUAGGUAACAAUAAUAUAAAAAGAUAAUAUUUUUGAAACAAUAGUUCUCUUGGAGUUUUGGGUACGAUGGACUAGACUUUAUGUAACAAUAGAUAUAUGAACUUUCCAUUAACAUCUUGAGAGACAUGAUGAGGAGCAAAGUCAUCCUAGAAGGUACCAUAGAGGUACCUUAGCUCCAUUCAUCUAGACUACAUAAUGUUUAAAGAUCAAAUUCAAUGACUAGAUUUCAAAAAUCAAUAUAAGCUUUCUCAUAUUCUACUCUAUAUAAGACAAUGGUAUGAUACAUCUCUUGUGUCGUAGAAUGCACCAUGAAAACCUUAUCAUUUUAACAUCAGUUUGAAACUUAAAAGUCACUUAGCACAUUCUAGUUAUUAAUGUAAGAACAUUAAAAGAAAAUAUAAAAAAAGUUACUUUAUUCUUGUGAUUUUGAUCUAGGACUUUUAAUGAUAUUAAAAAAAAAAAAAAAAAACAGAAAAAUAAAUGGAAAUAAAAUCAACAAAUUAAACAAUUGAAUUAAGUUAGUUUAAUUUUUGCAUCGUUAAAUGGGUAAAUAAAGACUCUUAGAUUUGAUAUUAAUAUGAACAUCAUGACUUUAGUGAAUCUUACAAGAAAAUUUUAGUUUGAAAGACUUCAUUCAUUAAACGUGUGGCACAUAUUAAAGUAAAACUAAGUCUUCUCUAUAAUUUGUACCUAUCAUAGUUUCUUUCCUCAUAAAUAGCCUUUUUUGAAUAUAAUAUAGACUUCAACAUGUAUGGUGGGGCCGAUCAAACUACUAGUCAAGACAACUCAUGGGCAACAACGAUGUACCAACUAUAUUAAAUACUCUUCAUCUAUUUGCAUAUCAAGAGUAAUUUAGUAGUGUCUUUCUUAUGUACCUCGUAUCUAGACUUUCAAUGGAGAGUUCUUCAUCUAAAAAUUUGACUUGGGUUUUCAUAUUAGUUUUGGUUUAGACAUAUGGAUGCAAAGGUUGCAUCAAAGAAGAGAAGUAGGCUAAAUCAUCUUACAAAUUUUCAAGUUCAAAUUAGAUGCACCAAACAUAUGCAAUAUAUUUGAUAUAACUAAUAUUUUCUUAAGUAAUUGAAUACAAUUUUUUUUAUUUUAUAAAUUUACUUGAUUAUUAAUGAAUAACUACUUGUAUGAUAUUGACACAACUUGAUAAAACUUUUAAAAUAAUAUUAGAAUAACUUUGCUAAAAAAAAGUAAAAAUAAAAAUAAAAAUAUGUCUAUAUAUAUAAAAUUAAAUAAAAUUAAAAAUUAAAAAAGAAUAUAUAUAUAUAUAUAUAUAUUGUGUGUGUGUGUGUGUGUGCAUGGUCCCACAACUCAUUAGCUACUCAUAAGCUUUAUAUCACUUUCUCAAAGUCAAGUCAUUUUGUAAUUAUUUCUAUCUAGCCUUCUCCAUUACGACAACUGUAUAAGAUAUUGAUGGGUUGGAAAAAUCUUCAUGUCUUUUUUAAUAAGAUAGUUUUAUUAUUAUUAUUAUUAUUAUUAUUAUUAUUAUUAUUCAAAGAAUUUGAUUUUAUUAUUGAAACUUUCAAAUCCUUUAUGCCUAGUGGUCCUACAAUUCCCUAUUCAUUGGUAUUUCAUAUUACCAAUCAUUUUACAAAUAAGUUUAUUUCACCCGGUAAAUAUACUUAACUACUAAUGGUUUCAAAUUUAAUUGAUUAACACACUUAUAGAUGUAAUUUGUUUUUAAAUUUUAUUUUUUUAGAAGAAUUGUAGGUAAAAAUAUUUUAGGAAUAUGCGUUCAAUAAUUCUCUAAAAACAAUUUAUAUAGAUGGAAUACAUUCAUGGAAGUUCCAACUAAUGAAAUUUAAAACCAACGACGAUUUAAUGUAUUCUCACUAAAUCUUAGGGGAGGUGUACUAAAACUAGCCUUUUUACAAAUAUUUGUAGCUAGUAUAUUUGUAGUUAUGGUGUUGGAAGUUGAUCAUUUUCUUAAAGGCCUCUAUGAUAUUGGAAAUAUCGCCAAAGUUUUGAACUUUUUGUUUCAUCUAAAAAAAAUAUCAUUAAUUUAAUAUAUAUACUCUUUGCUUGAAAGUAUAGUUUCUUCAUAUAGUAUGAAGUUGUAGCUAGGUGACAAUAUUAGGUGAAAUUUUUUUGGUUUACUACAAAAUAUAAAUAAUAUAUUUAUUAUAUGAUAAAAUUUUGUAAAAUAUAUUAUUAUAGAUGCAAAAUUAUUAAUGGAGUUUUAUUUUUUACUAAAUUAUCAUUUCAAUAAUAAGAACUUAUUUGUUAAAAGAAAAUUAUAAAAUAUAUGCAGUUGAAAAAAUUUUAAUUUUUUUAUUUAAUUUGGUAUUUUAUUUGAAUUAAUAAUUGAUAUUUGUAAGAUAUUUUAAUAUUAAAAGAAGUUAACAUACUUAAAAAAGACAUUCAAAAUCAAGAGAGUAUUUGAUAUGAAAUUAAUUUAUUUAUUUUUUCUAUUUAAAUAAAUUUUUACAUCCAUUAAAAAAAUUUUAUUGUUUAUUUUUCACUUCAAUAUUUUUAUUUUGUAAAAGAAAUAGAAAUAAAAUCAACAAAUUAAACAAUUGAAUUAAGUUAGUUUAAUUUUGCCACCGUUAAAUUGGUAAAUGAAGACUCUUAUAUUUGAUAUUAACAUGAACAUCAUGACUUCAUUGAAUCUCACAAGAAAAUUUUAGUUUGAAAGAUUUUAUUCUUUAAUCAUGUGGCACAUAUUAAAGUGAGACCAAGUCUUCCCUAUAAUUUGUAUCUAUCACAAUUUCUUUCCUAAUGAAUAGCCUUUUUGAAUAGAAAAUAGACUUUAGCAUGCAUGGUGGGGCCUAGCUAUCAAACUACUAGUCAAAGCAACUCAUGGGCAAGAAUGAUGUACCAACUAGAUUAAGUAUUCUCCAUCUAGUUGCAUAUCAAGAGUAAUUUAGUAGUAUCUUUCUUGUGUACCUCAUUUCUAGACUUUCAAUGGAGAGUUUUUUAUCUUAAAAUUUGAUGUGGGUUUUCAUACUAGUCUUGGUUCAGAUAUGUGAAUGCAAAGGUUGCAUCGAAGAAGAGAAGUAGGCUAAGUCAUCUUACAAAUUUUCAAGUUCAAAUUAGAUGCAUCAAACAUGUGCAACAUAUUUGAUAUAACUAAUAUUUUACCAAGCAACUAAAUACUUUAUAUAUAUAUAUAUAUAUAUAUAUAAAUUUAUUGAUGAUCAAUGAAUACACAUGUAUGGUAUUGACACGGUUUGAUAAAUCUUUUAAAAUAGUAUUAGAAUAACUUUGCUAAAAAAAGUAAAAAUAAAAAUAAAAAUACAUAUAUAUAUAUAUAUAUAAAAUAAAAAAUUUUAAAAGAAUAUAUAUAUAUUAGUGGUCCCACAACUCAUUAGCUACUCAUAAGCUUUAUAUCAUUUUCUUAAAGUCAAGUCAUUUACAAUUAUUUCUAUCUAGCCUUCUCCGUUGCGACAACUGUACAAGAUAUUAAUUGAUUGAAAAAAUCAUCAUGUCUUUUUUGAUAGGAUAGUUUUUUUUUUUAUUCAAAGAACUUUCAAAUCCUUUAUGUCUAGUGGUCCUACAAUUCCUUAUUCAUUGGUAUUUCAUAUUACCAAUCAUUUUACAAAUAAGUUAAUUUCACUCGGUAAAUAUACUUAACCACCAAUGGUUUCCAAUUUGUAACACUCUUAUAGAUGUAGUUUGUUUUUAAAUUUGAUUUUUUAGAAGAAUUGUAGGUAAAAAUAUUUUAGCUAUAUAUGUUCAACAAUUCUCUAAAAACAAUUUAUAUAGAUGGAAUACAUUCAUGGAAGUUCCAACUAAUGAAAUUUAAAACCAAUGAUGAUUUAAUGUAUUUGUACUAAAUCUUAGGGAGUGUGGACUAAAAUUAGCCCUUUUACAAAUAUUUAUAACUAGUAUAUUUGUAGUUGUGGUAUUGGAAGUUGAUCAUUUUCUUAAAAGGUUUACCAUUGAAGUUAGUUGAAUAUAAAGUUAGGUGAACUUUACCAUUGUUAAAUUGGUAAAUGAAGACUCUUAGAUUUGAUACUAACAUGUACAUCAUGACUUCAUGGAAUCUCUCACAAGGAAAUUUUAGUUUGAAAGACUUCAUCUUUUAAACAUGUGGCACAUAUUAAAGUGAGACCAAGUCUUCCCUAUAAUUUGUAUCUAUCACAAUUUCUUUCCUCAUAAAUAGCCUUUUUGAAUAGAAUUAAUAUAGACUUUAGCAUGCAUGAUGGGCCCCGUCAAACUAUUAGUCAAGAUAAUUUGUAGGUAAGAACGAUGGACCAACUAUAUUAAAUACUCUUCAUCUAUUUGCAUAUCAAGAGCAACUUAAUAUUGUCUUUCUUUUGUACUUCAUGUUUGAACUUUCAAUGGAGAGUUUGUCAUCUAAAUAUUUGAUGUGGGUUUUUAUACUACUCUUGGUUCAAAUAUGUGGAUGCAAAGGUUGCAUCAAAGAAGAGAAGAUGGGUUUGCUUGAAUUCAAGGCUUUUCUUAAAUUGAAUAAUGAGCAUGCAGAUUUUCUUCUCCCUUCAUGGAUAGAUAACAACACUAGUGAAUGUUGUAAUUGGGAGCGGGUUAUUUGCAAUCCCACCACAGGUCGAGUUAAGAAGCUUUUCCUCAACGAUAUAACGCGACAACAAAAUUUCUUGGAAGACGAUUGGUACCAUUAUGAAAAUGUCAAAUUCUGGUUACUAAAUGUCUCCCUAUUCCUUCCUUUUGAAGAACUUCACCAUCUAAACUUGUCUGCAAACUCAUUUGAUGGGUUUAUUGAGAAUGAAGGUAUGUUACCUCUCACCUUUAAAAUUUCUUUUCACUUAUACUCCAAACAUUCUAAAGGAACUACUAGCAUAUGUUCUUAAAAGUGUUCAGGUGGAGACCAAAUGGUCACUAGUAACUAUUGAAUUUAAUAUAAGAACAAUUACUAAUUAUUAAAAUUUAUAAUGUAAAUUAACAUUUAAACAAAACAAUAAAAAAAUUAUUAUUUUAGAAAACUAUAGAUUACAUUAGCCUUAUAUAUAUAAGCAUACUUGUAAUUUAUGCCAUCAUUUCACACUCAACCCAAUUAGUGGGAUUCAACUAAGAGUGAGCAAUUUCACAAUUAUUAAUUAACAAAAACACUUAGGCUCCCAUAUCCUUAUCCUUUUUGCUGAAUUGUCUUUCCUUAUCUUCCAUUCCUAAAAAGCUUGAUUUCUAUAUUCCAAAUUGAUAGAGAUUGGUUAAAGAAAGGUGAUCACAAAAUUUGACUAUUGCUUUCAAAUGAGGAAUCACCAUCUUCAAAAUUUCACAUUUAAAAAAAAAAAAAAAAAAAAAACUAGCCUCGGGUAAGGUCCAAGCCUUAUUGUUUUAAGCUGAUGUCGGGUUGGUUUAAUAAUGAACAGAGUAAAUCCCAACCCAUGACCAUCUACGCAUUUCCAAAUUCCACCCAUCCACAACCCAUUAAUAUGACAUUUUCAGGGACAAAAUUUAAUCAAUUAAACCUAUUAGAUGGAUUCUCCAUACAAUGUUAAAAUGAAUAUAAAAACUUUAAUUCAAAAAAUAAUUUCCUUUAUUUAGUUAGGAUUCAAAUUAUAGGGGCACAAAACAUGAAAAUUUUCAUGUUUAAAAUUCACAAAGAUCACAAAAGCUCUUUGAAGCUCUAUGGACUUUUUUAUUUCUAACAUUUAAACACAAAAAUCACCAAAUUGAAUUAGAAACUUGGAUGCAUAUUCUUAUAUUAAAGACAUGUAAGCUUACAUAUUUAAAUAUGAAGAUCUCAACUUGUAAUUACAUGCUUCUAAUUAAAGUUAUAUUACUCUAUUUUACAGGAUUUAAAGGGUUAUCAAGUUUAAAGAAAUUGGAGAUCUUGGACAUAAGUGGUAAUGAGUUUGACAAAAGUGCCUUAAAAUCUUUGGGCACAAUAACAUCACUCAAGACAUUGGCUAUUUGCAGCAUGGGACUGAAUGGAUCUUUUUCCAUUCGAGGCAUGUUAUAUGUCCACAUUGUUUCUUUGAAAUUAAGUAAAAUGUAUUUCUAACUUUUAAUGUUCCUUAGUUAAUCUCUCUUUUGAUUCAUGUUUGUUGCAGAAUUAGCUAGUUUGAGAAAUUUGGAAGUGUUGGAUCUAAGCUAUAAUGAUUUGGAAAGCUUUCAACUAUUGCAAGGUACUUCAUUAACUUGCUAAAAAAACUUAUGAUAUUUUGUUAUUAAAUUAAAGGUAAGAUUAACAAACAAUUUCUUCCCAUUAGUUACUUUUCUUUGUAAUAUCAUUAAAUUUGAUAUAAAAUAGUCUAAAUCAUCCUUUCAAUUUAUAAGUUUUAAUUAAAACGCAUCAAGCAUGCACAAGGUGUUUAAUAUAACUAAUAUUUUCAUAAGUAAUUGAAUUUUUUUUAUGAAUUAAUUAACUUGAUUAUCAAUAAAUACUUACAUGUAUAAGAUUAAUAUAGUUUCAUAAGUAUUUUAAAAUUGUCUUACAACACACACACACACACACAGAGGGAAAAUGAAAGGUAUGUGAUACAUUUAUGCUAUGUUUGGUUCCCAAAAAAAUUGAGGGAAAAUGAAAGGAGAAAAAAGUGGAGAGGAAAAGUAAAAGAAAAGAAAAAAAGUGAAGAAAAAUAUAAAAUUGAUUAAAGUAAAUACAUGUUACUUUAAACUUUUUUACUUAUUUUAAUUCUUCAAUGUAAGGAUGAAAGAUUUGAAAAUGCAUAAGUUUCUAAUUUUUUUAUUUUAUUUUAUAGUUUUUACAAUACAACCAAACAUACUAAAAUCAUUUUCUUUAAUUUUUUUUUCUUUUCUUAAUACUUUUCACGAACCCUUAAGUUAUGUUUGGUUUGCAGAAAAUAUGAGGAAUAGCAAAUAGAAAAGAAAAUUAGAAGGAAAGAAAAAAUGAAGUAAAAUAAAAAUAAAUUUAAAUUUAAUAAAUUAUUUUUAUAUGCUACUUUAAGCUUAUUUCACUUAUUUUAAAUUAUUUAAACUCAUUUCUAAUAAAUAAUAAUGGAAAUUGUAGAGAAGUUUGUGUUAUUCAAGCUUUGCAAUGACUUUUCAAGGUGAAGGAAAAUAUUCUUGCUGAAAUUGAAAAAGGAAAUACCUUCUUAAAUAGCCUAUUGACCGAAAACACAUUACCCUAACAUAUACACACACCUUUAUUAUUUAUACAAUCAUGUAAUACUUAAUCCAGUUAGUGGGAUUCUAGUGGUUGUUUCUAUCUUGGUUUCCAAUAUUUCUGAUUGAUAGUGUUCGAUUAAUGAAAUAUCAUAAAUUUUGACCCCAAUAAGGACCAAUCCCUAUUAAAUGUAAUUGGGUUAACCUAAGACUAAAUGCUAGACCCAACUAAUAAAAACCCAUCUGUUUGUUGGAGUCUAAAUAACCUGGCCUUAGGUAGAGCCCAUGCCUUAUUAUUUUAAGAUGUAGUCCAACUGGUUUAACACUAGAUUGAGUAAAGCCCAACUUAUGAGCAUCUGUGCAUUUCCAUCCAUCCACAACCUACUGGCAUGGAUAAACUUUGGUCAAUUAAACCUAUUAUAACUGUAUACAAAAUUUUAAGUUCAAAAGAUAAUUUUCCUUAUUUAGUUAGGAUUCAUAUUAAAAAGGCACAAAACAUGAAUUUUCAUGUUUAAAUUCACAAAUACCACGAAAGCUCCUUCAAGCUCUAUGGACCAUUUUAUUUGUAACAUUAUAUUACUCUUAAUUAUCAAAUUAACCAACAAAUUCUUCUCAUUACUUAUCUUUCUUUUGUAAUGUCAUAAAAUUUGAUGUAAAGUAGUAUUGGUCAUCAUUUCAACUUUCAGGUUCCAAUUAGAUGCAUCAAGCAUGUGCAACAUAUUUGAUAUAACUAAUAUUUUUAUAAGUAAUUGAAUUUUUUUUUUCUAUAAAUCAAUUAACUUGAUUAUCAAUGAAUACUUUCAUACAUGAUAUUGAUGUAGUUUCAUAAAUAUUUUAAAAUAGUCAUAGAAGUCUUUUAUCUGAUUCACUAGAAAGAAAAAUAAACUAUUCUAAUGAAAAUACUUGAUGAUUUGAAGUGAUUGCUUUUGAUUUUAUUUGAUUGCUACCAUUAUUAAUUGUUAGAAAUUGGCAACAAAUACCCAUUUUGCAUCACUUCUAUAUGCAUCGGGGGAAUGAAUUAUAUUUCAUAGAGCUAACAGGGCAAAACUCAAACUUUUGGAAUUAUGGAAAAUGUUGCUAGAAAGCUAAUUAACCAUUUAUAUUAUGAUUAAGACUAGUUGGGUUAGAAAUAAUUCAUAUGGAGAUUAAAAAAAACUAUGUAAUUUAGUUUAGUAGCUUGGGUGCUAUUGUAAUGAUUAAUGAUCUGCAACUUGAACACAUCUACUAGUGCUUUCUACUUGUAUAGCUAAAUUUAUGUUACCACUUUGAACUAGAGUACUUACAUGAGAAGAAAGCUUUUCCCUAGUGAUAAUGCAAAAGAAAUUAAGUAUCAAUUUUUGUUAAAAAUAACAAGUGAUAGUUUAGAUAUGGUUUGAAUACACUUUCUUUCUUCUAUUUUUUUAUUUUGAAAAAAAAAACUCUUUAAUGAAAUAUAAGAAAUCUUAUAUGUAUAAAAAUUAAAGACUUAAACAAAAAAAUUUGAAAUUUUGAAAAUUUUCGAGAAGUAUUUUUAAGAAUUUGUAUUUUUAGUAUAAUAAUUCCUAUAUUUUGUAUAAAAGUUUUUGUUUAAAAAAAUAGAAGUGUAUCCAAAUUACAAAUUAAUUGUUAAAUUAAGAAUGUUUCUCAGAUCAAGAGAUAAUGAAAGUUGUAGAGAGUUUGCAUUACUCAACCUUUGCAAUUACUUUUUGAAGGUAAAAAAAAAAUACCUUCCUACAUAACAUACAAUGGUAGGUUCUGGUUUGUAAGAAACUAAUAAAUGAUUAAGAAUAUGAAUAAGACUUCCUUUAUAAUAGAUAUGUAGAGAAGAAUAGUGGAUGAUAGGUGGUGAAAAUCUUGUAAUAAAAUAUCAAUAUCGGUUAUAAGAUAAUCAACAUUUUCUCUAUUUCUUGUACCUAUGUGAUUAAGAAUCUUGUAGCUCCCUUAUUGAAAUAUAAUAUAAAAAUAUAAAUAAACUAUUUAGAAGUGCAUGUAGUUUUCAACAUGAGGAAGUUCAAAAGCAAGUUAAUUAUGAUAAUUUUCCAUAGUCUAUAUUGAACACAAAUUAUUUUUACUAAAGGUUCAAUCGUUCUAUGAAGGUUAAAAGUUUGAAUUGUUUACAUAUGCAAAUGUGAAAUUUGAAAGUUUAUAAUUUUUUAUAAUUUUCUUGUAGAUUCAAAAAGCUUGUCCAUAUUCAAAAAGCUCGAGACCUUGAACCUCAAUUACAACAAGUUCAAAAACACUAGCCUACAACAAUUGGAUAUAUUUACAUCCCUUAAAAAUCUUUCUCUAAGAUGGAACAAUGUUGGAGGAUUUUUUCCUAUCCAAGGUAUGUGUAAUUAUUAUUAUUAUUAUUUUUAAUGAUGAAAUAUUAGAAUUGUCAACAUCUUUUAUCUUUUUUUCCCCUCAAUGGUGUUGCAGAAUUAUGCACUCUGGAAAACUUGGUGAUGUUAGACCUAAGUGGGAAUUUCUUUUUUGGCAUGCAAGGUAAAUACAAAGUGAAGUUUUGGUUAUAUAUAUAUAUAUAUAUAUAUAUAUAUAUAUCAUGUAAGAACAUAACUAAAAUCAACAUUAUUUGCCUAUCAAUUUGUGCAUGACUAUUAUUUAGUUAUUCUUCGUAACAUAAUUGAAAGAAUGUCUAGGUGUACAACAUUUAAGAAUUUUACAUGGCACAAUGAAAAACAUGGUAAUCAAUGUGUGCAAUAAAAUUCUAAUAGUUGAAAAAGAAUUUUCUUGUAAUUUUAUGUUCAUGUAUAGUAAUCAAAGAGAAAAUCAUGAAAAUGUAUAUUAGUUAGACUUUAUAUAUCAAUAGACAAAAAAGAAAGAAAAAAAAAGAUUAGUUCCUUAACUUAUCCUAAAAUUUUCUAGAUAACAAGGAGUUUUUUUAUUUUGGGCUAUAAGGUUUACAACCUGAAAAGUGAAGAUGAUUAAUAUUAGUAAUAAAAUUUUAAAAUAUAAAAAUUAGUGAAAUAAUGUUCUCUAUAACUAUAACUCCAACUGCAACUAUUAAUAAAAGAUAAUAAAGGUACUUUAGACUUUGAAUCCAUGGUUAGGUUUGCAAUUUUUUGAUGAUCAAUAAAGCUACAACUUAUGCUGCAAAAGGCUAUACAAAAUGUAUUAGGAGCAUUGCUAAGCUCAUUUAUCAAUAAAGGAAAUCCAGUAAUACUUUGAUUGGAAAAAACCUAGAAUCAUGUUUGAUAUAUAAUAGGUGAAGAAACAAAAUAACAAUUCCAUGGUAUUAGUUAGUUUGAUAUCUCUUUUGUUAUAUGGAAUAACUAUUCCAUUUUAAAAUAAUUAUUUCAUCUUAUCGCUAGAACAAAAAAUUUCAGGCGAUUAUAUGGGCUUUUGGGUUUCUUAAGAAUUUAAGCAUUUAUGGGUCACCCAUAUAUAUAUAGGAAGAAUAAAAAAAAAAAUAUUCUAUGGAGACAAGGGUAGACACCCAUAAAUGUACAUAUAAUUAUUUAAAUAAAAAUAUCAAUAAGAAACAAUAUACAACAAAAUAGAAAAUUUUAAUCUUCCUAAAUUUUAAAAAUAGAAAAUAAAUGAAAAAAAAUUAAAAAGUAAAAAAAAAAAAAAAAAAAGGUCAAGAAUACAAAUAGAUAAGUAAACAAAAUAUAAAAAAAAUACAUAAAUUAAAAUUAAAAUUUUUUUAAAAAAAAUACAUAGAUUAAUAUGAACACUAAAUGAGGUUUUUUGAGAUAGACUUAGUUAGACUUGAACUAGAUGGAUAUUAAAAAAAAUAAAAAUAAAAAUUCAAAGAAAUAAAAACUAAUUAGAUGCUAAAUAUUGGAUUAAAAUAACCAAAUGAAUAAAGAGUAAUUAUUAAUUUUUAACAUUUUUUAUUCCUUAGAAUUAUUAUUUUGUGUAUUAAAUGUAUUAUGAGUGUAGUGGUAUAAAAAAUGUAGUUAAGAAUACUAUGAAGAAUAAUAAUGGUGAUGAUAAUGGUGACGACACUUAAUACCUUUUAUUGUACAUUUAGAAAAAAUGAGGUUCUUGAUCUUUAUGAAGAUUAUCAUUACUCAUCCGCAAGCAUGUUGAUAGUUGAAACUACUCAAUUAUCAAAAAUUGAAUUUCUAACCUUCAAUUUUUCUCUCUCAAAUGUAUAUGUGGGUGAGAAAGCACUAGGUAGGUUAUAAGGUCUCACAUGUAUAUGAGUCAUAGGAUAAAAAAUAUAGAGACAAUACUAGCAUUUAUUUGAUCCAGUGGCAAAUAGAGAAAUAUAACAUAACCAUAACCAUAAUGUUCUAACCUUAUAUAUACCAGAACCAUGUUUCCUUCAUUCAAUUUUGCAACUUUUUCUUUUCAAAUUAGAAUGUAACUCGUAGGAUCCAUUGUCCAUCAAAAUUUUGAAUCGAAUAUUAUAAGAUAUUUCACAUUUCUACCUACUAAAGCAUGAGCUUCAAUGUUCUCAUGCACUUUUGGCUACUAAGUUAAAGAACUCUUUGAGGGUUAAUGGAGUUUCUAUGAGUAGCAAAGCAUUAUAAUCACAAAGUCUUAUCAGUGAUAUGCAAUUUAACCAAGAACUUAUUCCCAACUAUUUUAUGACUUUUCUUGGCUACUUGUAGGCAAGCUAAAGAAAUUUUCUGGUUUGUUCAAGUCUAAAAAGUGGUUUCAAGUUUAGGGCCAAGCUUGGGCUGCACCUAGGUCCUUGGGCCUUAUUCAGCUCCACGUUUAAACCAACCUUGAGUCCAUCUUUGUAAUUUUUCUCCCAAUUCAUUGAUUUAUAUUAGGAUUUUAUAAAGCCUAUAAAUUGACCAACUAAAUAAAGUAGGUUCAUAAACUUUUAGGUGAAAAUUUUCUCUCUAAUAAAUGUUAAUUCAAGAGUCUCCGUAAUCUUUUUAUAUUCAUAUUAAUUGGUAUUUAAACUGACCUUACUAUAUUAAAGUCAAAUACCAAAUAGUGAACACUAUAUCUGCUACUACCACUAUGAUGGUCACAAACAUAGAAUGCUCCUUUUUUUAGAGUCAAUUGAUGCUUAUAAACAACAACUUUGUUUGAAAAUAAAAUACAUCGAGUGAUUGCAUCAAGAGAUUGAUGUAAUAAUUGCAUACUUGAUCUUGAUAAUGCUGAGUUGACUAAAUAAAUGAGUAUUUACUUAUAAGGUAGCCCAUAGAACAUUAUUUGUGGAAAUAUUCAUGCACCUCUACAUAUGUUCAUGAUAACUUAGGUUGAUAAAUUUAAGAAGAACAAAUUCAUAACCUUGGGCAUAGUUAGUAAGAAAUUUCACCAAUAGAGUUUGGUAUCAUGAUUCUAAUUGUUCAAAUUGUUUUAAAGGAGUAUUUUAAAUUGCAUGUUAAUUUGCUUCUAAUAAAUGGAGAGAAACCAAUUCAAGAAGAGAAUUGUACUCAAGCUAUGUAUAACAUUCAUGAAGAUGUAGAAAAUAUUGAUGAACUUACUUUUGAGCAAGUUGAAAUCAUAAUUAAAUAAAAGAACAAACCCAAGGGUUAAGAUUGUCAAGUAAAACUUUAACUAAAAUUUAUUGAUUUUUUAAAUGCCUAUUAGAGGGACAAUAGAAGUUCUAGAUAAAAAGUAAGAACUUUUCUAAGGAAUCACUUGUUAGAUUUUAAGUGAUCAAUAAAUAUAAUGUCCAAUUUAAAACUUUUAUAAAAGCAAUGCUUCUAAAGAAUAACUUGAUUUGAAUUUAAAGUUAUUAUUGAUAUUUGUUUAUAAUGGAUGUAGUUAAUCAACUGAACAUAGUAAAAAACACAUAAAUUUUUCAAAAUACCUUCUAGUUGUUGGGUAUAUUUAAAUAGUCAUCCAUAUCUCAUUAUCUUUUCACUCACAUACUAAUCUCCUUAUUGAGUAUUUACCAAUUACAAGUAGGUUGAAAGUUACUUGAAUUUAAGUCACUAAUCAAUGUUAACUUGAUAACAAAUAAGUCUCUCUUUGAAACUUGUUUUACAAGAUAGCGAAAUGUAGUCGAUCAAUCAUCAAAACAAUGUUCAAGCAUUAGGAUUUAGUUGUUAAUUUUUAUUUUUAUUUUUUGUGCUUAAACAAAGACAAAAAUGAUAAAAACUCCUUAAAAGUACAUAGUAAUUGAAUUUAAUUUAUACAUCAAACAAGAACAAACUAGUCUUGGAUUUAAAAUUCAUCAGGUUUUGUAAUUAUAAUUCCUAAAAAUUUGUAAGACAACAAAAUUAUUGGGCACUAGGUUAUUGGGUGUGUAUGACUAAGAGGUGAAGGAGGGUUCAUCUUAUACAAAGGAUGAUUUGAUUAAUUUUAAAGAUUGGAUAAACAAUAAUUGCAUAUUCAAGUAAAAAUAACAUUGCUAAAAAGGAAAAUAAGUAUUUUAGUCCUCAAACCUAAAAUGGCUAAAAAUUUUAAUUAAUACAAUACAACUUCACCUACAAAAGAAAAAAAAAACCCAAAACUUUUCAAUAGCACAACUAAGUCCAUUUAUCAAAAAAAAGAAAUAUAAGGAAGUUGGACUCAUUUACUAGCAAUUUAACAUAUGACUAAAACCUAUUGAAGAAUUUGCAAUAGCACUUACUUUGGUCAUGUCCAAACUUAUUGCACAUGGUGCAAAAAGGGGUAGUGCUCGAGGAUGCUUCCACAUAAGAAAGACCCUACUUAACUGUUACAAAGGUUAUUUUCCCACUUGUGGGAAUGCUAACCUUGCUAAUAUAUUAUAUGCCAUGUUUAUCAUAUACAAAUUUUUCUUUACUAAAUAUUUCUUUAAUGAUCUUGGACCUAAAAUUAAAUAUUUCAUUAGUAUUGGUCAUGUCGUUCCUCAACUUUUCAACUUUUAGAGUUAAAUCUUUAUCUUUAUCAUUGAUAGUUUUAUGUUUAGUCCCUAGAAACUUCACCUUAUUAACAAUAUGUUCAUUUAAUAUUUUGAUAUUUUUAAUUUUCAAAGAAUCAUAGAGCUCAUUAAUUUUAAUGUCUUUUUAUUCACUUUUAUGCUUUCAACCUUUGUUUUUAGUUUUCCUAUAAUAAUGCAUCAUAGACCCCAUGUAUAUCAUUAAAAUAAAACUCAUUUUUUUCAUUAGGAUUCAAUUAACCCAAUGGAUCAUAAUCAAAAUUAGUUGCAUAUGAACAAAAGCAAUAAGAUUAUCAUUUUGUACAUCUUUACUUUCAUUUGAGUUCUUAGCCCUACAAUCAUCAAACAUGGAAUUACUCCAAGUUACCUACAUAGCCUUCAUACCUAAUGUUUUUAAGGCAAGGACAAUCAACAACCAUGUGUCCCAUUCCCCCAAUGGUUCACUACGAAAUCAAGGUACAUAUGUUAUGCUUUCUUUGUUUCAUAGUGAUUAGAGAGGAUAAACAUUGUAAAAAAAAAAGUUGUCAUAGUUAAUGUAAGCUAAAACUAAAAAACUUGCUUUUUCAAUUGUGUAAGCAUGUUUUGUUCUUGAUGAAUAUUUACAACAUUCAGAGUUACUAAUGUUUAUAAUUCACAGAGACCUCAUUAACAACAAGUAACAACUAAUUGUAAGUAACCAUGAAAAAAAAAUAAGGAGAAAAAUAAAGGAAAAUCAAGGAAAGUGUCAAAUUUUUUCAUCCCCAUAAAAAAUGCUAAGGAAGAAAAAUGUGAAGAAAGUUUAAAGAAAGUAUAUUUUUCAAAAAUUGAAUUUUCUUUCCCUUAAAGUUGGUAUGGACAACCAAACAAGAAAAUGAUUUUUAAAUUCUUUUUUGACCUUUUUCUAUCAUUCUUUUUUUUUUCCCCCUACUCUAUUUCCUUUCCCUCAAACUUUCUAGGUAGUAAACAUUACCUAAGAUAAAUAGGGAAGAAAAUAUUUUAUCAUUUAUUUAUUUAGUAUUUUUCUUACCUUUUUUUGUAUUUUAUCCAAAUAUAAGAAAACUACUUUUCUUUAUUUUUUCUUUUCCUUGUUGCUUUUCAAGAAUCAAGCAUACUUUAAACUCUAAUUAAGAGUUACAUAGAUUUACAGAGAAACAAUGCAACUAGUAACAAAAAAUUAAGGAAAUUUAAUUUUUUAAUUUUUGAGAGUAAGUAUAAUAAGAUUGGUUUGUUUGAUACAAAAUUUGAAUAAAAAUUAUUUUAAUGAAAAUUCAAGGAAAGGAAAAAAAAAAAAAAAAACUUGAUCUCUAGACUAUAAUACUAAAUCAAUUAAAAAAUCUCCUAACAUCGUUUAUGUUCAUCUUUUUUUUUUUAUGGAUUUGAAAAACCCAAUAAUUUGGAGAAAACUGAUUCAAGGAAGAAUAAUUUUUAGAAUAAAAUAUUAUUAUUUAAGAAGAUCAUAAAUUUUAUAGUCAUUGUUGAAAAUGAUAAAUGAUUAAAAAAAAAAAGGUAGUUGGAAAUUUAGAUACUUUUAUAAGACAAAUGCAUUUUUCUAGUCUGGUAUGAAAAAAGGUAAAAUGAUAGGCUUUGAUCAUUUUUCAAGUUAGUUUGUUUAAAUCAUUUUAAUUUAUUUUGAUUUAAGAACAAUAACUUUUAUUACACUAGUUAUUUUGAUUUUCUUUUGAUAGAUUUUGCAAGCUUAAGCAAUUUGGAGCUAUUGGAUUUGAGUUAUAAUUUAUUUAGUGGGAGCAUUCCAUCAUCUAUAAGAUUGAUGUCUUCUAUCAAGUCUUUAUCCUUGGCUGAAAAUUACCUCAAUGGUUUCUUAGCAAAUCAAGGUACAUAUAUUGUGAUUACAGGUUUUUCUAUUUUCUUUUUUAAUAUCUUGUUUGUUCUUUAUGCCAAUUAAGUCAUGCAUGUCUAUUAAUUUUUGGUAUUUAAUGAAAAACUUUAUUCUUAAUUCAUAAAGACCUCAUCAACUAUAAGUAACAGUUAGUUCUAAGUUUGGGGGCAUUGACAAGACGAGGAGAUGAUUGGUUACAUGUCUUAUUCUCUUUUGUUGGCUUUUGCCAAUUGAAUAAGUUUCAAGAAUUAGAUUUUUCUUACAACUUAUUCCAAGGAAUCCUUCCUCCAUGUUUGAAUAAUUUGACAUCUUUGAGGUUAUUGGAUCUCUCUUCCAACCUAUUCUCCGGAAAUCUUUCUUCCCCUCUGUUACCUAAUCUCACAUCCCUGGAGUACAUCGAUCUCAGUUACAAUCAUUUUGAGGGUUCAUUCUCUUUCAGCUCUUUUGCUAAUCACUCCAACUUUCAAGUGGUCAAACUUGGAAGGAAUAACAACAAAUUUGAGGUAGAAACUGAAUAUCCAGUUGAUUGGGUUCCCCUAUUUCAGUUGAAAGCUCUUAUGCUAUCCAACUGUAAGCUCAUCGAUGACCUUCCUGGUUUUCUUCGACACCAAUUAAGAUUAACCGUGGUUGAUCUCUCCCAUAAUAACUUGACUGGAAGUUUCCCCAUUCAGCAGCUUGAAAACAAUACAAGACUAGGAUCUCUAGUUUUGAGGAAUAACUCUUUAAUGGGUCAACUACUUCCCCUGAGACCUAAUAGUCGUAUCACUUUAUUGGAUAUCUCAGACAACCGACUUCAUGGGGAACUUCAACAAAAUGUGGCCAAUAUGAUUCCAAAUAUUGAGUUUCUAAAUUUAUCCAACAAUCUUCCCCUUCAUUUCAUCCAUAUUUGGAUCUACCUUUAAAUCUCUAUUGCAUACAACCCAUAUAUGAUUCCCUCUAAAUUUAGCCUUCAUUUCUUGUUAAGAGGUUUUAAAAGCCAGCAAUUUAAUUUACUUUCAUCCUCUAUAUAGAUGAGAACUCUUAUAUUUAUCCAAUGAUAGGUAACAUUUUUGCAAAUGCUUUUAUUUGAUUUUUUUAAUUGGUCUUAAAAAUAAGUGUUAAUAAAGAUCCACAAUAUAAAAUAAUAAAUUAUAUCUCAAUUGACCUCAAGAUACUAUUUACUUCUACUAACUCAUUUUACAUCUCAAUUGUUCUUAAAAAGUCUAUAAUGGUAAUUAACUAUAGAAUUCAAGUUUUAAUUAUGCAAAAAAUAUAUAAAGGUUUUUAAAAUUAAUAGAAAAAAAGAUUCUAAUAAAUAAUAAGUAGAUUGAAACAUUUAUUUCUAGAAGUAGAGAAAGAUGGAGGAUCAUAAAAGUUGAAAAAAGAAUAAUUUGGAAGUCAUAAAAUUUUGGAAAAAGAAUAAUUCAUAGAGACCUCAUUAACAACAAGUAACAACUAAUUGUAAGUAACCAUGAAAAAAGUAAGGAGAAAAAUAAGGGAAAAGCAAGGAAAGUAGCAAAUUUUUUCAUCCCCAUAAAAAAAUGAUAAGGAAGAAAAAAGUGAAGAAAGUUUAAAGAAAGCAUAUUCUUCAAAAAUUGAAUUUUCUUUCCCUUAAAAUUGGUAUGGACAACCAAACAAGAAAAUGAUUUUUAAAUUCUUUUUUGACCUUUUUCUAUCAUUCUUUUUUUUCCCCCUACUCUAUUUCCUUUCCCUCAAACUUUCUAGGUAGUAAACAUUACCUAAGAUAAAUAGGGAAGAAAAUAUUUUAUCAUUUAUUUAUUUAGUAUUUUUCUUACCUUUUUUGUAUUUUAUCCAAAUAUAAGAAAACUAUUUUUCUUUAUUUUUUCUUUUCCUUGUUGCUUUUCAAGAAUCAAGCAUGCUUUAAACUCUAAUUAAGAGUUACAUGGAUUUACGGAGAAACAAUGCAACUGGUAACAAAAAAUUAAGGAAAUUUAAUUUUUGAGAGUAAGUAUAAUGAGAUUGGUUUGUUUGAUACAAAAUUUAAAUAAAAAUUCUUUCAAUGAAAAUUCAAGGAAAGGAAAAAAAAACAAAUUUAUCUCUAGACUAUAAUACUAAAUCACUUAAAAAAAACUCCUAACAUCGUUUAUGUUCAUCUUUCUUUUUAUGGAUUUGAAAAACCCAAUAAUUUGGAGAAAACUGAUUCAAGGAAGAAUAAUUUUUAGAAUAAAAGAUUAUUAUUUAAGAAGAUCAUAAAUAUUAUAGUCAUUGUUGAAUAUGAUAAAUGAUUAAAAAAAAAAAAGGUAGUUGGAAAUUUAGAUACUUUUAUAAGACAAAUGCAUUUUUCUAGUAUGGUAUGAAAAAAAGGUAAAAUGAUAGGCUUUGAUCAUUUUUUAAGGUAGUUUGUUUAAAUCAUUUUAAUUUAUUUUGAUUUAAUAACAAUAACUUUUAUUACACUAGUUAUUUUGAUUUUCUUUUGAUAGAUUUUGCAAGCUUAAGAAAUUUGGAGGUAUUGGAUUUGAGUUAUAAUUCAUUUAGUGGGAUCGUUCCAUCGUCUAUAAGAUUGUUGUCUUCUCUCAAGUCUUUAUCUCUGGCUGGAAAUCACCUCAAUGGUUCCUUAGCAAAUCAAGGUACAUAUAUUGUGAUUACAGGUUUUUCUAUUUUCUUUUUUAAUAUCUUGUUUGUUCUUUAUGCCAAUGAAGUCAUGCAUGUCUAUUAAUUUUUGGUAUUUAAUAAAAAACUUUAUUCUUAAUUCAUGAAGACCUCAUCAACUGUAAGUAACAACUAGUUGUAAAUUUGGGGGCAUUGAUAAGACGAGGAGAUGAUUGGUUACAUGUCUUAUUCUCUUUUGUAAGCUUCUGCCAAUUGAAUAAGCUUCAAGAGUUAGAUUUUUCUUACAACUUAUUCCAAGGGAUCCUUCCUCCAUGUUUGAAUAAUUUGACAUCUUUGAGGUUAUUGGAUCUCUCUUCCAACCUAUUCUCCGAAAAUCUUUUUUCCCCUCUGUUACCUAAUCUCACAUCCCUGGAGUACAUCGAUCUCAGUUACAAUCAUUUUGAGGGUUCAUUCUCUUUCAGCUCUUUUACUAAUCACUCCAACCUUCAAGUGGUCAAACUUGGAAGGAAUAACAACAAAUUUGAGGUAGAAACUGAAUAUCCAGUUGGUUGGGUUCCCCUGUUUCUGUUGAAAGCUCUUGUCCUAUCCAACUGUAAGCUCAUCGGUGAUCCUGGUUUCCUUCGACACCAAUUAAGAUUAACCGUGGUUGAUCUCUCCCAUAAUAAUUAGACUGGAAGUUUCCCCAUUUGGCUGCUUGAUAACAAUACAAGACUAGGAUCUCUAGUUCUGAGGAAUAACUCUUUAAUGGGUCAACUACUUCCCCUGAGACCUAAUAGUCGUAUCACUUUAUUGGAUAUCUCAGACAACCGACUUCAUGGGGAACUUCAACAAAAUGUGGCCAAUAUGAUUCCAAAUAUUGAGUUUCUAAAUUUAUCCAACAAUCAUCCCCUUCAUUUCAUCCAUAUUUGGAUCUACCUUUAAAUCUCUAUUGCAUACAACCCAUAUAUGAUUCCCUCUAAAUUUAGCCUUCAUUUCUUGCUAAGAGGUUUUAAAAGCCAGCAAUUUAAUUUACUUUCAUCCUCUAGAUUGAUGAGAACUCUUAUAUUUAUCCAAUGAUAGGUAACAUUUUUGCAAAUGCUUUUAUUUGAUUUUUUUAAUUGGUCUUAAAAAUAAGUGUUAAUAAAGAUCCACAAUAUAAAAUAAUAAAUUACAUCUCAAUUGACCUCAAGAUACUAUUUACUUCUACUAACUCAUUUUACAUCUUAAUUGUUCUUAAAAAGUCUAUAAUGGUAAUUAACUAUAGAAUUCAAGUUUUAAUUAUGCAAAAAAUAUAUAAAGGUUUUUAAAGUUAAUAGAAAAAGAGAUUCUGAUAAAUAAUAAGUAGAUUGAAACAUUUAUUUCUAGAAGUAGAGAAAGAUGGAGGAUCAUAAAAGUUGAAAAAAGAAUAAUUUGGAAGUCAUAAAAUUUUGGAAAAAGAAUAAUUCAUAGAGACCUCAUUAACAACAAGUAACAACUAAUUGUAAGUAACCAUGAAAAAAGUAAGGAGAAAAAUAAAGGAAAAUCAAGGAAAGUGACAAAUUUUUUCAUCCCCAUAAAAAAUGAUAAGGAAGAAAAAGGUGAAGAAAGUUUAAAGAAAGUAUAUUUUUCAAAAAUUGAAUUUUCUUUCCCUUAAAGUUGGUAUGGACAACCAAACAAGAAAAUGAUUUUUAAAUUCUUUUUUGACCUUUUUCUAUCAUUCUUUUUUUUUUCCUUACUCUAUUUCCUUUCCCUCAAACUUUCUAGGUAGUAAACAUUACCUAAGAUAAAUAGAGAAGAAAAUAUUUUAUCAUUUAUUUAUUUAGUAUUUUUUUUACCUUUUUUUGUAUUUUAUCCAAAUAUAAGAAAACUAUUUUUCUUUAUUUUUUCUUUUCCUUGUUGCUUUUCAAGAAUCAAGCAUACUUUAAACUUUAAUUAAGAGUUACAUAGAUUUACGGAGAAACAAUGCAACUGGUAACAAAAAAUUAAGGAAAUUUAAUUUUUGAGAGUAAGUAUAAUGAGAUUGGUUUGUUUGAUACAAAAUUUGAAUAAAAAUUCUUUCAAUGAAAAUUCAAGGAAAGGAAAAAAAACAAAUUUAUCUCUAGACUAUAAUACUAAAUCACUUAAAAAAAACUCCUAACAUCGUUUAUGUUCAUCUUUCUUUUUAUGGAUUUGAAAAACCCAAUAAUUUGGAGAAAACUGAUUCAAGGAAGAAUAAUUUUUAGAAUAAAAGAUUAUUAUUUAAGAAGAUCAUAAAUAUUAUAGUCAUUGUUGAAUAUGAUAAAUGAUUAAAAAAAAAAAAGGUAGUAGGAAAUUUGGAUACUUUUAUAAGACAAAUGCAUUUUUCUAGUAUGGUAUGAAAAAAAGGUAAAAUGAUAGGCUUUGAUCAUUUUUUAAGGUAGUUUGUUUAAAUCAUUUUAAUUUAUUUUGAUUUAAUAACAAUAACUUUUAUUACACUAGUUAUUUUGAUUUUCUUUUGAUAGAUUUUGCAAGCUUAAGCAAUUUGGAGGUAUUGGAUUUGAGUGGUAAUUCAUUUAGUGGGAUCGUUCCAUCGUCUAUAAGAUUGUUGUCUUCUCUCAAGUCUUUAUCUCUGGCUGGAAAUCACCUCAAUGGUUCCUUAGCAAAUCAAGGUACAUAUAUUGUGAUUACAGGUUUUUCUAUUUUCUUUUUUAAUAUCUUGUUUGUUCUUUAUGCCAAUGAAGUCAUGCAUGUCUAUUAAUUUUUGGUAUUUAAUAAAAAACUUUAUUCUUAAUUCAUGAAGACCUCAUCAACUGUAAGUAACAACUAGUUGUAAAUUUGGGGGCAUUGAUAAGACGAGGAGAUGAUUGGUUACAUGUCUUAUCACUACUACAAAAAUUGAAAUUAAUGACGCUUUAUUUUAUGACGCUUUCUAAAAGCGUCAUUAUUGAGGGUAUACAAUGACGCUUAUAAGAAGUGUCAUAGUUGUAUUAUUUAUCUUGAUACUGAUUAUAAGUGUCAUUAUUUGAUGUCAUCUUUUUCCUUGUAACUGUGUAUAUAAUGACGCUUAUAAGAAGCGUCAUAGUUUUAUUAUUUACCUUGACACUUAUUAUAAGCAUCAUUAUUUGAUGGGUAUGUAAUGACGUUCUUGAGAAGUGUCAUAGUUGUAUUGACUUUUAAAAUUUUUGUUUUUAAGUUAACUUAUACAAAUUUUGAUAUUAGAAUAUUAUUCUAUAAAUUAAUUAUGGUAAAUUGACAUUAAUAUUAAUGACAUAAAGUUGCUACAUUAAGGUUUUUUUAAAAAAAUUUGGAUAUAAAUAAAAUAAAAUCCUAAUAAAUUAUUUUUUUAUUGUUUGAUAUUAAUUUUUUUAUAGUUUGUAUCAAUACAAUCUAUUUUCAUAAACUAUUUUUCAUUUUUAUUAAAUUAGAAAUUAUCUUAUAUUUCAUUUAAAAAUAAUUUGUUAAUUUAUUUGUGGACCACAAAAAAGUGGCCUAUUUUGAGCACUUGUUCGAGCCUUGGGCCACAUUUAUUGGGUUUAACCCUUUUAUUUGAGAAGGUUUUAUAGUUAAUGAAUAUAAAUUUGAAAUUAUUUAACUAAAAUGAAAUAAAUUAAUAUUUAAAUUAAUUUAAUGAUGAUUAGACUCACAAUAAAACUAAAUGCAAUAAGAAUAUUUAUAAAAACUUUCUAAUAUUUAUGGGAAUUAAGCUCAUUCUAUUAAAUUAGUUUUUUUUUUAAAUAUCAAUAUUCAAAUUAAACCAAUAUCAACCUAAAAUAUCAAAUAAUUAAACAAUAUAAAUUUAUUAUGAGUUCAAUAUAUAAAAAUUAUUAUUGGAAGAUGAAAUAAAGAAUACUAUUUUAAUUUAUUGAAAAAGGACAUGCAUGAUAUUUUAGAAUUUGUUAUAAAGUCUCCAUUGAAAACCCUAACUUUUGGAAGACAAGAAAGAAGGGAGAGAGCCACCGUUUUUAGUGAGAAAGAAGAGAAGAGAGAAAAAUGCAAGUUUUUCUCAUCAGGCCCAGAUUUCAUCAAAGGUCUGAUCCCACUUUGUCCGUGGUCCGAUCGAGCUGAAAUUUGGAGGAGAGUUUCGUGACUCAUUUAUCUUCAAUCUGAACGGUGAAGAUCGGAUUUGGAGUUUCGGAAAGUCAUUAGAAAGAAAGAGGAGAAGAGAGAAAAACGUAGGUUUUUCUCAUCAUGCCCAGAUUUUAUCAAAUGUCCGAUCCCGCUUCGUCCGUGGUCCGAUCGAGUUGAAAUUUGAAGGAGAGGUUUGUGGCUCAUGUAUCUUCAAUAUGAACGGUGGAGAUCUGAUUUGGAGUUUCGGACAGUCAUUAGAGAGAAAGAGGAGAAGAGAGAAAAACUUAGGUUUUUCUCAUCGUGCCCAGAUUUCAUCAAAUGUCUGAUCCCGCUUCGUCCGUGGUCCGAUCGAGUUGAAAUUUGAAGGAGAGGUUCGUGGCUCAUGUAUAUUCAAUAUGAACGGUGGAGAUCGGAUUUGGAGUUUUGGACAGUCAUUAGAGAGAAAGAGGAGAAGAGAGAAAAACAGUGGUUUUUUUAUAUCAUGCCCAGAUUUCAUCAAAGGUUCAAUGCCGCUUUUUUCAUGGUCUGAUUGAGCUGAAAUUUGGAGGAGAGGUUCAUAAGUCAUUAAUCUUAAAUUUGAACGGUGAAGAUCGGAUUUAGAGUUUUGGAAAGUCAUCUUUCAGCCAAAAACAAAACCUUUAUUUUAUCAAAGAUGGCGCUUCCUGAAAGUGUCAUUGUUGCCUAAGACAUACAAUGACAGAGGCGAAGAGGACGCUUUAGAGAAGCGUCAUCUGUUACCUUUCUUGACGCUUAAAAAACGUCAUAGUUUCCCAUUUUUCUUGUAGUGUAUUCUCUUUUGUAAGCUUCUGCCAAUUGAAUAAGCUUCAAGAGUUAGAUCUUUCUUACAACUUAUUCCAAGGGAUCCUUCCUCCAUGUUUGAAUAAUUUGACAUCUUUGAGGUUAUUGGAUCUCUCUUCCAACCUAUUCUCCGAAAAUCUUUCUUCCCCUCUGUUACCUAAUCUCACAUCCCUGGAGUACAUCGAUCUCAGUUACAAUCAUUUUGAGGGUUCAUUCUCUUUCAGCUCUUUUACUAAUCACUCCAACCUUCAAGUGGUCAAACUUGGAAGGAAUAACAACAAGUUUGAGGUAGAAACUGAAUAUCCAGUUGGUUGGGUUCCCCUGUUUCUGUUGAAAGCUCUUAUCCUAUCCAACUGUAAGCUCAUCGGUGAUCCUGGUUUCCUUCGACACCAAUUAAGAUUAACCGUGGUUGAUCUCUCCCAUAAUAAUUAGACUGGAAGUUUCCCCAUUUGGCUGCUUGAUAACAAUACAAGACUAGGAUCUCUAGUUCUGAGGAAUAACUCUUUAAUGGGUCAACUACUUCCCCUGAGACCUAAUAGUCGUAUCACUUUAUUGGAUAUCUCAGACAACCGACUUCAUGGGGAACUUCAACAAAAUGUGGCCAAUAUGAUUCCAAAUAUUGAGUUUCUAAAUUUAUCCAACAAUGGUUUUGAAGGUAUUCUCCCAUCCUCAAUAGCCGAAAUGAGUUCCUUACAGUCAUUAUAUUUGUCUGCUAAUAGUUUCUCAGGGGAAGUACCAAAACAAUUGCUUGCGGCAAAAUAUUUGUGGCUUCUGAAAUUAUCAAAUUAUAAAUUUCAUGGCGAAAUAUUUUCAAGGGACUUUAACUUGACUCAGUUAGGGUUUUUGCAUUUGGACAAUAAUCAGUUCAAGGGAACACUGUCAAAUGUAAUCUCCAGAAUCUCUAGGUUAUGGGUGUUGGAUAGGUAACAUGACCGAUUUGACUACACUGGUGUUGGGCAACAAUAGUUUUAAAGGCAAAUUACCACCUGAGAUUUCUCAAUUGUUGGGGAUGAUAUUUCUUGACGUUUCUCAAAACGCUCUUUUAGGAUCUCUUCCUUCUUUGAAGAGCCUGGAGUAUUUAGAUACCCAGAGAUUGAUACCCAGAGAUUUUCUCAAUUCCUCAUAUCUAUUGACUUUGGAUAUCAGAGACAACAGGUUAUUUGGAAGUAUUCCCUAUUCAAUCUCUAGACUUUUAGAGCUAAGAGGAAACCUUUUAAGUGAUUUCAUUCCAUAUCAGCUUUGUCAUUUGACUAAAAUAAGCUUGAUGGAUAUUUCAAACAACAAUUUUUCUGGGUCAAUUCCCGGAUGCUUUGGUCAUAUCGGAUUUGGAGAUUUCAAAACUGAGCACAAUGUGUAUAUACCGAUGUUGGAUUCGUAUUCAGAAAGCAAUCCUUCUAUAUAUACGGGUUACUUAAUAAAAUAUUUAUUUUUCUCUAGUGAACUCCCUGAUGAAGUAGAUGAAGUUGAGUUUGUUACCAAGAAUAGGUAUAGCUCCUACAGAGUAGAUAAAAAUAUUUGUUGGGAAUUUAGAUAUUUUUAUAGGAAAGUAGACAAGUAUUCUAAUUUAUAAAAACAAUGCAUUUCUUUAGUUUGGUAUAAAAAAAAAUGAAACGAUAGGUAUUGGUAUUUUUUUUAAAGCAACAAACGUUUUAUUUUAUUUGUAUUUAAGAACAAUGUCUUUUCUUAUACUAGUUAUUUUAAUUUUCUUUUGACAGAUUUUGCAAGCUUAAGCAAUUUGGAGAUACUAGAUUUGAGUUCUAAUUCCUUAAGUGGGAUUAUUCCAUCAUCUAUAAGAUUGAUGUCUCAUCUCAAGUCUUUAUCCUUGGCCGGAAAUCAGCUCAAUGGUUCUUUACAAAAUCAAGGUACAUAUGUUAUGAUUUGUUUGUUUCAUAUGGAUUAGAGAAGAUGAAUAUUGUAAAAAAAAAGUUGUAGUUAAUGUAAGCUAGAAAUAAGUAUCUUGCCUUAUAAAUUAUAUGAGCAUGUGUUUGUUCUUAAUGAAUCUUUACAACAUUUAGAGUUACCAAUGUUUAUAAUUCAUAAAGACCUCAUUAACCGUGAGUAACAACUAAUUGUAAGUAAUUGUGGAAAAAGUAAGGAAAACAAAAUGAGGGAAAAGCAAGGAAUUAGGAAAUUAUUUUGUUCCCAUUAAAAAAUGCUAAGGAAGAAAAAGGUAAAAGAAAGUUUAAAAAAAGUGUAUUUUUCAAAAAUUUAUUUCUCUUUCCUUUAAUUUUGCUAUGGACAACCAAACAAGAAAAUUAUUUUAUAAUUCCUUUUUUAUUUUUUUCAUUCUCUCUCUCUUUUUUCCCCUACUCUAUUUCUUUUCCCUCAAACUUUCUUGGUAGUAAACACAACCUAAGAUAAAAUGGGGAAGAAAAUUUUCAGUUUUUUUUUUAUUUUUUUAGAAUGUUUUCUUACUUUUUAGUAUUUUAUGCAAAUAUAGGAAAAUUAUUUUUUUUUCUUUUUUUUUCUUGCUCCUUUUCGGACAUGAAUCACACUUUAAAAGAAAAUUAAUUUUUAAUUAGGAGUUAAGAUAAAUUUAAGGAGAAACAGUGAAUCACGAAUAACAAAAAAAUAAGGAAAUUGAAUUUUUGAAAGUAAGUAUAAUCAAAUUGCUUCAUUUGAUACAAAAUUUGAAUAAAAAUUCUUUCAAGGAAAGGAAAAAACAUUUUUGUCUCUAGAUUAUAAUACUAAAUCAUGUAAAAAAUCUCUUAACAUCAUUUAUAUUCAUAUUUAUUUUUGUAGAUUUGAAAAAUUCAACAAUUUGGAAUAAACUUAUUCAAUGAAUAAUAAUUUUUAGAUUUAAAGAUUAUUAUUUAAGAUCAUAAAUAUUACCAUGAUUGUUGAUGUCUAAGAAGAUCAUAUUCAACAAUUUUUUUAAUAUGUUGUUUUUUUAUGGUAAUUAAUUGAUGUCUUGUAAUUUUUAAUAUUUAAUGAAAAACAUUAUUUUAAUUCAUCUAGAGCUCUUAAUUCAUGAAGACCUCAUUAAUGGUGAGUAAUAGUUGGCUGUAAGUUUGGAGUCAAAGACAUGUCAAGGAGAUGAUUAGUUACAUGUCUUAUUCUCUUUUGUAGGUUUCUGUCAAUUGAAUAAGCUUCAAGAGUUAGAUCUUUCUUACAACUUAUUCCAAGGGAUCCUUCCUCCAUGUUUGAAUAAUUUGACAUCUCUAAGGUUAUUGGAUCUCUCUGUCAACCUAUUCUCCGGAAAUCUUUCUUCUCCUUUAUUACCUAAUCUCACAUCCCUGGAGUACAUCGAUCUCAGUUACAAUCAGUUUGAGGGUUCAUUCUCUUUCAGCUCUUUUGCUAAUCACUCAAAGCUUCAAAUGGUCAAACUUGGAAUGAAUAACAACAAAUUUGAGGUAGAAACUGAAUAUCCAAUUGGUUGGGUUCCCUUGUUUCAAUUGAAGGCUCUUUCGCUAGACAGCUGUAAGCUCACCGGCGACCUUCCUAGUUUUCUUCAAUACCAAUUCAGGUUAGUGGGGGUUGAUCUCUCACAUAAUAACUUGACAGGAAGUUUUCCCAAUUGGCUGCUUGAAAACAAUACGAGACUAAAAUCUCUAGUUCUGAGGAAUAACUCUUUAAUGGGUCAAUUACUUCCCUUGGAACGUAAUACCCGUAUCCAUUCAUUGGAUAUCUCACACAAUCAGUUGGAUGGACAACUUCAAGAAAAUGUGGCCCAUAUGAUUCCAAAUAUGAAAUAUCUAAAUUUAUCCGACAAUGGUUUUGAGGGUAUUCUCCCAUCCUCAAUAGUUGAACUAAGAGCCUUAUGGUAUUUGGAUUUGUCUACCAAUAAUUUCUCUGGAGAAGUACCAAAGCAAUUGCUUGCAGCAAAAGAUUUGGGGGUUUUGAAAUUAUCAAAUAAUAAAUUUCAUGGUGAAAUAUUUUCAAGGGACUUUAACUUGAUUAGGUUGGAAGUUUUGUAUUUGGGCAAUAAUCAGUUGACGGGAACUCUGUCAAAUGUAAUCUCUAAAAGCUCUUGGUUGGGGGUGUUGGAUGUGAGCAACAACUACAUGUCAGGUGAAAUUCCAAGCCAGAUAGGUAACAUGACCUAUUUGACUACACUGGUGUUGGGCAACAAUAGUUUUAAAGGCAAAUUACCACCCGAGAUUUCUCAAUUGUGGGGUUUGGAGUUUCUUGACGUUUCUCAAAAUGCUCUUUCAGGAUCUCUUCCUUGUUUGAAGACCAUGGAGAGUUUAAAGCAUCUACAUUUGCAAGGGAACAUGUUUACAGGAUUAAUACCCAGAGAUUUUCUCAAUUCCUCACAUUUAUUGACUUUGGAUAUGCGAGAUAACAGGUUAUUUGGAAGUAUUCCCAAUUCAAUCUCUGCACUUUUGAAGCAGCUAAGGAUUUUUUUGCUGGGAGGAAACCUUUUAAGUGGUUUUAUUCCAAAUCAUCUUUGUCAUUUGACUGAAAUAAGCUUGAUGGAUCUUUCAAACAACUCUUUUUCAGGGCCAAUUCCCAAAUGCUUUGGCCAUAUCCGAUUUGGGGAGAUGAAAAAGGAAGACAACGUGUUUGGACAGUUCAUUGAAAUUAGGUAUGGAAUGGAUUCUCAUCUUGUAUAUGCAGGUUACUUGGUGAAAUAUUGGGAGGACUUAAGUUCAGUAUAUAAGGGAAAAGAUGAAGUUGAGUUUGUGACCAAGAACAGGCGUGACUUCUACAGAGGUGGCAUCCUUGAAUUCAUGUCUGGAUUGGACUUAUCAUGUAACAACUUGACAGGCGAAAUACCUCAUGAACUUGGAAUGCUAAGUUGGAUUCGUGCAUUGAACUUGUCUCACAAUCAAUUGAAUGGCUCCAUUCCAAAGAGUUUCUCCGAUCUUUCUCAAAUAGAGAGCUUAGACCUUUCUUAUAAUAAAUUGGGUGGAGAAAUUCCUCUAGAGCUAGUUGAACUCAAUUUUUUAGCGGUGUUUAGUGUGGCUUACAACAACAUCUCUGGUAGAGUUCCAAAUGCCAAAGCACAAUUUGCAACAUUUGAUGAAAGCAGCUAUGAAGGUAAUCCUUUCCUUUGUGGGGAACUAUUAAAGAGGAAAUGCAACACAAGUAUUGAGUCACCAUGCGCACCAUCACAGUCUUUUGAAAGUGAGACAAAAUGGUAUGAUAUCAAUCAUGUUGUUUUCUUUGCAAGUUUUACUACUUCAUAUAUCAUGAUCUUGUUAGGAUUUGUUACCAUCCUUUACAUCAAUCCUUAUUGGCGUCAUAGAUGGUUCAAUUUUAUUGAGGAAUGUGUAUAUUCCUGCUAUUAUUUUGUUUUUGAUAGUCUUUCCAAGUUCUCAGCAUAUUUGUAUAAUUAGAUACUUUUAAUUGGAUGAUGUUUGCAUAAUUAACUACUAUUUGUUUCCAUGGGAUAAAAAGAAAUGGGAUUAUAAUUGCUAUGAGUUGAAACUUACAUACUUUGCUCAAAUUCUAACAUCUUUUGAUUUUAUUUUCAAGUUCCGUUAUUUAUUAUGUAUUGUUUAAUUCAAGAUUUAACCAUAUUAUGCUACUCUUAUAAAAACAAAUUCAAAUUUUUAGGAACUUAGCAUUAAAAUAAUUUCAUAGUCAGAUUUUUAAAAAUAAAGAAGAAAGAAAAUAAUAAAUAAUUAGAAAAACAAUUCAAGGGAGUAUUAAAUUAUUAUCUUAGAAUUGUUUGGCGUAGUAUGGGAAUUCAAAAAUAAUCUUUCAAUUUGUUAGAAAUGUUUAUUUAUUUAUUAUAGCAAUGAUUGAAAUAUCAAUCACAAAGUAAUGUUUUCUUUUCUUUUGUAGGGCACUAACAUUUUUUCUUUGAUUGUAAUAAUUGAUAAAUAUAUUACACAAUUAUUUGUUUUAAAGAGGGGAGGGAUGACAAACAUAAUAACAUGUGAAAUAUUUCUAAAACUGUGAUGGGAAAUAAACCAUCUAAUUAGGGUGCAAUAUUAUUCAUUUUAAUUUAUAUGAAUUUACUUAUUUUUAUUUCCAUCAUAUUUUGAACUAUUUUUUGAAAUUAAGGGAGAUUAAAACAUCAUGAAUUUCUUAGUUUAAUUUAUAUUUUUAAUAAUAAAGCAUGAAAUAUUUAAAAAAAAAAAAGAAAAUCAUGAAUUUCUUUAAUUCCUUAGGAAACCAAUAUAUAAAAAAAGUUGAAUAUAUUAUUAUUUUAUAUCCUAAAUUUCUAAAUUUGUUCAUCACGUAUUUAUUUUUAUAUUAAAUUUAUUAUCAAUAAUUAUUUAUUAUAUAUUAUUAUUUUAUAUUUAAAAAUGUUCAUAAAUAAUUAAAAUUAAUAAAUAUAAAAAAUGAAAUAUUAAAAAAUUAAAUUAAAAAGAUUUCAUCAAGCUAACAUAUUUUGAUAAAAAAAAAAAGAGUAAAAAAGAAGAUGGGGAUAUUAUAGAGGUGGGGAAAAAGAUAAAAGAAAAAUCAUGUGGUAUAAUAAUUGCCACGUGUUAAAGUUAUUUUCUUUAAAAAUUAAUUAUAGUAAUGAUGAACUCAUUUGUCUUAUCAAAGUAAAUAAAAAUAAAUAAAUAAAAGAAAAAAAGAAAAAGAAAAAAAGUGGUGGUUGAUUGGAGGUUAGAGAGGAGGGUUUGAAGGUAAAUUUGGAAUAUUGAUUAUUUUCACUAAGUAGAUAUUUUGAAAGUUAUUUUCAAUGUUUUAAAAACCGGACCGGCCGGUCCGACCGGUCCAACCGUCGACCGGUCACCAUUCCGGUCCGAUCCGGUCAUUUGGACCGGAUUGAGAUCGAACCGGAGUUGAACCGCUCGAACCAGCGGUUCAACCGCUGAACCGGACAAACCGAUCGGUUCCAAGGGAACCGGCCAAUUCAAAUAAUUUUAAUUUUAAAAAAAAAAUUACACAAUAAAAAUAUUACUGUGGGUAAGCUGCAAGCAUGAAAGGUAGGAUUCCAUGUUGGGCCUGUCUUGUGACAAGCCCACACACCCACUCCAAUUACCCUGGGCCUCUUUUUUGAGCCCACAAGAUCAUGCCAAGGCUUUGCUGAGGAUGGCUUUUAUAGGAGUCAUUUGACUCCUUGUUCCUCUCAUAUUCCGAUGUGGGAUUGCAUUUUAUCAAUGAAAAAAAACAUAACAAACAUAACAAAACUCCACCAACAGAAUUUGAACCUUGGACCAAUCUUUAACUCUAGUCCACCUAGGAAACCACUCGGCUACAUGUGUUUUAUCAUCUAAUGUGCCAAACAAAAUAAUAUAUAUUAGAUUUUAAAUUUUUUUAUAAUAUUAAAUAAAAAUAAUAUAAUAUUUUUAAAAAUUAUGAAAUUAGUUUAAAUUUUCAUUUUUUUUAUAUUCACAUUUAAAUAUUAUACAUAUUUCAUUUAAUAAAAUUUAAAAUAUUAAUAUGAUUUAAUUUGAUAAUAUCAAAGAUAUAAAAUAAUAUUAUUGAUGUUUAAUUUAUUCAUAUAUAUUUUAAAAUUUUUUAUAAUUAUUUUUAAUUUUAAUAAUAUAUAAAUUAUAUAUUUAUUACGUCACCGGUUCGAUAGCGGUUCGACCGCCGGUCCGACCAGUGAACCGUGAACCGGUAACUUUUCCAGUUCGAUCACCGGUCCGAUUCUGAAAACAUUGGUUAUUUUGCCUGAAACCCAUAUUGUUUGAAAAUAAAAAAUCAAAGUUUUAAAAAAAUACAAUUUUUUUGAAAUGAUGCAUGAUUAUAUCAUUCCCCUAAUAGAUUAUUUAUUCCUUUAAACUUUACUUCAAAUAAAAUAGUUUUAAUUAUUUUCUUUUUGGAAUUAUAUUUAACAUAUUAUUAAAAAUAUAAAAAACAUUUUAAUAAUAUUGUUAAUGAGUUUAUAUAUAUAUAUAUAUAUUGUAAAAUAAUUAAAUUUAAAAAUAUUUAAAUUUAGUUAUGGGCUGCCCAUUUCAAAAUAAUAAGAAUCUCGUAACCUAAUUUUUCCAAAUUCCAGGUAAAUAUGCUAAUCUAAAAAUAAAAAAUAAAAAUUAGGUUUUUAUGCUCUCCAAUCUACCACUUAAGCAUCCGACAUGGCUAAAAUAAAUUACAAAAAAAAAAAAAAAAAAAAAAGGAAAAAAAACAAAAGUGUGUGAUCCUCUUUCUCGAGUCUUCACAUUUUGAGACACUGAAACCAAAUCAAAAUUAAUCCUUCAAAUUAAUUUUCACCUCCAAACAUGGCUAUCCGAAAAACCCUAACGUCUGCCUCCUCUUCCUCUUAUCCCGGAAACCUAAAUUCCGUGACCCUAACCCCUUCUCUUUCCGAAAACCCUCCGGAAUCGGAAGAUUCAUAAUUCUUCAGAAUUAAUUUUCACCUCGAAGCCAAACCCUAACUGCCUCAUCUUCCUCUCAUUCAUAUCCCAAAAGUAGCUUCAACAGUCAGGCCUGUAGCCAUGAAAGCCGUAGUGAUCACUACUUCCGGUGAUCCCCAAGUUCUCCAAGUGCAAGAAGUCGAAAACCCUGAAAUUGGAGAUGAUGAAGUUCUAAGUAGAGUGGACGCCGCUGCCAUUAACCGAACAGAUACGCUCCAGAGGAAGGGCUUGCACCCUUCCUCAAAGGCGGCAGUCCCUACCCGGGUCUCGAAUGUUCUGGAAUCAUCGAAGCUGUUGGAAAAGCCGUCGUUCGAUGGAAGGUUGGCGAUCAGGUAUUUCAAUUGCCUAAUAUUUUGAUUUCGUUUCUGUUCCUCUGUUUUUCUCGGCUAUCAAACACUAGGAACGUGUAAAUAAGGAGGUUAGUUGAUUGCGAAAACGGGAAUUUUUUGUUCGUGUCUGUGUUAAGGAGUCUUUGUUGAGAAUUUUGGGGAAAUUUAUGAUAGGUUAAAUUAUUGAGCUUAUUGGUUUUCAAAUUUAUGGUUGUAAGAAAAUUGGUCAGUGUAAGGUUAUGGGUUCAUUACCAAUUUGCUUAGUGAAAAUUUUUCCACAUAUUGUGGACCGGUUUGGUAGCAGAAAUAAGAACUGUGUUUUGUUUUUCAAAACGGAAAUGGAUGCAGAAAACAUGUUUGGUAGCCUACUUUCAGAACUUGUUUCCGAAAAUAUUUCCUGAAAAUGAAUUAUUUCAGAACUUGUUUUUAAAAAAUUCAAACACUUUAUCAAUUUAAAAGGUUCUGAAAUGGACAUGUUCAUGGUCUUCAUUUUUUAAAAUUAAAGCUUUUAUGAAAAAACCAUUUUCCCUUCUACUAAACAAACAGGCUCUAUAUUGUAACAGAUCGAUUGGCCAUUUCCUUUGUCAUGUUUUGUGAAUCAUGGCAACACUGGAAUCCACUCCAUUACCAUCUGUUAGUGAUUAGAAGACAAAGCACCAAUUUUAAUGAUAUCCUUUAUGUGAUUUUGCUUCCUCCUGAGUACAAGUUCAUAAUAUACAUGGUACAUGGUGAAUCUGUAUGACAGUUCAUGGUAUACAGGUGUGUGCUCUUCUUUCUGGUGGAGGGCAUGCUGAAAAAGUGGCUGUUCCAGCUGGGCAAGUUCUCCCUGUCCUAUCUGGUGUUUCUCUGAAGGAUGCUGCUGAGGUUGCAUGUACUGUUUGGUCAACUGUUUUAAUGAUGAGCCGACUGUCUGCAGGAGAAACAUUCCUGGUGAAUUUUUUGUCUUUUUUAUUUUCUGAUGCCUGAUAUAUUUACCAGCACAAAUUUACCCUGUUGCUGUUUAAUGUGUGUGCAUCAAUAUUGGAUUAGGGAGGUAGAAGAGCCAUGGUUCUAAUUAAAUCAUUACAUCAUCAUAUUCUUAUUUAGAUACAUUGUAUCCCACAAUUUCAUUGCAUCCAAGGCUAUGUUGUUUUUUAUUGCACGGUUUGUCAUGGUAAUUUCUCAACCCUUCUCUGGAAAAUUAUGUUGGAUGGCUGCUAUUAAUUACCCCAAAAGAAGAAAUUUUAUGUUGAAGUAAGAUGAGUAGCACAAAGAGUUACUUGUGGUUGAUCCUAUCAUCAAAUGGGCGAUUGAUGCACAAUCCAAAUGGUAAAUUUUUUUCCCCCUUUAUCCAGAUGGAAUUUUUAUGCAUGGUUGAAUAGUGAAAUGAGAGGACUGAUAAUAUUUCAGGUUCAUGGGGGUUCAAUUGGAAUUGGUACCAUCUAUUCAAAUAGCGAAAUACCGAGGAGCAAGGGUAUUUGUUACAGCAGGUUUGCCAUCACUGUUCUACCUCAUCUCACAGAAUGCUUAUCUCAUGGCACCAAUUCCUUUUCUUCACAUGUUUUCAACCAUUUUUUCCACCCAGGAACGAGGAAAAAUUAGCUAUUUGUAAGGAUCAUUGAGCAGAUGUGUGCAUCAAUUACAAGACUGAAAACUUUGUUGCAUGGGUGAAGGAGGAAACAGGAGGGAAAGGUAUAUUCUAUUGUAUCUUAACGAUAAUUUCAAUUGAAGGUGGAAUUGCUUUUUAUUUUUUAGUGCACCAAAUCCACUAGUCUGGAAUGUUUGAAAAGAUAAAUAGUCAUCUUCCACUUGAUUCCGAUUGUGAAGAUCUAACCCCAAAAAUGUUGAAUGACAGGUGUUGAUGUUAUACUGGAUAAUAUUGGAGGGGCCUACUUUUGGGGAGACAUCAAUGGUUUAAAUGUUGAUGGAAGGCUUUUUAUUAUUGGUUUUCAGGGUGGAACAGUGGUACAAGUAAAUCUUUCAGGUUUACUUGCAAGGCGCCUUACAGUGCAAGGUACUGCUUUCUCUGUAGAAGAUUUUUCUGUAGUUUUGGAGUUGAAUCAAUUUGAUUAAUCUCAUCCAAGUUCAGAACUGAGGUGGAUUCUGGCAAGCCAAGGAAAAACCAAAUUACCAUAAAUUCUUUUUUUUUUUUCUGGAUCGUUUUACUUCUUGGAAAUCCUGUUUCUCGAUCUGUUAAUCACAUGGUUUGUUUUUCUUUAUUGUCCCUCUUUCUUUUCUUGUUGGUACCAAAUCCCUAAGAUGUGGAAGCCAAGUGAGCACUUUCUAUCUUUUCUUGUUUCAAUCUCUCAUCCUCUUGUGCACAUUGAGCAAUAAGCUCAUUCAAAGUCCAUUUUUCCUUUUGUGUGUUGUAACUGAUUUUGAAUGGACUGAAUUGUGUAGGCAGAGAGAUCAAGACCAAGUGCACGAGUAUGUCUUCCGAAAACUCUAACUUUAGUGCCUUUAGUCUAGUCACAAGAUUAGACAUUUCCAUAAUAUACUCCCUUAUAUUCUCUUUCCCUUUAUACCGCAUAGAGACAAGCUUACUAAGAAUAGUGUUUGUCUCAACCUUUUCAUUUGCAGCGAUCAAUUUGCUAUCUGGUCUAAGAAUGCCUUGGCUCGAGUUUUCUCAGGUAUUGCACCCCUUAUAACUUUUGGAAUUGAGUGCUUCGUUAUUAUUAGACUCAUGCGAUUGGAUCGCUCCCAUUUUUCCAUAGUAGACCUUUGCUCAGCAGUGCUGGCACUAGUAAGAUCUGGAGGGCGAUCCUCUCUUAAUGCAUAGUCUAAAUCCAUGCACCCGAGCACAAUUAUAGCGUGUUCCUUCCAUUUCUUGAAGUUUGUGCCAUUAAGGGCAGGAAUGUUAUUGACAUUUGCAGAUAUAGAAUAUGUUGAAUUCAUAAUAAUAAAGCUCACAAUCAGCCACAUAAACAUCAUACAUACAUGAAAAAUAACAUCAUACAAGAUACCUAGUACAAACAUUAAUAUUCUGUCUUUUGACAAUAAAUAUUAACUUGUAAUUGGUAUCCUUAUACAAAAUUAAUUCAUAAAUAUUGACAAUAAAACCAAAAACAAUGUGCCUCUCUUUGGACUAACAUAUUGAAUGCAAGAUAAACUUUAUAUGUCACAUAUUUAUGACUACUUUAUUUAUUAUUAUAUUAAAAUAAUCUUUCUUUGGGUCGCUUAUUUUAAAUAAUAAUAAUAACAUGUUUAGAUAUUAUAAAAUAAAUAAAUUAUAUAAUAUAAGUUACUUUGGCAACUAACAUACAUAAUUCAUUUAUUUUUUGUUGUUUCCUUCCUCUUGGAUCUUUUGUUUGUGUUUUAAAAAAAAAAAUGUUUCAGUGAAAAUGGGAAAUGCAACCAGGCUCUAAUACCAUUUUGUGGGACGUUCAUUCUCCAUUAUCAUCGAACACAUGCAGGAUAUAUUUAUAUAUAUCUAUCAAUUCAUUCAAAAUAUGCCGAUGGGAAGCCAGAGAGAACAAGUUCUAUUUUUAUUUUGAAAACAUUGUUAUCCUUAAAGAACAAACACUAUUAUUUGGAUUUAUACUCUCCUGCCUUAGGGACCAUACCCUUUGGCUAUUAGGCCUCACGAGUCUUAGGCCCAUCAUCUAAGGCUCGUGAUGGCACUGGGCUCUACAUAUAAGGUGGCCCAUACUCUGGAACGAAUAUAAAUCAUAUGUAUAUAUAUGGAUAGCUAAAUCCUGAAUAAUGGUUAAUAUGAUGUCGGUUCACAUUUAUUAUAUCAUAUAGACUUCCCAUCUGAAGAAAAUCGACAACAAGUAGCUUUGCCAUUCUUAGUUCGUAUACAACCAACCUUAGCAAGGGUUGAACCCUUUUAUGCUUAGUUGUGCCAUACAGAUCCUUACCACCGCCUACAACAUGUAAUUGAAAUGAUUCGAUAAUAUCAUCUAGUGAACCAAUACCUCCAAAUGAGAGACCAUUGCCUCAGUAACUAAGACUCACGACUGAGAAUUGCGUGAACCCCUUUGCUUGGGUUGGAGCUUGACUGAUGCACAAAAUAUUCAUAGGCCUCUUCCCAUAACAGGCACCUUGUGUUUGCAACAUAAUUGAACAUGUAUUGAAGUGAGUUUUUUUGCAUCUUUUUGUAAGAAAAUUCUAAACAACAAAGAUUGCUUAGUGUGCCUGACUCCUCAAGGAAUCAAGGUUCAUUCCUGUAGGGCCAGUUUUUUCACAGUCGAACUAGAUAACAUGGAGAGUAUGUUGCAAUGCUUCAACGGGGUAUUUCUUAGGAAAAUCCACCUGAAGCUGGUACAAUUCGUUGGCGUACUGAGUUCCUAAAGCUCUAUUGACUUCAAUCACCCAUCUCUGUAGAUUAUCGGUGACUUUAUGCUCGGAUCCUGUAGGAGGAUUGACUUGACAUUCCACUAGUUUUUUCUGGAAGGCGAUUUUGUUUAACACCUUGUGAGAAGAGGCAGGGGAACUGGUCAUUGUUUCUUCGAGAAGAUCAGUGGCCGAGGAUGGGUUUGGACCAGAAUUGCUAUAUGGGUUUUCUUUGGGUGAACCAAUUAGUGAAAUAGGUGGCUAUAUAGCAACUAAAGGGUGGUCAUACUAACGAGGAGCUAUUAUUUCAUGCAUGUGGAGAGGAAAUGACUAGCUUCUUCAAGGAUAUAUGAUUAUUCAUCUCUAGCUUACGUUGACUAUCUCCUAACAAAUUUCUGCUUUGAAGCUCCCUUAGUUUCACUACAGCUAAUUGGCCAACUUGGUUUCAUCAUGUUUCCUACAACCUCUAAGCAAAGCAUGCCAGAUCACCGAAUCAGGUUCUAUUCGCAUUUUGUCCAUAAACUCCUUUGCCUAUUGACAAUAGACUGCCCCUCAAAAUUUGAUGAGAUAACAUCAACGCUGACAUGUUGGCCAUCCCCAUAAGCAUCUUUAUAGAGAUUGAUUCUAUGUUUAGAUAUUUCUCUCUCCUCAAGUGAGUUCAACUUUUCUGUAGCAUCCUUCUCCUUCUCUACUAAUAGUCUUAGUUGAACAUCCAACCUAUGUUCCCAAAGUGCCAGCAUCUCAUAUCUGAUGACAAGCCAACAACCUUGCCCUUGCUGAGACCCAAAUAAGUAUCCAGAACCAUCAACAUCAACCCUUUCAUAGGCCUUUGUAUUUGAAGGUCGGAUUGGGAUUGCUUUGAAUGCACUGGCACUACAAUACACAAUUGUUUCUUCUCCGAUAAAAACACCACAAAGAGGUGAGGGGACUGGUAUUAGCAAAGAAGUGUUGUUAUCUAUAUUGUUCUAAGCCCGAUUACCCUCAACAAAAUCCUCAUCCUCAUCUGUACUCUUCCAUUACAUCCCUAGGCUUUUCAAUGUGAUCCACAUGGCUUACAGGAAUCCAGAAAUACUGAUCUGUAUAAAAGUUGCUCUUAUGGGGCUCUCCUAGAAAACAUCCCAAUCAAGAUGAUCAACCUAGCUUAGAUGCUCAGCACCCCAAACUUACCAGAAAUAGAGGAAUAAAAAGCAAGGAUAGGAGCCAAAGUAAAAACUAAGGGAAGAGCAAAUAGGAAAUCAAGCAAAACAUGAAUGUACAGAGCCUCAUUUCAGGUGACAUCUUUGGGCUAAUAAUAGGUGGAAUUAACAAAGUAGAUAAGCAUGAUUGUUAUAAAUAUCAAGUUCAAGGAUGAAGUCGUGCAUCAGCUACUUAUAGGGGGAGUCAAGGAAACCAAGAUAAGAUCAAAGAGAGCAUGUAUGCAAAUAAACAGAUACGACAAAAUAGACCAAACAACUCGUGAAUAUCCUCCUACAAAAAACUACUACACGUGGCAAAAAGUGAUGAAACAAAAAGAGUUGGGUCCGCAUAUACAUAUCCUAUUCUAUCCUAUUCCUUCAAAUCCAAAGCAACCUGUAUUUUCAAUGGGAUUUGUUGUGAUGAAUUUUACUGGAUUGUAACAUGUAAAUAUGUUAAAAGAGGCUUGGGACAUUCCUAUAUAGUAACGCAUAAAGGUACUUCCAUUGUGAAGUUGUCAAAAUUGCAAAUUUAAAUUACAAAAUUUGAAAACAUAGAGAUGAAAGAUGAUGAAACCUUCUUUGAAAUUUUAUAUUGAACUCAUUAAUAUUAUUAAUUUUCAUUUCAGUCUAGGGGAAAGAAUUCUUUACUCUAAAGUGGUCACAAAAAUAUUAAAAUUCCUUGUCGAGAGAUUUAGACCUAAAGUGAUCAAUAUAGAAGAAAGUAAAAAUAUUCUAAGUGUAGGUAAACUUGUAGACUCAAAUGACUCUACCUUCUCAUAAAAAAUCCUCAAUUUUAUAAAUUAUAUUGAUUUCUUCAUUUGAUACAAAAUUUGAAUAAAGAUUUUUCAAAUGACAACACAAGGAAAGGGAAAAAAAAAUUCUCUCCAAAUCAUAUUAUUUAAUCACUUAAAUUAUUUAAAAAUAAAAAUGUUUACUGCUAACAUUAUUUAGGUUCAUCUUUCUUUUGAUGGAGGUUAAAAUUCAUAAUUUUGAGGAAAAAGAUGAGGAUUCUCAUUUUUUUUCCAUAUAUGAAUGGGAUUCUCAUUGUGUAUAUGUGGGUUACUAAAUGGCAAAUUUGGGGGCCACCAGAGUCUGCAAUAUGAGGGAAAAAUGAAGUUGAGUUUGUCACCAAGAAUAGACAUGGUUCCUACAAAGGUGGCAUCUUUAAUUUCAUGUUUGGAUUGGACUUGUCAUGUAACAACUUAACAAGUGAAAUCCCUCAUGAACUUGGAAUGUUAAGUUUGAUUCAUGCAUUGAACUUGUCUCGUAAUCAACUAAAAGGCUCCAUUUCAAAGAGUUUUUGCAAUCUUUCUCAAAUAGAGAGCUUAGACCUUUUUAAUAAUAAACUAAGUGGAGAAAUUCCUCCAAAAUUGGUUAGACUAAACUUUUUAGCAGUGUUCAAUGUGACUCACAAUAGCAUCUUCGGAAGAGUUUUAGAUAUGAAUACAUAAUUUGCAAAAUUUGAUGAAAGUAACUAUGAAGCUAAUCCUUUCCUUUGUGGACCACCAUUAAAGAGAAAAUGUAGCAUAAAUGUUGUUGAACCACCUUACCAACCAUUAGAGUCUUCGGAAGAAAGUGAUGCAAAAUGGUAUAAUAUCAAUCUUGUUAUUUUCUUUGCAAAUUUUACUACAUCAUAUAUCAUGAUAUUAUUAGGAAUUUCAACCAUUCUUUACAUUAACCCUUAUUGGUGUCAAAGAUGGUUCAAUUUUAUCGAGAAAUAUAUAUACUUUUGCUAUUAUUUUGUUUCCUAUACUCUUUCCAAGUUAUUAACAUAUUUUGAAUAAUUAGAGAUUUUUGUUUUCAAUAAUAUUUACAUAAUUAACUACUAUUGGCUUCCAUGACAUGGAAAGAAAUGCGAUGAAGGCAACAACCACUUUUUUUUCUCCUCUACUAGUGCAUGAUUGAUAUGAGUUAAAACUUGCACCCUUAUCUUUGCUUAAAUUUUCUCAGCUUUUGUUUCAAUUCUUAAUUAUCAUUUCUUUUAUGUAUUGUUUAAUACAAUAUCCUAAACACAUUGCUUUGAAGGUUACUUAUUUAUUAAGCAUGAUAUUGAUUUUCAUAAAAACAAAUUCAAGUUUUUUAGGAAUUUUUAGAAUUAUUAUAAUUUGGAGUUCACAUUAGAGGAAAAAAGGAAAGAAAAGAAUAGAUGAUUAAAAAAACAAUUUUAGUAAGUAUAAUUUGUCAUCUUCGGUAUAACAAAUGGGAAUUCCAAAAUAAUAUUUCAAUUUGUUAGUCUAUUCCUUAUAGUAUUAAUUGAUAUAUCAAAUAGGAAGUCACGUUUUGAUUUUUUAUUAGCUUGAAUUGCAUGUCACAUAUAUUUUAAAAUCAAGCAUACAUCAGCCGGGAAGUUCUUGUAACAUGCAUGAACAUGAUAUGAUGAAUUGAAUAAUUUUCUUAAUAUAUGUGUAUAUACUACACAUUAUUAAAUCAUAUAUGUAUAUUUAUAGUCGUAUAAUAUAUUUAUAUAAGUAACAAUAAAUUAUAUUGUAUAAGGUAUCGGUAGGAGUUUUCAAUUCCCUCAUACAAUAAUAUCUAUCAAUAAUUGGAUUGGACACCUUGCUGGCCAUGAGAAUGGACUUGACAUUAACACAUAGCCUUGAGUGGUGUUGAUAUUAUUACUUUGAACCAGAACUGCAGUCAUCUCAAAAACUAUAUUAUAUAGAAAAGCAAAAUAAAAACAUUAGUUAAAACAAAUGUCAAGAUCCUUGAAAUCACGUUUCAAUAUGUUAAAUUACCAUUUUUUUAAAUAAAUAUUUUAUAGGUUGUGUGAAUAAAUAUAAUUGCUAUGAAGGUUUCAAUUUAAUUUUACUAGCAAAUCCAUAAUAGGUGAAAAGACAAAACUACCAUUUUUGUUUUUUUUUCUUUAUUUACCUUUUUUCUCUCGUAACCUUACUCCUUUCACCUUUUUGUUUUUUCCUUUUUCUCAACUAACUAUUUUUUUCUUGUAAUUGUUAUUAUCAUUUUUUAUUAUAAAUAUUAUAACCUUAUAUUAUAAAUUUUUAAUUAUAUUUAAACUAACUAAUGUUGUGGUUUUAAUUGACAUGGAAAAGAAUGUGGUUAUACAUGUGAUUGUCGCCUUUUUUUUUUUCCAAUUAGUUAACUAUUGAUACAAGUUAAAAGUAAAAAUUGCAAUAUUAUCUUUAUGUCAAUUUCACCGAUCUUUUGUUUUUAUUUUCAUGUAUCAUUCCUUUUUUGGUUAUUUAAUUAAAAGGAUUAAAAAAAAAAAAUCACAUAUUCACAAGAAUAACCUUCAUAUUUUAAAAACAUAAAUUUUUAUAAAAAUACCCUCCAACUAUAAUUUUUAUAUGUCCCUAUUUCAAAUUCAAACACUUCUUUUAAUAAUAAUAAUAAUAAAAAAGGGCAAAAAUGUCAAACUGGGAUUAUAUUUAUAAUUUUCAAUAAUUAGAGGUUGUUUUUCCAAAGUAAAAAUUAUUUUGUUCCUUUGGCACAAAUAUUUCUUUCUUUUUUGUAUUUUUUUAUUCAAAAUAUUAAACACAUUACCCUCAAGGUUACUAUUUAUUAUGAAUGGUGUUUACUUUACAUUACGACAAAUUCAAAUUUUUUAGAAUUUUUUAAUGUUAAAAUAAUUUGGAGCUUAAUAGGGAAAAAAAGAAUAAAUAAUUAGAAAAGCAAUUCAAAAAAAUAAAAUUUAUCCUCUUAAAUUGGUUUUGUGUAAUACUAUAGAAGCCAUUUCUUGAGUUUGAUAUGGUAGAAUUUGGAUUCAUAUUUAUUUUAAAAUCAAGAAAUUCAAGUGUUGGUAGCAUCAAUAGAAUCUUAAAAAAUUUGCAAAAAAAUAUUUAGGUAGAUCACAUUUAAAUAUAACUAAUAGAAUAAAAAAUUAGUAUUAUUAGGAAGACAUGAUCAAUUAAAUCUUUUUUCUUAUCUAUGACACCGACUUUAUUUUUUUACAUAGUCAAUAUAAUUUAUUACAACUUAUAUGUCAUUAAAUUAUACAUGUUUAUAUUAAAUAUAAUAUAAGAUCAUUAAUGGAAUAAUUAUGCAAGUAAUAUAAAUUGUAUAUAAUAUAAAAAAUUUAAAGUCCAUCAAACUAAUGGAAUCUAUUAUAAUAAGUAGACUAGACACCAUGUUGGCCCGAGUUGGAGGCCUAGGCCAGAUUUUAAAGGCUGGGCUUUGAGUUGCCCGUGGGCCUGAGCCAAGGCCUUCUCUUGGUAUCAUCAUUUUGAAGAAAUAAAUUGCUGAUACAGAGAAAAAAACUAUACUAAAUAGAAAAAUAAAUAAAAGCAUUGACUAAAAUGAAGGCCAAGGUCCUUGAAAAAUAAUCUUAAAAUUGUUGCAUAUAUAAUUUCAAUAAUGCAUAAAUAAUUGCAAUAUAUAUGAUGUGAUAAAGAAUUUGGAAUUAAAAGAAGAUUGAUCUAUUUUAAAUGUGGUUGGAAUAUUUCUAAAUUUGUGAUGGGAAGUUAGACAGCCAAUUAGGGAUCCAUAUUAUUUAUUUUCAAUGAUAUGAAUUUAUUUACUUUUAUUAAUAUUCUUAAUGCAACAAUAUAAAAUAUGUCAAUUUUCUAAAAUUAAAAAAGUAAUUGUAAAAGAAAAUUUUUAAUUAUUUUUAUGAAAUUGAGUUUAUUAUAGCAUUUUUCUUUACAUAAAUUUCUUUUUUAUUUUUAUUUUUUUAAAAAUGAGAUAUGAAAAAAAAAGAUCAAUAUUAGUAAAAGUAAAACCCAAUAUAUAAAAAAUAUGAAUAAAUGUUUAUGAAAUAAGAUUUAAAAGUGAGAAGGUAAUAAUUUUUUUCUCUUUUAAUUCCUAUUCAAUUCAUUACAAAAAAUAUUUUUGGUUUUUAUGCUAAAAUUUAUUGUUUAUUAAAAAAUUCUAGUAUAUCUAGCUAUCAUAGAAGAGCUCCAAAAUUUUAUUGUUUAAGAGAAUAUGUGUUGCCACUUUAAAAGAUUUAUAUGCAAAAGGGAUUGAUAUUUUUUUCCUUUGGAUAUGUUUAGUUCCCGGAAAAUUUGAGGGAAAAUGUGAGGGAAGAAAAAUAGAGAAGAAAAGUAUAACGAAAUAAAAAGUGAAGGAAAAUGAAAAAUAGAUUUAAAGUUAACAAAUUAUUUUCAUUGGUUUUUUCAAACUUAUUUUACUUAUUUUAUUCUAUUAAAUAAAGAUUAACUAAUUUUAAUUAUAUUUGGUUUGAUUUUUAUUAUUUUUCAAAGCAAAACCAAAUAUGAAAAAAAAAACAUUUUUUUUUUUUGUUAUUUUUUUCUUUCCUUAUUACUUUUUAGGACUCAAACAUAGCUUUUAGAUUUGGAGCAUGGAAAGAUAAGAGUAUUGAAUAAUGGUUCUAUAUAUGCCCAUGCCCAUGCCCAUGAUACCAUUGAAAAAAAUGGAGAGAGGGUGAAACCUUUACUAGAUGAUAAAUUAUUCUCUUCAAUGGAAAUCAAAUAUAAUUAUUUUUAUCUUGUAUUAAUUGAAUGUUAUACUCCAUAAACUCAAAAUUAAAAUAAAUAAAAAAUUUAAAAACUAGGACAAUCCCAUUUUUUUUCAAUUUCUUAAAAAGAAAUUAAAUUAUAUUUAUUUAUAUCUAUUUUCAUCCCUACCCAACAAAAUAAAAAAAAAUUAACAAGGUGGGACAUGUAUGAGAAAUUCUCACACUAACUCUCACUAGUUUAUUUUUUUUUAAAAAAAAAAAUAAAAUCAAUUUCUUUUAAAAAAAUUAAACUACAUAAAAAAUAAACAAAUUUUACAAUUUUUUUUAAGAAAAGUAAAUUUCUUAUUUUAUAUAUGUUAAAAAUAAAUAUAAUCUUUUAUUUUUUAUAUAUAUAAUCGGGUAAGGUAGAGUGGGACAAAGAAAUAAUCCCCUUCGAUUCCAAUCCGAAUUUUUAAAAUAUAAAAUAAAAAUCUUAAACUCAUCCCUAAUCCAUUUAUUUUUAAUCCUAAACUUGUCUUAUUAAGAAUAAGGCAAAGUGAGUACAUGAAAACACUUCUUUUAUCAUCAUCUCUACAAGUUCUAAUGUUUAGAUUGCAAUCCAUAUCAAAGAUUUAUAAAGAAAGAACAACAAUGAAUUUCAUAAACAUUUGAAAGCAUAAACAAAGUUUUAAAUAAUAUUGCUUGAGGUGCAAAUAUUAUUUGGCGCACAUGUUGAGGGACUUCAACUGGUGUAGUCUAGGUUUUUUACACUAGUAAGUAAUCUUGAAUAUCUAGAGUAACUUGAUCAAAAUCUCUUUAAUUUUAUUUUCUUUGAUGGUUGUAUGAUGAAUUAGAAUGCUUAUAUAACAUGAUUAAAAAUUUUAAGAAAAAAAAACUAAGAAGAAAGAAAGAAGCAUCGAUCUUCCAAAUAUUGCUUCCACUUUAAUAUCUAGUAGGCUCUAAGAAAAGAACUUUAUUCAUGAAUCAUAACCCAAGUCGAAAAUAAAUUGAACCCAUUUUCUAAGUUAAAUUUUGAAUUUUUUACUAGUGAAUGCAAAUUGGGAAAAUGUAUAUAAAUAUAAUCAAACUAGAAUAGUAGAUUAGGUUUGUAGGUGGAGUUUGUUUGAAUUGUUGGAACUUCCAAGUCGUUGUGGGUCUAGUGGUCCCAUAGCUCUCUAUUAAUUUCCACCAUCAAUUUUUUGCAAUAAAGUCAAGUCAUUCCUAACCCUUAUAUUAAGUUGGCCUUAAAAGUCAAGUCAUUGAUCAUAGUUACAUUCAUGAAUCACAACCCAAGUCGAAAAUAAAUUAAACCCAUUUUUCAAGUUCAACUUUGAAUUUUUUAGUAGUAAAUGCAAAUUGGGAAAACAUAUAUAAAUAUAAUUAAACUAAAAUAGUAGAUUAGGUUUGUAGGUGGAGUCUGCUUGAAUUAUUGAAACUUCCAAGUCAUCGUGGGCCCAAUGGUCCCAUAGCUCUCUAUUAAUUUCCACCAUCAAUUUUUUGCAAUAAAGUCAAGUCAUUCUAACCCCUAUAUUAACUUGGCCUUAAAAGUCCAAUCAUUGAUAGCUAAAUCCCAACCCAAGUCAAAAAUAAAUUGAACCCAUUUUCUAAGUUCAACUUUGAAUUUUUUUUAAUUGGAAAAAUGUAUAUAAAUAGAAUUAAACUAGAAUAGUAGAUUAGGUUUGUAGGUGGAGUUUGCUUGAAUUUGUGAAACUUCCAAGUCGUCGUGGGUCUAGUGGUCCCAUAGCUCUCUAUUAAUUUCCACCAUCAAUUUUCUGCAAUAAAGUCAAGUCAUUCCUAACCCCUAUAUUAAGUUGGCCUUAAAAGUCAAGUCAUUGAUCAUAGUUACAUUCAUGAAUCACAACCCAAGUCGAAAAUAAAUUAAACCCAUUUUUCAAGUUCAACUUUGAAUUUUUUACUAGUGAAUGCAAAUUGGGAAAACAUAUAUAAAUAUAAUUAAACUAAAAUAUUAGAUUAGGUUUGUAGGUGGAGUCUACUUGAAUUAUUGAAACUUCCAAGUCAUCGUGGGCCCGGUGGUCCCAUAGCUCUUUAUUAAUUUCCACCAUCAAUUUUUUUGCAAUAAAGUCAAGUCAUUCUAACCCUUAUAUUAAUUUGGCCUUAAAAGUCCAAUCAUUGAUAGCUAAAUCCCAACCCAAGUCAAAAAUAAAUUGAACCCAUUUUCUAAGUUCGACUUUGAAUUUUUUUUAAUUGGAAAAAUGUAUAUAAAUAGAAUUAAACUAGAAUAUUAGAUUAGGUUUGUAGGUGGAGUCUACUUGAAUUUGUGAAACUUCCAAGUCGUUGUGGGUCUAGUGGUCCCAUAGUUCUCUAUUAAUUUCCACCAUCAAUUUUCUGCAAUAAAGUCAAGUCAUUCCUAACCCAUAUAUUAAUUUGGCCUUAAAAGUCCAGUCAUUGAUAGCUACGUUCAUGAAUCCCAACUCAAGUCAAAAAUAAAUUGAACCCAUUUUCUAAGUUCAACUUUGAAUUCUUUUAAUUGGGAAAAUGUAUAUAAAUACAAUUAAACUAGAAUAGUAGAUUAGGUUUGUAGGUGGAGUCUGCUUGAAUUUGUGAAACUUCCAAGUCGUCAUGGGUCUAGUGGUCCCAUAGCUCUUUAUUAAUUUUCACCAUCAAUUUUCUGCAAUAAAGUCAAGUCAUUCCUAAACCAUAUAUUAAUUUGGCCUUAAAAGUCAAGUCAUUGAUAGUUACGUUCAUGAAUCACAACCCAAGUCUAAAAUAAAUUGAACCCAUUUUCCAAGUUCAACUUUGAUUUUUUUACUAGUGAAUGCAAAUUGGGAAAACAUAUAUAAAUAUAAUUAAACUAGUAUAGUAUAUUAGGUUUGUAGGUGGAGUAAGCUUGAAUUGUUGAAACUUUCAAGUCGUCGUGGGUCUAAGGGUCUUAUAGCUCUCUAUUAAUUUCCAUCGUCAAUUUUUAUGAAUUAAGAUUUAAAAGUGAGAAGGGAAUAAAUUUUUUCUUUUUCAAUUCAUUACAAAAAAUAUUUUUGGUUUUUAUGCUAAAAUUUAUUGUUUAUUCAAAAAAUUAAAGUAUAAAAAUAUAAAAAAAAAUAUAUAUCUUGAUAUUAUAGAAGAGCUCCAAAAUUUUUGUGUUUAAGAGAAUAUGUGUUGCCACUUUAGAAGAUUUAUAUACAAAAAGGAUUGAUGUUUCUCCUUUGACUAUGUUUGGUUGCCAAAAAUUUGAGGGAAAGAAAAUAAAAAAAAAUAGUAAAAAAGAAAAAAUGAAGGAAAAUAAAAAAUAGUUUUCAAGUUAAUAAAUUAUUUUUAUAUGUUUUUUCAAACUUAUUUUACUUAUUUUCUUUCAUUAUAUAAAGAUUAAAUAAUUUUAAAAUGCAUAAUUUCUAACUAAUUUUAAUUAUAUUUAAUUUUUCUUUUAUAUUUUUUAGACGGGAUCCGACACAUGAAAAAAUCCUUUUUUUUAGCAUCUUUUUUUCUUUUCUUAUUACUUUCCAAUAACCAAAUAUAACCUUUAGAUUUAGCCUUUAGACUUGGAGUAUGGAAGGAUACUGAGUAUUGAAAGAAGGUUUUGUAUAUGGCCAUGAUACCAUAGAAAAAAUGGGCGAGAGAGAAAAAACCUUUAUUAAAUGAUAAAUUAUUUUACUACUUACUACAUAAAUAGAUAUUCAUGGAGUGCAUUCUCUAAAAAGCUCCAGUCUCAUGAAAAUGGAAAGAUGGACCGGCCAGUGGACCGGUUCGAGUUUGGAUUUAUGGGCUGCCUCAGCCUAACACGCAUGAUAGGCUGUUGCAGGUGAAGAACUAAUUAAUUUAAAGCCUUCUUCUAUCCUCUCCUAUUCCUCUUUCACUCCAAAUUUUCCACAUGAUAAUGACAAUUCUUUUGUUAAAUGGUAAAAAAAAAAAUUUAACAAUUAAUUUAAAAUCAUUUAUAAAAUCAUGAACUUUGGCAUCCUAAUUAAUGCAAUUUAAACUUUUUUUGUUUACAAAUGAAAUAAGAGGCAACAUAUAAACCCAAAAGUUAAUUUUCCUACCAUCUCUAUGCACCAUUUUAGCUUUACUCCAAUAUAUUUUCUAUGAUUAAUUAUUUUCAUUCAAACAAUAAUAUCAAAAUAUUUUAAAAUUAGACAUAUCAUAAUCAAAUAUCAUUAUAUUAUUAUUGAAUAAUAUUUAAUGUAAUUUAAUAAUCAACGUAUACUUAUAGAAUUUAUAUUUUUUAUUAAUGCAUAUAAUAUUAUUAUCAAAUAUGAUAAAUUAUAUAUAUAUAUUUCUUUAACAAAACAACUUUAAAAUAUCUAUUAUACUUUUAAUUUCAUCUCUAAGAGGUUUUUUUUUUUUUCUUUUUUUUUUUUACAUUUUUAUAAGUUUUGAUCAAUUGUAGGCUAACCAAUAUUUUUUUAUCAAAAUAUCCACCAAUAUAUCUCCGAUAUAUUAGAUAUAUCCGUAACAUCGAAAUACCAAUAUAUCCGCGAUUAUCGAUAUUUUUAUCCUUGAGGGAUAACAACUAAUAUAGUUUUUGCACUUAAUGAUAUUCCUCAACAUUUAGAUUGAUUUGACCAAAAUCUUUUUAAUUUUAUUUUCUUUGAUGGUUAUAUGAUGAAUUAGAAUAGUCAUAUAACAUUAACAGAUUUAAGAAAAAAAGGAUAAAAAAGCUCGUAUUUUUCAAAUAUUGGUUUCAACUUUGAAUAUUUUUAUUGGUAAAUGAAAAUUGUGAAAAACCUACUAAUGCUAAUACUUUUCACCACAUAAUUAAAUAUAAUAAACUAGAAUAGUGAUUCAUUGAUGUCUUAUAAAGACACAUGCCUUCUUUGACUUGUUAGUUGAUUUUUGUAGGUGGAGUCCAUUUCCAUUUGAAUUGUUGAAACUUCCAAGUCCUUGUGGGUCUAGUGGUCUCUCUAAUAAUUCCCACCAUUAAUUUUUUGUGAUGAAGUGCAGUCAUUGAUAGCUACUAUAUCAAUUUGCUAUUAAAAGUCAAGUCAUUGAUAACUAAUAUUCAAUCUUUUUCAAUAUGGAAAUUGGAAUCUCUAGCACUACUCUUCUCAUUGUUCAUUUUUAGGUAAUGUGAGAAUGUGUGAACAUAAAUGUCUUCUAAUCAACCAAUUUUUUUGAAAAAAACAUGUACAAAAUUGCAAAACUUGCAAAAUCAAACUUUCUUGUUGAAUAACCAUAGCUUGAUGGUUUUGAAGAAUCAAAGGAUGAAUCAUAAAAGGGUAUUUGAUAAAAAAUAAAAAUUUAAAAAGUUAAAAGACAACUACUCCCUUAAGUGUAAUAAGUGUAUUUGGUAGCACAAAUUUCCUACCACUUAUUAUUUUUUCCUUUCUUAAAAAAUUAUUUACUCUAUUAAAUAAACUAACCUUGGCUUAGCACUUAUAGCAAAAUAGGUUAAGUAGUUUUUAAAAUUUUAUAAUAUUAGAUUUACAUUUUUAUCCUUCAAAAUUUCAUUAAUGCUAGAUUCUUCUAUAUGCUUAACUAAUAAAUAAUUUUUAGCAUUUUUCUUUUCUUAUAAACAUAAAAAAAUAAAAAUAUUAUUAACUUAUUGGUAUAUUUUAAAAUUUUAAUUAGAUUUAAGCUUUUAUUUGUUUGGAUUACCAAUUAUACAUAUAAAUCCUUUGUUAUUAUUGUUAUUAUUGAAAGAAAGGGGUUGAAUAGGUAGUCCCUCAAUCCCCAAAUUAAAUUCUUUAUUGCCUACUUUUGGUUUAUUCCUUUACAUGAAUUCCUUGGUGAGAGUAAACAUUUCAUUAAUAGAUAAAUAAAAUUGAUUCCAUAUCAUAGGGUAUAAUGUGGAAAAAUCACCAGUCUCAUGUGUUCCUUAGUGGAUCCUUUGGAGCCCUAUCAAAGUUUCAUGAUGAAACCAUUGACUUUUGUUUAACCCAAAUGUGCUUUCAAGACAAAUCUUGAAAGAUUUGAGAGAUGGAGGUUCAAGUCUUUUAUGAACGACCAUGUUCUCUUAGGGUUCAUGAAAUUCACACCUUUUGAUAAAUAAAACUUAUCUAUUUAUACGUCUAAAACCCAGUAUUUAUUUAUUUAAUUAUAGAAAGUUUCUUAGUUUUAAAAACAUUUCAAAAAUCAUUUUUAGAAUCAAAUAAGAAUUUUAGAGAUAAACACAAUAUUAAAAUUUAACAAAAACAAAUUUUCGAAUUAAAAACACAAUAUAAACUAAAUUACAAAAUAUAAAGUAAUUUUUACCCUAAUUUCUUGUUGCAAAACCAAAUGGAACACCUAGAAGGGGAGUGAAUGGGUGAUUUUAAAUUUUUUCAAUAAUUAUUUAUAAGUUAUACCCAAUUCUUUUACCCUGCAAGUUGUUAGGGACUAUCAAUUCUUUCAUUUUGGCAAUUCAAACAAUAUAUCAAAUAAUAAAAAGAUAUAAAUAAUGAGACAUAAAUAUUUUUACGUGGAAAACCCCCCACACUAACCAUGGAGAUAAAAAGCCAUGGAGUCUAAGACCUAUUAAUCUAAAUUCACGGUACGAAAUCAAGUUACACAAAUUUAUUUGACAACUUUACCUUAAAGACUUACUCUACAGUACUGACAACUUGAUUCACAUCCACGACGUAGCAACCCUCGAUUACUCCAAUGGAUCACUUCAAGCUUACUAAAAGGAUGAAGGCCUUCAAACCAAGAUUCAAAAAUCAAUUCCUUGAAUGAGAGAUCAGGAAUGGUGUGCCACUUUAGGCUUUCUCUCUAAGAACUCUAAAAUGAUCUCCUCAAUGAAAACCUUUUAAACAAAAUGAGAUAUUUCUCCACAAUCUCUAACCCUCAAGGGGUUAUAAUGAGAUAUUUAUAAGCAACUAAGUUGAAGAGUUUCGGUUUUGGAAGGUUUCUCAAUUGAAUUUGUGUGAAAAACUCGACAGAAUCAACAUGACCGCUCGAGGCAGCACACUUCCCACUUGAGCGUUUCGGGCACUUGAGCGGUAAGGCUUGCUUGAGUUGUCCUAAGCGCUUGAGCAUUCCAGGCUACUUGAGCAAUCUUGCUCUAUUUCAAAAGUUAAUUUUAAACCAUUUUAAGUUCAAAACAAAAUUGAUUCCCUUUAUACCUCAAAGGAGCCUAACUUGCCACAAACCAAACUUUUUUAGAUAUACUUGUGACUUCCUGGUUGGACGAACAACAACUCUUAAUCUUCAAUGGAGAGCAAGUCACUAUCUAAAAAGAUUUAUAUGGUCAAACAUAAAAAAACAAAAAAAUUGCCAACAUAACAACAAGACUCAAUGUCCAUGCAUGGUCACCUGAAAGGUGACUCCGACCACAAUAUAAUGCAUGUUCUCAUAGAACAUGUGAACAAGAUGGGGAUAGGAAGUCCCCUAGAGAGAAAACAGAGUCUCCUAACCCUACUCUUGAAUGAUGAUAGGGAAGACAGUGUCCUGAAAAGCUUAAAGGUUAAUGGCAUGCUCAGGCUCGACACACCGAUAUGUGAAAGAAGCGUAAUAAUGGUCCCGUGCCACCUGGUAGUGAAAGCGCUCAACCGGAAGUGCAUCUAGGUUAAAAAGACCCUAGAGUGGGAUGCCCUAGACGGUUUCAGUGACCUAGGAAAGGUCACCUCCCUUUGACAUCUAUGACUAGCCAUAUCUAAGGUAUAUAAUAUGAAAAAACAAAAGCUAAAGAAAAUCCAGAGAAAAGCUAAACCACUAAAAAUGUUAAACUCAAUGCGUCGAACAAUACUAUACAAAUGGAAAUGAAAAAUAUGAAGCGAACUGACCUCAGAAGACAAAAGGACAGUAACCCAGAGGGCUCGAAGAGGAAUAGGAAAGAUUGAAAUGAAUAUGGCGUGAUGGAUGACCUUUAUAUAGCUUAUAAGAGUGCUUGAUGCAGAUUAGCACUUGAGCGUCAUGACUAACUUAAAUCAAAUUAUUUAUUAAUAUGGAAAUAUUUUAAAAGUUUCAAAGGAAGUAUUCAAUUUAGAACCUUUUUAGAAUUUUUUUGAAAGAAACAAAAAUAAAGCGUGAAAUAUUAUGUGUUAAAGGUGUUAGAAGACAAUAUUGUCUAAUCCAAAGCCUUACACAUUCCUAAAAAAAAAAAAAAAAAAAAAGGAAAAAGAGAGAUAUUAUAUAAGAUUUUGAUCACAUCUAAUAGAAACUAAUAUUUAGCAACAUAUCACCAAGCACUAUCUUAUCAGAAAGCUCUAACAUGUUGGAAAUUUAUGUAAGGUUCCAUAACAGCUAAAAACUUUUUCUGACGACUCGGUAAUGGACCAUUUGCACUUUAACUACAUUAUUGAAUUUAAAUCAUAUUAGAAUUGUAAUUGACUUCUCUUUUGUGAGACUACAUAUCUUGUAGGAUGGGAUAGGUGAUUCAUUUCAUAUAUGAAAUUUACUUAAUUUAGUAAUGCUUCCAAGUUCAUUAUGAAUCUAAUGGUAUCACAACUCCUUUAAUAUUUGUAAUUUUGUAAUCUUUGUUUCAACUUCUCAAGUCUAGUCAUUUUAUUGGCAUAACUAGUUUGCUUCAAUUAUCUCUCAACUUUAUUAUAAAACUAAGGGAAAGGAUUAUCACGCAUUUUAUAUUAACUUAACCAAACAUCUUUAUAUAUCUUACAUAUAUAUAUUUUUUGUAAAUUUAGGAAAAUUUCAUCCAUUAGCCAUAGUAAGUAAGAAUCAAAUAAGGGAUAUGUAAGCCAAUGGUGAUAUUGAUGGCGUCAAAUCAAUGACAUAGUAGAAAAGUGGAUUGUCUAUUUUCAAACCUUUAUAUUUUCAUCCAAUAGUAAAAAGGUUUAGGCAUCACUUGAAAAGUAGUUCGUUUUUUACCUUGGACUAUGAUUUAUGAAUAAAGUUCUUCUGUUGUAUACCUUUUGUGAUGCCCCAAACCUAAUUUAGGGGUAAAAAAAUAAUUUAGAAAAAAAUAAAUAAAAAGUUAAAUAAAUUUAAUUAAGGUAAAAAUGUAUUUUUGUAUUUAAAAUUCCUAGGUAUCAAUUAUAUAUUUCUUGUCUUCUCUAUUCAAAAAACCCUAUUACACAAAAAUCAAAUAUCAGAGAACAUAGGACAACGCAGGGUUGAAGAUUUGGAGGUUUAGGGUUGAAGAUUAGUUUUCCAGGUAAGAUUCUAACCCUUAAAUUAGUAUUUUAGAUUCGUUAAUUAGUUUGAACACUUUAGAUAUUCUUUGAAAAAUCUGAAUCUACGUUAGGGUUUGUUAAUUUAAUUUUUAAAUAAAAAAGAUUCAAAAUUUAUGAACAUAAGUAGAGUUAUUAUUAAAGAUUGAAAUUUUUUGAAUAUUUGAAUUAAAAAUCUAGAAAAAAAAAGAAGAAAAUAAAUUAUAGCUUUGGAUGUGGAAAAAAGUUAAUAUUAAUAAAUAAAUAAAACUUAUGAGUACGGAGGUAGAAAAAUAUGAGAGUUGAAAGCAAAGAAAAAAAAAAGAGAAUAAGGUUUUGUGGUUGUACGUGUCUCCUUAGUGGAAAAAAGAAAUACAAGGUUGUUUGCAAUAGGAUAUGACAAAGAGAGAGAGAUAAAUGCUUAGAUGUUGAUUUUUGUGGGGAAAAAAAGAUUGGGUAAUGUAGGAGAGAAAUAGGUAGCACUUGUAGAGUUGGUGGGGUUGUUGUAAAAGCUCGUAGGGUAAUUGUUAGGUAGUAGUAGGGUAUGAGAUUAAUUGUUAGGAAACAUUAGGACUUGAAAUAAUAAUAAUUGCUUCUAGUAAAAGUUUUAACUUAGUUUAAGUAUAUAAAAGAAAUAGAUGAUUAGAAUAAGAUUUGGAAGGAAUAUGAAUUCAUAAAAAUUUCGAAAUUUACUAAUUUAGAUUAUUAUUUUUUUGGAAGUUGAAUAUAAUAUAGGUGGUAAUAUUAUUAAUAUAGGAAAUGAUUAAGAUUCUCAAACCUACAAUUUUAGAUAAAUAGUUAAUAGUAAUAGUUGAUUUUUUAUUUUUUUUAUUUUUUAUUUUUUAUGUUAUGUUAAGUGAAUAAUGGAUUCUUUGAUUAAUUCUCUAAGGUUUCUAAGUGCUUCUUUAAGAUAAGGGAUAUUAAUACUGAUUUUGUAAAUGAAAAUAUUUCUUUUUAUAAGUUAUUUUAAAUUAUGAAAAAUUUUAUUUUUAUUUAUGCAUGGAUCAAAUAUAUAUUUUUUCAUGAGAAACAUGUUUGGGCAAUUUCUUUGUUUAUAAAUAAAUAAAUAAAAAAUGAGAACUUUGGAAAUAUAAUGUUUUGUUUUGCAAGUUUAAAAUAAUGAAAUAAAGUUUUUGACUCUGGUUUAUAUGACCUUAGUUAAUGGGUUAUAAUUGUUGACAUUUUCAGCUCUCCAAUCAAUGAUUAUAAUUGUUGAGAUUUUCAACCCUAGCCAACGGGUUAUAAUAGUUGACCUUAUAGCCCUAGUCAACAGAUAUAAUUGUUAACCUUUCGUUUUUCCCAUCUUAAAAAGAACAAAUUUAAGGCUAACCAUUUAUUUGUAAAGUCCCACCUAACUAAGUACCAUUUGUUAUUUAAUAACCAGAGUAAAGAUAUUUUGAAUGUAUUUGAUAUGAAAUUAUUUUGAUAUAAAUAUGAAAAUGUUUGGUUGAAAAGUUCAAAUGUUUAAUGCAUGUUGAAUUCAAAAGUUUUUAUGAAAAUGAUUAUAUGUUAUAUCUCCUAUUUGUAAGUUUGAUCCAUAAAACUGUAUUAAUAUUCCUUAUUGGACUUUGAGCUCAUUCCCCUUUGUUGAGAAUUUUUUUUGGUAUUCUCAGUUUGGGCAAGGAGUGAUGACUGGGUUGGGGAAUUUUCUUUACUAUGAUUUUGGUUCAAUCUUUAUUUUGGACAUUGUAAUUUAAUUCCCAUUUAAAUUAUUUGGGUUUGGAGUUAUUUGGACGAUAACACUUUGAUUGAUGUGUUAGUUUUAAAGUUGAGAAUUGAAAAUUAUAGAAUUUAUUUAUCUUUCUACUUUGAAUAGAAAUUUAGUAAUUGGAGAUCAUCCAGUUACAAGAUGAAUAUUAGAUGAAUAUUUGUGUCGUUUCCACAUUGAGUGUUCAGGCUUAGGGUGUGAAAUGACCGUUAUGCCCUUGGAGUGGGUAUAUUGUUUAUUUGAAUUUAAUGGUCCCCGAACUCCUUAAUUACUCAUAACUUUAUAUCACCUUCUCAAAGUUAAGUUGUUUUACAACUACUAUCUAGCUACUUUUCUCUACUAUGACAACUUUAUUACAUAGUGAUUAAUUGAAAGAAUCUACAUGUCUUAUUUCAUAGGAUAGUUGAUUUUUUUACUCAAUGAAUCUUGCUUUUAUUAUUGAAAAUUUCAAAUCAUUGUAGUCCAACAAUUUACUAUCCUUUGGUAAUUUCAUAUUACAUUUCCAAAGUCUAAUCAUUUAAAAACACUUGUAGUUAAUAUAUUGGCAAUUGCAUUGUGGGAAGUUGUUCACUUGAUUUUAAUGUUGAAACUUUCAAAUUGUUGUAGUCCAACAAUUCCCUAUCCAUUGGUAAUUUCAUAUCACAUUUUCAAAGUAUAAUCAUUUACAAAUACUUGUAUAUAGUAUAUUUGGUGAUUGUAGAGUGGAAAGUUGAUCGUUUUCAUGAAGACCUCUAAAAUAGAAAUUUUUUUCAUUCCAUUUAAUAAAGAAUUUCAUUAAUUGAACAUAUAUGUUUUUUUAACCGGAAAGUAGAGGCCACAUUAUACGAGGCCUUAGGUGACAAUACUAGGUGAGGGUUUUUUUUUUUAAUUUAUUUAUUACUAAAUAUAAAUAAUAUUAUUUAUUGUAUAAUAAAGAUUAUUAUAAUAUAUUUUUUAUAGAUGAAAAAAAUAUUAAUUGAGUUUUAUUUUUUUAAAAUAAUUGUUUUCAAUAAAUAACUUAUUUGUAAAAAGAAAACUAUAAAAUAUAUGCAUUUGAAAAAUAUUUAAUUUUUAUUUGAUUUAGUAUCAAUUAAUAUUUGUAAUAUUUUUUAAUAUUAUAGAAGUUAACAUACUCAAUCAAGAUAUUCAAGAUCAAGAGAAUAUUUAAGAUUGAAUUAAUUUCUUUAUUGUUUAUGUUUUAGUAAAUUUUUAUAUCCAUUACAAAUUUUUUAUUGUUUAUUUUUCAUUCAAUGUUUGCAUUUUUUAAUAGAUAUUAAAACGAUUUUUUUUCUUGUAUGUUAAAAAAAUAUUUCAAUGUCUUUAAAAAUAAAAUAUUGCAGUAAAAUCAAAAUUACAUUGUGAAACUUUAAGCGAAUGUUUUAUACUUAAGAAGUGCCAAUUAAAGUAAGCAUGCAUCUACAAUUGUAAUUUAGAUGUCAUACUGAAACAAUAGUUCUCUUUGACUAUAUCAUAAAAUUUGGUUCGAAUUACUUUAAGUCGUCUUGUAGAUUUUCAAGUUCCAAUGAUAUGCAUCAAGUAUGUGCAACAUACUUGAUAUAACUAAUAUUUUCUUAAGUAAUUGGACACUUUUUUCUAUAAAUUUACUUGAUUAUCAAUGAAUACUUUUAUGUAAGGUAUUGAUAUAAUUCGAUAAAUAUUUUAAAAUAGUAUUAGAAUAGCUUUGCUCUUUCCCAAUUAACAAAUUUACUAAAUUAACUUAUAUAUAUUUGUUUAUUUGAAUUUACUGGUAUUUGACUCAAAUUGUUAUUAUUUUUAAAAUUAUAGGAAAACCAUUAUUUAUAGAGUUUAAUUAUAUUUGGUAAAUUAUCUUUUUAAGUUUGGCUAGGAUUAGGAAACUAUUAAUUUAAGAUUAAUCCAUAAGGCUCUAUAAAUUUGCAGUUUUAUUUAGGAUUUAAAAAAAGAAAGAAAAAGUAAGAAAAAGUGAAGAGAGAUAGGCAAAGAGUGCAUUGGGUUUUAAAUAAAGAAAGGUUGAGAGAGUUUUGAUUACUACUCAAAAAGAACAUAUUUUAGAUAGUAAUUCUCAUGGGUUUCACAUCUUUUGAGUAUUAAUUAUGCCUAAAAAUGCUCAAUUAACAUGUUGUUGCCUUUGCAAGAGUUACUAACAAGUUUUAUAAAGUUUUGGAGUCAUUUCAAGUUAUGAUUUUAAUAAAUUGGUGACGAAAGAGAUGAAUUGAUUUGAAGAAGGCAAAUAAUAUUGAUGAUGAUCCAAAUGCAUAAUGAAAGAAGCAAUAUAAUUAGUUUGAUCGGGAUUUGCUGCUAAUUUGGAGGUAGUUAAGGUGGAGUCAAAAGAAGAAAAUGGAAGAAAUGACAAAGAGGAGCUUAAAAACCAAAUGUUGCAGAUUUGUAUGAUCAUGCAAAAAUUACAUGACUAUGCGAAAUGGAUUAGAGAAGGAAAAUUGACUAUAGUAUAAGGAGGAUGCUUAAGUUGAUUUCGCAUGAACAUGCGAAAAUUUUGCACAAUCAUGCGAAAUGGUCCAGAAAGCUCUCUAAUGUUGUUGUUGCUCCACUAAUUUCACACCACCAUGCGAAAUUGAUCUUUUCAUGCAAAAUGGCUGAAGCUCAUGUGAAAUCAUGAUUUUGAUGCUAAACUCUAGAUUUGUGAAUUUGGAAGGUUUUAGAAGAUCAAUGAGAAGUUGCCAAGUGUCCACUUGACCUUGGUCUAUAAAUAGAAACUUGAAUUUCCCAUGUAAAGAGCUUUGUGAUACUUUUGAUUUUAGAUUUUUCUAGGAACUCUUUCUCUAAAUAGAAUUCUAUAUUUUCUUUAAUUUUCUCUCAUUUUCUCAUUCGCCAAACAUGCCUAGUGAGACCAAAUCUCCAAGUAUGAGUGGCUAAAUCUCGUUUUUCUCAAAGGAAUGAGGAUCUAGAGUCAAGAUCUAUGGUGAAUUAUAGAAAUGAGUUUUAAUCGGAAAUGCAAUUUGAUUCAAUUGAUUGAUUAAUUGAAAUUUGAGGAUUUUUCUCUUCAAAUUAUCCUAAAUGACUAUUACAUUGCAAACUAGGUAGAUUCAUUAAAUUCUUAAAGCUAGAUUUAAUGAGACUGAAUAGUUGCAUUGUAUGAAUCAUUGGAAGAUAAUUUAAGAUGAAUUGAAUAUAUAAUUUAAAUUGAUCUCUUGGAUUAAAUAACCUAAUUUGAAGAGAAAUUAGGUUUAGACUUAAAGGUAAAUCUAAAAUCGAUUUAGAUAAGAAUUUAGGUUUUCAAUCUAACUUGAUGAAAAAUAAAUCUCAACAUCUAUUCACCAUGGAAAUUGUUUUCUAAAAAAUAUUAACUCCGAGAAUUCCUUUUCCUUAUCAAUUUUCUUAUAUUCUACAUUAUAUUGUUCUUUUCGAUUAGAAAUCAUUGUUAUUUUGAUUUUUCAUGAAUUGUCAAAUCAAUUUCACUUGACCAUAAUCAUUUCUUUUCCUCCCAUUUAAGCCUUAAUUAUCGAGAAUAAUCCAUCCCAAUAGAAGACACCUAAGACCACUAUACUACCGUAGCUUUUGCUAAAAAACCUUUUUGAUCGGGCAAGAGUUACCUUAGCAUAGUUGAAUUAGGUUAUAAUUUUUUUAUCCAAUAAACAACAAAAAAAAUCAAUCGAUCAAGUUUGCAUUGUGUAUUCUUGAAUUUUAUUAAUAAAUUUGAUCCCCCUUUUUGAAGCGAUUACACCAAACCAAGUAAAUAUUUUAUAUACUUCAUUUGCUUUAUUUUUUCUAUUAAGUUUAGGUGUUGCAAUUUUCAAGAGUCAUGGUGAGAAGAUUGUGGGAAAAAUUAUUUUAAGGAUGGAGUCGAACAUAAAAUAUGAAAUUGAGUCCUUUGAUGGAAAUAAUAAUUUUAAUAUUUGAUAGAGUAUUAUUAAAGAUGUUUUGAUACAACAAAGACUUCUCAAAGCAUUACAAGGCAAAAAAACUAGAGAGCAUGACAAAUAAAGAAAUGAAAGAAUUAGAAGCAAGAGUUGUAAGUACUAUUUGUUUAAGUCUUAAAAAUGAAAUACAUUGUUUUGAAUGAAAAAAAUAUUCUUUUAGGGGUGUCAAUUGCUCUUUUAGAGACCAAAAAUAUUAAGCAGUCAAGUAGUUCAUCUCAUAUUGGACAAACUGUUAUGAUGAAUUCUAAACCACAUCAUCAUAGGAGUAAAUCGAAAGAAAGUAUCUGAUAGGAGGAUGAUCAUUCCAUUCACACUUAUGGAGGAAUAUGAAGUAUUAUUACUGUGAAAAAAAAAACAUAUCAGGAGAUAUUGUAAAGAAUUGAUGAAGUACCUAGAAGAAAUGAAAAUUUUUAAAUCCCAAGAGACUUCAAAUUUUACUAAUAUUGUUGAUGAAAAUUUUGAAAUAUUGUAGUAAAUUAAAAGUUACAUUAUGGGACUUUUAGUGAGUGUUUUAUGUUGAAGAAAGGCUAAUUAAAGUAAACAUGCAUCUAAAACUAUAAUUUAGAUGUUGUACUCAAAUAGUUGCUCUCCUCGAUUAUAUCAUAAAAUUUGGUUUGAAGUCUAAGUCAUCUAAUAAUUUUCUAAUUCAAAUUGCAUGCAUCAAACAUGUGUGUUAGGAAGUGUUGCAAAUUACUAAUUAAUAUAGAUUCUUUUUUUUUUUAAAGAAUAUUGUAUUGAAUAUUUCUAGGUUGAUAUAUUAUUGUAAUAUUAGACUUUCUUAUAGAAUAAGGAAGGUUGUUGAAAAUAUCCCUAUAAAUAUUCUAGUUCAUAAGGGGAAAAAGUUAUGAGAUGAAGAUGGACCCAUAAAGACUAUACAAGGUGGAUAGAGACGUGAAGAAAAACGAGAGGUACCCGGUGGAGCGAGAGGGCUCGUGGUAGGGUAUAGGUACAAAGAGUGAGAAAACAUGGGAUGUUUUGGGAACCCAAUAAUUGUAUCUGGUUAUGUCCUCUAUAAGUUCUAGUCCUGUCAUCUGCAUUGUUCUCUAUUUUAUAGUGGAAUGAUUCUCUUUUAUCUGUGGACGUGGGCAUGGUUUUCGAACCAUGUUAAAACCUUGUGUACCGUUUGUGUUGAUUUUUUUUUUUAUCUUUAUUUUAUUGAUUAAUGAAGUUUGCAUCAAAGCUUCUGUCAACGUAACAAACUUGUAUCAAAGCUUGGGUUAAAGAUUUCUAGAAGAGUAAAAGAUCAUAGAGCACACAAGAUGAAAACAAAAGGAAUUUUUAGUGAAAAUGGAGUCAAUUGCUCUCUCAUGGUGAUAUGAUAUAAAAAGUUUGUGUCAUGGAAAGUUUGAAGAUUUACUUCAUGGAAUCUGGUCCAAAAUGGAGAUUGUUAAUAAGUAUCCCAAAUUCCUAAUUAGUUUAGAUUUUUUUUUUUUGUAAAGAAUAUUGUAUAGAAUAUUUCUAGGUUAAUAUAUUAUUGUAAUAUUAGACUUCCUUAUAGAAUAAGGAAGGUUGUUGAAAAUAUCUUUAUAAAUAUUCUAGGUCAUGAGGGAAAAAAGUUAUGAGAUGAAAUGGGCCUGUAAAAACUAUAUGAGGUGGAUAGAGAUGUGAGGAAGAACAAGAGGUACUCAAUGGAAUGAAAGGGCUCGUGGUAGGGUAUGGAUACAAAGAGUGGGGAAAUAUGGGAUGUUUUGGGAACCUAAUAGUUGUAUCUGGUUCUGUCAUCUAUAAUGUUCUAGUUAUGUCCUCUAUAAUUGAUUCGUUCCCAAUUGGUGUCUCAGCUGAUUCAUGUCCUCUCCAUGGUCCCUGAUAGUGGUGCCAUUUGAUUCAUGUCCAGCUGGUGUCCCUUGAUUUUGGUCUUCAGGGAGUAAUCAACAAAAUUUAUAACCUAUUACACCAUGUACUAGGAUAGCCUUAGCUAGCAUAGCAUAGUGGCUCUAGGGUCGUUCACUGGGAUGGGUUUUCACUUCACAAUUGAUAUUAAUUCAAAGAUGAAUUGGUGCUUUUUCAUUUCAAGGUUAGCUUUAAAAGAAAACAUAAAGAUGUUUGAAUGAAAAAGGUUUUGUUUUAAACUAACCAAAAAUAAUAACUGAUUUUACUUACAAAGAAAAGUGUUUCUUGGAGUUUAGAUCACUGGGCUCAGAUUCCUUGUACAAAAAGGGAGUUCCGGUCACUUGUUUCUUUUCCUCGCAUUAGAGAAUUAACAUAUAGUUAAUUCUCUAACCGGUGUGGUACAGAUGCUUCCCCUUAAUGGGUUCAAACACUAAAUCCCUCUCACUGAUGCAACUUGCAAUGGCUCGUGCCUCUCACCUAGCAUUUGCCAUUCAAGGUGAUCUUUAACCUUGGAUUACCCUUCACAAGCUCGCAAGAGAUAACUAAUGGAUGUCUCCUUAGAGUCCAAAAGCUUACCAAGUGUUGGCAAUUCUAGAAAAUCAUACCUUCAAACCACCUCCCAAAAGCUCGCAAGAGGUAAACCAGUGCAUCUCCAUUGACGGAGAUCACUUGCCUAACCAAGUGUUGGCUCAAGUGAAUUGAAGGUGUUUUAAGUUAACUAAAAAGAUAAAAACCAUUAACGGGUCACACUUUCUCUUCAUUAAAAACUAAAACAACAAAACUUCCAAUUUAUGCAUGAGGAAACUUACCCGGCUUUCUUUCACUCCAAGAGACGAAGAGCCUAGCCUCUCAUCCUCUGAGAAAAAAUCCUCAGAGUUUGAUUGGCUAGAAAGAAAACUAACGAGAAAACAAAAAUAUAUAUAAGAAGCAGAGCAAAAGCUCUGUUCGUUGAUUACAUAUAUGAUAUAUGAUAUAUGAUGGAUCCUCUUCUUUACAUUGGUUCAAAGAUAUAUAUAGAGAAGAUAUUUUCUAAGAAAUAUCCCAAUAAUAUCUUUGACUAAUUACAAGGAGAAAAUAGAAAUUUACACAAAAUAUCUUGAGAGAAAAAAUCUAACUUAGUCGGUGGCAAAUAUCAGGAAGCUUCAGGAGAAUAUCGCGUCACUGUGCAAAAAUCCGGGUAAUCUGAAAUGCCGGCCGCGGAUGCUCUCCGGGUUAGCGCUAUUAGAAGAUCCGGACAUGCCUGUCUGGGGAGGUUGAAAUGCCUCUUCUUCCAUCCGGCGUCAGGCGUCGGAUUUGAAAUAUCUGAUCAGAGGAUCCUGACAUGUCUGACCGAACAGAAUUUCAGAUGUGAGAUAUCCGGACGUCGCAAGGGGGACCGUUUGCGUGUACAAGGUGUAGAGACCCUUCCCCCUGAUGACACGGAGCACGCAUCGCUAUCCAGAGCAACUCCAUCCGGAUUUCCCAAGAGGACACGCACCGCCAUGCUAUCCGGCACUCGUGAACAUCACACUCCGGAUGAUAGCAUAUCCUAUCCGGAUAUGUUGUCUGGAUCAUUGACUAAAGUGAGCAAGCCUUACUACAGCCCACGUUCCGCCGCUCUUCCAAUGGUGUGUCCGGACGCCCUGUCUGGACAUCUUUUUCCAUGGAUUCCAAAGAACUCUCCUCAAUCUCGGAUUGCUUUGGUGAUAAAAAAGCUAUCAAAACACCAAAACUUAACACAAUUUGAUUAGAAUUGAUUGCAAGGGUCCUUAAUAUGUUAAUUGGGUUAAAAAGUGAUAACUACUACUCAAAAGUGUUUAAAAGAGUUAAUUACAAGCUAUGAAAUAACACUUUUUGAGUAGUAAUCAAUAAUGUUCUCUAUUGUAUAGUGGAAUGAUUCUCUUUCAUUCGUGGAUGUAGGCAUGGUUGUCGAACCACAUUAAAACCUCGUGUACUGUUUGUGUUUUUUUUUUAAAAAAAAUUAAUCUUUGUUUCUUGAUUAAUGAUGUGUGCAUCAAAGCUUCCAUCUACGUAACAAACUGGUAUCAGAGCUUGGGUUGAAGAUUUUUGGAAUAGUAAAAGAUCACAAAGCACACAAGAUGAAAACAAAAGGAAUUUUUAGUGAAUGUGGAGUCAAUUGUUCUCUCAUGGUGAUAUGAUACAAAAAGUUUGUGUCAUGGAGGGUUUAAUGAUUGACUCCAUGGAAUUUGGUCCAAGGUAGAGAUUGUUAGGAAGUGUCCCAAAUUCCUAAUUAGUAUAGAUUUUUUUUUUAUAAAGAAUCUUGUAUAGAAUAUUUCUAGGUUGAUAUAUUAUUGUAAUAUUAGACUUCCUUAUAGAAUAAUGAAGGUUGUUGGAAAUAUUUUUAUAAAUAUUUUUAGUCAUGAGGGGAAAAAGUUAUGAGAUGAAGAUGAGCCUAUAAAGACCAUACGAGAUGGAUAGAGAUAUGAGGAAGAAUCGAAGGUACCCAGUGGAGCAAGAGGGCUCGUGGUAGGGUAUGAAUAUGAAGAGUGGGGAAACAUGGGAUGUUUUGGGAACCCAAUAGUUGUAUCUAGUUUUGUCAUCUAUAAUGUUCUGGUUCUGGCAUCUAUAAUGUUCUGGUUUUGUCCUAUGUAAUGUUCUUUAUUGUAUAGUGGAAUUAUUAUCUCUCAUCUGUGUAGACAAGUUGCUAAACCACGUUAAAACCUCGAAUACCAUUUGUGUUGAUUUUUUUUAUCUUUGCGUUCUUGAUUAACGAUGCUUGCAUCAAAGCUUCUACCAACGUAACAAUGUGCAACAUAUUUGAUAUAACUUAUAUUUUCUUAAGUAAUUGAACACUUUUUCUAUAAAUUUACUUGAUUAUCAAUGAAUACCUACAUAUACGGUAUUGACAUAGUUUGAUAAAUAUUUUAAAAUAGUAUUAGAAUGGCUUUUCUUUUUCCCAAUUAACAAAUUUAUCAAAUAUAUACAUACACACACACACACACACAUAAUACUCAUUAGUAUGUCUUUUAUGAAAAAACUAUAUUUGUUUAUUUGAAUUUAGUAGCCAUUCAACUCCUUAGUUACUCAUAAACUUUUUAUCACCUUCUUAAAGUCAAGUCAUUUACAAUUAUUUCUAUCUAGCCUUCUCCAUUAUAACAACUUUAUAAGAUAGUGAUUGAUUGGAAGAAUCUACAUGCCUUUGUUGAUAGGAUAAUUGUUUUUCUUUUUUUUUCGUAUUCAAAGAAUCUUGCUUCUGUUAUUGAAACUUUCAAAUCCUUUAUGUCAAGUUGUCUUAUAAUUCCCUAUUCAUUGGUCUUUCAUAUUACCAAUCAUUUUGAAAAUGAGUUAAUUUCAUUCACAUCCUCUGAGAUUUGAUGUAAAUUCGCUUAGUUACCAAUGAUUUCAAAUUUCAUUAAUUAGUACCCCUAUAGAUGUAAUUUGUGUACAAAAUUUAUUUUUUAAAAGAGUUUAGGUAAAAAUAUUUUAGGUAUAUGUCUUUAACAAUUCUCUAAAAUAAAUUUUACUUGCUAAAAAAUAACUUAUAUAGAUAGAAUACAUCUACAGGAGUUCUAACUAACGAAAUUUAAAACUAAUGGUGGUUUAGUGUAUUUAAACUAAACAUUAGGAAGGGUGACUGAAAUUAACCCUCUAGGUAUAUAUGUUUAACAAAAUUUUUAUUGUUUAUUUUUCAUUUAAUGUUUGCAUUUUUCAAUAAACAUUGAAAAGGAAUUGUUUUUCCAUAUGUUAACAAAAAGAAAUUUGAACACCUAUAAAAAUAAAAUCUUGUAGCAAAAUUGGAGUUACAUUAUCAGACUUUUAAUGAGUGUUUAUGUUUAGAAAGACCAAUUAAAGCAAGCAUGCAUCUAGAAAUUGUAACUUAGAUGCAUCAAACAUGAGCAACAUAUUUGAUAUAACCAAUAGUUUCUUAAGUAACUAAACACUUCUUUUUCUAUAAAUUUACUUGAUUAUCGAUGAAUACUUACAUAUAUUUACAUAGUUUGAUAAAUAUUUUAAAAUAAUAUUAGAAUAACUUUGUUUUUUCUCAAUUAUAUUAGAAAAUAAUAUAAAGUUACUUAUAAACUUUAUAUCAUUUUCUCAAAGUCAAGUCAUUUACAAUUAUUUCUAUCUAGCCUUCUCCAUUAUGACAACUUUUAUAUGAUAGCCGUUGAUUGGAAGAAUCUACAUGUCUUUUUUGAUAGGAUAGUUGUUUUUAUUUUUUUAUUUUUUUUAUUCCAAAAAUUUGCUUCUAUCAUUGAAACUUUCAAAUCUUUUAUGUAUAUUACCAAUCAUUUUACAAGUGAGUUAAUUUCACUUAGGGUAGAUAUACUUAGCCACACCCCUAUAGAUGUAAUUUGUGUUUAAAUUUUAUUUUUUAUUUAGGUAAAAAUAUCUUAGGUAUAUGUGUUCAACAAUUCUCUAAAAAAUAAAUUUUCUUAUCUAAAAGUUUAUAUAGACAAAAUACAUCUAUAGAAGUCCUAAUUAAUGAAAUUUAAAAUUAAUGGUUGUUUAGUGUAUUUACAUUAAACCUUAUGGGGUAUGAUUGAAAUUAACUCUUUUACAAGCACUUGUAGCUAAUAUGUUUGUAGUUGUAGUGUUGGAAAUUGAUCAUUUUCUUGAAGGCCUCUAAGAUAUUGAAAAUAUUGCCAUAGUUUUAGACUUUUUUUUAUUACACCUAAUAAAAAAUAUUAUUAAUUUAACAUAUAUAUUCUUGACUUAAAAGUAAAGUCUCUCCAUAUUGUAUAAGCCCUUAGGUGGCAAUAUUAGGUGAAGUUUUUCUUUCGUUUAUUACAAAAUAUAAAUAAUUUAUUAUUGUAUGAUAAAAUUUUAUGUAAUAUAUUUUUAUAGAUGUAAAAUUAUUAAUUGGGUUUUUUUUUUACUAAAUUGUCAUUUCAAUAUAUAAAACUUAUUUGUAAAAAGACAAUUAUAAACUAUAUGAAAUUGAAAAACAUUUAGUUUUUUUAUUUAAUUUAGAAUUUUAUUUGGAUUAAUAAUUGAUAUUUGUAAGAUUUUUUAAUAUUAAAAAAAGUUAGCAUACUUAAGAAAGAUAUUCAAGAUCGGGAGUGUUUGAUAUUGGAUUAAUUUCCUUAUUUUCUCUAUUUUAAUAAAUUUUCACGUCCAUUACAAAAUUUUUGUUGUUUAUUUUUCACUUCAAUAUUUUUAUUUUGUAAUAGACAUUUGAAAAGAUUUUUUCCUACAUGUUAAAAAAAAAAAUAUUUGAACACUCCUAAAAAAGAAUAUUGCUAUAAAAUUAAAGUUUACAUUGUAGGACUAUUAGCAAAUGCUAUAUACUUAAAAUAGACCAAUUAAAGUAGAAAUACUUCUAAAAUUGUAAUUUAGGUAACAAUAAUAUAAAAAGAUAAUAUUUUUGAAACAAUAGUUCUCUUGGAGUUUUGGGUACGAUGGACUAGACUUUAUGUACAAUAGAUAUACAAACUUUCCAUUAACAUCUUGAGAGACAUGAUGAGGAGCAAAGUCAUCCAAGAAGGUACCAUAGAGGUACCUUAGCUCCAUUCAUCUAGACUACAUAAUGUUUAAAGAUCAAAUUCAAUGACUAGAUUUCAAAAAUCAAUAUAAGCUUUCUCAUAUUCUACUCUAUAUAAGACAAUGGUAUGAUACCUCUCUUGUGUCGUAGAAUGCACCAUGAAAACCUUAUCAUUUUAACAUCAGUUUGAAACUUAAAAGUCACUUAGCACAUUCUAGUUAUUAAUCUAAGAGCAUUAAAAGAAAAUAUAAAAAAAGUUACUUUAUCCUUGUGAUUUUGAUUUAGGACUUUUAAUGAUAUUAAAAAAAAAAAACAAAACAGAAAAAUAAAUGGAAAUAAAAUCAACAAAUUAAACAAUUGAAUUAAGUUAGUUUAAUUCUUGCAUCGUUAAAUGGGUAAAUAAAGACUCUUAGAUUUGAUAUUAAUAUGAACAUCAUGACUUCAGUGAAUCUUACAAGAAAAUUUUAGUUUGAAAGACUUCAUUCAUUAAACGUGUGGCACAUAUUAAAGUAAAACUAAGUCUUCUCUAUAAUUUGUACCUAUCAUAGUUUCUUUCCUUAUAAAUAGCCUUUUUUGAAUAUAAUAUAGACUUCAACAUGCAUGGUGGGGCCAAUCAAACUACUAGUCAAGACAACUCAUGGGCAACAACGAUGUACCAACUACAUUUAAAUACUCUUCAUCUAUUUACAUAUCAAGAGUAAUUUAGUAGUGUCUUAUUUAUGUACCUCAUAUCUAGACUUUCAAUGGAGAGUUCUUCAUCUAAAAAUUUGACUUGGGUUUUCAUACUAGUUUUGGUUUAGACAUGUGGAUGCAAAGGUUGCAUCAAAGAAGAGAAGUAGGCUAAAUCAUCUUACAAAUUUUAUAGUUCAAAUUAGAUGCACCAAACAUAUGCAACAUAUUUGAUAUAACUAAUAUUUUCUUAAGUAAUUGAAUACAAUUUUUUUUUUAAAUUUACUUGAUUAUUAAUGAAUAACUACAUGUAUGGUAUUGACACAACAUGAUAAAUCUUUUAAAAUAGUAUUAGAAUAACUUUGCUAAAAAAAAGUAAAAAUAAAAAUAAAAAUACAUCUAUAUAUAAAAUUAAAUUAAAUUAAAAAUUAAAAAAGAAUAUAUAUUCUCUGUGUGUGUGUGUGUGCAUGGUCCCACAACUCAUUAGCUACUCAUAAGCUUUAUAUCACUUUCUCAAAGUCAAGUCAUUUUGUAAUUAUUUCUAUCUAGCCUUCUCCAUUACGACAACUGUAUAGGAUAUUGAUUGGUUGGAAAAAUCUUCAUGUCUUUUUUUAUAAGAUAGUUUUUUUAUUAUUAUUAUUAUUCAAAGAAUUUGCUUUUAUUAUUGAAACUUUCAAAUCCUUUAUGUCUAGUGGUCCUACAAUUCCCUAUUCAUUGGUAUUUCAUAUUACCAAUCAUUUUACAAAUAAGUUUAUUUCACCCGGUAAAUAUACUUAACUACUAAUGGUUUCAAAUUUAAUUGAUUAACACACUUAUAGAUGUAAUUUGUUUUUAAAUUUUAUUUUUUUAGAAGAAUUGUAGGUAAAAAUGUUUUAGGAAUAUGUGUUCAAUAAUUCUCUAAAAACAAUUUAUAUAGAUGGAAUACAUUCAUGUAAGUUCCAACUAAUGAAAUUUAAAACUAAUGACAAUUUAAUGUAUUUGCACUAAAUCUUAGGGGAGGUGUACUAAAACUAGCCCUUUUACAAAUAUUUGAUAUGAAAUUAAUUAAUUAAUUUUUUCUAUUUAAAUAAAUUUUUGCAUCCAUUAAUAAAAUUUUAUUGUUUAUUUUUCACUUCAAUAUUUUUAUUUUGUAAAAUAAAUAGAAAUAAAAUCAACAAAUUAAAAAAUUGAAUUAAGUUAGUUUAAUUUUGCCACCUUUAAAUUGGUAAAUGAAGACUCUUAUAUUUGAUAUUAACAUGAACAUCAUGACUUUAUUGAAUCUCACAAGAAAAUUUUAGUUUGAAAGAUUUUAUCCUUUAAACAUGUGACACAUAUUAAAGUGAGACCAAGUCUUCCCUAUAAUUUGUAUCUAUCACAAUUUCUUUCCUAAUGAAUAGCCUUUUUGAAUAGAAUAUAGACUUUAGCAUGCAUGGUGGGGCCUAGCUAUCAAACUACUAGUCAAAACAACUCAUGGGCAAGAAUGAUGUACCAACUAGAUUAAGUAUUCUCCAUCUAUUUGCAUAUCAAGAGUAAUUUAGUAGUAUCUUUCUUGUGUACCUCAUUUCUAGACUUUCAAUGGAGAGUUUUUUAUCUUAAAAUUUGACGUGGGUUUUCAUACUAGUCUUGGUUCAGAUAUGUGAAUGCAAAGGUUGCAUCAAAGAAGAGAAGUAGGCUAAGUCAUCUUACAAAUUUUCAAGUUCAAAUUAGAUGCAUCGAACAUGUGCAACAUAUUUGAUAUAACUAAUAUUUUACCAAGCAACUAAAUACUUUAUAUAUAUAUAUAAAUUUAUUGAUGAUCAAUGAAUACCUACAUGUAUGGUAUUGACACAGUUUGAUAAAUCUUUUAAAAUAGUAUUAGAAUAACUUUGCUAAAAAAAGUAAAAAUAAAAUAAAAUAAAAUAUAUAUAUAUAUAUAUAUAUAAAUAAACAAAAUAAAAAAUUUAAAAAGAAUAUAUAUAUUAGUGGUCCCACAACUCAUUAGCUACUCAUAAGCUUUAUAUCAUUUUCUUAAAGUCAAGUCAUUUACAAUUAUUUCUAUAUAGCCUUCUCCAUUGCGACAACUGUACAAUAUAUUAAUUGAUUGAAAAAAUCAUCAUGUCUUUUUUGAUAGGAUAGUUUUUUUUUUAUUCAAAGAACUUUCAAAUUCUUUAUGUCUAGUGGUCCUACAAUUCCCUAUUCAUUGGUAUUUCAUAUUACCAACCAUUUUACAAAUAAGUUAAUUUCACUCGAUAAAUAUACUUAACCACCAAUGGUUUCCAAUUUGUAGCAUUCUUAUAGAUGUAGUUUGUUUUUAAAUUUUAUUUUUUAGAAGAAUUGUAGGUAAAAAUAUUUUAGCUAUAUAUGUUCAACAAUUCUCUAAAAACAAUUUAUAUAGAUGGAAUACGUUCAUGGAAGUUCCAACUAAUGAAAUUUAAAACCAAUGAUGAUUUAAUGUAUUUGUACUAAAUCUUAGGGAGUGUGGACUAAAAUUAGCCCUUUUACAAAUAUUUAUAACUAGUAUAUUUGUAGUUGUGGUAUUGGAAGUUGAUCAUUUUCUUAAAAGGUUUACCAUUGAAGUUAGUUGAAUAUAAAGUUAGGUGAACUUUACCAUUGUUAAAUUGGUAAAUGAAGACUCUUAGAUUUGAUACUAACAUGUACAUCAUGACUUCAUUGAAUCUCUCACAAGGAAAUUUUAGUUUGAAAGACUUCAUCUUUUAAACAUGUGGCACAUAUUAAAGUGAGACCAAGUCUUCCCUAUAAUUUGUAUCUAUCACAAUUUCUUUCCUCAUAAAUAGCCUUUUUGAAUAGAAUUAAUAUAGACUUUAGCAUGCAUGAUGGGCCCUAUCAAACUAUUAGUCAAGAUAAUUUGUAGGUAAGAACGAUGGACCAACUAUAUUAAAUACUCUUCAUCUAUUUGCAUAUCAAGAGCAACUUAAUAUUGUCUUUCUUUUGUACUUCAUGUUUGAACUUUCAAUGGAGAGUUUGUCAUCUAAAUAUUUGAUGUGGGUUUUUAUACUACUCUUGGUUCAAAUAUGUGGAUGCAAAGGUUGCAUCGAAGAAGAGAAGAUGGGUUUGCUUGAAUUCAAGGCUUUUCUUAAAUUGAAUAAUGAGCAUGCAGAUUUUCUUCUCCCUUCAUGGAUAGAUAACAACACUAGUGAAUGUUGUAAUUGGGAGCGGGUUAUUUGCAAUCCCACCACAGGUCGAGUUAAGAAGCUUUUCUUCAAUGAUAUAACGCGACAACACUUGGAAGACAAUUGGUACUAUUACGAAAAUGUCAAAUUCUGGUUACUAAAUGUCUCCUUAUUCCUUCCUUUUGAAGAACUUCACCAUCUAAACUUGUCUGCAAACUCAUUUGAUGGGUUUAUUGAGAAUGAAGGUAUGUUACCUCUCACCUUUAAAUUUUCUUUUCACUUAUACUCCAAACAUUCUAAAGGAACUACUAGCAUAUGUUCUUAAAAGUGUUCAGGUGGAGAACAAAUGGUCACUAGUAACUAUUGAAUUUAAUAUAAGAACAAUUACUAAUUAUUAAAAUUUAUAAUGUAAAUUAACAUUUAAACAGAACAAUAAAAAAAUUAUUAUUUUAGAAAACUAUAGAUUACAUUAGCCUUAUAUAUAUAAGCAUACUUGUUAUUUAUGUCAUCAUUUCACACUCAACCCAAUAAGUGGGAUUCAACUAAGAGUGAGCAAUUUCACAAUUAUUAAUUAACAGGAACACUUAGGCUCCCAUAUCCUUAUCAUUUUUGCUGAAUUGUCUUUCCUUAUCUUCCAUUCCUAAAAAGCUUGAUUUCUAUAUUCCAAAUUGAUAGAGAUUGGUUAAAGAAAGGUGAUCACAAAAUUUGACUAUUGCUUUCAAAUGAGGAAUCACCAUCUUCAAAAUUUCACAUUUACAAAAAAAAUAAAUAAAAUAAAUAAAUAAAUAAAACUAGCCUCGGGUAAGGUCCAAGCCUUAUUGUUUUAAGCUGAUGUCAGAUUGGUUUAAUAAUGAACAGAGUAAAUCCUAACCCAUGACCAUCUACGCAUUUCCAAAUUCCACCCAUCCACAACCCAUUAAUAUGACAUUUUCAGGGACAAAAUUUAAUCAAUUAAACCUAUUAGAUGGAUUCUCCAUACAAUGUUAAAAUGAAUAUAAAAACUUUAAUUCAAAAAAUAAUUUCCUUUAUUUAGUUAGGAUUCAAAUUAUAGGGGCACAAAACAUGAAAAUUUUCAUGUUUAAAAUUCACAAAGAUCACAAAAGCUCUUUGAAGCUCUAUGGACUUUUUUAUUUCUAACAUUUAAACACAAAAAUCACCAAAUUUAAUUAGAGAUUUGGAUGCAUAUUCUUAUAUUAAAGACAUGUAAGCUUACAUAUUUAAAUAUGAAGAUCUCAACUUGUAAUUACAUGCUUCUAAUUAAAGUUAUAUUACUCUAUUUUACAGGAUUUAAAGGGUUAUCAAGUUUAAAGAAAUUGGAGAUCUUGGACAUAAGUGGUAAUGAGUUUGACAAAAGUGCCUUAAAAUCUUUGGGCACAAUAACAUCACUCAAGACAUUGGCUAUUUGCAGCAUGGGACUGAAUGGAUCUUUUUCCAUUCGAGGCAUGUUAUAUGUCCACAUUGUUUCUUUGAAAUUAAGUAAAAUAUAUUUCUAACUUUUAAUGUUCCUUAGUUAAUCUCUCUUUUGAUUCAUGUUUGUUGCAGACUUAGCUAGUUUGAGAAAUUUGGAAGUGUUGGAUCUAAGCUAUAAUCAUUUGGAAAGCUUUCAACUAUUGCAAGGUACUUCAUUAACUUGCUAAAAAAACUUACGAUAUUUUGUUAUUAAAUUAAAGGUAAGAUUAACAAACAAUUUCUUCUCAUUAGUUACUUUUCUUUGUAAUAUCAUUAAAUUUGAUAUAAUGUAGUCUAAAUCAUCCUUUCAAUUUAUAAGUUUUAAUUAAAACGCAUCAAGCAUGCACAAGAUGUUUAAUAUAACUAAUAUUUUCAUAAGUAAUUGAAUUUUUUUUAUGAAUUAAUUAACUUGAUUAUCAAUAAAUGCUUACAUGUAUAAGAUUAAUAUAGUUUCAUAAGUAUUUUAAAAUUGUCUUACAACACACACACACACACACAAGGAAAAUGAAAGGUAUGUGAUACCUUUAUGCUAUGUUUGGUUCUCAAAAAAAAUUGAGGGAAAAUGAAAGGAGAAAAAAAUAGAGAGGAAAAGUAAAAGAAAAGAAAAGAAAAAAAGUGAAGAAAAAUAUAAAAUUGAUUAAAGUAAAUACAUUAUUUUUAUAUGUUACUUUAACUUGUUUCACUUAUUUUAAUUCUUCAAUGUAAAGAUGAAAGAUUUGAAAAUGCAUAAGUUUCUAAUUAUUUUUUUAUUUUAUUUUAUAGUUUUUACAAUACAACCAAACAUAAUAAAAUCAUUUUCUUUAAUUUUUUUUCUUUUCUUAAUACUUUUCACGAACCCUUAAGUUAUGUUUGGUUUGCAGAAAAUAUGAGGAACAGAAAAUAGAAAAGAAAAUUAAAAGGAAAGAAAAAGUGAAGUAAAAUAAAAAUAAAUUUAAAUUUAAUAAAUUAUUUUUAUAUGCUACUUUAAACUUAUUUCACUUAUUUUAAAUUAUUUAAACUCAUUUCUAAUAAAUAAUAAUGGAAAUUGUAGAGAAGUUUGUGUUAUUCAAGCUUUGCAAUGACUUUUCAAGGUGAAGGAAAAUAUUCUUGCUGAAAUUGAAGAAGGAAAUACCUUCUUAAAUAGCCUAUUGACCGAAAACACAUUACCCUAACAUAUACACACACCUUUAUUAUUUAUACAAUCAUUUAAUACUUAAUCCCGUUAGUGGGAUUCUAGUGGUUGUUUCUAUCUUGGUUUCCAAUAUUUCUGAUUGAUAGUGUUGGAUUAAUGAAAUAUCAUAAAUUUUGACCCCAAUAAGGACCAAUCCCUAUUAAAUGUAAUUGGGUUGACCUAAGACUAAAUGUUAGACCCAACUAAUAAAAACCCAUCUGUUUGUUGGAGUCUAAAUAACCCAGCCUUAGGUAGGGCCCAUGCCUUAUUAUUUUAAGAUGUAGUCCAACUGGUUUGACACUGGAUUGAGUAAAGCCCAACUUAUGAGCAUCUGUGCAUUUCCAUCCAUCCACAACCUACUGGCAUGGACAAACUUUGGUCAAUUAAACCUAUUAUAAAUGUAUACAAAAUUUUAAGUUCAAAAGAUAAUUUUUCUUAUUUAGUUAGGAUUCAUAUUAAAAAGGCACAAAGCACGAAUUUUCAUGUUUAAAUUCACAAAUAUCACGAAAGCUCCUUCAAGCUCUAUGGACCAUUUUAUUUGUAACAUUAUAUUACUCUUAAUUAUCAAAUUAACCAACAAAUUCUUCUCAUUAGUUAUUUUUCUUUUGUAGUGUCAUAAAAUUUGAUGUAAAGUAAUAUUGGUCAUCAUUUCAACUUUCAUGUUCCAAUUAGAUGCAUCAAGCAUGUGCAACAUAUUUGAUAUAACUAAUAUUUUUAUAAGUAAUUGAAUUUUUUUUUCUAUAAAUCAAUUAACUUGAUUAUCAAUGAAUACUUUCAUACAUGAUAUUGAUGUAGUUUCAUAAAUAUUUUUAAAUAGUCAUAGAAGUCUUUUAUCUGAUUCACUAGAAAGAAAAAUAAACUAUUCUAAUGAAAAUACUUGAUGAUUUGAAGUGAUUGCUUUUGAUUUUAUUUGAUUGCUACCAUUAUUAAUUGUUAGAAAUUGGCAACAAAUACCCAUUUUGCAUCACUUCUAUAUGCAUCGAGGGAAUGAAUUAUAUUUCAUAGAGCUAACAGGGCAAAACUCAUACUUUUGGAAUUAUGGAAAAGGUUGCUAGAAAGCUAAUUAACAAUUUAUAUUAUGAUUAAGACUAGUUGGGUUAGAAAUAAUUCAUAUGGAGAUUAAAAAAAACUAUGUAAUUUAGUUUAGUAGCUUGGGUGCUAUUGUAAUGAUUAAUGAUCUGCAACUUGAACACAUCUACUAGUGCUUUCUACUUGUAUAGCUAAAUUUAUGUUACCACUUUGAACUACAGUACUUACAUGAGAAGAAAGCUUUUCCUUAGUGAUAAUGCAAAAGAAAUUAAGUAUCAAUUUUUGUUAAACUAACAAGUGAUAGUUUAGAUAUGUUUUGAAUACACUUCCUUUCUUCUAUUUUUUUAUUUUGAAAAAAAAAACUCUUUAAUGAAAUAUAAGAAAUCUUAUAUGUAUAAAAAGUAAAGACUUAAACAAAAAAAUUCUUCAAAUUUUAAAAAUUUCGAGAAGUAUUUUUAAGAAUUUGUAUUUUUAGUAUAAUAAUUCCUAUAUUUUGUAUAAAAGCUUUUGUUCAAAAAAAUAGAAGUGUAUCCAAAUUAAAAAUUAAUGGUUAAAUUAAGAAUGUUUCUCAGAUCAAGGGAUAAUGAAAGUUGUAGAGAGUUUGCAUUACUCAACCUUUGCAACUACUUUUUGAAGGUAAAAGAAAAUACCUUCUUACAUAACAUACAAUGGCAAGUUCUGGUUUGUAAGAAACUAAUAAAUGAUUAAGAAUAUGAAUAAGACUUCCUUAAUAAUAGAUAUGUAGAGAAGAAUAGUGGAUGAUAGGAGGUGAAAAUCUUGUAAUAAAAUAUCAAUAUCGGUUAUAAGAUAAUCAACAUUUUCUUGUACCUAUGUGAUUAAGAAUCUUGUAGCUCCCUUAUUGAAAUAUAAUAUAAAAAUAUAAAUAAACUAUUUAGAAGUGCAUGUAGUUUUCAACAUGAGGAAGUUCAAAAGCAAGUUAAUUAUGAUAAUUUUCUAUAGUCUAUAUUGAACACAAAUUAUUUUUUCUAAAGGUUCAAUCGUUCUAUGAAGGUUAAAAGUUUGAAUUGUUUACAUAUGCAAAUGUGAAAUUUGAAAUUUUAUAAUGUUUUAUAAUUUUCUUGUAGAUUCAAAAAACUUGUCCAUAUUCAAAAAGCUCGAGACCUUGAACCUCAAUCACAACAAGUUCAAAAACACUAGCCUACAACAAUUGAAUAUAUUUACAUCCCUUAAAAAUCUUUCUCUAAGACGGAACUAUGAUGGAGGAUUUUUUCCGAUCCAAGGUAUGUGUAAUUAUUAUUAUUAUUUUUAAUGAUAAAAUAUUAGAAUUGUCAACAUCUUUUAUCUUUUUUCCCCUCAAUGGUGUUGCAGAAUUAUGCACUCUAGAAAACUUGGUGAUGUUGGACCUAAGUGGGAAUUUCUUUAUUGGCAUGCAAGGUAAAUACAAAGUGAAGUUUUGGUUAUAUAUAUAUAUCAUGUAAGAACAUAACUAAAAUCAACAUUCUUUGCCUAUCAAUUUGUGCAUGACUAUUAUUUAGUUAUUCUUCGUAACAUAAUUGAAAGAAUGUUUAGGUGUAUAACAUUUAAGAAUUUUACAUGGCACAAUGAAAAACAUGGUAAUCAAUGUAUGCAAUAAAAUUCUAAUAGUUGAAAAAGAAUUUUCUUGUAAUUUUAUGUUCGUGUAUAGUAAUCAAAGAGAAAAUCAUGAAAAUGUAUAUUAGUUAGACUUUAUAUAUCAAUAGACAAAAAAGAAAGAAAAAAGAUUAGUUCCUUAACUUAUCCUAAAAUUUUCUAGAUAACAAGGAGUUUUUUUAUUUUGGGCUAUAAGAUUUACAACCUGAAAAGUGAAGAUGAUUAAUAUUAGUAAUAUAAUUUUGAAAUAUAAAAAUUAAUGAAAUAAUGUUCUCUAUAACUAUAACUGCAACUGCAACUAUUAAUAAAAGAUAAUAAAAGUACUUUAGACUUUGAAUCCAUGGUUAGGUUUGCAAUUUUUUGAUGAUCAAUAAAGCUACAACUUAUGCUGCAAAAGGCUAUACAAAAUGUAUUAGGAGCAUUGCUAAGCUCAUUUAUCAAUAAAAGAAAUCCAGUAAUACUUUGAUUGGAAAAAACCUAGAAUCAUGUUUGAUAUAUAUAAUAGGAGAAGAAACAAAAUAACAAUUCCAUGGUAUUAGUUAGUUUGAUAUCCCUUUUGUUAUAUGGAAUAACUAUUCCAUUUUAAAAUAAUUAUUUCAUCUUAUCGCUAGAACAAAAAAUUUCAAGCAAUUAUAUGCGCUUUUGGGUUUCUUAAGAAUUUAAGCAUUUAUGGGUCACCCAUAUAUACAUAUAUAUAUAUAUAUAUAUAUAUAUAUAUGUAGGAAGAAUAAAAAAAAAUAUUAUACGGAGACAAGGGUAGACACCCAUAUAUAUAUAUAUAUAUAUAUAUAUAUAUAUAUAUGUAGGAAGAAUAUAAAAAAAUAUUAUAUGGAGACAAGGGUAGACACCCAUAAAUGUACAUAUAAUUAUUUAAAUAAAAAAUCAAUAAGAAACAAUAUACAACAAAAUAGAAAAUUUUAAUCUUCUUAAAUUUUAAAAAUAAAAACUAAAUGAAAAAAAAUUAAGAAGUAAAAAUAAUAAUAAAAAGGUCAAGAAUACAAAUAGAGAAGUAAACAAAAAAAAUACAUAAAUUAAAAUUAAAAUUUAAAAGAAAAAAUACAUAGAUUAAUAUGAACACUAAAUGAGGUUUUUUGAGAUAGACUUAGUUAGACCUGAACCAGAUGGAUAUUAAAAAAAAUAAAAAAAAAUUGAAAGAAAUAAAAACUAAUUAGAUGCUAAAUAUUGGAUUAAAAUAACCAAAUGAAUAAAGAGUAAUUAUUAAUUUUUAACAUUUUUUAUUCCCUAGAAUUAUUAUUUUGUGUAUUAAAUGUAUUCUGAGUGUAGUGGUAUAAAAAAUGUAGUUAAGAAUACUAUGAAGAAUAAUAAUGGUGAUGAUAAUGGUGACGACACUUAAUACCUUUUAUUGUACGUUUAGAAAAAAUGAGGUUCUUGAUCUUUAUGGAGAUUAUCAUUACUCAUCCGCAAGCAUGUUGAUAGUUGAAACUACUCAAUUAUCAAAAAUUGAAUUUCUAACCUUCAAUUUUUCUCUCUCAAAUGUAUAUGUGGGUGAGAAAGCACUAGGAAGAUUAUAAGGUCUCACAUGUAUAUGAGUCAUAGGAUAAAAAAUAUAGAGACAAUACUAGCAUUUAUUUGAUCUAGUGGCAAAUAGAGAAAUAUAAAAUAACCAUAACCAUAAUGUUCUAACCUUAUAUAUACCAGAACCAUGUUUCCUUCAUUCAAUGUUGCAACUUUUUCUUUUCAAAUUAGAAUGUAACUUGUAGGAUCCAUUGCCCAUCAAAAUUUUGAAUCGAAUAUUAUAAGAUAUUUCACAUUUCUACCUACUAAAGCAUGAGCUUCAAUGUUCUCAUGCACUUUUGGCUACUAAGUUAAAGAACCCUUUGAGGAUUAAUGGAGUUUCUAUGAGUAGCAAAGCAUUAUAAUCAGAAAGUCUUAUCAGUGAUAUGCAAUUUGACCAAGAACUUAUUCCCAACUAUUUUAUGAAUUUUAUGACUUUUCUUGGCUACUUGUAGGCAAGCUAAAGAAAUUUUCUGGUUUGUUCAAGUCUAAAAAGUGGUUUCAAGUUUAGGGCCAAGCUUGGGCUGCACCUAGGUCCUUGGGCCUUGUUCAGCUCCACGUUUAAACCAACCUUGAGUCCAUCUUUGUAAUUUUUCUCCCAAUUCAUUGAUUAAUAUUAGGAUUUUAUAGAGCCUAUAAAUUGACCAACUAAAUAAAGUAGGUUCAUAAACUUUUAGGUGAAAAUUUUCUCUUUAAUAAAUGUUAAUUCAAGAGUCUCCGUAAUCUUUUUAUAUUCAUAUUAAUUGGUAUUUAAACCGACCUUACUAUAUUAAAGUCAAAUACCAAAUAGUGAACACUAUAUCUACUACUACCACUAUGAUGGUCACAAACAUAGAAUGCUCCAUUUUUUAGAGUCAAUUGAUGCUUAUAAACAACUUUGUUUGAAAAUAAAACACAUCGAGUGAUUGCAUCAAGAGAUUGAUGUAAUAAUUGCAUACUUGAUCUAGAUAAUGUUAAUAUGAGUUGACUAAAUAAAUGAGUAUUUACUUAUAAGGUAGCCCAUAGAACAUUAUUUGUGGAAAUAUUCAUGCACCUCUACAUAUGUUCAUGAUAACUUAGGUUGAUAAAUUUAAGAAGAACAAAUUCAUAACCUUGGGCAUAGUUAGUAAGAAAUUUCACCAAUAGAGUUUGGUAUCAUGAUUCUAAUUGUUCAAAUUGUUUUAAAGGAGUAUUUUAAAUUGCAUGUUAAUUUGCUUCUAAUAAAUGGAGAGAAACCAAUUCAAGAAGAGAAUUGUACUCAAGCUAUGUAUAGCAUUCAUGAAGAUGUAGAAAAUAUUGAUGAACUUACUUUUGAGCAAGUUGAAAUCAUAAUUAAAUAAAAUAACAAACCCAAGGGUUAAGAUUGUCAAGUAAAACUUUAAUUAAAAUUUAUUGAUUUUUUAAAUGCCUAUUAGAGGAGCAAUAGAAGUUCUAGAUAGAAAGUAAGAACUUUUCUAAGGAAUCACUUGUUAGAUUUUAAGUGAUCAAUAAAUAUAAUGUCCAAUUUAAAACUUUUAUAAAAGCAAUGGUUCUAAAGAAUAACUUGAUUUGAAUUUAAAGUUAUUAUUGAUAUUUAUUUAUAAUGGAUGUAGUUAAUCAAUUGAACAUAGUAAAAAACACAUAAUUUUUUCAAAAUACCUUCUAAUUGUUGGGUAUAUUUAAGUAGUUAUUCAUAUCUCAUUAUCUUUUUACUCACAUACUAAUCUCCUUAUUGAGUAUUUACCAAUUACAAGUAGGUUGAAAGUUACUUGAAUUUAAGUCACUAAUCAAUGUUAACUUGAUGACAAAUAAGUCUCCCUUUGAAACUUGUUUUAUAACAUAGCGAAAUGUAGUCGAUCAAUCAUCAAAACAAUGUUUAAGCAUUGGGAUUUAGUUGUUAAUUUUUAUUUUUUAUUUUUUGUGCUUAAACAAAGACAAAAAUUAUAAAAACUCCUGAAAAGUACAUAUUAAUUGAAUUUAAUUUAUACAUCAAACAAGAACAAACUAGUCUUGGAUUUAAAAUUCAAUAGGUUUUGUAAUUAUAAUUCCUAAAAAUUUGUAAGACAACAAAAUUAUUGGACACUAGGCUAUUGGGUGUGUAUGACUAAGAGGUGAAGGAGGGUUCAUCUUAUACAAAGGAUGAUUUGAUUAAUUUUAAAGAUUGAAUAAACAAUAAUUGCAUAUUCAAGUAAAAAUAACAUUGCUAAAAAGGAAAAUAAGUAUUUUAGUCCUCAAACCUAAAAUGGCUAAAAAAUUUAAUUAAUACAAUUACAACUUCACCUACAAAAAAAAAAAAAAAAAAAUACCCAAAACUUUUCAAUAGCACAACUAAGUCCAUUUAUCAAAAGCUCUAUGAACAACAACAACUAUCAAAUCACAUAAAUCAUGUUGUUUACAAAGUGCCCUUGAUGUUUUAAAACAUAAGAUAUUACAUAAAAAUCAACCAAUAGUGUAUGACAUUAUAAAAAACAUAUCCAAAUCCAUUGUCGAACUUAAACUAAAUUCAACUUUAUAUACAUAGUCGCAAGUGGGUCUUUUUGUCUUUCAAUUUGGGUCAAAUUCAGAUGUUAGUUUUUUACACAACAAGGGAUUAUCAAGGUGAUAAUUCAUGCAUAUAAAUAGUAUUACUUAUAUAAAAAAAAUGGUAAAUGCAAUUUUUUUGUAUUCACUCACCAUUUGGCAUAUCAAUAAGAAAAAAAUAUAUACAAUAGGUGCUAUCAAUAAUAUUAUGCAUCACUAGAAAUUAUAAUUUUUCAUUUGUUAUCACUACUUGUGCACUUUGGAAAGCUUGCUAGGUACAACAAAUUAGCUCAGUGAAGAAAUUGAUCAAUUCCUUCAUUUCUAAAUAAAUUUGCAUAUACACUAGAAUAAAAACAACUUUUUAACUUAACAAGUUGACUGAGUCUCAGAACUUAGUAGGUUGAAGGCAUAGACUUCCAUCCAAGCUCAUUUACUGGCACCACAUGUUGGAAAAAUAAAGAAAAAUCAAAACACUUGAGUAUAGUUGCAAACCAAUCUAAAUAUAGAGUGAGAUCUACCUUUCUUUGAAAGUUUAGAACAAAUUUUUAUUUUUAUGAUAAGACUAUGCAGUACUUAUCCCUCUCUAACAAGUCUAUAAUCAGUCCAAAGCAUGGGAUAUUGCAUAUUUCUUGAACUCAAUUAGCCUUUAAUCCAUGCAUUUCAAGUAAAUUUAAAACCUGGUGUACUUGUUCUUGAUUCACAUCCUUGUCACUAUUAUCAUUACUUGUUCUUGAAUAUAGAACCUUAUUGUCCAUUAACAAGCGGGCCUAUGUUCCUCCAUGAUUCAAGAGUAUUAUGUUUUGUUCAUCAUCAGUUGGUCUUGCUCUAAAGCUUCUUUUUUAUGACUAUCAAUAACCAGACUUAGAUACCAAAAUUUAUGCAAGAGAGCAUGUACUUUAUACAGUCAAGAACUUGUGAGUCUAGACUUUGUUAUCUAGGUAAAAGAAUAAAUUGGUUUGUUAAAAUAGCUAGCAUUAGGUAUCUAUUCAAUUCCUAUCUUAGACAAUAAAGAUACAAAUGAUCAAAUACAUUCUUAUUAAGAAACAUUUGAUACCAAAAGUGAUGUAAGACAACACAGUUCCUCUAUUCAAUCAAGUUUAAGGCUUAGAUGAACCUAUGAAUUUAUAUUAAUUAAUUGGGAAAGAGAAUAAAUAGGCUAAGUAGAAGUGAUAGGAUUGUAAUAGCAUUAAGUUAAUGAUCUUGUUUAGGUCUUCUACUAAAUUAGAGAAGAAACAAACAAAAGUAAUCAAACGUGUUAGUGAUAAUUAUAUCUACUUAACAUUGAGACAAUAGUUGUACUAAUGGUAAUUAUAUUAUUUCUUGAGAGUUUAAACAAUAUAUAUUGAAAAUAUUUUUAAAGGUUUAGCAACUACCAAGGUUAUAAUCAACUACGAGCUUUUUAUUUUUAAAAAUAUGAAAUAUUAAUAUCUUUACUUUCUUUGAUCUUCUUGUAGGUUUUAAAAGUUUGUCUAAGCUGAAAAAGCUGGAAAUCUUAAACCUUCGUGAUAAUCAGUUCAACAAGACCAUUAUAAAACAGUUGAGUGGACUCACAUCCCUUAAAACACUAGUUGUAAGCUACAACUAUAUUGAGGGACUUUUUCCUUCCCAAGGUAUUGCUUAUUCUUUUAAUAUCCUUAGUAACCACUCUACCAUGAUUUUUUUUUUUUUCAAUUUUAUUUUCUUUCUUGAACCAUACAGAAUUAUCUAUUUUUGGAAACUUGAUGACACUGGAUUUAAGAGAUAAUAGACUCAAUGGCUCCCUAUCAAUCCAAGGUAAAUUCUAAUCAGAAUUAUCAUUAUAUUUAGGGCAUAUAAUAAAUUAAUUAAAUUAUUUUAUCUAUUAUCAUUACUUGGUUAUUUGGAUUUUCUUGAUAUUGUUUAGCAUUUUACAUAGGAAAAUGAAAUGGAAAAAUCAACCCAUGCUUAGUGUUUAAGCACUGGGCUAGAAGUAUAUUUGUCUUCCCAAUUUAAUCAAAGAGAAAAGUCAUAAAUAACAUAAUUUAACUUAUACCUUAUAUUGAUUGAAGAGGUUAGACUACUUUUGGAUUUAAUGGUCAAUAUUUGUUGAAGAUAGGGUUUCCUAAAUUUGAUAAAAAGAACUUCAAUUUAAAUUACCAUAACUACAUAAAGGUGUGACUAGCAUAAUUAAACUCUUUUAUUAAUAGAUGUUCAUAGACUAGUAUUAUAAUCCCACAUGCACAAAUAAUCAAAUUUUGAAAUUAGACUUCAAAUAACUAUGCAAUAUACGAAACUACAAAAUGAAUGGUAGGUCAUAAUUAAUUAAAUUCGUACUAUAUUCAAUGUUGGUCAACACGUGUCAAGUAAAAGUUUUGGCCUAAGUGUAAGGGCUCACUUGCUCCAAUAUAUAUGUUAUUCACUUUGGGUCAAGGCCUACUUUAAAAUAUCUAUACAUUUAUGAGAUAUUUUAAAAUGUAAAAUGAUAGGUUUUGAUCAUUUUUAAAGGUAGCAAACAUUUUAUUUUAUUUGUAUUUAAGAACAACGUCUUUUCUUAUACAAUGUUUAUUUAAUUUUCUUUUGAUAGAUUUUGCAAGCUUAAGCAAUUUGGAGAUAUUGGAUUUGAGUUAUAAUUCCUUCAAUGGAAUUGUUUCAUCAUCUAUAAGAUUAAAGUCUUCUCUCAAGUCUUUAUCCUUGGCUGGAAAUAGACUCAAUGGUUCUUUACAAUGUCAAGGUAGGAAACAUUUAAUUUUAUUUGUAUUUAAGAACAAUGUCUUUUCUUAUAUAAUGUUUUUUUAAUUUUCUUUUGAUAGAUUUUGCAAGCUUAAGAAAUUUGGAGAUAUUGGAUUUGAGUUAUAAUUCCUUCAAUGGAAUUGUUUCAUCAUCUAUAAGAUUAAAGUCUUCUCUCAAGUCUUUAUCCUUGGCUGAAAAUAGACUCAAUGGUUCUUUUCAAUAUCAAGGUACAUAUGUUAUGCUUUCUUUGUUUCAUAAAGAUUAGACAAGAUAAACAUUGUGAAAAAAAGGUUGUCAUAGUUAAUGUAAAAUGAUAGGUUUUUGAUCAUUUUUAAAGGUGGCAAACAUUUUAUUUUAUUUGUAUUUAAGAACAAUGUCUUUUCUUAUACAAUGUUAUUUUAAUUUUCUUUUGACAGAUUUUGCAAGCUUAAACAAUUUGGAGAUAUUGGAUUUGAGUGGUAAUUUCUUCAAUGGAAUUGUUUCAUCAUCUAUAAGAUUAAAGUCUUCUCUCAAGUCUUUAUCCUUGGCUAGUAAUAGACUCAAUGGUUCUUUUCAAUAUCAAGGUACAUAUGUUAUGAUUUCUUUGUUUCAUAAAGAUUAGACAAGAUAAACAUUGUGAAAAAAAGGUUGUCAUAGUUAAUGUAAAAUGAUAUGUUUUGAUCAUUUUUAAAGGUGGCAAACAUUUUAUUUUAUUUGUAUUUAAGAACAAUGUCUUUUCUUAUACAAUGUUAUUUUAAUUUUCUUUUGACAGAUUUUGCAAGCUUAAACAAUUUGGAGAUAUUGGAUUUGAGUGGUAAUUUCUUCAAUGGAAUUUUUUCAUCAUCUAUAAGAUUUAAGUCUUCUCUCAAGUCUUUAUCCUUGGCUGUAAAUGGACUCAGUGGUUCUUUACAAUAUCAAGGUACAUAUGUUAUGCUUUCUUCGUUUCAUAGAGAUUAGAGAGGAUAAACAUUGUAAAAAAAAAAAAGUUGUCAUAGUUAAUGCAAGCUAAAACUAAAAAACUUGCUUUUUCAAUUAUGUAAGCAUGUUUUGUUCUUGAUGAAUCUUUACAACAUUCAAAGUUACUAAUAUUUAUAAUUCAUAGAGACCUCAUUAACAACCACUAACAACUAAUUGUAAGUAACUAUGAAAAAAGUAAGGACAAAAAUGAGGGAAAAGCAAGGAAAGUGACAAAUUUUUUCAUCCCCAUAAAAAAUGCUAAGGAAGAAAAAGGUGAAGAAAAUUUAAAGAAAGUAUAUUUUUCAAAAAUUAAAUUUUCUUUCCCUUAAAGUUGGUAUGGACAACCAAACAAGAAAAUGAUUUUGAAAUUCUUUUUUGACUUUUUUCUUUCAUUUUUUUUCCUACUCUAUUUUCUUUCCCUCAAACUUUCUAGGUAGUAAACAUUACCUAAGACAAAUAGGGAAGAAAAUAUUUUAUCAUUUAUUUAUUUAGCAUUUUUCUUACAUUUUUUGUAUUUUAUCCAAAUAUAAGAAAACUAUUUUUCUUUAUUUUUUCUUUUCCUUGUUGCGUUUCAAGAAUCAAGCAUACUUUAAACUCUAAUUAAGAGUUACAUAGAUUUACGAAGAAACGAUGCAACUGGUAACAAAAAAUUAAGGAAAUUUAAUUUUUGAGAGUAAGUAUAAUGAGAUUGGUUUGUUUGAUACAAAAUUUGAAUAAAAAUUCUUUUAAUGAAAAUUCAAGGAAAGGAAAAAAAAAACAACUUUAUCUCUAGACUAUAAUACUAAAUCAAUUAAAAAAAAUCUCCUAACAUCGUUUAUGUUCAUCUUUCUUUUUAUGGAUUUGAAAAACUCAAUAAUUUGGAGAAAACUGAUUUAAGGAAGAAUAUUUUUUAGAGUAAAAGAUUAUUAUUUAAGAAUAUCAUAAAUAUUAUAGUCAUUGUUGAAUAUGAUAAAUGAUAAAUAAAAAAUAAAAAAUAAAUAAAAAGUCGUUGGAAAUUUAGAUACUUUUAUGGAAAGAUAGACAAAGUGCUCUAGUUUAUAAUACUAAUGCACUUUUCUAAUUUGAUAUGAAAAAAGGUAAAACGAUAGGUUUUGAUCAUUUUUAAAGGUAGUUUGUUUAAAUCAUUUUAAUUUAUUUUGAUUUAUGAACAAUAACUUUUAUUACACUAGUUAUUUUGAUUUUCUUUUGAUAGAUUUUGCAAGCUUAAGCAAUUUGAAGGUAUUGGAUUUGAGUUAUAAUUCAUUUAGUGGGAUCGUUCCAUCAUCUAUAAGAUUGAUGUCUUCUCUCAAGUCUUUAUCUCUGGCUGGAAAUGACCUCAAUGGUUCCUUACCAAAUCAAGGUACAUAUAUUGAGAUUACAGGUUUUUCUGUUUUCUUUUUUAAUAUCUUGUUUGUUCUUUAUGCCAAUGAAGUCAUGCAUGUCUAUUAAUUUUUGGUAUUUAAUGAAAAACUUUAUUCUUAAUUCAUAAAGACCUCAUCAACUGUGAGUAACAGCUAGUUGUAAGUUUGGGGGCAUUGACAAGACGAGGAGAUGAUUGGUUACAUGUCUUAUUCUCUUUUGUAGGCUUUUUCCAAUUGAAUAAGCUUCAAGAGUUGGAUCUUAAUUACAACUUAUUCCAAGGGAUCCUUCCUCAAUGUUUGAAUAAUUUGACAUCUCUAAGGUUAUUAGAUCUCUCUUCCAACCUAUUCUCCGAAAAUCUUUCUUCCACUCUGUUACCUAAUCUCACAUCCCUGGAGUACAUUGAUCUCAGUUACAAUCAAUUUGAGGGUUCAUUCUCUUUCAGCUCUUUUGCUAAUCACUCCAAGCUUCAAGUGGUCAUACUUGGAAGUUAUAACAACAAAUUUGAGGUAGUUGGAAGGGAUAACAACAAAUUUGAGGUAGAAACUAAAUAUCCAGUUGGUUGGGUUCCCCUGUUUCAGUUGAAACCUCACCGGUGACCUUCCUGGUUUUCUUCAAUACCAAUUUAGAUUAACGGCAGUUGAUCUCUCCCAUAAUAACUUGACAGGAAGUUUCCCCAAUUGGCUGCUUGAAAACAAUACGAGAUUGGAAUUUCUGCUCCUGAGGAAUAACUCUUUAAAGGGUCAACUACUUCUCCUAGGACCUAAUACCCUGAUCAGUUCGUUGGAUAUCUCACACAAUCAGUUGGAUGGACAACUUCAAGAAAAUGUGGCCCAUAUGAUUCCAAAUAUUUGGAAGUAUUCCCAAUUCAAUCUCUAGACUUCUAGAGCUAAGGAUUCUUUUGCUAAGAGGAAACCUUUUAAGUGGUUUCAUUCCAUAUCGACUUUGUCAUUUGACUAAAAUAAGCUUGAUGGAUCUUUCAAACAACAAUUUUUCUGGGUUAAUUCCUGGAUGCUUUGGUCAUAUCGGAUUUGGAGAUUUCAAAACUGAGCACAAUGUGUAUAUACCGAUGUUGGAUUCAUAUUCAGAAAGCAAUCCUUCUAUAUAUACGGGUUACUUAAUAAAAUAUUUAUUUUUCUCUAGUGAACUCCCUGAUAAAGUAGAUGAAGUUAAGUUUGUUACCAAGAAUAGGUAUAGCUCCCACAUAGUAGAUAAAAAUAUUUGUUCGGAAUUUAGAUAUUUUUAUAGAAAAGUAGACAAGUAUUCUAAUUUAUAAAAACAAUGCAUUUCUUUAGUUUGGUAUAAAAAAAUGAAAUGAUAGGUAUUGGUAAUUUUUUUUAAAGUAGCAAACGUUUUAUUUUAUUUGUAUUUAAGAAAGAUGUCUUUUCUUAUACUAGUUAUUUUAAUUUUCUUUUGACAGUUUUUGCAAGCUUAAGCAAUUUGGAGAUACUAGAUUUGAGUUCUAAUUCCUUAAGUGGGAUUAUUCCAUCAUCUAUAAGAUUGAUGUCUCAUCUCAAGUUUUUAUCGCUGGUCGGAAAUCACCUCAAUGGUUCUUUACAAAAUCAAGGUACAUAUGUUAUGAUUUGUUUGUUUCAUAUAGAUUAGAGAAGAUAAAUAUUGUAAAAAAAAAAAGUUGUAGUUAAUGUAAGUUAGAAAAAAGUAUCUUGCCUUAUAAAUUAUAUAAGCACGUGUUUGUUCUUAAUGAAUCUUUACAACAUUUAGAGUUACCAAUCUUUAUAAUUCAUAAAGACCUCAUAAACACUGAGUAACAACUAAUUGUAAGUAAUUGUGGAAAAGUAAGGAAAACAAAUUGCUUCAUUUGAUACAAAAUUCGAAUAAAAAUUCUUUUAAUGAAAACUCAAGGAAAGGAAAAAACAUUUUUAUCUCUAGAUUAUAAUACUAAAUCAUGUAAAAAAUCUCGUAACAUCAUUUAUAUUCAUAUUUCUUUUUAUAGAUAUGAAAAAUUCAACAAUUUGGAAUAAACUUAUUCAAUGAAGAAUAAUUUUUAGAUUUAAAGAUUAUUAUUUAAGAAGAUCGUAAAUAUUACCAUCAUUGUUGAUGUCUAAGAAGAUCAUAUUCAACAAUUUUUUUAAUAUGUUGUUUUCUAUGGUAAUUAAUUGAUGUCUUGUAAUUUUUAAUAUUUAAUGAAAAACAUUAUUUUAAUUCAUCUAGAGCUCUUAAUUCAUGAAGACCUCAUUAACGGUGAGUAAUAGUUGGCUGUAAGUUUGGAGUCAAAGACAUUUCAAGGAGAUGAUUAGUUACAUGUCUUGUUCUCUUUUGUAGGUUUCUGCCAAUUGAAUAAGCUUCAAGAGUUAGAUCUUUCUUACAACUUAUUCCAAGGGACCCUUCCUCCAUGUUUGAAUAAUUUGACAUCUCUGAGGUUAUUGGAUCUCUCUUCCAACCAUUUAUCCGGAAAUCUUUCUUCGCCUCUGUUACCUAAUCUCACAUCCCUGGAGUAUAUCGAUCUCAGUUACAAUCAUUUUGAGGGUUCAUUCUCUUUCAGCUCUUUUGCUAAUCACUCCAAGCUUCAAGUGGUCAUACUUGGAAGUGAUAACAACAAAUUUGAGGUAGAAACUGAAUAUCCAGUUGGUUGGGUUCCCCUGUUUCAAUUGAAGGCUCUUUUCCUAUCCAACUGCAAGCUCACCGGUGACAUUCCUGAUUUUCUUCAAUACCAAUUCAAAUUAGAGGUGGUUGAUCUAUCCCAUAAUAACUUGACAGGAAGGUUCACCAAUUGGUUGCUUGAAAACAACACGAGACUAGAAUUUCUAGUCCUAAGGAAUAACUCUUUAAUGGGUCAACUACUUCCCCUGAGACCUAAUACCCGUAUCCUUUCAUUGGAUAUCUCACACAAUCAGUUGGAUGGACGACUUCAAGAAAAUGUGGGCCAUAUGAUUCCAAAUAUUGUGUUUCUAAAUUUAUCCAACAAUGGUUUUGAAGGUCUUCUCCCAUCCUCAAUAGCUGAAAUGAGUUCCUUAAGGGUGUUGGAUUUGUCUGCCAAUAAUUUCUCAGGAGAAGUACCAAAGCAGUUGCUUGCAACAAAAGAUUUGGUGAUUCUAAAAUUAUCAUAUAAUAAAUUUCAUGGUGAAAUAUUUUCAAGGGACUUUAACAUGACUGGGUUGGAUAUUUUGUAUUUAGACAAUAAUCAGUUCAUGGGAACUCUGUCAAAUGUAAUCUCCGGAAGCUCUCAGUUAAUGGUGUUGGAUGUGAGCAACAACUACAUGUCAGGUGAAAUUCCAAGCGGGAUAGGUAACAUGACAGAAUUGAGAACAUUGGUCAUGGGCAACAAUAAUUUUAGAGGCAAAUUACCACCUGAGAUUUCUCAAUUGCAACAGAUGAAGUUUCUUGACGUUUCUCAAAAUGCUCUUUCAGGAUCUCUUCCUUCUUUGAAGAGCAUGGAGUAUUUAGAGCAUCUACAUUUGCAAGGGAACAUGUUUACAGGAUUAAUACCGAGAGAUUUUCUCAAUUCCUCAGAUCUAUUGACUUUGGAUAUGCGAGAUAACAGGUUAUUUGGAAGUAUUCCCAAUUCAAUCUCUGCACUUUUGGAGCUAAGGAUUCUUUUGCUAAGAGGAAACCUUUUCAGUGGUUUCAUUCCAAAUCAUCUUUGUCAUUUAACUAAAAUAAGCUUGAUGGAUCUUUCAAAUAACUCUUUUUCAGGGCCAAUUCCCAAAUGCUUUGGCGAUAUCCGAUUUGGGGAGAUGAAAAAGGAGAAUGACGUGUUUAGACAGUUCAUUGAUUUUGGGUAUGGAGGGGAUUCUCGUAAUUUAUAUGUUGGAUUCACGGUGAAAAAAUGGGAGUUCGAUAGUGAUGUAUAUGAUGAAAAAAAUGAAGUUGAGUUUGUCACCAAGAACAGGCAUGACUCCUACAGUGGUGACAUCCUUAAUUUCAUGUUUGGAUUGGACUUGUCAUGUAAUAACUUAACCGGUGAAAUCCCUCACAAACUUGGAAAGCUAAGUUGGAUUCAUGCAUUGAACUUGUCUCACAAUCAAUUGAAGGACUCCAUUCCAAAGAGUUUCUCCAAUCUUUCUCAAAUAGAGAGCUUGGACCUUUCUUAUAAUAAAUUAAGUGGAGAAAUUCCUCUAGAGCUAGUUGAACUCAAUUUUCUAGAGGUGUUCAGUGUGGCUUACAACAACAUCUCUGGUAGAGUUCCAGAUACAAAAGCACAAUUUGGGACAUUUGAUGAAAGAAGCUAUGAAGGUAAUCCUUUUCUCUGUGGGACAUUGUUAAAGAGAAAAUGCAACACAAGUAUCGAGCCACCAUGCGCACCAUCACAAUCUUUUGAAAGUGAGGCAAAAUGGUAUGAUAUCAAUCAUGUUGUUUUCUUUGCAAGUUUUACUACUUCAUAUAUCAUGAUCUUGUUAGGAUUUGUUACCAUCCUUUACAUCAAUCCUUAUUGGCGUCAUAGAUGGUUCAAUUUUAUCGAGGAAUGUAUAUAUUCCUGUUAUUAUUUUGUUUUUGAUAAUCUUUCCAAGUUAUCAGCAUAUUUGUAUAAUUAGAUACUUUUAAUUGGAUGAUGUUUGCAUAAUUAACUACUAUUUGUUUCCACUAGAUAGAAAGAAAUGGGAUGUAUAAUUGCUACAAGUUGAAACUUACAUACUUUGCUCAAAUUUUGACAUCUUUUGAUUUUAUUUUCAAGUUCCGUUAUUUUUUAUGUAUUGUUUAAUUCAAGAUUUAACCAUAUUUUGUUACUCUUAUAAAAACAAAUUCAAAUUUUUAGGAAGUUUUAGCAUUAAAAUAAUUUCAUAGUCAUAUUUUAAAAAAUAAAGAAGAAAGAAAAUAAUAAAUAAUUGGAAAAACAAUUCAAGGGAGUAUUAAAUUAUCAUCUUAGAAUUGUUUGGCAUAGUAUGGGAAUUCAAAAAUAAUCUUUCAAUUUGUUAGAAGCGUUUAUUUAUUUAUUAUAGCAAUGAUUGAAAUAUCAAUCACAAAGCAAUGUUUUCUUUUCUUUUGUAGGGCACUAACACUUUUUCUUUGAUCGUAAUAAUUGAUAAAUAUAUUACACAAUUAUUUGUUUUUAAAAAGGGAGGGAUGACAAAUAUAAUAACAUGUGAAAUAUUUCUAAAUGAUGGGAAAUAAGCCAAUCUAAUUAGGGUGCAAUAUUAUUCAUUUUAAUUUAUAUGAAUUUACUUAUUUUUAUUUGUAUCAUAUUUUGAACCAUUUUAUGAAAUUAAGGGAGAUUAAAACAUCGAGUUUCUUAUUUUAAUUUAUAUUUUUAAUAAUAAAGCAUGAAAUAUUUUUUUUUUUAAAAUCAUGAAUUUCUUUAAUUCCUUAGGAAACCAAUAUAUAAAAAAAUUGAAUAUAUUAUGAUUUUAUGUCCUAAAUCUCUAAAUUUGUUCAUCACGUAUUUAUUUUUAUAUUAAAUUUAUUAUUAUUAAUUAUUUAUUAUAUAUUAUUAUUUUAUGUUUAAAAAUGUCCAUAAAUAAUUAAAAUUAAUAAAUAAAAAAAAUGAAAUAUUAAAAAAAUUAAAUUAAAAAGAUUUCAUCAAACUAACAUAUUUAAAAAAAAAAAAAAGCAAAAAGAAGAUGGGGAUAUUAUAGAUGAGGGGAAAAAGAUAAAAAAUAAAUAAAAAUUAUGCGGUAUGAUAAUUGCCUCGUGUUAAAGUUAUUUUCUUUUAAAAAUAAUAAUUGUAAUGAUGAACUCAUUUGUCUUAUUAAAGUAAACAAAAAUGAAGAAAAAAAAAAAGUUGUAGUUGGCUAGAGGUGAGAGAGAGAGAGGAGGGUUUGAGUGUAAGUUUGAAAUAUUAAUUAUUUUCACUAAGUAGAUAUUUUGAAGGUUAUUUUCCCCAAAACACAUAUUCUUUUAAUAAAAAAUCAAAAUUUUAGAUUAUUUGUUCCUUUAAACUUUAGUUUGAAUAAAAUUAGUUUUAAUUAUUUUCUUUUUGGAAUUAUAUUUAACACAUUAUUAAAAAUAUAAAAAAAUAUUAUUAGGUUUUUAUGUGCUGAUUGGGUUUUUUAAAUACCCAAUAUGCCCUCCAAUCUACCACUUAAGCAUCCGAUAUGGCUAAAAAUAAAUUAAAAAAAAAAAAAAGGAAAAAAAACAAAAGUGUAUGAUCCUCUUUCUCGAGUCUUCACAUUUUCAGACACUGAACCCAAAUCAAAAUUAAUCCUCCAAAUUAAUUUUCACCUCGAACCCAAACCCUAACUGCUGCCCCGUUUUCUCCUCAAACAUAGCUAUCCGAAAAACCCUAACCUCUGCCUCGUCUUCCUCUUAUCCCGGAAACCUAAAUCCCGUGACCCUAACCCCUUCUCUUUCCGAAAACCCUCCGGAAUAGGAAGAUUCAUAAUUCUUCAGAAUUAAUUUUCACCUCGAAGCCAGACCCUAACUGCCUCAUCUUCCUCUCAUUCAUAUCCUAAAAGUAGCUUCAACAGUCAGGCCUGUAGCCAUGAAAGCCGUAAUGAUCGCCACUUCCGGUGAUCCCCAAGUUCUCCAAGUGCAAGAAGUCGAAAACCCUAAAAUUGGAGAUGAUGAAGUUCUAAUUAGAGUGGACACCGC
rnacentral:lncRNA from 1 species